rnacentral:lncRNA from 1 species
GGUGACGGCCUUCGUCGAGGACUGCAAGAUGAAGCGCAUGACCGGGGUCAAGAGCAAGGAGCUUCUCAUCUGGAUCACCCUCUGCGACAUGUACAUCGACAAGGACGACCCCUCCAAGAUCACCUUCAAGACGCCCACCGGACUCGGGAGGACCUUCCCCGUCUCCGCCUUCGGGAAAGAGGACUGCAAGGAGGCCGCGGUGGCCAAAUAAGUGUGGACAGACGCGAUACUCUACAAAGUUGGAUGAAGAUUGAAGAGGGCUCAAGUUCAAGUUCAAUUGUUAACUACCUUUGCCUGGGUUUAUUAGCCCUAUUGUAUUUUUGGUCAACCUUUGACCCUUGAUUUAAUUACCAAAAAAUAAAUUAUAUAUCAAAAUAAUAAUAUAAUUGGAAAUCUCUUUUGAAUAUGAAUCCUACAAUAUAAUUUUGUGACUCGAAUUUUUUAUUUUUAUUAGUCAAAUCUACAGUCGAAAUUUAACACAAAGUAUGAAAGAGACAUGUAAACCCAGACGAAGGUGGUACACCUACUUUUUGCUUUGAAAAUUACGAAGUAAUUCAUGGGUGUAACUCACUAUAUGAUGUGUAUAUAAAAAAUCCAUAACAAAAUAUAUGAUCAUGUGAUAUGUACAAAAAGACAAAUAUAUCUGUGCAUUUUAUUUAAGUGAACACCACGUUAAUUUUUACAAAGUGCACAUCACAUAUCAUUGCUAACAUACAUGAAUUUAGAAAAAAAAAAUCCUUAAUGAACCUUCUAUAGAUACUAGCAUGACCCAUGAAAGUUUGCAUACCUUUUGCGUCUUGAGGGUAAGGUACAUUUUCUAUGGACGUGGCUAGUCAGUGCCCGUUGGUGCGAUGGGGCGCCUAUACCAUAAACGGAAGGACGUCCUAAAAAGUGCAGUUAGUCCCUCGUGUGCCUUUCAAAAAAAAAGAGAAGACCCUGCCCCCCCCCUCCCCAGAGUCCACGUGAUUCUAGGACGUUACCAAAUAAACCAGCUAAUACCUUGUCACAUGUGCAUUAAUUUGGGGUUUCAAAUUUUUUAAAAAGCCUUAAAUUUCGAUUCGAACGUCAAAAUUCAAAACUGUUUCACCGCUGGGUUUCUCACGACGGGUUCUUCAAAUCUAGAUCCCAUAUGAAUAGGUUUCGUCAAUCUUUUUUGGGUGGGCAACUUUGGGUGUAAGGGAGGCAACUUUAGUGGUAUAGGGAAGCAACUUCUUUUUUUCGCUUAGUAUGACUUCUAUGAUGUUGGUUUGUGUAAAGAUGAGAAAAAAAACAAAAAAAACAUGGGGCACCUUUAGUACUACAUACAAGCAACUUCACUGCAUUAUGCGUACCUAUGAAUUUUGCUAACAUUAUCCCAACUUGCCUAUUCAGGGUUGCUUAGUUUCCUAUCGUUGAAUGUCAGUUUCCUAUGGUUGAUGCUCAGUUGCCUACAAGUACUGAAAUUGUCCACCAUUGAUGCCCAUUUGCUUGUUAUUGGUAAAUAGUUGCCUACCAUUGCUACUCAGUUGCCUAACUUUUCAAAUUAGUUGCCUAUUCCAACAAAAGCCUAACAGAACCAAGCAACUAUCCAUACAAAACCAAGCAACUGUCCUAGCAAAUCCAAGCAACUACAUUACCCAAAACACCGUGCAAUACUUUCCAAGAAAAAACCAAGCAACUGUCCUAACCAAACCAAGCAACUGCAUUAUGACACGAUGCAACUCUUCUAGCAAAUCCAAGCGACAACUUUGUCCCCAUACCAAACCAAGCAACUGCAUUACAACUCGAGAAACUCUUCUACCAAAUCCAAGCGAUUGCUUUGUCCCCCAUAAUUCACAUAAUUGCCAAUCUAUUGACUCCAAAAAUUAUCGCACUGAUUCAAGCAAUAAUGCCAUGCAUCUGGACAAGACCCCCAGGAUUUUGGUAAUAGGCAACUUCAUAAGAAUGGUAGACAACUGGGAGAAAUGUUUUAUCUCCUUCUACAGAAUAUGGUUAGGUGAUAAUAGGACAAUGUAUGCAUAAUAUAUGUUGAAUGCACCUUCAUAACACAAGUUGCCUCCAUGUGAUACCAAAGUUGCUUACGGAUGAUGUUCAGUUGCCUACAUACGAUGAAAAUUUGUCCGACAUGGUUUCUAUGUUUUCUACGAUAUACUUGCUAGGUAAAUUCACUAGUACACAUGAUGAAAGAAAGUUGCUUCUGUUUAGCAAUAAAGUUGCCUCAACUAGAACCAAGCUUGUCUUUUUUUUUAAACAUCGAAACCUAUUCAUACGGGAUCUAGUUUUGAAGAUCUCGUCAUGAGAAACCUAAUGGUGAAAAUGAAUCUUCACUCUGAUGCUCGGUUCAAAAGUUAUAGCUUUUUGAAAAAAUGAGACGGAAUAAAGUGGGAUGACAUUAGCAUAUGCAUGCAGUUAAUCUUUAGGGACCACCCAGUACCUGACGAUGCCAGGUACAUCAUGAGGGGGAAGGAUGCCAUUUUUCUAACAAUUUGUCGUGUAGCGCAAUUGAGUCAGCAUCGGUCGGCUCGCAUGCGUGCGCUUGACUCCACCGAAUAGCGCAGCUACAUUAUCUAGCAUUUAGGAUUUUCUAUUAUCUCUAUUAUUUGUUGAUCUAUUUCGAUACUCCUUCCUGAAACUCUAUGUCCCAGCACUACUCCCUCGGUGACAAUGAAGUGGCUCUUUUUCCAAUUCAGCACGAAACAUGUUUCUUCGCAUCUCUGCAAAUCUUUCGUGAGAUUAUAGAGGCAUUUGUCAAAGAAGUGUCUGACAGGAAAAUUAUCCGUAAACACUUUGACAAUUUUCUCCACAAAGUCGAGGAAAAUCCUAGAAAUGCACUUCUGAAAAGAUUUUUCUUCGCAAAGUCAUGGAAAAUUCUAGAAAUGCACUUCUGAAAAAGCGGGUGGCCCAUUACACAGGCCAAAUGGCAUUCUAUGAUAUGCAUAUGUAUCCUAGAGACAAGUGAAGGUGGUCUUAUCUUGGUCUUUAGGUCAGAUUGGCGUCUGCCAAAAUCUGGAAUAUCCAUCGAGAUAACAAAAGUAGGAGUUAUUAGUCGACAUUUUGAAUAUCUCAUUUAUGAAGGGUAAUUGGUAGUGAUCCUUCUGAGUCCAUUUAUUUAAUUUCCUAAAAUCUACACAAAUUCCAUAUCCAAAUAGCCCUAGUAGGGACUAUGUUAUUAUUUUCAUUAGUUACUAAAGAAACCCAUCCUUUCUUAGUGAUGCAAUGAACUGGACUCACCUACUUACUAUCAGACAUAGGGUAAAUUACCCUAGCAUCAAGAUGCAUUACUUCUUUUCUUACCACAUUAUUGGAGGCAUGAUGUAGUCUUUGUUGGCUUUCAAUUACCGGUUUAGCUCCUUCUUUAAUGGGAACAGUGUGAGAAUAAAUAGAUGGAUCUAUCCCUUUUACGUCUUUCAUUGAGUAGCCCAAAGCCUUACGGUGUUUAGUUAACACCGUUUAAAGCUUCUCUUUUUCUUCUCCUAGAAGGCCAGCAUUAACAAUAAUAGAAAAUCUUUCGGUGUCAUCCAUAAACUCAUACCAUAGUCCUUUAGGUAAUGGUUUCAGAAUAGGUGGAGGUAGUUCUUCAUCUCCUUUCCUUUCAAGUACCUCAUACACUUUAUUUAAACACAGGCAAACUAUGGGAGUAGCAUCCAUUAUCAAUCUCAAUUUCCUCUUUCUUCUUCUUCUUCAAAUAAGGACUUGGGCCUUACCAGGACCCUUUCAACUUCAUCUUCUGGAGUUUGGAGAUGAAUCUCAGUUAGUUGAUUUAAUUUUUGCACUUCCUCAUCUUGAGCCUCUUCUUGAUAUGGUUUACUUAAGACCGAAGAAAAUGUAAAAUUUGAUCAUCUCAUCUCCCCAUUUCAUAGAGAUAGUCUUCUUUUUUAUAUAAGCUCCUGCAACAUUCAAAAAAGAAUUUCCAAAAAUAAUAGGACAAUCCUUAUGCUCUAAAAUCAUCAGUACAUAGAUAUCAAUGGGAUAAAUGAGUGAGCCUAUUAUAAUUUUGAUAUCUUUAAGGAUGCCACAGGGUUUUCUACCAGUCUUAUCUGCAAGCUUAAUAACAACUCAGUUGGCUCAAGAGUACGGGGAGAAAUCGCAUAAUAAUUUUUUGCUUAAAGAGUAUAGGGAUUAAUAUUGACUGGGGAUCCUGGGUCACACAAUCCAGGAUGAGGUUUGCUUCCGAAGGAACAUGAUAAAUUUGUUUACUUGUAUCCUUACCUCCCGUACACCCUUUACGGUAAGAGGUGGCAUCUUGGUCUAAAAAGACUUCUUUAUUAACCACUGCUAUAGGUGUAGUAAGUUCUUUCACGAUAUGCACAUGUGGUGGAGUUCCAUAUUGUUCUACCUUAAUACUCUUCUUAUGCUUAGCAGAAAGUGAUUCUCCCUUUCUUUUUGCCCUUCCAUUCCAAAUAAGCCUCUCUUCGGUCUUGGGGUGGAGUACUUUUCUUCAUGAUUGCUUCUACCAUUCGGAUCGCUUUCGCUUCCCUAGUGUGUUUCAAAAACUUUUUAUCUGGUAGCGGCAAAAACUCAGAAAAAUCUUUUAAUAUAUGUAAAACAGGGUCAGUCCCAAUAUUAAGCUCAUGAUGAAGAUUUUUCAUCUCCUUUUUUCUAAAAAAAGACUUAAUACUAUCAUAAACAUGUGAAGGAAAUAUGCCCUAGAGGCAAUAAUAAAUUUGUUAUUUUAUAUUUCCUUAUAUCAUGAUAAAUGUUUAUUAUUCAUGCUAGAAUUGUAUUAACCGGAAACUUGAUACAUGUGUGGAUACAUAGACAAAACACCGUGUCCCUAGUAAGCCUCUACUAGACUAGCUGGUUAAUCAAAGAUGGUUAAGUUUCCUAACCAUAGACAUGUGUUGUCAUUUGAUGAACGGGAUCACAUCAUUAGAGAAUGAAGUGAUGGACAUGACCCAUCUGUUAGCUUAGCAUAUUGAUCGUUCAGUAUUAUUGCUAUAAAUUUCUUCAUGUCAUAUACAUAUUCCUUGGACUAUGACAUUAUGCAACUCCCAGAUACCGGAGGAAUGCCUUGUGUGCUAUCAAACAUCACGACGUAACUCGGUGAUUAUAAAGAUGCUCUACAGGUAUCUCCGAAGGUGUUUGUUGGGUUGGCAUAGAUCGAGAUUAGGAUUUGUCACUUCGAGUAUCGGAGAGGUAUCUCUAGGCCCUCUCGGUAAUGCACAUCAUAAUAAGCCUUGCAAGCAAAGUGACUAAUGAUUUAGUUGCAGGAUGAUGUAUUACAGAACGAGUAAAGAAACUUGCCGGUAACGAGAUUGAACUAGGUAUGUGGAUACCGACGAUCGAAUCUCGGGCAAGUAACAUACCGAUGACAAAGGGAAUAACGUAUGUUGUCAUUACGGUGCGACCGAUAAUGAUCUUGAUAGAAUAUGUAGGAACCAAUAUGAGCAUCCAGGUUCUGCUAUUGGUUAUUUACCACAGAGGUGUCUCGGUCAUGUCUACAUAGUUCUCGAACCCGUAGGGUCCGCACUCUUAACGUACGAUGACGAUUUUGUAUUAUAUGAGUUAUGAGAUUUGGUGACCUAAUGUUGUUCGGAGUCCCAGAUGAGAUCAUGGACAUGACGAGGAGUCUUGAAAUGGUCGAGAGGUAAAGAUUUAUAUAUAGUACAAUAGUAUUCGGACACCAGAAGUUUUCCGGGUACCGGGUACAUAUCGGGUCACCGGAAGGGGUUCCGGGAACCCCCCGGCAACUAUAUGGGCCUAAUGGGCCAAGAGGGGAAACGCAGCAGCCAGCAGGGGCUGCUGCGCGGCCGCAUCAGAGGAGAAGGAAAGGAGGGAAAGAGAGAUGGAAGGGGAGGGAUUCGGCCUCCCCCUUCCUUCCCUCCUCCCUCCUCCUUCCUUUCCCCUCCGGAAAACAUGGUAGGGGGGGGGGCGAAUUGGACAAGGCUCCCAAGUAAGAUUCCUCCUACUUGGGGUGCCCCAUGGCUGUCCCCCUCCCCCUCCCACCUAUAUAUACGUGGGGAGGGGGCGCCUAGAACACACACCAACAAUUGUUAGCUGUGUGCGGCGCCCCCCUCCACAGUUUGGUCAUAUCUUCGUAGUGCUUAGGCGAAGCCCUGCGCGGAUCACUUCACCAUCACCGUCACCACGCCGUUGUGCUGACGGAACUCUCCCUCGACACUUUCCUGGAUCAAGAGUUCGAGGGACGUCAUCGAGCUAAACGUGUGCAGAACUCGGAGGUGCCGUACGUUCGGUGUUUGAUCGGUCGGAACGAGAAGAAAGUUCGACUACAUCAACUGCGUUGUCAAACGCUUCCACUUUCGGUCUACGAGGGUACAUGGACACACUCUCCCCUCUCGUUGCUAUGCAUCUCCUAGAUAGAUCUUGCGUGAGCAUAUGAAUUUUUUUGAAAUUGCAUGCUACGUUUCCCAACAGUGGCAUCCGAGCCAGGUCUAUGCGUAGAUGAUAUGCAUGAGUAGAACACAAAGAGUUGUGGGCGGUGAUUAUCAUACUGCUUACCACCAAUGUCUUAUUUUGAUUCGACGGUAUUGUUGGAUGAAGCGGCCCGGACCAACCUUACAUGACCACGUUCAUGAGACCGGUUCCACCGACCGACAUGCAACUAGUUUUGCAUAAAGGUGGCUGGCGGGUGUCUGUUUCUCCAAAUUUAGUUGAAUCAAAUUUGACUGUGGCCGGUCCUUGUUGAAGGUUAAAACAAAAAACUUGAUAAAUCACCGUUGCGGUUUUUGAUGCGUAGGUACGAACGGUGUCGGUGGAAACGACACCUAUGGGAUCAUAGGGAAUCCCUACUACGGUCGACGGGCGCGGGGCUGUGGAAAGAGUAGGUUUAGAAGAUCAACGCGGGAAAUUUAUCCAGGUUCGGGCCGCAAGUGAUGCGUAAUACCAUACUCCUACUGGUUUGUGUUUAUCUGGUGUUCUUGGACUAGCUACAAAGCUUGCAGAGUCCAAAAAGUCCGAAUCCUCUCUCAGUACGCCGCGGGCCUCCUUUUAUAGUCAAAGGGGCUGCCACAGUGGCACACAGGAGGUGGAAAGUUGUACAGUAGUCGAGUUUAUCUCUGACAUCACAGGACAAAACGCAUUAAAUGCGCUACUUAGGUGUCCUCUCGCUUUAUCGGGGAUGGCAACGAAGCCCGUCCCAUCCGUCGCCGCUUCGCCUUACUCCGACACACGUCCAGGCCAACGAGGCAUGCAGUGCCAUGUAGGCAGGCAGGCUGCUGAGCUGGUGCGGUGGGAGGGUCUUCAUGAAGAUCUGCAUGCCACCACGCAUGUGCUUGACUAGUUGGCUUAGGAGCCACGUACUGCCACGUGGGUGCUUUCUUAGUUGGUGGGUCGACCGCUGAGUUGGGGCGGCGACGGGGCGGCAAGGCCUUGCCACGGUUUCGCUGAUAUUCCAGGCAAGGGUCUUGCCGGGGCCUUGCGGGCGCCCUCGGCUAGAGUCCUGCCGGGGCCUCGUGGGUAUCUUCGGCAGGAGCCUUGCCGGGGCCUCGUGGGCAUCCUCGGCAAGGAGCCUCACUGUUGUCUUGUUUUCUGGUUCCUAUGUAGGCCUCGCAGGCCCUUUGUCUUCACAAAGAUCUGCAUGCCACCAUGGAGGUGCCUCCCGAGCCUUGGUUCCAGUGUGGUUGAUGGCGCGGGAACUUUUAAACUCAAGGGUGGCGGCCCGGUUGGUGUUGGGCAAGUUGCCCCGGCAAGGCUCUUGCCGGGGCCGUGAAGGCCGCCCCGGCAAGGGCCUUGCCGGGGGAGUUUCACCUCGCCCCUCUGCUCUUCAUGCUUUUGGUCUUGAGCACGGCUCUGGUAGUCUUGUGACCUUGCUUCCUCUUCUGCCCCGCUAAGUGUGGCCGUGGGUGCGGCUCUAACUUCCCGUGCACAAGUACAGGGGUACAAAGAAGGGCCCCUACUUUUGUACACCGAUAGGAGCCCUCGGGCCUGGGCCACACAUAAGCGCGACGCAUUGUUGGGCUAGGCCCAAAACGGUGCGCGGGCACGCGGGGCUGAGUUUUUUCGCAGUAACUUCCCACACCAGUUGCGCUUCCCCACAACCCGUGUUGAAUGCGUGACGUGGGGGUCGUGCGUGGGGUGACCGCAGCAUGCUUGCGUCACCCCGCGGUUUUAAUAGUAGAGAGGUGGCCCACGUCCCCCCACCCAUAAAAAUAGGGGAAGCCGCAGGGGCGCGGCUCAUUUACUAGGUGGAUUCGGGUCGUGGCCAUCAUGGCAUCCGUGCCCCACGAUCGCGGGGCGUGAAACGGCCGUUCCACUUGCCACCUGAAUCCUGGCUCGCCCGCCACAUGUCCCCCAUGCCUCGGGGAGGGCAGGCGGUGGAAACAAAGGGCACGGGCUUUAAUGCCGGGGCGGGGGCCGGGCGCCGCUGAUUGGUUGAUUGGUUGAUUGGGGCGACCGCCCUUAGGCUUGCUUGGCCCCGUCCCCCUAUAAAAAGGGGAGAGGGACAUCACCUCCCCGCAUCCAUCCUCUUCCAGUUUGAUCCCUUUCCUUCCCUUGUCAUGGCGACAGAGCGCGGUCGUGGCCGUCCUUCCGUGGAGGCGACCAGGUCUUCCUCCCGCCAGAGAGCUGCGGCGGUAAAGGAAGAGCCGAACGCCCAAGGUGAAGGCCAUGCUCGAGGCAGAGGCGCCGGACGGGGCCGCGGUCGGUGAGGCGGUCGAGGCAGAGGUGGGCGCGGAAGGGGGAAACCCGUGUCAUCAUCGUCUCCGUCACCAUCUCCUCCUGCUCCGUCAAGCGGUCAUGUCGGGGACACGGCGCUGGAGUUCAUCCCGCAGUUGCGUGAGCCGCCGCGCAGCCGCCUCCGUCUUCCCGAGGCGUUUGCGAGGGUGCUGGAGAUUGACCAGCCACCGAGGUUGAGACUCCACAUGAAGGGGUGUUGCACCGGCAACAUGUGGGUGAACACAAGGUUCCCCGCCCCUCAUGUGAUGCUCCUUUGUCGGGGCUGGAAAACCUUCGCACGUGCCCACUGCUUGAUGAAGGGGCACGUCCUCUGCUUCAAGUUAGCGGAGAGCGACCUGCUCUCCGUCAAGGUCUUCCGGCGCUCGGGGCACAGGCUAGGGUGCUAUGUGGAGAACUCGACCGAUGACGAAAGCUCCUCCUCGGGCGACAGUGACGAGGAGGACAGCAAUAGCGGCGACGAGGGUAGCGGGUAGGAGGAUGACGGGUCCGACUAGGCGUCGGACACACCGUCCCUGGGCGAUGCCGGCAGCACCACCAUCUGCAUCGCCAGCCCUUGAACUUCUCGGGGUCACCUCCUUGGGCGGCUGGCGUGGGGAGGCUGGAGAAGACGAAUAAGGCGGGUGGUGGGCCGUCAAGUCGGAAUAUGAUGGCGCCGACGCCUUCGUCUCGUAUUGGCGGUCCGCUGCCUCAUCUUUUGGCUCUUCUCCCGGCACCAUCAUCACCAGCCCUCUUCCGGACGGCUGCCGGGAUGUUCUCUUGGUGUCUUUUGUUGUUCGUACCUUGCCUAGGCACUCCUUUUGCCCUUCUUCCAUCUUGUUCCGUUUCCUGAGGAGAGGGACAAGAAAGGGAUUAUGGGCGCCUUAUCUUUUUUAGUUUUUAAGCCUGCGGGCAUUUGUCAGAUUUAAACCUUGUAAUCCCCUUGCUCAAGCUCUCAUUCCGUAUGAAUUUUACUUGUUAACAAUGUAUUAAUGAAGAAAAGGGGUGUUUGCCUGGUUCUUUUGUGCGUGAGCGAGGCCCACACCAAGGAUCGAAUCCUUGUUAUCUUAAAAUAAACAUCGUUACCCGGCAACAUACCUUGCCGUCCUCCUACACUCAUGCCCUUGGCGGAGGUAGGGGCAAAGUAGGAUCAGGCCCUUCGUUUGUUCCCUUUCCAUCGCACUACAACCAAGUUCCGGCCCAAAGAAAGGUUCUUUGACACGGGAAAGAGGGAGUACGACGGUAUAAGAGUGAGCGAAGCUUCGUACGUUCAAGUUCCAUAUGGAAGUGUAGAGUGGGGGAUGAAAGACUUAUCUGAUUCUGCAGCCCCCGGCAACCUUGGCUUGCCGUGGUCGGAUCUCUGGAUCUGUAGCCCCCGGCAACCUUGGCUUGCCGGGGUUUGGGCGUCCGCCUAUUUCCUUUCCCCCAAACAGCUCAACAGAAAAGCCCGUGCAUCCUGCGAACCAAAAGAAAGGAUGGGAAGGAACAGAGAGACGCACACUCAACCUCUAUGCUAGGGGUUAGUCGCCGCUAAGCACUAUCAACCCUAACAAAGAGAGAGACUCAACCUAGCAUGCAUGCUAAAACUUAGGGCGCCAGCGCUUCAUUUAUUUAUGCUCAGGGUCUGCGCCUGACUUUGUACAUAGGGUUACAUGCCUUGCCGGCAAGGCUAGUACAAAAUGGGGGUUGCCGGGGCUCCUGGCAACCGCGCCUUAGGUGUAAAACUUAGGAAGAUGUUCGAUAUUCCAGGAAUUCUUAGGAAGAUGUUCGAUAUUCCAGGAAUUGCUCACUGGAAUGCCAUCUUCGGUCUGUAGGCGGACUGCGCCGGGCCUGGUGACUCGCAUUACUCGAUAAGGGCCCUCCCACUUUGGCGUCAACUUGUUUGAAUUCUUGGCGGAUUGAAUCCGUCGAAUAACAAGGUCGCCUUCCUCAAGGCUUUGAGCGUGAACCUUGCGGCUAUGAUAGUGACGCAAGGCCUACUGGUAGCGAGCGGCUCGCACAGCAGCCCGAAGACGAUCUUCCUCAAGGAGCGUCGCAUCCUCUUGGCGCAACUGCUCUUGAUCAAGCUCAUCAUAAGCGAGCACUCGAGGUGACCUGUAUAUGAGUUCAGUGGGGAGAACUGCCUCUGCCCGUAAACCAGGGCAAAUGGUGUCUGGCCAGUAGCUUGAUUUGGCGUCGUUCUGAUCGACCAAAGAACUGUUGGCAACUCAUCAACCCAGCGCCUUCCACACUUGUGCAGCUUGUCAAAAGUCCUACUCUUGAGGCCUCGCAGCACUUCUGCAUUCGCCCUUUCGGCCUGGCCGUUACUUCUGGGAUGGGCAACAGAAGCAAAAUAGACCUUGCUGCCAAGGUCUUGAAUGUACUGCAUGAAGGUGCGGCUCGUGAACUGCGUGCCAUUGUCGGUGAUGACUCUGUUGGGCAAACCAAAACCACAGACUAGCCCCUUGAAGAACUUGACGGCUGACUGUGUUGUCACCUUCCUCACUGGUUCCACUUCUGGCCACUUUGUGAACUUGUCGAUCGCGACGUACAAGUACUCAAAGCCGCCGACAGCACGGGGAAAGGGGCCCAGUAUGUCGAGCCCCCAGACAAAAAAUGGCCAGGAAAGAGGGAUUGUCUGAAGGGCUUGGGCUGGUUGAUGAAGCUUCUUUGAAUGGAACUGGCACGCUUCACACUUGGUUACUAGGGCAGUUGCAUCCUGGAGGGUGGUGGGCCAAAAGAAGCCUUGCCGGAACGCUUUGCCGGCAAGGGCUCUCGACCCUAUGUGGGAGCCACACAUGCCUCUGUAUAAUUCUGCCAACAGCCUUAGUCCGUCUUCCUGAGGAAUGCACUUCAACUUCACACCGUUCGGUCUCCUUCUAUACAGGGCAUCAUCCACAAACUGGUACAUGCUGGACCGACGGGCUACUCUCUGCUCCUUCUUGUUCCCCAGGAAGCUCUCCUGUUUGGAGGAAACGGACGGUGGACUGCGCCCAUGCCAGAGCCUGGGGCUCGACGGCAAGGACUAAAGGCACAUCUUCGGCCAUAGGGGCAACUGCCUCUACGGCCAGGGCCUGAGGCCCUGCCGGGGGUUGUUGCUCUCCGUCAGGCUUGGGACACCUGGCAACAUCCUUGCCGGCGGCUCCUGGGAGCCCGGCGGGAAAGUACUUGCCAGGGCCCUCCUUCCUUUGCUUGUUCUGUCCUGCUGAUGGCUCGAGGGAUGGUUGAGUUAAUUGAAGCACAAAGGUACCUGGUUCCAUAGGCAACUUCAGGGCAGCGCGCUUCGACAUGUCAUCAGCAAUGUUGUUCUCCGCCGGGGGACAUGCUCUGCUUGCAAUCCGUCAAAAUGCUCUUCCAACUUCCUCACUUCAUCCACGUAGGCUUCCAUCAACGGGCUCUGGUAAUCCUUGUUGACUUUCUUGACGACGAGCUGUGAAUCACCCCUAACGAUGAGCUUCCUAAUCCCAAGGUCUGCCGCGAUCCUGAGACCGGCAAGCAGCCCCUCGUACUCCGCCGUGUGUCGAUGUUCUAGGAACGGGGGUCCCCAGACUUGCCUGCCUGCGGCCCACAACGUGGCUAAGCAGCAGGCCGUAUGGCCCAUCUUCAUCAACAAGACACCCAAGACCCUCGCGAGGGUCCAAGCCUCGCGAGGCGGGCGGCGCAAGACCUCCUCUGGAGUGGUCUAGCCAAGCAGGCUCGCGAGGAGCGGAGAUAUCAAGGCGAGGUAAACCUCACGAGGCUCUCGUGACAUGAGCCAUGACGAACGGUGCCAGGCGGGUGCCAGGUGGGCGCUGGUGUGCGCAACGUCCCUAUUUCCUCUUUGGUGCUAAGGAGGCCAGUGCAGGCGAAGAGUACCGAGGCAUCAGGCAAACGUUGCCAUAUUGGUGCAACGAGACCAAGACCAGGAGGACGACAAGGCGGAGGUCAUCGUGGAGCCCAAGACGGCGUCACCCCAGAGCUUUUCGCAGGCGAAGACCGCUUUUGUCAGGAUAGCUUGUACUAGCUGCCCCCUUCAAAUUUGCCCGCCGUUGUUGGCUCCCUUCCCGCUCGAUAUUUAGGAAGAGGACCAGGGCCUAUAUAAGUAGAACUAGCCACCACAGUAGAGGGCACCGGAUAGAUCAUCGGAUCCUCACGCCACAAGUUCACAAGCACAAGAACACCUCAACCUCAGGAGGCAGUUCUUCCCUUGUACUGUUCAUCAUCAGCCCAAGAGGCAAUCCACCACCACCACACUGGAGUAGGGUAUUACACCACAACGGUGGCCCGAACCAGUAUAAACCCCGUGUCUUUCUGUGUUGCGAGUUCGUCGAGUUCGUCCGCGAGAUCUUAGCGAGCUAGAGCGUAGAUCGGUAGUGAAAGAACAUGCGGUGCCCCCAUGUUUGGUUUUGGUAAUUGAUGACAAUCUCUAUGGACUAAUGGUUGCCUUGAGUUAUAUUUGAAGGAUUUGUCCAUAGGCAUUUCUUGAAGUCCAUGUGUUGGUUUCAAGGAGUUUAUGUGGUGACCAAGGUGUUAUUAAGGAAUUAUCCAAAGAUUGGUCAUGUGAGAGUAGAGCUUAUUGCAAGCAUGUCUUGAAGAAGAAGAUUGUGUGAUCAUUCAUGUUUACCUUCAAGACAUCAUCCAAAUGAAGAGAGUUGGAAAGAGUCAAGGUUGAUCAAGACUAUCAAGUUGAUCAACACACAAAGCGCACAAGAUGUACCAAGAGGGAUCAAGCGAUCCCAUGGUGUGGUAAGCAUUAUCGAUUACGCUUUGUGUACUAACCCAUGAUCUUCGUGAGAGUUCUUUGUGGGGUUAGGUUGCGGUGUGCAAGUUCAAGUGAAGCAUCAUGAAGAGAUCAAAUGCUUGAAGCUUGCCGUCCAUUGUGGUGACAAUGGACUUGUGAAGAUGUGCGGAAGAGUGGCUCACCCAUAGUGGAGUAUGGGGGAGCAAUCAACUAGUCUUCAUCGAGCCAACACAACCAAGAAAGGUGGUCCAUCUUGAGGGAGUCAAGAUCGUCAUCUUCUGGCUCAAGUGGACCAUGUGCAAGGCAAAGGUUUGCUCUUGAUAGGUUUUCUAUUUUACCGGUCUCAUGAUGGUAGUUGGGAGACCGAGUUAUAGGAUCGAUUGCCGUACUAUCAAGGGGGGCUCUCGAUGAGUAGCUUGAUCGUAUCGUUCAUAGAGAGCUCAAACCAUUGCAUCCUUGCAUCAUCUUUGUUGGUUCUUGUUUGGUUCUUCUCUUUGUGAGUUUUGGAGCUUAUGGUCAUCUUGAUGACAAGCUCGAGUUCAUCGAAAACGGAGUUCACUCGCAUCUUCUAUGAUGUUUUCGAUGUUGGAGGUUAUGCCGGUUCUUCUCGGUUGGAGGUUUCACUCCUCUAUUUGUUGGCAUACCUCCCCUGCCUCUUCUUACUAUAACCAACAAGCUUGAUCCAACAAGCUUGAGUUUGCUCAAUCCUUGCAUCAUCUUUGUCGCUGUUUUGAUGCUACUCGUCUUUCUCAAUCCAACAAGCUUGAGUUUGCUCAAUUCGGAGCUCAUAUGCAGAAGUUAUGGUAGUUUUGGUUUCCUAGCGGUAGUACCGCGGCCAGAGCGGCAAUACCGCUUAUCGCCCCAAGCGGUAGUACCGCUGUCCAAAGCGGUAGUACCGCCUAUGGCCAUAAGCGGUAAUACGGCUACGGUUCCGCGCUGGUACCGCCUCGAUUUUGGUUCUUGCAUUUUUCGUGUCGAGUUUUGCAGUAGUUGCACGGCAGUAAGGCACGGCAGUUCCGCCUAUAAGCGGUAGUACCGCCCCGAUUGGGCGGUAGUACCGCCUAUAAGCGGUAGUACCGCUCCGGUCGGGCGGUAGUACCGCUACUGCAUUUUUGGUCCCGUGUUCUGCUCCUCCAGCGGUAGUACCGCUGAGGUGCGCGGUAGUACCGCUUAUAAGCGGUACUACCGCCCCAAGGUUCAUGUUUGGUUGCUCCUUUUCCCUGCUUCUUCCGCCAGAGCGGUAGUACCGCUCGUGGAGCGGUAGUACCGCUCGUGUGCGGGCUGAGCACAUAACGGUUGGAUUUUUCCCCUUCUAUAAAAGGGGGUCUUCUUCCCCAAUGAACCUUAUCCUUUGAGCUCGUGUUCUUCCCCCAUUGUUGACCUUCUUCGAGCUUGCUAACUCUCAAUCCCUCCAUGGAUCCUUGCUAGUUUUUGAGGGAAAAGAGAGAGGAGAUCUAGAUCCACAUUUCCACCAAUCACUUUCUCCUCUAUGUGAGGGGAACCCCUUGGAUCUAGAUCUUGGAGUUCUUGGUGUUCUCCUUCUUGUUCUUCCUCUCAUUUUCUUCCCUAGCAUUAGUUGCUUCGGUGGGAUUUGAGAGAGAAGGACUUGGGCACUCCGUGUGCCCUUGCCAUUGCAUUUGGUGCAUCGGUUUGAGUUCUCCACGGUGAUACGUGGAAGUUACAAGUUGAGAAGCUUAUUACUCUUGGGUGCUUGGUGCCCUUGAGCUUGUUCCUCUUGGGUGCUUGGGCACCCUAGACGGUUGGUGGUGUUCGGAGCUCAAUCAUUGUGGUGUAAAGCUCCGGGCAAGCGUCGGGGUCUCCAAUUAGGUUGUGGAGAUCGCCCCGAGCAAUUUGACGGGUACCGGUGACCGCCCCCAAGGGUUGCCAUUUGUACGGGUUCGGUGACCGCCCCCAAGGGUUGCCAUUUGUACGGGUUCGGUGACCGCCCUCAAGGGUCCCUUAGUGGAAUCACGGCAUCUUGCAUUGUGCGAGGGCGUGAGGAGAUUACGGUGGCCCUAGUGGCUUCUUGGGGAGCAUUGUGCCUCCACACCGCUCCAAACGGAGAUUAGCAUCCGCAAGGGUGUGAACUUCGGGAUACAUCGUCGUCUCCACGUGCCUCGGUUAUCUCUUAACCGAACCCUUUACUUACGCACUUUACUUUGUGAUAGCCAUAUUGUUUCUUGUCAUAUAUCUUGCUAUCACUUAGUUGUUUAUCUUGCUUAGCAUAAGUUGUUGGUGCACAUAGGCGAGCCUAGUUGUUGUAGGUUUUGUGCUUGUCAAAUUAACCGCUAGGUUUAUUCCGCAUUUGUUCAAGCCUAAACCGUAAUUAUUUUAAAGCGCCUAUUCACCCCCCCUCUAGGCGACAUCCACGAUCUUUCAGGUAGGAGGGAGAGACUUCGCGCGCACCCUAGUGUUCGAACCUUAAUGGUUUGCCGGAACCCCACAUCCGACAUUUGGCGUGCUAGGUAGGGGUGCGCCGUAGUUUCCCUUCCAUCAGUUCGUUGCUCCAUCGCUCCGUCAUUUCCAUGGCGGACGCUCGCCGUGCUCGAGCUGAGCGUCGGGCUGCCCUCUCCGCCCGCGUUGCUGAGACGGCUCCCUUAGGCGGGCCACCUCGUCGUUCUCCGUCUCCCGUCGCCAACGCUGCCACUGGCCCAGCGGGGAACGAGCAGCAGGCGUCCUCUCUCCAUCCUCCGGUGCGGCAGGACGGCCGCACCGCUACUCCGUCGCUGACCCCUGCUGGUUCAUCGUCUCAUGCACACCGCGCUCCCAUGGAGGCACGGGCCGCGCUCAUCGCGGCAAACGAGCUCCUGCGCUACCGCCCCGUCGACGACCUCUACGAGGAGUGGCUCGACCGCGUCGCCGAGCUUGUCCGCGCCGCAGGGGGCUCUCCGGCGCCGUCCCACUCUCUGCCUCCCCCUCAACCAGCCGCGGGCGACGGGGCUCAUGGCAUGCCUCCACCACCUCAACCCCAAGACGGAGCCUUGGCACCAAGGCGCGCGCCUCCGUGGCGUGAUCCACCGAGCCCGGCGCCCGCGCGUGAAGAAAGAAGCUGCCAAGAAAUCCCGCGGCCGUGAGAAGCUGCACCUGCGCUCCCUGCGCCACCUCGUCAAGACCGCGCGCCGCCUGUAGUGGUGCAGCGCGGACCUCGCCAAGACCAAGCUCCACCACAGAAGCGGGCCCCGGCGACCACGGCCGGCUGCCGCGCCUUCACCCCCGAACUGCGUAGCGUCGCCUGGCCAGGCAAGUUCAAGCCAGAUCUGCCUCCUCGCUACGACGGCACCGCCGACCCCGCGGAGUUCCUGCAGCUCUAUGAGCUGAGCAUCGAAGCGGCCAACGGCGACGAAAAAGUCAUGGCGAACUGGUUUCCCAUGGCUCUCAAGGAUGGGGCCCGCUCCUGGCUCCUGAACCUGCAACACGGCUCGAUCUCCUCCUGGGACGAGAUGCGCGACCAGUUCGUCGCCAACUUCCAGGGCACUCGUGACCGCCCACCGGCCGCGGGUGACCUUCACCGCAUCAAGCAACAACCAGGAGAGACUCUCCAGAAGUACAUCCAGCGCUUCAACAACACCCGCCUCAAGAUCCCCAAGGUCACGGACGAAGCCAUCAUCUCCGCGUUCUCAGACGACGUCCGUGACGUCAAGAUGAAGGAAGAGCUCGCUAUCCACGAGGAGCUUUGCACAUCUUAGGAGCUGUUCAACUUGGCAACCAAGUGCGCAAGAGCUGAGGAGGGGUGCCUCUCUCUCCUUGAGCUGCCAGCUGCAAGAGCGGAGGAGAAGAAGGCCAAGGCCAAGGACGUGAAGCGCAAAGAGGCAGUAGUGCUCACAGCGGAGCCCGAUACCAAGCGAGGCAGAGAUCAGCCGAGUCGUCCAAGAACGGCCGACCAUUCUGCGCCUUCCACAACCUGAACACCCACAACACCAGCGACUGCCAAGAGCUCAGAGCCAUACGGGAAGGAUGCUACAGUCGACGCCCCGAGCACAACGACUGGGGCUACGGCCGCGGAGGAGGACGCGGAGGCGGACGCUGGGACGACCGUGGCCUCGUGAGGACCGCUGGCAGGACCAACCUCACGAGGGCGCCUGGAGGGACCCGCCUCAUGAGGAUCGCCCCCAGGGCAAUGCCGGUCUUCCCCCGCUGCCGCCACCAAGAAGGAACGACGACCACCACCAGGACGAGGGGGCUGGGGGCUUCCAGGAGCCGCGUGCGAUCGCCUGCAUCUUGGGCGGUGCCCAGGCCCCAGCCUCUCAGCGCAUCUUCAAACAGUUCGCUCGCGAGGUGAAUGCGAUGCUCCCCAAGCUCGAGGCCACGCGCCCGCUCCGGUGGUCCCAAUGUGCUAUCACCUUCAACUCGGCAGAUCAGCUCAAGUGCGCAGCCACCACUGGCGCCCUCCCUAUGCUGUGCUCCCCAGUCAUCAGCAAUGUGCAAGUCACCAAGACUCUCAUCGACGGCGAUGCAGGGCUCAACGUCCUAUCCAUCGACACGUUCGACAACCUCCAAGUGCCGUAUGAGCAGCUCCAACCAACCAAGCCUUUCUCAAGAGUGACCGACGGUUCCACCACACCGAUAGGGCAAGUCCGCCUGCCUGUCACCUUCGUGGAGCGCAAGAACUAUCGCACCGAGCUCAUCGACUUCGACGUCGCGCACAUCCGCCUGCCGUACAAUGCCAUCCUCGGGUAUCCAGCCCUGGCCAAGUUCAUGUCAGUCACUCAUCACGGCUACAACAUUCUCAAGAUGCCAGGAAGCGGAGGAAUCAUCACGGUCCCGCGUGAGGAUGCGGUGUGCUCCCUCGAGCGCGCCUUUCAAGCUGCAGCAGUCGACGACCCCGACAACAGAAGUGAAGGCCCUCCGGAGGCCAUCCCCAAGAAGAAGCUGUCGUGCUGCACAGGACCUUAGGAGGAUGGCGUCGCGGCAGGAGCCUCGUCCGGAUCAGCGCCUGCUCCAGGGGCGCCUCCCUCCAUCGCAUAGGAAGGCGUGCCCGGCGCCCUCCUCAGGCAGGGCUCGGGGGCUCUCUUCUGGAGAGCCUCAGACCUUGCCAACCUCACAAGGGAGGCGCUUGGGCACCACUUGGAAGCGUGCCUCAUGGCGCACCUUCCUCAGGAGAGCACGGGGCAAGGAGUGCCCACCACCCAGGAGUUCAUCACCAAGACCACCCAGGAACUGCAAGAAGCAAGAGACAUGUGCGGCCACAGCCGCUCACGAGGCGCAGCUCCUCAUCCAGGCGAGGAUGCCGGGCUGCGUGUCUGCGUCGACGCCCUAGGGCUCAACAGGGCCGCAUCUCAGGAGCAUUUCUGGCCAUCGCGUGUGGGCUGCUGCGAGGGCCCACCACACAGCUAUGUUCGCAUGCCCUUCGGCUUGCCGAGCGUGGCGUCGGCCUAUCAGCGCAACAUGCGGCAAGUCCUGGCGGCUCAGGAGGCCAGGUUCCACGCCGUCCAUAAGGAAAUGGAGGCGGUCUUCAGGGAACCUCCCGAGCCUCCAGAGCCUCCCGAGGCUCAGGGUCCCGGUGGCUCAUGAGGAGCCAUUCCUUCAGCGCGCGGCUUCAGCUGCACCAACUCUACUUCGUCUACAGAACCAGGUGACAUCUUGCAAGUUCGUUUAAGCUGGGAGCGCCCCUCGGGCUGCAUUAUUCCCAGGCCACAUGGGUCCGUCCCUGUGGCAUGUAUCCCUUUUGCUUAAGUCUUUAGCUUAUCUUGCUGGGGGCGCCCCUCGGGCUGCAUCAUCCCCAAGCCGCUCGGGCCAGACCUAGUGGCAUGUAUCUUCCUGCAUUUUUCCAAGUCGAUCUGCUCUUCAUGCUUAACCUGCCAACGGCUAUCGCCUGCUCGAUUGCUGCCCGCCGCGGGCCUGUUCACCCUAUGCAAUCCGCUUGCACGUUAAAAGGGGGGCUCUUGAGCAUCGCGACUCAGGAGCUCUUACUGGCUCUCCAGCCCUCACCCCUGGUCUUGACCACGGCAUCGCGACCUGGCAUACCAGCGGCGGCUGAGCUCGCUCGAGGGCUGGGACCUGAGGACAUAGAGUGCUUGCAUCUAACCGCCUUGCAGGAACAUACAGUCACCAAGACUCAAGACCAGGCGCAACCCGCCUUGAGGUAGAGCCUCGUGAGUCCCACGCUAGCUCACGAGUGCCCAGAUACACCUCGCAGCCCUGCCGUGCAAGCCACGUGUCAGGGCGGGGCUGUACACGCCCCGGGGGCUCCUCCCGGAGGGCCCCCCAUCCCACGCCCAAGUGGAAGCACCAUGCUCCGCGCUGGCUGACGACACUGCCGAGGAGCGGCUAUGCCCGUGCACAAGCGGAAGCACUAUGCUCCGCGCUGGUGAUAAACAACUGAGGGCGACCCCACGGUCGUGCCAACCUCAGGGAGCCCAGAGCUCAGCGCCCAACCUUACCGCAACGCCUCCCCUCGGGAAAGCCGCGCAUGGGGGCUGGGCACGGGGGCUGCGCUCGGGUCACGCCCAAGCGCAUGCCACCCAACCAGGUCCCCCGGACCUGGGCAUCGCGCGCCCCUCCCGAGGCCUCCGCGAGGGCAGGUAUGGGAUUGUUUGCACGUCAAGGGGGACUCCUGAGCAUCGCGACUCAGGAGCCUAACUGGUCACGUAGCCCCUCACUCCUUGGUCCGUCCUGGUCUCCGGUCGGCUCAAUGGCGGUUGAGGUAUGCGCGGGGCCGGGCUCUGCCGACGUAGAACAUUAAUCUAUCCCCAUGAACUCUCCCUAUAUGCUGUUUGCGCGUCAAGGGGGACUCCUGAGCAUCGCGACUCAGGAGCCUAACUGGUCACGUAGCCCCUCACUCCUUGGUCCGUCCUGGUCUCCGGUCGGCCCAAUGGCGGUUGAGGUAUGCGCGGGGCCGGGCUCUGCCGACGUAGAACGCAAAGCAAAUAGGAAGGAAAUCGCGAAAUCUCGAAGCAAAUAUUACAAGCAUAUUGUCCUCACAAUACCAAAUAAAUGUUUAAACGCCUCCACGAGGCCUGUUACAUGGCGCAGGAACAGAAUGGGAAGAAUGGCCGCGGGUCAUCUCUAGACGUCGCCGUCGCCUGCGGAAGGCGCUCCCUCGUGAUCGGUUUUGUCUUCACCACCAGCGGCAAGGUCGACGACGCCGGACAGAGGAGCAGAGACAAAGCCACGGAACCUCCUCAGCAAGGCCCCCACCUGAUCCUGCACGGCCGCGGCAGCCGCCUCGUACUGAUCUUCGGCUACAGGCUCUAGCAGCUCGUCAAGGCAAGCGUUGGGGUCGCGAAGGUGCAGGUGGCUAAAGACGUGAGUCAGCGCGGCUGAAGACAGGACGCGAGCUUCUGCCUCCGCCAUGGGACCGAGACCAUCAACGACCUCCUCAAGCGCCUUCACCACGAGAGGAAGCAGCUGGGCGGGGCCGUCCUCGUCAGUGUCCAGAGGCUUCUCCAGGCCGUGCUCGUAGAGCGUCUUCAGCGCCUUGCGAGACCUCUCCUCGAGAUCGGCAAAGGCCACGCGGUCUUCUGCCAGGACUCGCGCCUUGGCAUCAAGAUCGGCCUCUCUCGCCCUCAUCUUCCGCUCCAACUCUCCCAACCGGUUGCGCUCGGCGGCUUGCUUCUUCCCCAGCUCCGCCAACUCUGCAUCACGGUUCUUGACGGCUUCCUCCCGGGCCUUCAUCUCCUCCUCCUUCGCUUGGCGGCAGUGCACCUCUUCGGCGUGCUUGUCGCGCAGGCUCUGCAGCUCGCCCUCCAGCUCUUGGCAGCGGUCACGGACGGCCUUGGCGUCUUUCAGCGCCACCUCACGAUCGGCUGCAGCGCUGGCGGCUCCUUGCUUCUCCUUCUCGGAAGCCGCAACAGCCUGGCCCAGCGCCGCGCGAACUGCCAGGUCAGAGUGUAGCCAGCUAGAGGCCAACUCCAGACGCCCGGCCACCAGGCGCGGGUCCGCGCUCAGGAGAUCCGCCUGCAGCUGGGUCAUCUCCGAAAGGGCACGCUCCAAGACGGCAGCAGGAGCAGAAGGACCAGGGAGUGGAGAUGCAGCAGUGGGAGGAAGCGACAUCAUCACCAGGGCUUGGGAGACCGCGGGUUCCGGAGCAGCUGGGACCUCCGGAGCCAGCGGGGCCAUGGGGGCUGACUCCACGCGGUGAUGCUCCUCUUGGCCUCGCGAGGAUGAUCGCGCUGGGGAGAUGCGGGCGCUGUUGCCUCCUUUCUCCGCGGGAGGCACGGCCGCUGUGUCUUCUUUCCUCUUCUUCGCCGAGGAUGUCGGCCUGAUCAACCAAGGGCAAGUAUCAGGAAGCGACGAGUACAAGCAAGGACAAAGCAAAGCUUAAGACACUUACCGAUCCACUACGACGUAUUCCACUAACCGCUUGAGAGGCUUGAAGCCUGACAGCUUUGGGACCUGAGGGGCAGGCGUUCAGACACCGGCGGCCCCGGGCGGAGCGGAGGCGGAACCAGAUCUAGCCCCAGGAGGUAUCGGGGCGGAGGCGGCGCCUCGGGCCACCAGCGACGACCUACUCCUCGUCAUGACGGGAGGUUGCUCCCUCUCCCCUUGGUGGGCGCCGGCAUCGGCAUCAUCAGGAAGGGCGCAGAGAAUCUCGGCCUUGCUCAGAGGGGAAGUCUCCCCCACCUCUUCCAGGGUCUUCUCCGAGUCCUCGUCCUCUUCUCCCUCUCUGCGGGACUCACCAGAAGACACCUCCACCGGGUUCUGCACCAUAGGAGCUUCCGAAAGCACCGUCGGCACCAGCCCGCGUGCAUCAAAAGUCGGCCUGGAGGCGACGAAUUCGUCCCAGUCCCUGCGUUUGAACAGGGGAAGGAAGGCGCUAGGCAGGUACUCCUGGUUGUCCCCGACUAUGAGGCGCAGGACGGCGUCCAAUUCAUCGCCAGGCAGGUCCCCCGGCCUCAGGCGGGUCUUGUUUUCCUCUUCGUCAAGCUCCCAGAGGGGGCACGCGCGCGCCUGGAGUGGGGCAACCCGCAGCAUCAAGAACUCCCUCAGGAGCAUCGCCCCCGUUACCUUGGCCGCCCUCGCGUUGCCCGGCCUCAGGUCGGUCAUCAUCUGCCCCAACACCAGCGAUGCCCGCUCGUCGACAAGCUCCGCCUUGGGCCACCCCCCGUUGGGAGGGGCCGCCGCCGUUGGCAACGCCAGAUGCGGGUCGGCGUGCUGAGCAUCCAUCAUGACCCAUUUGGAUCGGAUGUUGUCGGCCCUCUUCCUGGUGCUCGAGAUCGAGUUGGCCUUGCCGCACGCAACGAAAUUAGCACACCCGGAGGUGUGCUCGCCGCUGACGCGGAGGAAGAAGAAAUGGCGAAGGAGCGCCACGGACGGCAUAACGCCCAGGUACGCCUCGCAGUAGUAGGCGAAGAUGGAUAGGAGGAGGACAGAGUUGGGAUGGAGAUGCAACGCCUGCAGCCCGUAGUGGUCGAGGACUUCAUAAAAGAAAUCAGAGAAGGGAGGAACCAACCCGACGGCGACGCAACUCGAGAAGAAGGGGAAGAAGGUGCUCCCCUCAGGCUCCGGCUCGUCGGAGGCGAGCCGAAGCUCCGUCUUCCCCCACUCAUUACCCUCGCCCGCUGUCAGCAGGCACACGGAGGUGAGGCUCUUCUCCGUGAUGGUGGGUGCCUCGAGGGCCGGCUCAUACCAAGCCGGUGUUGAGGAGGUCCUGACCUUGCGCGACACCAUGGGCGGCAGAUGCAGAGCAAGGCUGGAGCGGAUCUGGAGGUAGUGGUGGCGAGGAGCAAGAAAGGGGAUCUGGAGCGAGGCAAGAAAGAAGCAAUGAAGGCGAGAACUGCCCGCGCCAGCGUUUUGUCAGGUCAAGCAGUUGCCGAGGCAGCGUGGGGAAGCGGAGACGCCCACGUCCAAUCAAACGCCAUGCGUCGACCGAGGACGCAGCCUUUUGGGGCCCGCAGUGCUCUGAACUUGACCCUUGGCUUCGCCGCGAAGCCAAGCCCGAGCGCACCUUGGGCCCGGGGGCUACUGCCGGCGUUCUGGGAACGGGGGUCCCCAGACUUGCCUGCCUGCAGCCCACAGCGUGGCUAAGCAGCAGGCCGUACGGCCCAUCUUCGUCAACAAGACACCCAAGAUCCUCGCGACGGUCCAAGCCUCGCGAGGCGGACGACGCGAGACCUCCUUUGGAGUGGUCUAGCCAAGCAGGCUCACGAGGAGCGGAGAUAUCAAUGCGAGGCAAACCUCACGAGGCUCUCGUGACGUGAGCCAUGACGAACGGUGCCAGGCGGGCGCUGGUGCGCGCAACGUCCUUAUUUCCUCUUUGGUGCUAAGGAGGCCAGCGCAGGCGAAGAGUAUCGAGGCAUCAGGCAAAGGUUGCCGUAUGGGUGCAACGAGACCAAGACCAGGAGGACGGCAAGGCGGAGGUCAUCGUGGAGCCCAAGACGGCGUCACCCCAGAGCUUUUCGCAGGCGAAGACCGCUUUUGUCAGGAUAGCUUGUACUAGCUGUCCCCCUUCAAAUUUGCCCGCCGUUGUUGGCUCCCUUCCCGCUCGAUAUUUGGGAAGAGGACCAGGGCCUAUAUAAGUAGAACUAGCCACCACAGUAGAGGGCACCGGAUAGAUCAUCGGAUCCUCACGCCACAAGUUCACAAGCACAAGAACACCUCAACCUCAGGAGGCAGUUCUUCCCUUGUACUGUUCAUCAUCAGCCCAAGAGGCAAUCCACCACCACCACACUGGAGUAGGGUAUUACACCACAACGGUGGCCCGAACCAGUAUAAACCCGUGUCUUUCUGUGCUGCGAGUUCGUCGAGUUCAUCCGCGAGAUCUUAGCAAGCUAGAGCGUAGAUCGGUAGGAGGGAGAGACUUCGCGCGCACCCCAGUGUUCGAACCUUAAGGGUUUGCCGGAACCCCACAUCCGACAGCCGUGUUGUUCGUCGAUUUUUCCCAGGGAAAGUGCAUCUGGACUACGUACUUGAGGAGCCCUUCGGUGGGCGCGAUGAGUAGUACACCGGCACCAACACCUUGCAAUGAGAAAGCCCCAUCAAAGUACAUAAUCCAAUCGUGACGCGUUUCCUUGCCGGGAAGGGUGGUCUCUUGAACUUCUUCGUCGGGCGUUGCGGUCCAUUCUGCUAUGAACUCUACCAAGGCUCAGCUCUUGAUCGUUGAAGUACUUUCAAACUUGAGGCCAAAGCUCGACAGCUCCAAUGCCCACUCCACAAUCCUCCCAGUUGCAUCUGGGUUGUGCAAGAUCUGUUGCAACAGGAGGCGAAUGACAACAGUGAUCUCAUGUGCUUGGAAAUAGUGGCGCAGCUUUCUCCAGGCCAUGAGGAGGCCGAAAAGUAGCUUCUGCAUACCAGAAUACCUUAACCUAGCCCCCUGCAAGAGGGAACUGACAAAAUAAACUAGGUGUUGUACCAUCUUCUUCUUUUGUUCAACUUCGCCCAUCUGCGCAGACUUCACCUUACCGGGACUGGGCCUUGCCGGGGGUUCCGCCUUGCCGGGGUCAAGCCCCGCCGGGGAGGGCCCCGACCCAUCAUCUGAUGGCUCCCCUGCUACUGCCGCUUCUCCCUCGAGUUUCCUCUGUGUCACUAGCGCAGCACUGACCACUUGAUUCAUUGCCUCUAAGUAUAGUAGCAACGGCUCUUAUGGUUUAGGUGCGACUAGUAUCGGCGUGGAGGAAAGGUACCCCUUGAAAUCUUGCAACGCUGCCUCUGCCUCCGGAGUCCAUUUUACUGGACCCGCCUUUUUAAAAACUUGGAAAAAGGGGAGGGUGCGCUCAACGGAUUUGGAGAUGAACCUACUUAGGGUGGCAACGUAGCCGACAAGCCUACGGACGUCCCUGACUCGUUUCGGCGCCUCAAUCUGCUCAAUGGCCUUGAUCUUGUUAGGAUUUGCUUCGAUUCCGCGUUAAGACACCAAGAACCCAAGAAGUUUGCCGGACGGGACACCAAACACACACUUCUCUGGGUUGAGCUUGAGGUUGAUCUUGCGCAGAUUUGCAAAUGUUUCUUCUAGAUCUUGUACGAGCGUGGCCCUGUCCUUGGUUUUGACCACUAUAUCGUCCAUAUAGGCUUCCAUAUUUCUAUGCAGCUAGGGCUCAAAACCAAUUUGGACCGCCCGGGCAAACAUUGAACCAGCGCUCUUCAACCCAAAAGGCAUUCGUACAAAACAGUACGUACCACAUGGGGUGAUGAACGCGGUCUUCUCUUCGUCUUCCUUCAUCAUGAAGAUCUGGUGGUAUCCCGAAUAGGUGUCGAGGAAUGACAGCAGGUCACACCCGGCAGUGGAGUCUACAAUCUGGUCGAUGCAUGGUGAUAACCCACAAGUAUAGGGGAUCACAACAGUUUUCGAGGGUAGAGUAUUCAACCCAAAUUUAUUGAUUCGACACAAGGGGAGCCGAAGAAUAUUCUCAAGUAUUAGCAGUUGAGUUGUCAAUUCAACCACACCUGGAAGACUUAAUAUCUGCAGCAAAGUAUUUAGUAGCAAAGUAGUAUGGAAGUAACGGUAACGGUGGCAAAAGUAAUAGUAGCAGUUUUGUAGUAAUCUUAACAGUGGCAACGGUAAAGUAACUAAGCAAAGAUCAAUAUGUGAAAAGCUCGUAGGCAUUGGAUCAGUGAUGGAGAAGUAUGUCGGAUGCGAUUGCUCAUAAAACAGUUAUAACAUAGGGUGACACAGAACUAACUCCAGUUCAUCAAUGUAAUGUAGGCAUGUAUUCCGAAUAUAGUCAUACGUGCUUAUGGAAAAGAACUUUCAUAGCAUCUUUUGUCCUACCCUCCCAUGGCAGCGGGGUCCUAUUGGAAACUAAGGGAUAUUAAGGCCUCCUUUUAAUAGAGUACCGGACCAAAGCAUUAACACUUAGUGAAUACAUGAACUCCUCAAACUAUGGUCAUCACCGGUAAGUAUCCCGAUUAUUGUCACUUCGGGGUUAAGGGAUCAUAACACAUAAUAGGUGACUAUAGACUUGCAAGAUAGGAUCAAGAACUCAUAUAUAUUCAUGAAAACAUAAUAGGUUCAGAUCUAAAAUCAUGGCACUUGGGCCCUAGUGACAAGCAUUAAGCAUAGCAAAGUCAUAGCAACAUCAAUCUCAGAACAUAAUGGAUACUAGGGAUCAAACCCUAACAAAACUAACUCGAUUACAUUGUAAAUCUCAUCCAACCCAUCACCGUCCAGCAAGCCUAUGAUGGAAUUACUCAUGCACGGUGGUGAGCAUCAUGAAAUUGGUGAUGGAGGAAGGUUGAUGAUGACGAUGGCGACGGAUUCCCCUCUCCGGAGCCCCGAACGGACUCCAGAUCAGCCCUCCCAAGAGAGAUUAGGGCUUGGUGGCGGCUCCAUAUCGUAAAACGCGAUGAAUCCUUCUCUCUGAUUUUUUUCUCCCCGAACAUGAAUAUAUAGAGUUGGAGUUGAGGUAGGUGGAGCUUCAGGGGGCCCACGAGGCAGGGGGGCGCGCCCAGGGGGUAGGCGCGCUCCCACCCUCGUGGACAGGGUAUGGGGCCCCUGGUCUUGAUUCUUUCGCCAGUAUUUUUUAUUUAUUCCAAAAAUAUUCUCCGUGAAGUUUCAGGUCAUUCCGAGAACUUUUAUUUCUGCACAAAAAUAACACCAUGGCAAUUCUGCUGAAAACAGCGUCAGUCCGGGUUAGUUCCAUUCAAAUCAUGCAAGUUAGAGUCCAAAACAAGGGCAAAAGUGUUUGGAAAAGUAGAUACGAUGGAGACGUAUCAACUCCUCCAAGCUUAAACCUUUGCUUGUCCUCAAGCAAUUCAGUUGACAAACUGAAAGUGAUAAAGAAAAACUUUUACAAACUCUGUUUGCUCUUGUUGUUGUAAAUAUGUAAAGCCAGCAUUCAAGCUUUCAGCAAAGAUUAUGAACUAACCAUAUUCACAAUAACACUUAGGUCUCAUAUUUACUCAUAUCAAUGGCCUAAUCAACUAGCGAGCAAUAAUAAUAAAUCUCGGAUGACAACACUUCCUCAAAACAAUCAUAAUAUGAUAUAACAAGAUGGUAUCUCGCUAGCCCUUUCUGAGACCGCAAAACAUAAAUGCAGAGCACCUCUGAAGAUCAAGGACUGACUAAACAUUGUAAUUCAUGGUAAAAGAGAUCCAGUCAUAGUCAUACUCAAUAUAAACUAAUAAUAAUGCAUGCAAAUGACAGCGGUGCUCUCCAGCUGGUGCUUUUUAAUAAGAGGACGCUGACUCAACAUAAAAGUAAAUAGAUAGGACCUUCACGGAGGGAAGCAAGGAUUGUAGAGGUGCUAGAGCUCGAUUUUGAAAUAGAGAUAAAUAAUAUUUAGAGUGGCAUACUUUCAUUGUCAACAUAACAACCGAGAGAUCUCGAUAUCUUCCAUGCUAGACACAUUAUAGGCGGUUCCCAAGCAGAAUGGUAAAGUUUAUACUCCCCCACCACCAACAAGCAUCAAUCCAUGGCUUGCCCGAAACAAUGGAUGCCUCCAACUAACAAUAGUCAUGGGGGAGUUUUGUUUGCAAUUAUUUUGAUUUGGUUUGAGCAUGGGACUGGGCAUCCCAGUGACCAGCCAUUUUCUCCUGAGUGAGGAGCGGAGUCCACUCCUCUUGAGAAUAACCCACCUAGCAUGGAAGAUACAGACAACCCUAGUUGAUACAUGAGCUAUUCGAGCAUACAAAACAGAAUUUCAUUUGAAGGUUUAGAGUUUGGCACAUACAAAUUUACUUGGAACGGCAGGUAGAUACCGCAUAUAGGAAGGUAUGGUGGACUCAUAUGGGAUAACUUUGGGGUUUAUGGAAGUGGAUGCACAAGCAGUAUUCCCGCUUAGUACAAGUGAAGGCUAGAAAAAGACUGGGAAGCGACCAGCUAGAGAGCGACAACAGUCAUGAACAUGCAUUAAAAUUAAUCAACACUGAGUGCAAGCAUGAGUAGGAUAUAAUCCACCAUGAACAUAAAUAUCGUGGUGGCUAUGUUGAUUUUGUUUCAACUACAUGCGUGAACAUGUGCCAAGUCAAGCCACUCGAAUCAUUCAAAGGAGGAUACCACCCUAUCAUACCACAUUACAACCAUUUUAAUAGCAUGUUGGCACGCAAGGUAAACCAUUAUAAACACCUAGCUAAUUAAGCAUGGCAUGAGCAACUAUAAUCUCUAAUUGUCAUUACAAACAUGUUUCAUUCAUAAUAGGCUGAAUCAGGAACGAUGAACUAAUCAUAUUUACAAAAACAAGAUAGGUCGAGUUCAUACCAGCUUCUCUUAUCUCAACCAGUCCAUCAUAUAUCGUCAUUAUUGCCUUUCACUUGCACGACCGAACGGUGUGGAUAAUAAUAAUAGUGCACGUGCAUUGGACUAAGCUGGAAUCUGCAAGCAUUUAAUACAAGGGAGAAGACAAGGUAACAUGGGCUCUUUGUUAAAUCAACAAUAAUGCAUAUAAGAGCCACUCAACAUUUUCAUUAUGGUCUUCUCCUCUCGACCCCCAAAGAAAAGAAAUAAAACUAUUUACACGGCAAAGCUCCCAACAAACAAAAGAAGAGCGAGAAAUCUUUUUGGGUUUCCUUUUAGUUACUACUACUACAGGCAUGGAAAGUAAACUAGCUAAAAGCUACAACUAAUUUUUUUGGUUUUUCUUAAGGUUUUUCAAACACACAAGAAAAAGACUAGAAAAGGAAAAUAAACUAGCAUGGAUGGUACAAUGAAAAAGUAUGAGCACCGACAACUAGAAUGAGUGCGUGAACAUGAAUGUAAUGUCGGUGAGAAAUACGCACUCCCCCAAGCUUAGGCUUUUGGCCUAAGUUGGUCUAUGCCCAUGGAUCAAAAUGGUCCUCUCCAGUGUACUGAGGAGGAUCCUCGGGGUGCCACUGGUUAGCGAGCUCUUGCGGAUCCCACUGAUAAAUAGACUCCUGAUAUGGGUCAGGAGAUGGCUCAGGCUCAGGCUCUGGGGAUCGUGUUCGCUCCCAAUAUGCAUAAAUGUCAUCGGGCAGGAUGAUGUAUGUGCCUCAAUAAAUGUUAAACAAAGAAGGUGCAGGCAGGGUAAUAAUCUGACAAGUCUUUUCACUGAAUACCAGGUUAUAAAUGAGUCUCUUCUCCUUAUCAUCGCAAAUAAAAUCAUGUGCUACCAUACUUUUAUAGUCUAAGAAAAUAGGGGGCAGCAACUUUUCUUCAUUCUCAUAGUGUCCAAUAGGUAUGUCAAAAUAUUUAGCAAGACGCGAAGCAAAGAUACCUCCAAAAAUGGGGCCCUUUGUACGGUUUAGACUCAACCGUUUAGCAACCAUAGCACCUAAACUGAACAUUCUGUCACGGAAUAAAGCAUGGCGCAAAAUGGCGAGGUCAGGAGCACUGAGGCCCCCACUGUUCCUGCGGCCAAUUAAACAUCUACUAGCAAAUAUUGCAUAGUAUCGUAGAACAGGGAAAUGUAUGCUAGUAGUUCUUGCUUCUGACACUUUUCUCGUUUCCCCUACAACAAUCAUAUCAAUAAAUCCUGCCACAUCCCUAGGAUGUGGUUCCUCGACGGUGCCCUCAAAAGGCAACUUGCAAACCGCACAAAAAUCAUAAAGGGACAUCUCCCUAUACUCAUCAUAUAAAUAAAAAUCCACCGAAGGUGGCGAUCUCCUAGCAUGGAAAUGAAAUUUUUUCACAAAAAUAUUAGUGAGGAGGAGAUACUGUUCGCGCUGGUCGCGGAGGAAGUCGAUGAGGCCCGCAUUCUCAACCAAGUAAUAAAAGUCAUCAUGAAUCCCGGCUGCUCUCAAGAACUCAUCACAAGGCCAUUCACACGGACGAACUUCCGCGGUGCGAGGAAGAUUAUAUUUGGGCUUCUUAUUCUCUUCACUUUGCUUAUCCUUCGAGCUUCGGCUCGAAGAGCCCCUUAAUAAUCUCUUCAUCAUUUUUGAAGAACAACCCCCCAAAGCAGUUUGGAGAGUGGAGCUUUGAGCAAGGAGAUCGAAAAUCGCAGCAAUGAGCUAGAACUCGUGCUUGAGUUGGUGGGUGAUUUUUUCUAGAGGAAGAAGGAGUGUGUGGGUGCUGGAAUAAGUGGAGGGGGCCACGUGGGGCCCACGAGGCAGGGGGCGUGCCCCGGGGCUGGGCGCGCCCUGGACCCUCGUGGCCAGGUGGUGGCUCCCUCUGCUGUGUUCUCAGUGCCAGAUAUUCUUAAAUAUUCUUCAAAAAAUCAUAUUUCAAUUUCGAGACAUUUGGAGAACUUUUAAUUUUGGGGUAUUUUUUAUUGCAAUGAUAAUUUAGAAAACAGACGGAAAACACUAUUUUUGCUUUAUUUAAUCUAAAUAACAGAAAGUAAAAGGAGGGCACAGAGAGUUGUGCUUUCUAACUUCAUCCAUCUCAUGCUCAUCAAAAGGAAUCCACUAACAAUGUUGAUCAAGUCUUGUUAACAAACUCAUUCCGAAUCGCAUGAAACCGGAGAAUUUUCGAAUAGCACUAGGUUACCUCAACGGGGAUAUGCACAUCCCCAACGACAAGAAUAUCAUAUUUCUUCUUGACAGUAGGAAGAGGAAAUUCAAAACCUCCAAUAAUAAUCGAUGAAUUUUUUCCAAUAGAAUUUAUACUAUGGACUUGAGGUUGUUUCCUCGGAAAGUGUACCGUAUGCUCAUUACCAUUAACAUGAAAAGUGGCAUUGCCUUUGUUGCAAUCAAUAACAGCCCCUGCAGUAUUCAAAAAGGGUCUACCAAGGAUAAUCGACAUACUAUCGUCCUCGGGAAUAUCAAGAAUAACAGAGUCCGUUAAAAUAGUAAUGUUUGCAACCACAACAGGCACAUCCUCACAAAUACUGACAGGUAUAGCAGUUGAUUUAUCAGCCAUUUGCAAAGAUAUUUCAGUAGGUGUCAACUUAUUCAGAUCAAGUUUACGAUAUAAAGAGAGAGGCAUAACACUAACACCGGCUCCAAGAUCACAUAAAGCAGUUUUAACAUAGUUUCUUUUAAUGGAGCAUGGUAUAGUUGGUACUCCUGGAUCUCCUAGUUUCUUAGGUAUUCCACCCUUAAAAGUAUAAAUAGCAAGCAUGGUGGAAAUUUCAGCUUCCAAUAUCUUUCUUUUAUUUGUAACAAUAUCUUUCAUAUACUUAGCAUAAGGAUUCAUUUUAAGCAUAUCAGUCAAACGCAUACGCAAGAAGAUAGGUCUAAUCAUUUCAGCAAAGCGCUCAAAAUCCUCAUCAUCCUUUUUCUUGGAUGGUUUAGGAGGAAAAGGCAUGGGUUUCUGAACCCAUGGUUCUCUUUCUUCACCGUGCUUCCUAACAACGAAGUCUCACUUAUCAUAACGUUGAUUCUUUGAUUGUGGGUUAUCAAGAUCAACAGCAGGUUCAAUUCCUACAUCAUUGUUAUUGCUAGGUUGAGCAUAUUAACAUGAACAUUAUCAUUAACAUUAUCACUAGGUUCAUGUUCAUCACCAGAUUGUGUUUCAGCAUCAGAAAUAGAAAUAUCAUUGGGAUUCUCAGGUGUGUCAACAACAGGUUCACUAGAAGCAUGCAAAGUCCUAUCAUUUCUCUUUUUCUUGUUUUUAGAAGGAAUAGGUGUAUCAACAUUAGUUCUCUAAGAAUCUUGCUCAAUUCUCCUGGGGUGGCCCUCAGGAUACAAAGGUUCCUGAGUCAUUUUACCCCCUCUAGUCAUAACUCUAACAUCAUUAUCAUUUUUCUUAUUUUUUAAUUCAUUGCGCAAGUCAUUUUGAGCUUUAAGCACUUGUUCUACUUGAGUGGUAACCAUAGAAGCAUGUUUACUAAUAAGUUUUAGUUAACCUUUAAUUCUAGACAUAUAGUCACUCAAGUGUUCAAUCAUAUAAGCAUUACGUUUCAAUUGUCUACCAACAUAAGCAUUGAAGUUUUCUUGUUUAACAAUAAAAUCAUCAUACUCAUCCAAGCAUUGGCUAGCAAACUUAGAUGGGAUUUCACCCUUAUCAUAUCUAUAGAGAGAAUUUACCUUUACUAUAUGUGUCGGGUUAUCAAGACCAUGUAUUUCUUCAAUAGGUGGUAAAUUCUUAACAUCGUCAGCUUUAAUACCUUUUUCUUUCAUAGAUUUCUUUGCCUCUUGCAUAUCUUCAGGACUGAGAAAUAGAAUACCCCUUCUCUUCGGUGUUGGCUUAGGAGAUGGUUCAUGAGGUGUCCAAUUAUUCUCAUUACUCAACAUAUUAUUCAAUAGCAAUUCAGCUUGAUCAAUAGUUCUUUCCCUGAAACACAACCAGCACAACUAUCCAGGUGGUCUCUGGAAGCAUCGGUUAGUCCAUUAUAAAAGAUAUCAAGUAUUUCAUUUUUCUUGAGAGGAUGAUCAGGCAAAGCAUUAAGUAAUUGGAGAAGCCUCCCCCAAGCUUGUGGGAGACUCUCUUCUUCAAUUUGCACAAAAUUAUAUAUUUCCCUUAAGGCAGUUUGUUUCUUAUGAGGAGAGAAAUAUUUAGCAGAGAAGUAAUAAAUCAUAUCCUGGGGACUACGCACACAACCAGGAUCAAGGGAAUUAAACCAUGUUUUAGCCUCACCCUUUAAUGAGAACGGAAAUAACUUAAGGAUAUAGUAGUAAUGAAUUCUUUCCUCAUGAGUGAAUAGGGUGGCUAUAUCAUUUAAUUUAGUAAGAUGUGCCACAACAGUUUCAGAUUCAUAGCCAUAGAAAGGAUCAAAUUCAACCAAAGUAAUUAUCUCAGGAUCGACAGAGAAAUCAUAAUCCUUAUCAGAAAUACAGAUAGGUGAAGUAGCAAAAGCAGGGUCAUAUUUCAUUCUAGCAUUCAGAGACUUUUCUUUCAGCUUAGCUAACAGUUUCUUAAGAUCAUAUCUGUCAUUGCAAGCAAGAAAGUCUCUAGCAGUUUCUUCAUGCAUAACAUAACCCUCAGGCACAACAGGCAAUUCAUAUCUAGGGGGAGAAUCUUCAUCAUCACUUUCAUCAAUAUUAUCAGUUUCAACAAUUUCAUUCUCUCUAGCCCUAGCAAGUUGUUCAUCAAGAAAUUCACCUAAUGGCACAGUAAUAUCAAGCAUAGAAGUAGUUUCAUCAUAAGUAUCAUGCAUAGCAGAAGUGGCAUCAUCAAUAACAUGCAACAUAUCAGAAUUAAUAGCAGAAGCAGGUUUAGGUGUCGCAAGCUUACUCAAAACAGAAGGUGAAUCAAGUGCAGAGCUAGAUGGCAGUUCCUUACCUCCCCUCGUAGUUGAGGGAAAAAUCUUAGUUUUUUCGUCUUUCAAGUUCCACAUAGUGAUCAACAGAUAUAAAUCCCAAGUGACUCAAAGAAUAAAGCUAUGCUCCCCGGCAACGGUGCCAGAAAAUAGUCUUGAUAACCCACAAGUAUAGGGGAUCGCAACAGUUUUCGAGGGUAGAGUAUUCAACCCAAAUUUAUUGAUUCGACACAAGGGGAGCCAAAGAAUAUUCUCAAGUAUUAGCAGUUGAGUUGUCAAUUGAACCACACCUGGAAGACUUAAUAUCUGCAGCAAAGUAUUUAGUAGGAAAGUAGUAUGGAAGUAACGGUAACGGUGGCAAAAGUAACAGUAGCAGUUUUGUAGUAAUCGUAACAGUGGCAAUGGUAAAGUAACUAAGCAAAAAUCAAUAUGUGAAAAGCUUGUAGGCAUUGGAUCAGUGAUGGAGAAUUAUAUCGGAUGCGAUUGCUCAUGCAACAUUUAUAACAUAGGGUGACACAGAACUAGCUCCAGUUCAUCAAUGUAAUGUGGGCAUGUAUUCCGAAUAUAGUCAUACGUGCUUAUCGAAAAGAACUUGCAUGACAUCUUUUGUCCUACCCUCCUGUGGCAGCGGGGUCCUAUUGGAAACUAAGGGAUAUUAAGGCCUCCUUUUAAUAGAGUACCAGACCAAAGCAUUAAACACUUAGUGAAUACAUGAACUCCUCAAACUAUGCUCAUCACCGGUAAGUAUCCCGAUUAUUGUCACUUCGGGGUUAAGGGAUCAUAACACAAAAUAGGUGACUAUAGACUUGCAAGAUAGGAUCAAGAACUCAUAUAUAUUCAUGAAAAUAUAAUAGGUUCAGAUCUGAAAUCAUGGCACUCAGGUCCUAGUGACAAGCAUUAAGCAUAGCAAAGUCAUAACAACAUCAAUCUCAAAACAUAUGGAUACUAGAGAUCUAAACCCUCACAAAACUAACUCGAUUACAUGGUAAAUCUCAUCCAACCCAUCACCGUCCAGCAAGCCUACGAUGGAAUUACUCAUGCACGGCGGUGAGCAUCAUGAAAUUGGUGAUGGUGGAAGGUUGAUGAUGACGAUGGCGACGGAUUCCCCUCUCCGGAGCCCCGAACGGACUCCAGAUCAGCCCUCCCAAGAGAGAUUAGGGAUUGGCGGCGGCUCCGUAUCGUAAAACGCAAUGAAUCCUUCUCUCUGAUUUUUUCUCCCCGAACAUGAAUAUAUAGAGUUGGAGUUGAGGUCGGUGGAGCUUCAGGGGGCCCACGAGGUAGGGGGCGCGCCCCCACCCUCCUGGACAGGGUGUGGGCCCCCUGGUCUUGAUUCUUUCGCCAGUAUUUUUUAUUUAUUCCAAAAAUAUUCUCCGUGAAGUUUCAGGUCAUUCCGAGAACUUUUAUUUCUGCACAAAAAUAACACCAUGGCAAUUCUGCUGAAAACAGCGUCAGUCCGGGUUAGUUCCAUUCAAAUCAUGCAAGUUAGAGUCCAAAACAAGGGCAAAAGUGUUUGGAAAAUUAGAUACAAGGAGACGUAUCAUGUGGCAGAGGGAAAGGAUCCUUUGGACAAGCUUUAUUGAUAUCUGUGUAGUCAAUACACAACCUCCACUUCCCAUUCGCCUUACGCACAACCACCGGAUUGGCCAGCCACGUGGGGUGGAGUACUCCUCUAACUAGGCCUGCCGCCUCCAACUUCCUGAUCUCUUCAAUGAUGAACUCUUGUCGCUCCAAAGCUUGCUUCCUGACCUUCUGCUCGACGGGCCGCGCGUGAGGAUAGACAUCAAGAUGGUGCUCAAUCACCUCCCUGGGAACGCCGGGGAUGUCAGAUGAUCGCCAUGCAAAUACAUCGACAUUCGCCCGCAGGAAGGCGACGGGCACGCUUUCCUAUUUGCUGUCGAGGGUGGAGCUUAUAGUGAAAACCCCGCCCGUGCCGUCCUCCUUGACGGACAUCUUCUUGGUUUCUGGUGGUGCAGCCUUGGACUUCUUGCUCUUGCCGGUGGAGCUCUCUGGCACGUCCUCGACGGGAGCGCUGCACUCCGAAGAGGCGCACUUGCCGGAGUGGGUGCCGGAGGUCUGGUCCGAAGAGGUCUUGCCAGAAUAGGUCUUGCCGGCCUUCUUCCUUCCCGGGGCUUCAGCGGCAAGAGCAAGUGCCUUGGCGGCAGCUGCUGCAACUGCCUCUCGGUAGAGUUGGUUGGCGCAGAUGAGCGCGUCUUUCUUGUCAGAGGGGACGGUGAUGAUGGUCAGCGGCCCCGGCAUCUUCAGUGUGUUGUAGGCGUAGUGUGACGCCGCCAUGAACUUGGCCAGCGCUGGGCGGCCAAGGAUCCCAUUGUAUGGCAAGGGGAUCUCGGCGACAUCGAAAAUGAUCUUCUCCGUCCUAUGGUUCAGCUUGCCCCCAAAUGUAACGGGCAACGUGAUUUUACCUUUUGGCUGGCUCCUUCCCGGGUUGACCCCUUGAAACAUGCCCGUCUCUUCGAGAUCUCCAUAAGGAAUAUGCAACCUCUUGAUCACAUCAGGCGAGAUCAAAUUCAAACCGGCCCCACCAUCAACCAACACUUUUGUCACCUUGAGGUUGCGUAUUGUCUGUGAAACCAACAAUGGCAAACACCUGACCGCAGUUGUGCGAUAAGGCUGAUCCUCGGUUUCAAAUAUGGUGGGCAUGCGGGACCACUUUAGUGGCUUCUGGGCAUCGAACGAUGGCUCCGCCGCAGUGCCCUCACGCGCCCACUGUUUCAGUUGGCGGUGUGAGGCGUGCAACGAGGCGCCACCGUCGACGCACAUGGCCUCUGUAGCUUUCUAGAACUCGUGCUCACCGGACUCAUCGUCCUCGUCAUGAUCAUCAUCUUCUUCCUUCUUGUCUCGGCCCCGAGCGGGCCUCUCUUGUUGAUUAUCUUUGCCGCGGCGACCCCCUUGGCCGCCAUGCUUCUUGCCGGACUCCUCAGCACCAUCCUGACCCUUCUCCUUGUCUCGCCUUUCAUAUUCAGCUUUCUGCUUUUCAGCAAGCAGCUCAACCCGUCGGCAGUUCUGGAGGUCAUGGCCCUUGGUGCGGUGGAUCUUGCAGUACUGCUUGUCAGAGCCUCCUGGCUUGUCGGCGGCCGCCAAGGCCCGGCAGGUGGCGCACCUGGCAACCUCCUUGCCAGGGUCGUCAUCCUUGGCCUUCUUGGCGGCGCCGGGGUCGCUGGAUCCCUCAAUGGCAAGCACAGUCUUGCCCUUACGUUUCCUGUUACGGCACCGACCCUUCUUCAUCAGGGCGGUGACGUCUUCGUCCGUGGAGUUGGUUUCCGCACCGGCGUCUUCGCCGGGGUACUUCCUUCCUUCCUCAGCCUGAGCACACCUAUCCGCUAGAACAUAAAGUUUGGCUACAUCCUUGACCUUGUUCAUUGCCAGCUCUUCACGCAUCUUGCGGCUGCGUACGUUCUGAUGGAACGCACUGAUGACAGCGGCGGGAUGGACGUCUGGGAUGGUGUACUGCAUAGGGCUGAAUCUUUGUAUGUACUUAUGCAGGGACUCACCAUCCUUCUGGGGGAUGACAUGCAAGUCACUUGCCUGGCCAGGAGCUUGGUGGCCUCCGGUAAAGGCGCCAACAAACUCGUAGCACAGGUCCGACCAGGAAGAGAUGGAAUCCACUGGCAGGUGCAUCAACCACGACAUGACGUUGGGCUUAAGUGCCAAUGGAAAGUAGUUGGUGAGCACCUUCUCGUCACGAGCCCCGGCGGCUUGCAUCGCGAUGGUGUAGAUGCUGAGGAACUCCGACGGGCGAGUCUUGCCGUUGUACUUUUCCCCAACAUCAGGCUUGAACGUGUGGUGGGAGGGCCACUGGAACUGCCGCAGCUCUUGGGUAAAGGCCGGGCAACCCACCUCGUAAGGCAGGCCGCCAGGGCCCCCCGGCGCUGGGUGGUCCAUAGCAGGCCCCACACGCUGGUCUGACUAGUGGCGCGCGUCCCGCCAUUGCUCGAUGGUAGUUCGAGCGUCUUCCUAAGCUCGCUCUCGAAGAACUCGACGUUGGUCGCAGCGGGUUCGUGGGUCGGACGACGCUGUGGAAACGUUGUCACAGGCGUCGGCCCGACGGGCCGGUGGCUGCUGUCGCGGUCGCGGGGGAGGAGAGUGCACCAUGGUCGCAGCGUCUCCGGUCCCCCCACCACCGGCAUGCACCGGCUCGACAGAACACCGGUGUGAGGGUCCCCUUGGGAGCGGCUCGUCUUUGUUGGCAAAGCUGACAAGGCAUCGGAUGGUGGCCCUCCACUCGUCGAGCUUCUCCGCAGCAGGGGGAAGUCGACAAGCAAUUGCACGUGCGCCAGCGCUUCUGCAGGCGUGGGCGGCGGCGAGAGGUGCGUAGACCGGGACAUGCUUCGGCUUCUAACUAGGUUAGAAGGGGCUCUGUCACGGUCUCGCGGUCGCACGCCGCCUCCGCCGGCGUCCGAGCACGCACGCCGGCUUGGUGCGUCUUGCGAGUGGCGCACAGGGCUCUUUCCGUGGCGGUUCCCAGGGGCUCUGGCAUCGCGGCGUCGCUCAUCGCGCGUGGCCUGGGAAGGCCGCGGCACGGGUGCCAGCUGGCGCGCCGUAGAGGUUGCUGCGCCGCCCAUGGGUAGCACGGCCCCGCCCCCAGACCCAGCGGCGUGCAGCUCGUCGUCUUGGAUUCGAACGACGCCACUCGCUUGGCUCCUAUCGCCAGAGUGUCGUAGAUGCUCGCGGGCCACGUCUCCGGCCCCAUCCGUGGCCACCCGGUCGCCUGCCCGCCCUUGCGCGGACGGGCCAGCUCCGGGCGACCCGAUCGCUAUGAUCCCCUUUCUCUUGGGGGCCAUGGUGAUGAUGAAGUCGACACGCUGACCUUCAAACCGGAUUUUCACAGCCUGCGCCCCCCUACCUGGCGCGCCAAAGAUGUCGAUGGAAAGGACACCUAUGGGAUCACAAGGAAUCCCUACUACGGUCGGUGGGCGCGGGGCUGUGGAAAGAGCGGGUUUAGAAGAUCAACGCGGGAAAUUUAUCCAGGUUCGGGCUGCAAGUGAUUCGUAAUACCCUACUCUUGCUGGUUUGUGUUUAUCUGGUGUUCUUGGACUAGCUACAAAGCAUGCAGAGUCCAAAAAGUCCGAAUCCUCUCUCAGUACGCCGCGGGCCUCCUUUUAUAGUCAAAGGGGCUGCCAUAGUGCCACACAGGAGGUGGAAAGUUGUACAGUAGUCGAGUUUAUCUCUGACAUCACAGGACAAAACACAUUAAAUGCGCUACUUAGGUGUCCUCUCGCUUUAUCGGGGAUGGCAACGAAGCCCGUCCCGUCCGUCACCGCUUCGCCUUGCUCCGACACGCGUCCAAGCCAACGAGGCAUGCAGUGCCAUGUAGGCAGGCAGGCUGCUGAGCUGGUGCGGUGGCGGGGUUUUCACGAAUAUCUGCAUGCCACCACGCAGGUGCUUGACUAGUUGGCUUAGGAGCCACGUACUGCCACGUGGGUACUUUCUUAAUUGGUGUGUCGGCCGCUGAGCUGGGGCGGCGACGGGGCGGCAAGGCCUUGCCGUGGUUUCGCUGAUAUUCCCAGCAAGGGUCUUGCAAGGGCCUUGCGGGCGCCCUCGGCAAGAGUCUUGCCAGGGCCUCGUGGGUAUCUUCGGCAGGAGCCUUGCCGGGGCCUCGUGGGCAUCCUCGGCAAGGAGCCUCGCUGUUGUCUUGUUUUCUGGUUCCUAUCUAGGCCUCGAAGGCCCUUUGUCUUCACAAAGAUCUGCAUGCCACCAUGGAGGCGCCUCCCGAGCCUUGGUUCCAGUGUGGUUGAUGGCGCGGGAACUUUUAGACUCAAGGGUGGUGGCCCCGUUGGUGUUGGGCAAGUUGCCCCGGCAAGGCUCUUGCCGGGGCCGUGAAGGCCGCCCCGACAAGGGCCUUGCCAGGGGAGUUUCACCUCGCCCCUCUGCUCUUCAUGCUUCUGGUCUUGUACAGACAUGGCCUCGGAACACUGGAGACUGAAAGGUCGACCGUGAAUCAUAUUGUAGAUAUGAUCAACAUAGAGAUGUUCACCAUUGAUGACUACUCCAUCUCACGUGAUGAUCGGACAUGGUUUAGUUGAUUUGGAUCAUGUAUUACUUAGAUGACUUGAGGGUUGUCUAUCUAAGUGGGAGUUCUUAAGUAAUUUGAUUAAUUGAACUUAAUUUAUCAUGAAUUUAGUCCUGAUAUGCAUAUCUAUGUUGUAGAUCAAUAGCUCGCGUAUAGCUCCCCUGUUUUAUUUUGAUAUGUUUCUAGAGAAAACUAAGUUGAAAGAUGAUAGUAGCAAUGAUACGGACUAGGUCCGUGAUCUGAGGAUUAUCCUCAUUGUUGCACAGAAGAAUUAUGUCUUUGAUGCACCGCUAUGUGACAGACCUAUUGCAGGAGCAAAUGCAGACAUUAUGAACGUUUGACAAGCUCGAUAUGAUGACCACUUGAUAGUUUAGUGCGCCAUGCUUUACGGCUUAGAACCGGGACUUCAAAAAUGUUUUGAACGCCAUGGAGCAUAUGAGAUGUUCCUAGAGCUGAAAAUGAUGUUUCAGAGUCAUGCCCGUGUUAAGAGGUAUGAGAUAUCUGAUAAGUACUUGAGAAUAGCUCAGCUAGUGAGCAUGUGCUCAGAAUGUCGAGGUACUACAAUCGCUUGAAUCAAGUGGAAGUUAAUCUUCCAGAUAAGAUAGUGAUUGACAGAGUUCUCUAGUCACUAUCACCAAGUUACUAGAACUUCAUGAUGAACUAUAAUAUGCAAGGGAUGACGAAAACGAUUCCCAAGCUCUUCGCGAUGCUGAAAUUGGCGAAGGUAGAAAUCAAGAAAUAGCAUCAAGUGUUGAUGGUUAAACAAGACCACUAGUUUCAAGAAAAAAGGGCGAAGGAAAAGAAAGGGAACUUCAAGAAGAAUGGAAAAUAAGUUGCCACUCCCGUGAAGAAACCCAAAGCUGGACCCAAGCCUAAAACUGAGUGCUUCUACUACAAAGGAAAUGGUCACUAGAAGCGGAACUGCCCCAAACAUUUGGCGGAUAACAAGGAUGGCAAAGUGAAAAAAAGUAUAUUUGAUAUACAUGUUAUUGAUGUGUAUCUUACUAGUGUUCGUAGUAACCCCUGGGUAUUUGAUACUUGUUCAGUUGCUAAGAUUAGUAACUCGAAACAGGAGUUGCAAAAUAAAUAGAGACUAGUUAAGGGCGAGGUGAUGAUAAGUGAUGGAAUUGAUUCCAAGGUUGAUACGAUCAACAUCGCACACUUCCUCUACCUUCGGGAUUAGUUUUAAACCUAAAUAAAAGUUAUUUGGUGUUUGCGUUCAACAUGAAUAUGAUUUGAUCAUGUUUAUUGCAAUGCGGUUAUUCAUUUCAGACAGAGAACAACUGUUGUUAUGUUUACAUGAAUAAGACCUUUUAUGGUCAUACACCCAAUGGUUUAUUGAAUCUCGAUCGUAGUGAUACACAUAUUCAUACUAUUGAUGCCAAAAGAUGCAAAAGUUGAUAAUGAUAGUGCAACAUGAAGGAAAUAUGCCCUAGAGGCAAUAAUAAAGUUAUUAUUUAUUUCCUUAUUUCAUGAUAAAUGUUUAUUAUUCAUGCUAGAAUUGUAUUAACCAGAAACUUAGUACAUGUGUGAAUAGACAGACAAAACAAAGUGUCCCUAGUAUGCCUCUACUUGACUAGCUCGUUUAUCAAAGAUGGUUAUGUUUCCUAACCAUAGACAUGUGUUGUCAUUUGAUGAACGAGAUCACAUCAUUAGGAGAAUGAUGUGAUGUACAAGACCCAUUCGUUAGCUUAGCAUUAUGAUCGUUACAAUUUCAUUGCUACCGCUUUCUUCAUGACUUAUACAUGUUCCUCAGACUAUGAGAUUAUGCAACUCCCGAAUACUGAAGGAACACUUUGUCUGCUAUCAAACGUUACAAAAUAAAUGGGUGAUUAUAAAGAUGCUCUACAGGUGUCUCCGAAGGUAUUUGUUGGGUUGGCAUAGAUCGAGAUUAGGAUUUGUCACUCCGUGUUUUGGAGAGGUAUCUCUAGGCCCUCUCGGUAAUGCUCAUCACUAUAAGCCUUGCAAGCAAUGUGACUAAUGAGUUAGUUGCGGGAUGAAGUAUUACGGAACGAGUAGAGAGACUUGCCGGUAAUGAGAUUGAACUAGGUAUGAUGAUACCGACGAUCGAAUCUCGGGCAAGUAACAUACCGAUGACAAAGGGAACAACGCAUGUUGUUAUGCGGUUUGACCGAUAAAGAUCUUCGUAGAAUAUGUAGGAGCCAAUAUGAGCAUCCACGUUCUGCUAUUGGUUAUUGACCGGGGAUGUGUCUCGGUCAUGUCUACAUAGUUCUCCAACCGUAGGGUCCGCACGCUUAACGUUCGAUGACGAUUUGUAUUAUGAGUUAUGUGUUUUGAUGACCAAGGUUUGUUCGGAGUCCUGGAUGAGAUCACGGACGUGACAAGGAGUCGCGAAAUGGUCGAUACAUAAAGGUUGAUAUAUUGGACCAUGUUAUUCUGACACCAGAAGUGUUCCGGAUAGUUUCGGGUAAAAACGGAGUGCCGGAGGGGUUACUGGAACCCCCUCGGGGAGUUGAUGGGCCUUAGUGGCCCUUAGUGGGAAGGAGAGGGAGCGGCCAGGUGGUGGCGUGUCACGACCGGUUUUUCAAUAAAAUAAUUAUUGAGAGACCCAUCCCUUUUACGGACCAGCGAGGAAGAAUUCCUUCUCGCUGGUAGACAAUAUCUUGGUUACAGAAGAAAAAUACCAGGAGUACUAAAUAUAAUACAAGGUUGAGCAGAGACUGCCCAACAAUUUAUUACAUGCAUGCCGCUAAAACAAAACGGCAGAUAGGGUGGCAACUACUAACUCACGAUAAUAACGGUGGCAGAAAUAUCACCGCGAAGUGAGUGAUAUGAUUCCAGAAGAGUACAGCUCUUCGAGCGUCUGAGUGAGGCUCGUGGAGACUUAUUGCGGGUGGCGGAAGCGUAUACAAUACAAGUGACCAAUAUCCGGGAUCGCGCAGGACUGACUGGGACUCCUCUAGGCAUCGGACGCGCUAUCAAACUCUUCAUCCAAGAGAUCGCCUUCGUCAGCAUCUGGCCAAAUCAACAAGCCAGGUGAGUACUAUGAAAGUACUCGCAAGACAGUUCAGACAUAAGAUAUGACAAACAUAAACAUGAAGCAUAUGAACAAGUUAACUGGUGCGAUUAUACAUAACGGUAAUAGAUACUGGGUGCCAAGCGAGGGUCUGAAUGACGCCUCGAGCGGAAACUGCAGAAUAGUAAUACUGGUGCCAAACGAGUGUCUGAAAGACUCCUCGAGCGGAAAAUGCGGAAUAUUAAUGCGGGUGCCAAGCGAGUGUCUGAAAGACUCCUCGAGCGGAAAAUGCGGAAUAUUAAUGCNNNNNNNNNNAUAUUAAUGCGGGUGCCAAGCGAGUGUCUGAAAGACUCCUCGAGCAGAAAAUGCGGAAUAUUAAUGCGGGUGCCAAGCGAGUGUCUGAAAGACUCCUCGAGCGGAAAAUGCGGAAUAUUAAUGCAGGUGCCAAGCGAGUGUCUGAAAGACUCCUCGAGCGGAAAAUGCGGAACAAUAAUGCCACAGUCGGGCGUCGGGGCGACGCCACAUAAAGGGCUUGUAACAGGAAAUAAUAGACAGUGCAUGCCGCAGUCGGACGUCUGAGCGACAUCACAUAAAGGGCUUAUAUUUAAAGUAAGAAACAAGUGCACGCCACAGUCGGACGUCUGCGCGACGUCACAUAAAGGGCUUAUAUCACAACUCAUUAAUACCAUAGUUUGGGAACAUAAAUUAUCACAGGCAUGAGACAAAUAUAAAGUUAGUCCAUCCACAAGAAUAACAAUAAAUCUGGAUUUUUCCACUUGAGCUUGUUCACCAGGGCAAGUUUUUCACACAGAUAGAUAUGGAUAUAGUUCUUACACUGCUUGAUCAUGGAUACGAUGAUUUGGAAAGAAUUGACUCUGCAGAGUUUGUACUUAACCACAGCCAACGGAUUUCAGUAGUCACGGGGACUAGUUCCAUCUACGGUGUUUUGAAAGGAACACGUCUAACCAGUACACACCCAAUUCAACCAUCCGAAGCCAGGGAUCACCCUCGGCAACUUUCAAGAAAAACCUUGAGACGGGGAGGCUACAACCUCGCGUAGCAUGGGAUCAAAUUUCUAUACGCGCGCUUUAAGGGGGUGCCCCCCCUCUCGGUCCCAACCGGAAACACCCAUGCCCCCUGACCGAAUGACUGGCUUUAAUCCUGGGCCAAGGUACCAUCAUCCCGGCCUCUCUGUUUGGUGUGUACACGGAAAGAGGUUACCAACUUACUAAACCGCAUCCUGGCAAUGAGACAUGUGGUAGCACAGAAAGGGGAAAGAACGGUAACGCGGCUCCAACCACGUUAACGUCGGAGAAAGUCGAAUGUCGCAAGGCUGGCAUGCUACAACAGUACCACCUUGCUGCCAUUCAUGUCACCACAUGAUUAGGCCACCUCUCAUCAGAGGUCAUCGCAACUUUGGAACGACCGAGUCGUUGCCUUACAAGCAACGAGGUAUUUACCGACACCCAUAUGCCACGCACAACUUUCACGUGAACAUGUAAAACAUCUGUCAUAUCAAAUGUUCAAAACAUGCUUGCCUGGUUUGGAGAAGUCGGAGUCUAGCUCGGCGAAGUUCGCGGCUCCGUCACCUCUCCCGGAACCUACGGCAAUCACGAAACGGGUACUAACGUGAAAACCAACACAUGCACAGAAAAUUUUCCAAAUAUUUUUCAAAUAAAUUCCAUAAAAAACUAGACAAAAUUUGAAGAUUGUCAGAAAAAGAAUCACUCAAAAAUACCUUUUUAUUAAAAAGUUAUAAAGGUUUCUGUCCAGGGACUUAUCUGUAAUGAAACAGAAAAGUUCCAGGGUUUUAACUAAGAAAACAGAAAACGCUUCGGCUGGGAAUGCGCAAGCGCAAAGGGGAAAACGUAUUCUGCCCGAAGGCGCCAACAGAAAACGGUUCGUGAAAUAAAAGAACAGAGGCUGACAUGCGGGGUGCACAUGUCAGGUUUGAAAAGCUCGCCGGCGCCCGAAGACUGCGGUGGACGCCAGCGUCGAACCACGGCGAGUUAGGAGGAACGGAGGGUACCAAGAGCUUCAGCGUCCUCUUCCGCGUCGGUGGGUGGUGGACUCGUCCAACGGGGUGCACUAUGUGGACGGCGACACUUUCUCCGGCGGACGGCAGCUUGGGUGAGGAUGGGGAACUCCGGUGGAGGGCUGCAAGCUUCAAAAUGGAGUGCGGGUCAGAAAGAGGGAUGCAUGGUGAAGCUACUGGCAAGAGGAUGGAUGCGGAGGAGCACACACGGGGGCGAAUCGGGCUGGAUCCCGUGGCGGGUCGCGGCGGCCGGAGUCGAGGAAGGAGACCUCCUCGGGGCUCUUCCAGUGGCUAGGCGUGCUCUAGGGGGAGUGCAGGGCUGGUGGGUGCUCGAGUUGAAGCUCGAUGCCUCUAUUUAUAGGCAGAUCGACGGGGUGGCCGUGAACGGAGAAUCUCCGGCGAGCGAUUAUGGCGGAGCAGUGGAUUGGCAGGGGGUUUGAGCGGCCGGGCAGCAUCAGUGGAGGUUACUGGACUCGUUUUGCAGUUAAACGGGGUCGGUCUUGGCGUAAUGGCGUCGGUCCACGGUGAGGUGACCGCACGGGCUCAACGGUGGCAGAGAGCGCACUCCGCGCCCUGCGGUUCACGACGAGAGCGGUAGCGCGUUCGGGGGAGUGGAAGGCCACGCGGCGAGCUCCGGUGGUUUGGGCGGCGCUGGGUGGCGUCGUCGGCGCCGUGUCUCCUGCUGGCGUCCGCAAAGCCGCCGCCGGCGUCGGUCACGGGGCGGCGCACCUUCUGCUGCUCGUCGCUGACGCCCGCAAGGCGCCAGGCGUUCGUGCGGUGCAGGAACAAGAGGGCGGGGACGAGGAGUAAGGCGACGCGGUGGCACUGGCGAGAUCGACGUCCGCUUCUAAAGAAAACGACAGGAGCCACUUGACUGAAUCUCUGAAACUCUGAACUUGACAAUGACCAUGCACUGCAGGUGUUCGACAGGAGGUUUUGGCCAUGAGAUAAAUUUUUCUGGAGCUGUAACUUGGUGAGAUGACCACUCAAUGCACCCAGAGGCUGCCUGAUUUUACUUGGAAUUUAUGGAGAAGGUUUGGAAUGAAUUUCACCAAAUUUGGCAAAUCUGGUCCAAAGUUGCAGCAAGUGUAGUUUGAAAAUUUUGAACUGAAGACCAGUGGAUCUUCAUGGUUCUAGGUUGAGGGUACAAAGGACUAGGAGGGAGAGUUGGUUUGGUGGCAAAAAUCAAAACAGAAAAUGGAGUUCCUUUGUAAAACUCCAAGUUGUAGAAUAGAGGACAGAAAUUUCAUUUGAAUAGAAUUUGAAUGGAAAUAAACACAUGGGGAGGUUCAACUUGCUGGAUUUGAUGUAAAUCAUGAUCCAAAGGUGAGGAAGUGGUUAGGAGAGAGGAUUUGCACUAAUGCCAUGGCAAGAAGGAAUUGUUGAAAGUGGCAAAGGACUUUCCAAAAGCCAUAGUGCAAAAUCUCAAGGAGAUUUUCAAAAGUUAUUUUCCCAAAUGAAAAACAUUUUGUCUUGAGUCCAAAGGAAAAGCAAGAACUUCCAAGACCAAAGGCAGAUCUUGGGUGAAUCCAAAUAAAACUUUUGCCAUAAAGAAAAGUAUAUGAGAGGGAGAGUUCUCUUGAAGAAAAAUUUAAAUCACUUCCCUCAAGUCAAAUAAAAAUCUUUUGAAAAAAAAUCCAAAUAAAAACUUGGGUGUCACACCACCUACCCCCUUAGGAAAAAUCUCGUCCUCGAGAUUUCUGCUGAUCCUCAAAUAGAUAUGGAUACUCUGCUCGAAGGAAAUCCUCCCUUUCCCAUGUAGCUUCAUCCUCAGUGUGGUUGCUCCACUGAACCCUGAAAAACUUUGUCGUUUUCUGACGGGUCCUCCGUUCAGACUCUUCUAAAGUCUUUACUGGUCUUUCUCUAUAGGUGAGAUCUGGUUGCAUAUCAAUGUCCUCAUGAGGUACAUGUUUUUCUGGGUUGCUCACACAUCUUCUUAACUGUGAGACGUGGAACACGUCAUGGACGUCUGACAGCUCCUUGGGGAGGUCUAGUUGGUAGGCCACCGUGCCUCUUCGUGCCUUUACACAAAAUGGUCCAAUAAACCUUGGGGCUAGCUUCCCCUUUAUUUUGAACCGUUGCAGACCCCUCAUAGGAGAUACUCGGAGGUAUACGGAAUCAACGGGUUCAAAGCUGACCUCACGAUGCUUCUGAUCAUAGUAGCUCUUUUGUCGGCUCAGCGCCGUCCUGAGUCUGUCCCUGAUCUGUUUAACUUUCUCCUCGGCCUCUUUAAGCAUGUCUGGGCCGAAGAUACGGCUGUCACCUGUUUCUGACCAAUUCAGAGGGGUACGACAUCUUCGUCCGUACAACGCUUCAAAGGGUGCCAUUUGCAAGCUGGCUUGGUAACCGUUGUUGUAAGCAAUUUCGGCAUACGGCAAACUUUCUUCCCAACUGGAUCCAUAGGUGAGCACACAGGCUCUUAGCAUAUCCUCUAGGAUUUGGUUUACACGUUCUGUUUGUCCAUCGGUCUGAGGGUGGUAUGCUGUACUGAAAGCCAGUUGCGUGCCCAGAACUUGUUGUAGGUGAUCCCAAAAUUUGGAGACAAAUUGGGUGCCUCGGUCUGAUAUUAUAGUCUUUGGGACUCCGUGCAAGCAAACUAUACGGGAGAGAUAAAGUUUUGCCAGUCUUUGUGUGGAGUAGGUAGUCUUCACGGGAAUGAAAUGAGCAACCUUGGUUAGUCGGGCUGUGAUGACCCAUAUGGCGUCAUUUCCGCGUUGUGAUCGGGGUAAUCCGACAAUGAAGUCCAUUCCUAUUUCAUCCCAUUUCCACUCUGGUAUCCUGUUAGGCUGGAGUAGUCCUGCUGGCUUUUGGUGCUCGGCCUUGAUGCGCUGACAUGAAUCGCAACAAGCGAUGAAUGUGGCUAUAUCUCUUUUCAUACCGUGCCACCAAAAUCUUUCCUGGAUGUCCUUGUACAUUUUGGUUCCUCCAGGAUGGAUCGAGUAUGGGGCGGUGUGGAUUUCCGUCAAGAUCUGUUGCUUGAGUUUCUCAAUGUUAGGUACGCAAAGUCUGUCUCGGUACCAUAAUGUUCCUUCACUGUCUGUGACGAACUCUGAAGUCUUACUAAGAUUCAUUUUCUUCUUUAUGCCUUCGAUGCUGGGAUGUCCUUGUUGAGCCUUCUUGAUUUGUUCCACUAGGGUGGGUUGUAUCUCCAGGUUUGAUACGGUGCCCUCAGAGACUAACAUCAUGUUGAGCCUAGUGAACUCUCGCUGAAACUCAGGCCUCAAAUUUUGCUGACCGUCACUGUCCGGGCUGGGGUUUCGACUAAGGGCAUCGGCCACUACAUUAGCUUUCCCUGGGUGGUAGUGAAUACCGACAUCAUAGUCCUUGACUAGUUCCAACCAGCGUCGUUGGCGUAAAUUCAGCUCUGGCUGUGUGAAAAUAUAUUUGAGGCUCUUAUGGUCCGUAUAUAUUUCACAGCGAUUUCCCAACAGAAAGUGCCUCCACUCCUUGAGUGCAUGUAUGACUGCUGCUAGCUCCAAGUCAUGUGUUGGGUAAUUUUCCUCAUGUUUUCGCAGCUGCCUGGAGGCAUAUGUGACAACUUUGCCAUCCUGCAUUAGCACACAUCCGAGACCUUUUCGGGACGCGUCACAAUACACUUCAAAGCUCUUGUGUAUGUUUGGCACAGUUAAGACCGGUGCGGUUGUCAGCUUCUUCUUGAGUUCUUGGAAGCUCUGCUCUCAUGCUUCUUUCCAUACAAUUUUUUUGUCCUUCUUGAGUAACUGUGUUAUAGGCUUUGCCACAGUGGAGAACCCUUCAAUAAAUCUUCUGUAAUAUCCGGCCAUUCCUAGGAAACUCCACACAUCUGUAACAUUCACGGGUGGCUUCCAGUCUAGUAUGGCAUUGACCUUUUCUGGGUCUACGGCCACGCCUUCUUGGUUCAGUAUAUGGCCUAAGAAACCAACUUGUCUUAGCCAAAAUUCGCACUUGCUAAAUUUGGCGUACAACUGAUGUUUCCUCAAUUCACCCAAAACAAUUCUGAGGUGCUCAGCAUGCUCUUCUGGUGUCCACGAGUAAACCAGAAUAUCGUCAAUGAAUACCACCACAAAUUUGUCCAUGAAUUUCAUGAACACUUUGUUCAUGAGGUGGACGAAAUAUGCGGGGGCGUUCGUUAGUCCAAAAGGCAUCACUGUAAACUCGUAUAACCCAUAUCUGGAAGUGAAAGCUGUCUUGGGAAUAUCUUCCGUCCGUACCUUCAAUUGGUGAUAUCCCGAUCUCAUAUCAAUCUUUGAGAAUACCUUGGCCUGUGCGAGCUGGUCAAACAAAUCAUUUAUUCGUGGCAUCGGAUAUUUGUUUUUGAUGGUGACCAUAUUGAGGGCUCGAUAGUCUAUGCACAGCCUCAGUGUCCCAUCUUUCUUCUUAGCGAACAACACAGGCGAACCCCAAGGUGAGGAGCUGGCUCGAAUAAAUCCUUUGUCCAACAAUUCCUUUAUCUGCUUCUUCAAUUCCACCAAUUCUGAGGGUGCCAUUCUAUAAGGCUUCUUAUAGAUGGGAGCGGUGCCAGGUGCUAGUUCAAUGCUAAAUUCGAUCUCUCAGUCUGGUGGCAUGCCUGGUAGUUCUUCAGGAAACACAUCAGGAAACUCGCAUACCACUGGAACUUUUCUCAGUUCUGCAAUGUCCAUUUUGUUCAGUUUUGGUUGCUGUGAUCGUGGCCUUUCUUGGGCGGAAACUCUUAUAGUCUUGCCGUGAUGGUGAGUGAGAAUCACUGUCCGAUUGAAACAGUCGAUGAAUCCUUUGUUGGUGGUCAACCAGUCCAUCCCUAAAAUGACAUCCAGUCCUUUACUUUCCAAUACGAUGAGGUUCGCGUGGAAUUGUAGUCCUUCGAACUCAAUGACCACUCUUUGGCAGUAACCUUGAGCGAUUUGCGUAUUUCCGGGGGACUUGAUGGUCAUAGAUUUUUCCAAGGGAAGUAUCGGAAAACCAUGUUGCGAAACAAAACUCUUCGAAACGAACGAAUGGGAAGCUCCAGAAUCAAACAAAACCGUGGCAGGUACUGUGUUGACAGGGAACGUACCGAGCACGAUGUCUGGGGCAUUCUGCGCUUCUUCCCUGGUCACAUGGUUCAGGUGACCCUUCCUGUGGUUGUUGCUGGGGUUGAAGUUGUUGCGCUUGGGGGCUGGAUUGUUCCCACCAUUGUUCGGCUUGGGUGCCGAGUCUCUUGGCUUCGGGCACUGUUUAGCAUAAUGCCCUUGUUGACCACAUGCAUAGCAGGUGACCCCUGGACGGUAUGUGAACUCCUUGUCCCUGGCAUGAAAUUGUCCGACGGGCCUUGGCUCAGUAGUCGUGGAUCUCCUUGCGUCUGUCCUUGGGACCUCAGUCUUGCCCCGGUUGCUGCGGGCAAGAGUCGUCUUGUCCCUCUUUCGCUUGCGGAUAUCCUCCAGACUACGGCGCUCAUUCUCCAGGGUGAUGGCCUUGUCCACCAGCGUCUUAAAAUCCGGAAAGGUGUGCACGAUCAGUUGGCAUCUUAACGCUGGUGCCAGGCCGUCCAGGAUUUUUUUCCAUCUUCUUGCUUUCUGUCAUGUGCUCGUCGUAGGCAUAACGAGACAGCUGGGUGAACUGACCAUUGUACUCGGUCACUAACAUGCCUCUUUGCUUCAGGUCAUCGAACUCUCUCUUCUUGAUCUUUAGGAUGCUCCUGGGGAUGUGUGCCCCACGGAAGCCUUCCUUGAACUCUUCCCAGGUGAUGUUGUGUUCCCUGGGAUGCAUGUGUAAGAAGUUUUCCCACCAUGCUGCGGCUGCUCCAGUAAGGUAGUGUGGUGCAUAAAGCACCUUCUCAUGAUCUGAGCACUAAGCAAUAAUCAGUUUCCUUUCAAUCUCACGAAGCCAAUCAUCGGCUUCUAGCGGUCUGUCGGUGUGAGCAAAAGUUGAGGGGCGAGUUUUCUGUAACUCAGAUAACUUGGAAUGGGGUUGAUAGGGUUCACGGUGGUUUCCCAUGUUGAUGACAUGGUUCAUCAUCUCUUGGUGCUGUUGCUGGCUUUGCUCGAAGAGACGGCAUACUUGAGAUAGUGCUGCUUCGCUGUCUUGUUGGCUGGACUGACCCUGAGUGAAAUUGUUGCUGGUCUGUGUCCUGUAAACCUCUUCUGGCUGAUUGGGCAUGGAGCGAGUCCACGGGCGAGACAUUUUUCCAGUCUGGGGUAUUAUUUGCAAGACCCAUGAGAAAAAUUGUGUAGUACAAAAAUCUCGCAAAGGCAAAAAUAAAAAGGCUUCAAGGUUUUCAAAGAAACACAAAUGAUUUUUCAUGGAGAAGAAGUGCUUAACAUAAAACUUACAUGCGAAAAGCAAACACAUGAUACAUCACUCAGGAUGCGCGUACAUAUCCUGACAUGUUAUUAAAAACUAGCGUACUACUCCGGAAGGCAGCAAACAUACCAAUACAAACUAGCGUACAGAUAAAACAACACAUCAUACAAGAAGGCAUAACACGCGGCUACUCGGUGCUCUCAGUCAGAGAUGGUGAAGAUCUCCUUCCCCUUACCGAUGGCAAGGCUCAGCGGUCCAGGAGAAUAAACCUCCUCCUCUCUAGCUGGCUCCUGGCGCGGGACGCUGCGCUGCGGAGAUGGUGCGGGGGCGACUGGUGGUAGAGCGCGUGCGGCAGGCGGUGCGGCUCUGACUGGAGUAGGAGCGAUGACUCGGUCGAACUCCUCAGUGGUAGGCAGACGACAAGCAGUGGCCAUAACGGCCGGUGCAUACGAGGCUGAAGACGAGGCGAAUGUCAGAGGCGGCGCCGUGUGGAGAAGCUCCUUCCUGCUGGCAGGACCGCCCCGGACUAAGUCCAUGCGGGCAGCCACAAGAUCAUCUACGAGGUUGUCGAAAGACUCCUCCAGAGCCUUGAGAUACUCCACAACCAUCUCGAUGGCUUCAUCUCGUUCUCCCCGAUGGCAGGCGAACGCAUAGUGGCUGGUGUAAGGCACAUGGCAUGGGAGGUAGCGGUAGCGACGAGUCUUCAUCGUAGGAAGGAUGUCCCGAAGGCGAGCUAUCGCCUCGCGGGCAGCCAUCUACAUGGCAUGCCUCUCCGUAGGCAUGGCCCUUCCCGUAAAACGGAAGUGACGAGCAGCAGAACGUCCUCCCCGGAACUGCACCACGGCUUGGUGCAUAGACACGUCGUCACUGAGCUUGUGCUGAUAGAGCGUGAACUCUGGGCGAGCUGCUGGCCCGAUCGCGAGCUUGGUGAUGGAGUCGAGGAGCUUGACAAACCCCUCGGGCACGUUGGUGAACACUCGAUUCUCACAGCUGCUGCCAGCCAUCUACAAAAGUAGGCAAAAAUUCUGAGUAGUCAUGUCAUAAAUUUAUGAUGACCAACAGAAAAUAGCUACAAUUGCAAAAUGCUGAAAAAGCACAAAAACGCUAAUAACCGAUUAGCGAUCGCACCUAGUGGCUUCCUACAGUCAGCCUGGCUCUGAUACCAAGCUUGUCACGACUGGUUUUUCAAUAAAAUAAUUAUUGAGAGACCCAUCCCUUUUACGGACCAGCGAGGAAGAAUUCCUUCUCGCUGGUAGACAAUAUCUUGGUCACAGAAGAAAAAUACCAGGAGUACUAAAUAUAAUACAAGGUUGAGCAGAGACUGCCCAACAAUUUAUUACAUGCACGCCGCUAAAACAAAACGGCGGAUAGGGUGGCAACUACUAACUCACGAUAAUAACGGUGGCGGAAAUAUCACCGCGAAGUGAGUGAUAUGAUUCCAGAAGACUACAGCUCUUCGAGCGUCUGAGUGAGGCUCGUGGACACUUAUUGCGGGUGGCGGAAGCGUAUACAAUACAAGUGACCAAUAUCCGGGAUCGCGCAGGACUGACUGGGACUCCUCUAGGCAUCGGACGCGCUAUCAAACUCUUCAUCCAAGAGAUCGCCUUCGUCAGCAUCUGGCCAAAUCAACAAGCCAGGUGAGUACUAUGAAAGUACUCGCAAGACAGUUCAAACAUAAGAUAUGACAAACAUAAACAUGAAGCAUAUGAACAAGUUAACUGGUGCGAUUAUACAUAACGGUAAUAGAUACUGGGUGCCAAGCGAGGGUCUGAAUGACGCCUCGAGCGGAAACUGCAGAAUAGUAAUACUGGUGCCAAACGAGUGUCUGAAAGACUCCUCGAGCGGAAAAUGCGGAAUAUUAAUGCGGGUGCCAAGCGAGUGUCUGAAAGACUCCUCGAGCGGAAAAUGCGGAAUAUUAAUGCGGGUGCCAAGCGAGUGUCUGAAAGACUCCUCGAGCGGAAAAUGCGGAACAAUAAUGCCACAGUCAGGCGUCGGGGCGACACCACAUAAAGGGCUUAUAACAGGAAAUAAUAGACAGUGCAUGCCGCAGUCGGACGUCUGAGCGACAUCACAUAAAGGGCUUAUAUUUAAAGUAAGAAACAAGUGCAGGCCACAGUCGGACGUCUGCGCGACGUCACAUAAAGGGCUUAUAUCACAACUCAUUAAUACCAUAGUUUGGGAAUAUAAAUUAUCACAGGCAUGAGACAAAUAUAAAGUUAGUCCAUCCACAGAAAUAACAAUAAAUCUGGAUUUUUCCACUUGAGCUUGUUCACCAGGGCAAGUUUUUCACACAGAUAGAUAUGGAUAUAAUUCUUACACUGCUUGAUCAUGGAUACGAUGAUUUGGAAAGAAUUGACUCUGCAGAGUUUGUACUUAACCACAGCCAACGGAUUUCAGUAGUCACGGGGACUAGUUCCGUCUACGGUGUUCUGGAAGGAACACGUCUAACCAGUACACACCCAAUUCAACCAUCCGAAGCCAGGGAUCACCCUCGGCAACUUUCAAGAAAAACCUUGAGACGGGGAGGCUACAACCUCGCGUAGCAUGGGAUCAAAUUUCUAUACGCGCGCUUUAAGGGGGUGCCCCCCCUCUCGGUCCCAACCGGAAACACCCAUGCCCCCUGACCGAAUGACUGGCUUUAAUCCUGGGCCAAGGUACCAUCAUCCCGGCCUCUCUGUUUGGUGUGUACACGGAAAGAGGUUACCAACUUACUAAACCGCAUCCUGGCAAUGAGACAUGUGGUAGCACGGAAAGGGGAAAGAACGGUAACGCGGCUCCAACCACGGUAACGUCGGAGAAAGUCGGAUGUCGCAAGGCUGGCAUGCUACAACAGUACCACCUUGCUGCCAUUCAUGUCACCACAUGAUUAGGCCACCUCUCAUCAGAGGUCAUCGCAACUUUGGAACGACCGAGUCGUUGCCUUACAAGCAACGAGGUAUUUACCGACACCCAUAUGCCACGCACAACUUUCACGUGAACAUGUAAAACAUCUGUCAUAUCAAAUGUUCAAAACAUGCUUGCCUGGUUCGGAGAAGUCGGAGUCUAGCUCGGUGAAGUUCGCGGCUCCGUCACCUCUCCCGGAACCUACGGCAAUCACGAAACGGGUACUAACGUGAAAACCAACACAUGCACAGAAACUUUUCCAAAUAUUUUUCAAAUAAAUUCCAUAAAAAACUAGACAAAAUUUGAAGAUUGUCAGAAAAAGAAUCACUCAAAAAUACCUUUUUAUUAAAAAGUUAUAAAGGUUUCUGUCCAGGGACUUAUCUGUAAUGAAACAGAAAAGUUCCAGGGUUUUAACUAAGAAAACAGAAAACGCUUCGGCUGGGAAUGCGCAAGCGCAAAGGGGAAAAUGUAUUCUGCCCGAAGGCGCCAACAGAAAACGGUUCGUGAAAUAAAAGAACAGAGGCUGACAUGCGGGGUCCACAUGUCAGGUUUGUAAAGCUCGCCGGCGCCCGAAGACUGCGGUGGACGCCGGCGUCGAACCACGGCGAGUUAGGAGGAACGGAGGGUACCAAGAGCUUCAGCGUCCUCUUCCGCGUCGGUGGGUGGUGGACUCGUCCAACGGGGAGCACUAUGUCGACGGCGACACUUUCUCCGGCGGACGGCGGCUCGGGUGAGGAUGGGGAACUCCGGUGGAGGGCUGCAAGCUUCAAAAUGGAGUGCGGGUCAGAAAGAGGGAUGCAUGGUGAAGCUACUGGCAAGAGGAUGGAGGCGGAGGAGCACACACGGGGGCGAAUCGUGCUGGAUCCCGUGGCGGGGCGCGGCGGCCGGAGUCGAGGAAGGAGACCUCCUCGGGGCUCUUCCAGUGGCUAGGCGUGCUCUAGGGGGAGUGCAGGGCUGGUGGGUGCUCGAGUUGAAGCUCGGGGCCUCUAUUUAUAGGCAGAUCGACGGGGUGGCCAUGAACGGAGAAUCUCCGGCGAGCGAUUACGGCGGAGCAGUGGAUUGGCAGGGGGUUUGAGCGGCCGGGCAGCAUCAGUGGAGGUUACUGGACUCGUUUUGCAGUUAAACGGGGUCGGUCUUGGCGUAAUGGCGUCGGUCCAUGGUGAGGUGACCGCACGGGCUCAACGGCGGCAGAGAGCGCGCUCCGCGCCCUGCGGUUCACGACGAGAGCGGCAGCGCGUUCGAGGGAGUGGAAGGCCACGCGGCGAGCUCCGGUGGUUUGGGCGGCGCUGGGUGGCGUCGUCGGCGUCGUGUCUCCUGCUGGCGUCCGCAAAGCCGCCGCCGGCGUCGGUCACGGGGCGGCGCACCUUCUGCUGCUCGUCGCCGACGCCCGCAAGGCGCCAGGCGUUCGUGCGGUGCAGGAACAAUAGGGCGGGGACGAGGAGCAAGGCGACGCGGUGGCACUGGCGAGAUCGACGUCCGCUUCUGAAGAAAACGACAGCAGCCACUUGACUGAAUCUCUGAAACUCUGAACUUGACAAUGACCAUGCACUGCAGGUGUUCGACAGGAGGUUUUGGCCAUGAGAUAAAUUUUUCUGGAGUUGUAACUUGGUGAGAUGACCACUCAAUGCACCCAGAGGCUGCCUGAUUUUACUUGGAAUUUAUGGAGAAGGUUUGGAAUGAAUUUCACCAAAUUUGGCAAAUCUGGUCCAAAGUUGCAGCAAGUGUAGUUUGAAAAUUUUGAACUGAAGACCAGUGGAUCUUCAUGGUUCUAGGUUGAGGGUACAAAGGACUAGGAGGGAGAGUUGGUUUGGUGGCAAAAAUCAAAACAGAAAAUGGAGUUCCUUUGUAAAACUCCAAGUGGUAGAAUAGAGGACAGAAAUUUCAUUUGAAUAGAAUUUGAAUGGAAAUAAACACAUGGGGAGGUUCAACUUGCUGGAUUUGAUGUAAAUCAUGAUCCAAAGGUGAGGAAGUGGUUAGGAGAGAGGAUUUGCACUAAUGCCAUGGCAAGAAGGAAUUGUUGAAAGUGGCAAAGGACUUUCCAAAAGCCAUAGUGCAAAAUCUCAAGGAGAUUUUCAGAAGUUAUUUUCCCAAAUGGAAAACAUUUUGUCUUGAGUCCAAAGGAAAAGCAAGAACUUCCAAGACCAAAGGCAAAUCUUGGGUGAAUCCAAAUAAAACUUUUGCCAUAAAGAAAAGUAUGUGAGAGGGAGAGUUCUCUUGAAGAAAAAUUUAAAUCACUCCCCUCAAGUCAAAUAAAAAUCUUUUGAAAAAAAAUCCAAAUAAAAACUUGGGUGUCACAUGGCGCGCCCCCCAAGCCCAGUCUGAGUUGGACAAGGGGUUGGGGGCGCGGCCCCCCUCUCCCUUCCUUCCCCCUUCUCCUUUAGGUGGAAACCUACUAGGACUUGGAGUCCUAGUAGGAUUCCCCUUCUCCCGGCGCGCCUAGCUUGUCCGACCGGCCUCCCCCUCCCUCCUUUAUAUACGGGGGCAGGGGGGCACCCUAGAACACACAAGUUUUCUCUUAACCGUGUGCGGUGCCCCCUCCACAGUUACACACCUCGAUCAUACUAUCGUAGUGCUUAGGCGAAGCCCUGCGUCGGUAACAUCAUCAUCACCGUCGCCACGUCGUCGUGCUGACGGAACUCACCCUCGUCCUGAACUGGAUCAUGAGUACGAGGGACGUCAUUGAGCUGAACGUGUGCUGAACGCGGAGGUACCAUACGUUCGGUACUUGUAUCGGUUGGAUCGCGAAGAAGUUCAACUACAUCAACCGCGUUACUAAACGCUUCUGCUUUCAGUCUACGAGGGUACGUGGACACACUCUCCCCUCUUGUUGCUAUGCAUCUCCUAGAUACAUCUUGCGUGAUCGUAGGAAUUUUUUUGAAAUUACUGCGUUCCCCAACAGUGGCAUCCGAGCCAGGUCUAUGCGUAGAUGUUAUAUGCACGAGUAGAACACAAUGAGUUGUGGGCGAUAAUAGUCAUACUGCUGACCAGGAACGUCCUACUUUGAUUCGGCGAUAUUGUUGGAUGAAGCGGCCUAGACCGACAUUACAUGACCGCGUUCAUGAGACUGGUUCUACCGACGUGCUUCGCACACAAGUGGCUAGUGGGUGUCUGUUUCUCCAACUUUAGUUGAAUCGAGUUUGACUACGCCCGGUCCUUGUUGAAGGUUAAAACAACACACUUGACGAAAAAUCAUUGUGGUUUUGAUGCAUAGGUAAGAACAGUUCUUGCUAAGCCCAUAGCAGCCAUGUAAAACUUGCAACAACAAAGUAGAGGAUGUCUAACUUGUUUUUGCAGGGCAUGUUGUGAUGUGAUAUGGUCAAGACGUGAUGAUAUAUAAAUUGUUGUAUGAGCUGAUCAUGUUUUGUAAAAGUUAUCGGCAACUGGCAGGAGCCUUAUGGUUGUCGCUUUAUCGUAUGAAAUGCAAUUGCCAUGUAAUUGCUUUACUUUAUCACUAAGCGGUACCGAUAGUCGUAGAAGUAAUAGUUGGCGAGAUGACAAUGAUGCUUUGAUGGAGAUCAAGGUGUCAAGCCGGUGACGAUGGUGAUCAUGACGAUGCUUUGGAGAUGGCGAUCAAAGGCACAAGAUGAUGAUGGCCAUAUCAUAUCACUUAUUUUGAUUGCAUGUGAUGUUUAUCCUUUAUGCAUCUUAUUUUUCUUAGUACGGCGGUAACAUUAUAAGAUGAUCCCUCACUAAAUUUCAAGGUAUACGUGUUCUCCCUGAGUAUGCACCGUUGAUAUAGUUUGUCGUGCCGAGACACCACGUGAUGAUCGGGUGUGAUAAGCUCUACGUUCACAUACAACGGGUGCAAGCCAGUUUUGCACACGCAGAAUACUCGGGUUAAACUUGACAAGCCUAGCAUAUGAAGAUAUGGCCUCGGAACACUGAGACCGAAAGGUCGAACGUGAAUCAUAUAGUAGAUAUGAUCAACAUAGUGAUGUUCACCAUUGAAAGCUACUCCAUCUCACAUGAUGAUCGGACAUGGUUUAGUUGAUUUGGAUCACGUGAUUAUUUAGAUGACUAGAGGGAUGUCUAUCUAAGUGGGAUUUCUUAAGUAAUAUGAUUAAUUGAACUUUAAUUUAUCAUGACCUUAGUCCUGAUAGUUAUUUUUCAUGUCUAUGUUAUUGUAGAUCAAUGGCCCGUGCUACCGUUCUGUCGGAUUUUGGGUUUCGGCAAAACCCUUGAGGUUCGAACACUGGGGUGCGCACGAAGAUCUCUCCCUCCCCCUAGCACGCUCUCGCAAUGAUCGCCAGACCUAGCGCGUCGAACCCAAAGAACAAAGGGACAGAAGGUUUAUACUGGUUCGGGCCACCGAUGUGGUGUAAUACCCUACUCCAGUGUGGUGUGGUGGAUUGCCUCUUGGGCUGAGGAUGAAUAGUUACAAGGGAAGAACAGCCUCCUGAGGAGAGGUGUUCUUGUGCUCAGUGAGCUGGUGUGGUGUCUCGCCAGCCGAUCUCUCUCUCUCUCCCGCUCUAUGGUGGUGGCUAGUCCUAUUUAUAGAUGCCUUGGUCCUCUUCCCAACUAUUGAGCGGGAAGGGAUCCCACAACGUCCAAGUUUGAAGGGGGACAGCUAGUACAAGUUAUCCUGACAAAAGUAGUCUUCACCGUCCAAAGGCUCUGGUGGUGACGCCGCCUCGGGCUCCGCGAUGACCUCCGUCCUGCCGUCCUGCUGGCCUUGGUCUCGUUGCACCGAUAUGGACAGCUUUGCCUGAUGCCUUGGGACUCCUCGCCUGUGCUUGCCUCUUUAGCACCAAAGAGGAAACGAGGACACUGCGUGCGCUGGCGCCCGCCUGGUCAUGGUCGUCAUGGCUUAGGUCACGGGAACCUCGCGAGGUGCCCCUUGCCUUGAUCUCUCCGCCCCUCGCGAGCCAGCCUGGUGAGGCCGCCCCCGAGGAGGUCUUGCAUCGUCCGCCUCGCGAGGCUUGGCCCCUCGCGAGGAUCUUGAGUGUUUGCUGGUGAAGAUGGGCCGUACGGGGCCACUGGUGGAGCCACGCCGUGGGCCGCAGGCAGGCAAGUCUGGGGACCCCCGUUCCUAGAACGCCGACAGUAGCCCCCGGGCCCAAGGCGCGCUCGGACUUGGCUUCAGGGCGAAGCCAAGGGGCAAGUGCGGAGCACCGCGGGCCCCAAUAGCUUGCGGCCCCGCUUGACGCGUGGCGAUUGAUUGGACGUGGGCGUCUCCGCUUCCCCACGCUGCCUUGGCAACUGCCCGUCUGACAAAAGACUGGCGCGGGCAACGCUUGCCUUCAUUGCUUUCCUUCAUCUUACUCCAGAUCCCCUUUCUCGCUCCUUGCUUCCAAAAUCUCCAGAUCUGCUUCAAUUCUCUUCCGAGCCAGUGACCAAUGGCGCCCCGCAAGGUCAAGGCUGCUUUGCCGCCCGCCUGGUACGAGCCGGCUCUGGACGCGCCAACGUCUCGGAGAAGAACCUCGCCGCCACGCGUCUGCUGACGGCGGGGGAGGACAACGAGAGGGGGAAGACCAAGCUCCGGGCUGGCUCCGCCGAGCCGGAGGUCUCGAGAAGCACCUUCUACCCCUUCUCCAUGAGCAGCGUCCUUGCCGGGUUGGUUCCCCCCUUCUCCGACUUCUUCUACGCCGUCCUUAGACAUUACAAGCUGCAGGCCCUUCACCUUCAUCCCAGCUCUGUUCUUCUCCUGUCGAUUUUCGCCUUCUACUACGAGGCAUAUGUCGGGGUGAUGCCAUCCGUGGCUCUGCAGCGCCACUUCUUCUUCCUCCAGAUCAAUGACGGCCACACCUCUAGGUGCGCCAACUUCUUCGCGGCUAGCAAGGCCAACGCGAUCUCGAAGGAUGGAAAGAAGGCCGAGGGCUUCAGCAGCAAGUGGGUCAUGAUGGAUGCCAAGUUCGUCCACCCACGGUUGACGCUGCCGAUGGAGAUGUCCCAGUCCGGUGAAGGAUGGCUCUGCCCGAAGCUUACUGACGACCGGGCGAAGCCAGUGCUAGAGAAGAUGACUGUCGACCUGAAGCCGGGCAACGCGAAGGCGGCGAAGAUGACGGGGGCCAUGCUCCUGAGGGAAUUCCUGAUGCUGCGUGUGGACCCGCUCCAGGCGCGCUCACGCCCCUUGUGGACGCUUGGGCGCGAAGAAGAUAAGCUUCGCUUGAGCCCGGAUGUCGGAGUAAUGGGCCACAAGUAGCCUAACCCGAUUCCCUGAACCUUUCAAGACAUCGGGGCCGGCUGCGCCCCUCAAGACAUCAAGAUGAAGCGCCGCCUUCUGAUGGCCGGUUGGCCCAAGCGGCCGGCUGCCAGAAGGCGGCUAAGCUCCAGAAGGCAGCACCAAGACGGGCCGACUCCUUGCAGGCGGCAUCCAGAGAGGCCGGCUCCUAGCAGUCGGGCCACGGCGCCCUCAAAGUCUGUGCCCUCAUUAAGAAGACAAGACCGGGUGUGGCUACGGUGUAGUUCAUCACCCCCACAUCCAGGGUGAGGCGCGGCCACAGUACCCCAUACAGGCGGAGAUCUUCGCACGGCGCGACACUGUUGCCACUCCUCCCGUGACGUCACUCCUGUCAGGCAGAGCCCUGCUCCCACGAUGGCCUGUCGAUACGGCCUGCAGGCGGCGGGCCCUACCAGACAGCGAGAGCCCGGAGGACGGCGGAAGCUUGACCAGUCGGACCCGAGGGAGGCCGACUUCUAGCAGGCGGCCCGUUCCUCCCUUGGGGCCCGCGCACCAUUAACUAGAUGAGACCAGUCAGCGGUCUCCCACCAGGCGGCGGGGCUGUAGCCACGCUCCCCUAACCAAGCAUGCAUCAUUAGCACUGCGGCUACAGUGAUCAGCCGCCGACCAGACCUGCAAGCGGCGGAGGCGGCCUACCGGCUCUGUACCAGACCAGUCAGCGGGCCCCAGCAGCCAGCAGAGAAGCCGGCGACCAGAGACACUGACAGCCGGGUCCUACACCCGGCCAGAUUACCAUUGUACCCCUGGGGGGUAGGCCUAUAUAAACCCCCUAGGGCACCCAUGCAAAGGGUUUCCAACCUAUUAGAACUAGAGUCACACAUAGAGAGAGGAGAGGGCGAGCCCUGCCUUCUUCCACCUCUAGCACACAGCUCGAGGAGCACCAUUAUACUCACUAGUGCCUUAGUGAUCAUGCGGAGACCCCGCAAAGCAGGACUAGGGGUGUUAUCUCCUAGGAGAGCCCCAAACCUGGGUAAAGUGCGCCGGCGUUCGUGUCUACGCCUCAUCCCGCUUCCAGGCACCGGCGACGUUCUACUCGCUCCCACCAUGAUAAGCCAUCCAUUGGCAUAUGUCGCAACCAACCCCCGACAUUUGGCGCCCACCGUGGGGCGAGGUGCACCGUCUCCCAGAGACCUGUUCUGGACGGGAACCUUGUUUCUUCGUGGCGAACGCAGCCAGCCCGGCACACCAGACGGCGUCUGCGCCGAUGCGCUGCACGACGCGGAGGUCGCCUGCGCGGCGAGCUGCCUCACCGAUCUUGUUGGUGAGAUUCGCCUCUCCGACAAGCCCGCGUCUGAUGCCGGCACUGAUGGCCCCGAGGGCCGCCUCGUCAGCCUCCUCGAUCAGCUCCACAUCGCCAGCGAGCCUGCUAUGGACUUGGAGUCGGUUGGCUCCACCGACCCGAUGCUCGUCGACUCUGACACGGCGUCGCUUGACGCGUUCCCCACCAACGUGGUGGUCUACGACGAACCGCUCCCUCGUGCGGACAGCGGUGGCAGCACCGUCACGGAGGUGCUCGUCAUCAGCCAUGGCAAGCACUCUGGCGGAGGUGGGCAGGAUCCGUUGUAGGCGGCGCUGCAAGACCUGACUGCACCCAUCCCCGAAGACGCCGACGCGGAGACGCUGGAGGCACGCCGUGUCCCGCUCAUCGAAAGCGCCAACUGGCUGGCCAGCAUGAGACGCCUUUCGGAGGCCUACCAGCGUGAGAUGGACCAUGCCAUCGGUGGCACGCUGGCUCCUGGUGGGCCUAGCCGCAUUGGCCUGAUCCGGCAGCGUGGUGCGACCAUCGCCAGCAUGUUCGGGACAGAUCGUCCUGUCUACGCCAUGCCUGCAGAGAACAUACGAGCUGCCCAGGCGGGAGCAAACGAGCUAGACAAGCUCGAGGGCGACGAGCGUCGCCACAUGACGGAGCACGUCUAGCAGCUCCUAGACGCGGCUGCUGAGCAGCAGGAGGCCGGCUGCCGCACUAAAGCACCCAACCGGUGAAAGAAUGAUCCGCCUCCUCGCCGAGAUCAAGGCGCGACAUCCCGGACGCCGAGAGGUGGCGUCCGCGGUAGAAGAGACAAGGAGCCGGCUGCCAGCCACAGCCGGACUCGCAUCACCAUCGAGCGCGACCAAGACGGCCGCCCAAGAGCAGUGGAACGACAGGAUGACUGUUCGCCUCCUCCCCCCCGCAGGGAGAGGCGCGCUUCCCCGCCGCCUGUUGACCACCCGACACUCGGCGACCACCUUGGCCGUCGGGAAGGAGUCGGAGAGAAUGACGCCCGCCACUGGAUCGACCACCUCAACCGAUCCCUGAUGCUAGAAGAAGAAGACAAGCUGGGUCCGCCUUGCUUUGCCCCCCGCAUCCAAGAUGAGCCCUUCCCCAAAGGGUUCACGCUCCCGAGAGAUACGCCCAAGUACACCGGUUCCGUGAAGCCGGAGGACUGGCUGGUCGACUACUCCACGGCCGUCAGCAUCGCAAACGGCAACAAGCGCGUCGCCGUGAAGUACGUUCCGCUCAUGCUCCAGGGCAUGGCCCGGACAUGGCUGAAUAGCCUGAAGCCCCACAGCAUCAACAGCUGGGUUGAUUUCACCGAAGCCUUCAUCCGCAACUUUACUAGCACGUACAAGCGGCCGCCCAAGCCUCGCCAGCUCUCCUUGUGCGUCCAAGGCCCCAACGAGUCGACUCGCGACUACCUCAUGCACUGGGCCGAGCUGCGCAACUCCUGCGAGGGCGUGCACGAGGUACAGGCCAUCGAGUACUUCACUGCCGGGUGCCGAGAGGGCACCCUCCUCAAGCACCGGCUUCUCUGCGACGAGCCGGCGACCCUCGAUGAACUGCUGAUCAUAGCAGACAAGUACGCCACGUCCGACUCCUCCAUGAAGGCGGAGAUCUAAGUUGAUGCAACUGGCAAAGUGGCUCCUCAAACUCCUCGGACACCGGCUGGCGACACCAGUCGGCGUCAGCAACCGAAUGACAACAAGCGCAAGGCCACGCAGCCGGCUUCUACAAGCCGGCAGGUGGCGAUAGUCGAAGAUCAACAGCCAGAAGGGCAGCCUCCACCCAAGCGUCAGAAGGGCGGCAAGCCCAACUGGCUGCCUGCUUUCUCAUACGAGCGGACUCUUGAUGCACCCUGCCAGUUCCACAGCGGCGCGAAGCCGUCCAACCACACCACUCGGAAAUGCCACUGGCUCACCAGGAUCGCCAAGGGUGAUGGACACCAGCCUCCUCCGCCUGCCGGCCCGCCACCUCCUCCUCCCCAGCUGCCAGCGGCUCGGCCUGUCGGCGUAGUACAAGAUGAGUAUCCUGAAGAGCAUGGAGCCUAUGUCAUGUUCACCAGCGUGGCCGACGACAAGCACAGCAAACGGCAACGACAACAAGAAGUAAAUGUAGUAGCAUCAGAGACCCCGGAGUUCAUGCAUUGGUCCGAGAAGCCUAUCAGUUGGAGCAGAGUUGACCACCCGGAGGUGAUGCCCUCUCCUGGUUCUUAUGCUUUGGUCUUAGAAGCCACCUUCGCAACAGAGAGGCAGGCUGCUCGCUUCUCUCGAGUCCUGAUAGAUGGCGGCAGCAGCAUCAACAUCCUGUACCGAGAUACUAUGGAGAAGUUAGGAAUCAAACAGAGGCAGCUUCAGCCCAGUCGGACUGUAUUCCAUGGCAUAGUUCCUGGCCUUUCCUGCUCACCAAUCGGCAAGACACAAAUAGAUGUCCUCUUUGGGGACAAAGAUCACUUCCGCCGAGAGCCAGUCUGGUUUGAAGUGGUGGACCUUGAGAGCCCCUACCAUGCGCUACUUGGCCGACCUGCUUUGGCCAAGUUCAUGGCGGUCCCCCACUAUGCUUACCUCAAGAUGAAGAUGCCGAGCACCAAGGGAAUCCUAACCAUAUCCGGAGACUACAAGAAGUCGUCCGCCUGUGCGACAGACAUCAGCUGGCUAGCCGAGUCCCUUGUUAUUGCAGCAGAGAAGCGGCUCCUUGACCGGGUUGUAGCAAUGGCAGGCAAGCAGCCGGAAAUGCCACCCAACCCCAAGGAGUCGGAAGCUGAGGGCUCGUUCAAGCUGGCAAAAGAAACAAAGAAGAUACCCUUGGACCCGGAGCACCCGGAGAGGCACGCUGUCAUAGGUGCGAACCUCGACAGCAAAUAGGAAAGCGAGCUCGUCGAUUUCCUCCGUGAGAAUCGGGACAUCUUUGCAUGGUCUCCCAAGGACAUGUCGGGUGUUCCAACGGAUUUCGCCGAGCACAAGCUACAUGUCUGACCUGAUGCCAAGCCAAUCAGGCAGCCCUUGCGCCGCCUGUCAGAAGAGAAGAGAAGAGUUGUUGGAGAGGAGAUAGCCCGGCUUCUAGUAGCCGGCUUCAUCAUGGAAGUGUUCUUUCCAGAAUGGUUAGCCAACCCAGUCGUUGUACUGAAGAAGAAUAAGCAGUGGCGCAUGUGUAUCGAUUAUACCAGCCUCAACAAAGCUUGCCCCAAAGAUCCCUUUGCCCUGCCAAGAAUUGACCAAGUAAUAGACUCCACAGCCGGAUGCGAGCUGUUGAGUUUUUUGGAUGCAUAUUCAGGGUACCAUCAGAUCAAGCUGAACCCGGUCGACAGGCUGAAGACCGCCUUCAUCACACCGUUCGGAGCCUUCUGCUACUUGACCAUGACGUUCGGCUUGAGGAAUGCCGGUGCCACGUUUCAACGUUGCAUGCAGAAGUGUCUCCUCAAGCAACUCGGCAGAAACACCCAUGUCUAUGUGGACGACGUUGUGGUGAAGACGGAGAAGCGCGGCAUGCUGCUAGAAGACCUCAAGGAAACCUUUGAAAACUUGCGCCAAUUUCAAAUCAAGCUCAACCCGGAAAAAUGCGUCUUUGGAGUACCAGCCGGCCAGGUUCUUGGCUUCCUGGUCUCAGAGCGCGGCAUAGAGUGCAACUCUGUGAAGAUCAAGGCCAUCGAGAGGAUGGAGGUGCCCACUCGACUGCUGGACGUGCAAAAAUUCACCGGCUGCUUGGCAUCCAUCAGUCGUUUCAUCAGUUGGCUGGGCGAGAAGGCUCUUCCCCUGUACCAGCUCAUGAAGGAGACCACUUUUUUCGAGUGGAAUGAUAAGGCGGACGAAGCUUUUCUCCAGCUCAAGAAAAUGUUGACCACUCCGCCUGUCCUGGCGGCUCCGACUGACAAGGAGCUCAUGCUCCUCUACAUCGCCGCCACCAGCCGGGUGGUCAGCAGAGUCAUAGUUGUAAAGCGCAAGGAAGAAGGCAAAGCACUACCAGUCCAGAGGCCGGUGUACUACCUGAGUGAAGUGUUGUCCGCCUCCAAGCAGAACUACCCCCACUAUCAUAAGAUGUGCUACGGCGUGCAUUUUGCCGCCAAGAAGCUGAAGCCGUACUUUCAAGAGCACCCAAUCAUUGUUGUCUGCACUGCUCCGCUUGCCGAGAUCAUUGGAAGCCGAGAUGCUUUGGGCCGAUUGGCCAAAUGGGCCAUAGAUUUGGCCCCCUACACCAUCUACUACCAGCCCCGCACCGCCAUCAAGUCCCAGGCGCUGGCCGACUUCCUCGUCGACUGGGCCGAGACCCAGUACCUGCCGCCAGCGCCGGACUCCACCCAUUGGUGAAUGCACUUUGAUGGUUCCAAGAUGCGCACCGGUUUGGGAGCCGGCAUCGUCCUCACCUCUCCCAAAGGAGACAAGCUUAGAUAUGUGCUGCAAAUUCAGUUUGCCGUGUCCAACAACGUAGCUGAAUACGAAGCGCUCAUACACGGGCUCCGGCUUGCUAAGGAACUCGGCAUUCGCCGGAUCCUGUGCUAUGGUGAUUCUAACUUGGUGGUCCAGUAGUCGUCAGGCGACUCGGACGCCAAGGAUGCAAAUAUGGCAAGCUACCGCUUCCUCGUCCAGCAACUCAGUGGAUACUUUGAAGGGUGCGAGUUCCUCCAUGUGCCAAGAAAUGACAAUGAGCAAGCAGAUGCCUUGGCACGAAUCAGCUCCACCCGGCAAGCAAUACCAGCCAGCGUCGCCCUGCAACGCCUCCUCAAACCGUCUGUCAAGCCGUCGCCAGAAUCAGACUGCAUUUUCGUGCCGGUUCCUCCCGAAGCAGUCGGAUCCAACUUGAGAACCUCAGCAGCCGGCGCAGGGACUUCGGCAGGCGGCCCGGGGACUUCAGAACCCGGCCCGGGGACUGCAGCAGUCGGCCAGGGGACUUCACCGAUUCAGCAAGCAGCAGCCGACUCCAACCCGCCGCCUCCCGGCCCAACCGCCCUCGUGCAAAUUGCAGCUCAGGCAGUCGAAGAAAUAGCAGCACCUUCCUGGCCUCAGCCCAUCCUCAACUUUCUGGUGAAUAAAGAGCUGCCGACUGACGAGAUCUCAGCCCGACAAGUGCAACAUCGGGCGGCAGCAUACACCAUCGUCAACAGAGAACUUGUGAGGCGCAGCGUCACUAGUGUGUACCAGCGCUGCAUGGAGCCGGAGCAAGGCCAAGCAAUCCUCAAAGACAUCCACCAAGGUGAGUGCGAUCACCACGCGGCUUCAAGAGCACUUGUUGCCAAAGCUUUGCGCCAUGGGUUUUUCUGGCCGACUGCCCUAGAAGACGCCAAAGACUUGGUCCAGAAAUGCAAAGGGUGCCAGAAAUUCCGCUUGAAACCACAUUUGCCGGCUUUGCACUCAAGACUAUCCCCAUUUCCUGGCCCUUUGCCGUCUGGGGCCUGGACAUGGUGGGACCGUUCAAGACAGCACACGGUGGCAUGACUCAUCUGCUUGUUGCAGUGGACAAGUUCACCAAGUGGAUAGAAGCAAAACCAAUCAAGAAGUUGAAUGGUCCGACUGCUGUGACUUUCAUCUCCGACAUCACCAUCCGGUAUGGCAUACCACACAGCAUCAUCACCGACAACAGCACAAACUUUGCCAAAGGCGCCUUAGCUUGUUUCUGCACGACGCAGGGCAUCCGACUGGACUUAGCGUCCGUUGCCCAUCCACAGUCAAAUGGCCAAGUGGAGCGAGCAAACGGCCUCAUUUUGUCCGGCAUCAAGCCCCGACUGGUCGAGCCUCUAGAGCGUUCGGCCAGCUGUUGGCUCGACGAGCUGCUGGCCGUCCUCUGGAGUCUGCGCACAACUCCGAACAAGUCAACCGGCUUCAUGCCUUUCUUCCUCGUCUACGGUGCCAAAGCCGUCAUCCCGACGGACAUAGAAUUCGACUCCCCUCGAGUCACCAUGUACACUGAAGAGGAGGCAAAAGAAGCACGAGAAGACGGCGUCGAUCUGCUGGAAGAGGGCCGACUGUUGGCACUCAGCCGGUCCACCAUCUACCAGCAGAGUCUACGCCGAUACUACAAUCGGAAGGUCAAGCCAAGAUCCUUCCAAGAGGGAGACCUUGUGCUCCGGCUGAUCCAGCGAAUAGCCGACCAGCACAAGCUCUCGGCACCUUGGGAAGGUCCCUUCAUCAUCAGCAAAGUUCUGGGCAACGACUCCUACUACCUGAUCGACACUCAAAAGCCCAGAGCACGCAAAAGAGACGACUCCGGCAAGGAGACAGAGCGGCCAUGGAAUGCAAUUCUCCUUCGGAGAUUUUACAGUUGAUGCAGUUUGUACCACGCUACCUUUUGUAUUAAGUAUGAAGACUCCGGGUCCCCCGAGAAGAUCUCGGGGACUGCCCUCUUUUAUCUAUAUGAUAAGUAUUAUGCCUAUGAAUGUGUUAUUUCAUUAUUCCGCCUGGCACCGGGUUCGACCAGUCGGCCCGGGGGUUCGCCGCCUUGUACUAUGUAGUGCUUCUUGCAGUCAGACAAGUAGUGUGUUGGCACUUAAAUCUUCUCCUGCCAAGGCCGCAGCUCACGGAGCGACUGUCUGGCAGGUAGGGGUCAAAGGCAGAAAGGGUGCCCACAUGAAAAAUGGCUAAGGACCAAAAAGCACGUACAUAGUUCAAACCGGCUUCUCGCCUCACCGGCCGGCUUCUAGUUAACUUGCUAAACACUCUAAUCGGCUAAGUACUUGCCUUCCCGAAAGUGGCUAAGUACUUGACCCAGCCACAGUCCGCAGAGCGGCUGUUGGGCUGGCAAGACGGCAACUGAGGGAGGGCGGCAAAGGAAAAAGGCCAAGGAGUAGAAAGCAAGAAGAGAUAGAACUCGGCAAAAAUAUUUACAUAUCAAAAGGCCCAUGGCCAGCAUUCAACAGAAGUUUGAAAUGCACCCCGCGGAUGGAAUUGUGCGAAGUUAACAAAGUUGGUCGAGACUGAUAAGAAGGAAAAAACGAAAGAUAAAUUGGCAGCCUAGGGAGCAGCAGACGGGUCCGGUGGAACGAUGGAGUCGGCGGCGCCGGUUGGUGGAGUGGCCGGCUGGUCGGUCUCCGCUUGGUCGCCCUCAGCAGCAGUCGGCUCGCUUGUGCGUGGCUCGUUGUUGGAGGCGCGGUCAAGCUGGGGCGGGCCGUCCGCUUCAACCUCUGGCGCUUCCUCUUCACUUUCCUCGUCCUCCUCGUCUUCUCCCUCGUCGCUGGAGUCGAUCACUUCGGCCGAGUCCUCGCCAUCCUCCGGGUUCAGCCCGAACCACUCUGGUGGCGCCUCGGCACCAUUCUCAGCCAGCUCCAGGACGAAGAUGGUGGUGUUGGUGUACUCGGCGAUCACCGCGGCAUGCUUGACAAGAUCACGCUCCACCACCACCAGCUCCUCCUGGGCCUCCUGUCGAAACGUGGUCAACUGGGCUAGAUUUAGCCCAGGGUACCACGCCAUGAAGAACUCCAAGGCCCGGCGUGCUCCAGCCCGGGCCGAGGAGCCCUUCCAGGCCUCAAGACGGCCGGCCGCCACCUCCAGCCAGUCGGCAGUCCGGCUGGGAGUGCGCGGAGCCAGCAUGUCUGGCCACAUGGCUGAGAUGGCCUGCGCCCCGACGCGCUGAAGACGACGCAACAUCCGAUGAGCCGGCCGAAGACGGGCCUGGAUACUGAGAAGUUGUUCGCUGAGGGUCCGGGGGGCGUUGGCAGCAAUCUACGCACCUUCUGCCCUCCGCUCUUCGCGGUCAGCCUCAAUGGCCUAAUUGGCAGCGGCAGAGUGACCAGGGAAGAUGUCUUCUCAAAUAGAAAGCAGAAGAGCCAAAGUUAGAAGCAAGAAGCCGGCUCGAUCAGCAGCCGGCGGCUCAAGGAAAGAAAAAAGCUUACCGUCAACCAUGUCUUCAAUGUUGCCGAAGCCGGCAGUCAGCAAUGCCUCCUUGUCGGUCUAGGCGGAUCGCUCGGUCUCGAACUCGGGGAGAAGAUUGGACUCCUUCACCUACGCCUCCUUCUGGGCUUUCUUGAGAAGAUCCGCCUGCUCUGCCAGUUGCGUGGUCGUCCGGUCACGCUCCUGGGUCAGCUUGUCGCACUCCACCUCCUUGGCACGCAAGGCGGUGUUGGCUUCACCUAGCUGCUGCUGCAGGACGGCGUUGGCCUUUGCAAAAGUAGAGGAAGAAAAAACAUCAACAAUCAACAAGGAAGAAGUACAGUUGCCGGGGAGAUCCGGCCCUACUGCUCAGCAGUCGGCCCGAAUCUCGGGGACUACAGCCCGCGGGUGCGCUGUCGCGCCCCCGCAGAGAAAGAAGUUAUCAACAGUCAGCAAAGAGGAAGAAAAGUUGCCGGGGAGAUCCGGCCCGACUGCUCAGCAGUCGGCCCGAAUCUCGGAGACUACAGCCCGUGGGUGCGCCAGCGCGCCCUCGCAGUGAAGAAAACGAAGACUUACUCCGGCUUUCUGACAAGUCGGCAGCCCGCCGGUCCAGCUCUCGGACGUUAGAGUUGAAGGCGAUCGCGCGGAGGUUGUGAUAGUCCUAUAAUGAAGAUAGCAGAUGAAGUUAGCACUCGGAGCUUGUCAGUUAAAGUUCCGAGCCGCCUGCUCGGCAGCCGGCCCAAAACUCGGGGGCUACACCCAGUGGGUGCGCUGGCGCGCCCCCACAGCGAAAUACAAAAAUUAAAGAUGAAGAAGCAGGAUGUAUACCCGGAUGGCUGCUCGCGACUCCAGGAACGCCUGGUUGCACCGCCUCAGGGCGUCGGCUUCGGCUCGAAGUUUGCCUUGGACGUCCAGGAUCGCCUGGUUCAAAGGGCCCGUCCCGCCUCCCCGCACCCAAUCAGCGGGCGCGGCGCUGGUCGCCUCGGCGUCCGGGAUCGAAGAGCUCGGGGCACCGACUUCCAGCGGGCGUGGCGCCGAAGCCGCCUUUGCAAACCGGCGGUGCGAUGCUGUGCGGACCUCGGGAGUCGGGCCCGUCACCAUCUCGCCUUCGGCUCGUGGCACUGGCGGGUCAGCCGGCUGCUUGUCCCGCGCUCCCUCAGACGGCGAUGGUGGAGGCACGACUACGUCCGGCAUGACGACGUUGCCGCCUUCCCUCUCCAUGAUCGGGUGCUCGUCGCCGGCACCCCCAGUCGGCGCCACAAACUCUGGCGGUGGCGGCACGGAGUUCAGAGGGACGACGAAUAGCGGCUCCUGGCGGCGCGUGGUUUUUUCAAGCCGUCUCUUCGCUGCGGCGUCAGCCUCGGCCUCCGCCAGCUUCUUCAGUGCGGCGGCCUCCGCCUUGUCUGCCUCCGCCUUCUCCAGACGGGCGGCUUCCUGCUCCUCGCGCGCCUCCUGCGCGUUUCGCUCCUGCGCCUCCCGGAGGUCGGCGUUCGGAUUAAUUCGCCGGGUGGUGGUGGAGGUCUCCGCUGACCCAAUGACGGAGGCGGCGGCGACUUCUCAAGAGAGAGUGGGGCCCUAAGUCAAGAAAAGUAAAGCGAAGAAACUCAGACAGAAUCAGCAAGGAAGAAAAGCACAAGAAAAGAUACUUACGCCGACACCAUGGGAGGCGCCUUCGGGAGCUUCUGAAAUUUGGCCGCCUUCGCAGGGGCCUCCUUCCGCCUAGUCGCGGCGGUCAGGUUCUUGGCCUUCUUCGGCACGCUGCCGAACAAGGCGGCGCCCUGUUUACGCUUCCGCAUGCCGCCUCGAGCAGUCGGCUCGGCGGAGGGGCCCACAUCCGCCUUGCCGGCGCCUCGUGAAGGGCGCGGCUCGUCCUCCUCCUCCUCGAAGUCGUCCGGCCACGUCUCGACGCCGCCCCCUUCUUCGGAGCCGCCUGCUCUGUAGACGCCGUGUGUGGCGUCAUCUUCCAAGGCGGCCGCCCCCAAGUCGGGUUCGUCCACGUCGCUCACAGCUCGGUCCGGUUCAUAGGGGCCACCCGCCCCCACAACGGCGGCCGUCGCCUCAGACAUAUAGAUCUGUUUCAAAAAGCAAGAGGCCGACUGUUCGAUACAACAAGACAUAAUCAAGAUGAAGUUCUGAAGGAAGAAAAGAUUGAAGAAUUUACGACAGGCGGCGGGUCCGCGCGGGAGUACUUCUGCUUGCCAAACUGCCAGGACCCCUCCAGCUUGAGGUCGGAGAUCUCGUUCACCAAGUUCGCCACUUCAGUAGCCAGCAUCUCCUUGGUGCUCAGCUGGCACGGGUGGCGAUGCCCGCUCAUCCGGCUGAUCAAGUGAGGCCGGCCUUGGAGCGGGAGAACCCGGCGCGUGACAAAGGUGACCAGCAAGUCGGACGCCUUGAGGCCUUCGGUUUCGGUCAGCACCCGGAGUCGGUUGCUGGCGGCGGCGCCGUCUGCUGACACAGGCUUCGUCUUGUAGCCCCAGUUGGCCCGAGGCUCAGCCAGUGGGCCGGCUUCAUAGGCCACAGGUUGAUGAAGUCGACGGUCGGGUUGGCAUUCUCCACAUAGAAGUAAGAUUGCUGCCACAUCUGGACCGACUGUGGCAGCUUGAUGGAGGGGAAGGCAUUCCUUGGAGACGGACGGCGCACAGUGAUGAAGGCGCCACACUGGGCUGCCACCUCCCGGACGGAGGUGCCCAGCUUGGUACAGAAGAACGCUCCCCACAACUUGAUGGUGGGGAGGAUGCCGAGGUAGCCUUCGCACAUCAUGACGAAGGCGGACAGAAGCAUCACAGUGUUGGGCGUGAUGUGAUGCAGUUGGAGAUGGUAGAACUCGAGGAACAAGCGGAGAAAGCCGCUCGCCGGCAGGCCGAAGCCACGGAUGAAGUGCAAGCAGAAGAUGACCCGCUCGCUCUCCCCCGGCGACGGCGAAAUCUCCCCCGCAGGAGGCACGCGCGCCUUCACGAAACCCGCGCCGGGAAGGCGCCGUGUGUCGCGAAGAAAGGCGAUGUGGUCCUCGUUGACGUUCGACCCGUCCCAUUCUCCUCCCCGCUCGCGCGCCAUGGAGAGCUCGACGAGGAAAAUGCCGCGGCAGGGGAACUGGGGAUCGGUGCAGGGCCAAGAGGGCUCGGAGCAGAAGGGCUCGACGGAGACGAGCAGCAGCAGCACUCCGGCGUGACUCGGGGGCGCUGCAGCAAGAAGAGGAAGAAGGAGACGAGGACGGGGCGGGAGGGCGCGCGUGCGCCGCCGCACCCCUCCCCCCUACUUAUAGCUGGUAGGCUAUGAGGCCGAGGGGGCGAGGCGUGGGAUCGUGGGAUUAACUGUGCCCACGACCCCACGUCCCCGCGUUUACCGCGCGAGUUACUCCACGGAGAAGCUCAACCGCCUGCCUCGGCCGCAGCGGAUCUGCUCGCGUGUCGAGGCCCGGUGGUGGCGGGCCCAGCCUGCUGUCGCGUCCCAUCGCGCGCGUGGGCUAGUAGGCUGGCCCGGAUAGCUGACACCACGUGGCGUGCCCACGGCGGGCGACCGGCCUGGAGGCUUAGCUAGCACGCCACCUAGUUCCCGCCAUUGCGUUCGAAGUUUCAGAACAAUCCGUCUGGACGUGGCCGACUCCCUCCCGGCGGCAUGCCGGGAGUCGGAUGAAGAUUCUGUCCAGAGCACCCGGGGAAGGAAACUGCUGAGGCUUCACGACUCAGCAGCCGCGACGCCUCACCAGCUUCGGGGACUACUAUCGGAGUAAUGGGCCACGGGUAGCCUAACCCGAGUCCCUGAACCUUUGAAGACAUCGGGGCCGUCUGCGCCCCUCAGGAUAUCAAGAUGAAGCGCCGCCUUCUGAUGGCCGGCUGGCCCAAGCGGCCGGCUGCCAGAAGGCGGCUAAGUUCCAGAAGGUGGCACCAAGACGGGCCGACUCCUUGCAGGCGGCCUCCAGAGAGGCCGGCUCCUAGCAGUCGGCCCACAGUACCCUCAAAGUCUGCGCCCACAUUAAGAAGAUAAGACCGGGUGUGGCUAUAGUGUAGUCCAUCACCCCCACGUCCAGGGUGAGGCGCGGCCACAGUACCCCGUACAGGCGGAGAUCUCCGCACGAUGCGGCACUGUUGCCACUCCUCCCUUGACGUCACUCCUGUCAGGCGGAGCCCUGCUCCCACGACGGCCUGUCGGUACGGCCUGUAGGCGGCGGGCCCUACUAGGUAGCGAGAGCCCGGAGGACGGCGGAAGCCUGACCAGUCGGACCCGAGGGAGGCCGGCUUCUAGCAGAUGACCCGUUCCUCCCUCGGGGCCCGCGCACCAUUAACCAGAUGAGACCCGGAGUGGCUACAGUGAUCUCCCACCAGGCGGCGGGGCUGUAGCCACGCUCCCCUGACCAAGCAUGCGUCAUUAGCACUGCGGCUAUAGUGAUCAGCCGCCGACCAGACCCGCAAGCGGCGGAGGCGGCCUGUCGGCUCCGUACCAGACCAGUUGGAGGGGCCCACCAGGCGGCAGGCCCCAGCAGCCGGCGAAGAAGCCGGCGACCAGAGACACUGACAGCCGGGUCCUACACCCGGCCAGAUUACCAUUGUACCCCUGGGGGGUAGGUCUAUAUAAACCCCCAGGGCACCCAUGCAAAGGGUUCCCAACCUGUUAGAACUAGACUCACACAUAGAGAGAGGAGAGGGCGAGCCCUGCCUUCUUCCACCUCUAGCACACAGCUCGAGGAGCACCAUUGUACUCACUAGUGCCUUAGUGAUCAUGCGGAGACCCCGCAGACCAGGACUAGGGGUGUUAUCUCCUAGGAGAGCCCCGAACCAGGGUAAAGUGCGCCGGCGUUCGUGUCUACGCCUCAUCCCGCUUCCAGGCACCGGCGAAGUUCUACUCGCUCCCACCAUGAUAAGCCAUCCAUUUGCAUAUGUCGCACCCAACCCCCGACACCGGAGGCCUUGUCUGAAGAAGAGCUGGCGGUGGCUCUGCGCCUCUUGGUCGGGGACGACCAGGAGUACCUGCCGAGUGCCUUCGUUCCCUUGUUCCUUCGCACAGACGGGCGCAGGUCGUGGCCGCCAUGCCCACCUUUGACGGGCGCGGGCUAGUGUCGCCGGGGUCCCGGUGGCGAUGGUGCCGGUGGACGUGUCUUCUGGCGAUUCCCGCAGGGAGGGGGAAGAGGAGGAGGGCGAGGAGCGCGACUCAGAGGCGACCCCCGAGGGGAUGGGGGAGACCUCCCGCUUGCACAAGGCCGACAUCCUCCGCACCCUGCCUGAUGACAACGACGAAGCUGAAGUUCCCCCGGAGAGGGAGGAGCCGCCCGUGGCUGGAGACUCCUCGGGGCCUAAUGCCAGCCCCCGGAGGAGGUCACCGGCCGAGGUUCCGACGAGGGGCAGGUCGGCGCUGAUCUCCCGAGACGUCAUUCCUACUCCGACACCGCUUGGAGCUACUUCCGGCCCAUCUGCUGUCCCUUCUUCUGCUCCUGGAGCCCGCGCGCCCGCGCCUCAGGCUGCGAGGCUCUCAGGCUUCAAGCUUAAGAAGCGGAGGGACUACGAUGCGGUGGACCAGUGAGUGUUCUUGUCCUGCCCGGUUCUUGCUUCUGCUGCUUAUCCUUGACGCUUCUCCGUUGUGCAAUCAGGCCGACGCCUGCGGCGAAGAAGAGGAAGGAGGAAGAGGUGGUACUGCUCGGGACCAGAUCACCUACGGCGGCCGCACCCCUCUCCAUGGACAAGGGCAGCGACAGCUCUCGCGCUUCUCCGGCCCGGUCAUCCUCGCAAGGCUCGGGGAAGCAUCCUCGGGAGAAGUCAGCCCCCGUGGCCCCGCUGGCUCUGGAGGUGCCAACGUCCGGCCCGGGCACUGGGGUCCCUGAAGCUCAGGAGCUUCUGGCCUCCCAGGCCAUGGAGACGACGUCGCCUCCUCCUCCUCCUGCCGCACUGCUAUCUCUGGGUCCUUCCGCCUCCCCUGACAUCCUGGAGCGCACUCUUUCUGCGAUGACCCUGCUGCGAGAAGAUCUUCGGGGCGCCGACCCCCGCUUGGUAGCCGGGCACCUGGAGCUGGUCUCUGGCUGGCUUCACUCAAAUGUGUCCGUUUGGGCGGCGCUGAGCCAGGCGGCAGCAACCUCCGAGAAGGACAAGCAGGCCACCGCUCAGGCCGCUGCCGCUUGUGAGGUGGCGCUGAAAGAUGUCGGGGUCACCCAUGAUCGCUGCCAGUUGCUGGAGGCCGAAUUGAAGACUCUGCGCAACGAGCGUGUGAAAGAAGCUCAUGGCCGCAAGGCGGAGGAGGAUAAGAUGAAGGCCCGAGAGGACGCCGUCAGGGGUCGCGACACCGAGUUGGAGCAGUUGGGGAAGGCGCAGGCCGCGGAGCGGAGCCGGCUGGAGAAGCUGAAGCGGGAGAUGGAAGCGGAGAAAGCCGAGCUUGACGCCAAGGCGAAGGUCCUGGCCGAGGACCGCGCGGCCUUCAAGCUCCUCGAGGAGAGGUCUCGCAAGGCGCUGCGGUCGCUCUACGAGAAGGGCUUGGAGGAGCCACUGGCUACUGCCGAUGAGGGCCCCACCAAGCUGAUUCCUUAUCUGGUCGAGGCGCUUGAGGAAGUCGUGAGCGGUGUCGGCCCUUGGCGGAGGAAGAAGCCCGCAUUCUUUCUUCAGCCGCGUUGACGCGCGUCUUCAUCCACCUCCAUCUUCGCGAUCCCACCGCCCACCUUGACGAGCUGCUGGAACCUGUGGACGCCGAGCACUACGCAGCUGCUGCCGAAGCCGUGAAGAGCCAGGUGGAGGCCCUGCUGAAGAGGUUCCGCGCCUUCGAUCCCGUGCCUUCAACUGGUGGUGCUGCUGAUCCUGCAACUCCGGCGGGCGGUGCAGGCGAGGGCAACGCCGCUACAGGGGAAGCUUCCCUUGUGGGCGACGGCGGUGCCCGGAAAUGACGAGAUGACUUGCCGGCGGCUCCUUUCCUGUUUAGUUUCUGCAAUAUGCACCAUGCCUCGUGGAGGCGUUAAACUUGCGUUUGGUUUCAGGAGAACAAUAUGUCUUGUAAUAUUUGCUUGAGAUUUUGCAAUUUCCUUCCCGUUUGCUUUACGUUCUACGUCGACAGGGCCCGACCCCGCGCAUACCUCAGCCACUGUUGGGUCGUCCGGAUCACCAGGAUGAGACCAAGGAGUGAGGGGCUACGUGGCUAGUUAGGCUCCUGAGUCGGGAUGCUCAGGAGUCCCCCUUGACGCGCAAACAGCUCACGGAAAGGAGAUGCAGGAAUAGGUCUAGCGUUCUAUGUCGACAGGGCCCGACCCCAAGCAUACCUCAGCCACCGUUGGGUCGUUCAGAUCACCAGGACGAGACCAAGGAGUGAGGGGCUACGUGGCCAGUUAGGCUCCUGAGUCGCGAUGCUCAGGAGUCCCCCCUUGACGUCCAAACGACCUUCAUACCUUGGCUCCGCUCGGGAGGGCGUGCGACGACCAGGUCCGAGAGACCUGGUAGGGUGGCGUACGCUUGGGCGUGACCCGAGCGUAGCCCCCGUGCCCAGCCCCCUCACGCAACUCUCCCGAGGGGAGGUGUUACGAUGAGGCCAGACACUGAGCUCAAGGGCUCCCUGAGGUUGAUAUGGCCAUGGGGCCGCCCUCAGUUGUUUAUCACCAGCGCAGAGCAUAGCGCUUCCGCACUUGCACGGGCAUAGCCACUCCUCGGCAGUGUCGACUGCCAGCGCGGAGCAUGGUGCUUCCACUGGCACGUGGGAGGGGACUCCCUACUGUGGAGAGCCCCCAGGGCAUGUACAGCCCCGCCCUGACACGUGGCUUGCACGGCAGGGCUAGACGAGGUGUGUCUGGGCACCCGUGAGCCAGCGCGGGACUCACGAGGCCCUACCUCAAGGCGGGUUGCGCCUAGUCUUGGUUCUUGAUGGUUGUGGUGUUCCUGCGAGUUGGUUAGGUAACUUGCACCGAACGAAUUUCCUGAGGCUAUCGCAUGAGAAGGCCAAGCACCAAUGACCCCAGGAGGUGACGUGAACGGGGCCGGCCCGCCAGACAGAGCUCAGCGUUGGAUUUAUCGACGCUGCAGGGAUGGACCCGAGCACAGACGCCGUGCCUAGCCUCCUUAUGCGAAGGAUCCCGAAGAAAGACGAUCGGCGCCCGGCCCCCGUGGUGGGUGAUAAUCAAGCAGGUGAUAACCAUAGAUAGAUUAUGCAUGGAAAGUGAAAUAGCUUAGGUAAAUGCAAGAAAGGUAUAUGCCACUGGGACGGACCCGAGCGGCCUGGGGAUGAUGCAGCCCGAGGGGCGCCCCCAACAGAGUAAGCUAAAGAUGCAAAAGGAUACAUGCUGCAGGGACAGGCGCACGCGGCCUGGGAAUGAUGCAGCCCGAGGGGUGCUCCCAGCUAAAUAAACUUAGAAAAUGUCACCUGGUUCUGUUGCGGAAGGGAUGUUGGGGUAGCUGAAGAUGCGUGGCGAAGGGAUUGCUCCUCAUGAGACACCGGGGCCCUGAGCCUCGGGAGGUUCUAGGGGUCCAGGCAGUUCCUCGAGGACCGUCUCCAUCUCCGCCAGGACCGCGUGAUGCCUGGCCUCCUGAGCCUCCAGAACGCUCUGCAAGUAGCGCUGGAUGGCGGCUGCCAUGCUCGGCAGGCCGAAUGGCAUGCAAACAUAGUGGUGAGGUGGGCCCUCACAACGUCCCACGCGUGAAGGCCAGAAGAGCUCCUGAGAUGCGGCCUUGUUGAGCCCUGGGAUGUCGAUGCAGACACGCAGCCCACCAUCCUCGCCUGGAUGGGGAGCUGCACCAGGUGGGCGGCGGUUGCCGCGCAUGGCUCUUGCUUCUUGGAGCUCUUGGGUAGUCUUGGUGAUGAACUCCUAAGCACCAGGCGCUCCUUGCCCGGUGUCCUCUUGAGGGAAACAUGCCGCAAAGCACGUCUCCACAUGGUGCCCGAGCGCCUCCCUCGUGAUGUUGGCCAGGUUCGAGGCCCUCCAGAAGAGAGCCCCUGAGCCUCGCCCGAGGAGGGCGCCGGGCGCGCCUUCCUAUGCGAGGGAGGGAGGCGCCCCAGGCGCGGGCGUUGAUCCUGAUGUGGCACCGAUAGAGGCGCCGCUCCCCUGAGGCCCUGUACGAAGUAGCUUCUUCUUCUUCUUGGGGAUGGCCUCAGGAGGGUACUACGCACCAUUGUUGUCAGGGUAUUCGAUUGCUGCGGCCUGGAAGGCGCGCUCGAGGGAGCACACCGCAUCUCUUUCUUCGCAGGGGACUGUGAUGAUUCCGCCGCUUCCUGGCAUCUUGAGGACAUUAUAGCCGUGGUGGGUCACUGCCAUGAACUUGGCCAGCGCUGGAUACCCGAGGAUGGCAUUGUAUGGCAGACGGAUGUGGGCGACGUCGAAGUCGAUGAGCUCGGUGCGGUAGUUGUCGCGCUGUCCAAAGGUGACAGCGAGGCGAACUUGCCCUAUCGGGGUGGUGGAGCCGUCGGUCACUCCUGAGAAGGGCUUGGUGGGCUGAAGCUGAUCGUAUGGCACUUGGAGGCUGUCGAAUGUCUCGACGGACAGGACGUUAAGACCUGCACCGCCGUCAAUGAGGGUCUUGGUGACUUGCACGUUGCUGAUGACGGGUGAACAAAGCAUCGGGAGGGCGCCAGCGGUGGCUGCGCACUUGAGCUGGUCCGCCGAGCUGAAAGUGAUGGAGCACUUGGACCACCUGAGCGGGCAUGUGGCCUCAAGCCUGGGAAGGGCUGCGUUCACCUCGCGAGCAAACUGCUUGAAGAUACGCUGGGAGGCUGGGGCCUGAGCUCCGCCUAAGAUGCAUGCGAUAGCACGCGGUUCCUGGAAGCCCCCAUCCCCCUCGUCCUGAAGGUGGUCGUCGUUCCUUCUUGGUGGUGGUGGCAGCGGAGGAAGACCGGCAUUGCCCUGAGGGCGAUCCUCGCGAGGCUGAUCCCUCCAUGCGCCCUCACGUGGCUGGUCCUGCCAGUGGUGCUCGCGAGGGUGGUCGCGCCACUCCUGGCGGGGGCCGCGAUCGUCCUAGUGUCCUCCGCCUCGUCCUCCUCCUCGGCCGUAGCCCCGGUCAUUGCGCUCGGGGCAUCGACCGAAGCGUCCAUCUCGAAUGGCCCUGAGCUCUUGACAGUCAUUGGUGUUGUGGCUGUGUACGUUGUGGAAGGCGCAGAACGGUCGGCUGCUUUUGGACGACUCGGGAUGGUCCCGGCCGCGCUUCGUAUCCGGCUCCGCCGCGAGCACGGCCACUCCCUUGCGCUUCACAUCCUUGGCCUUGGCUUUCUUCUCCUUCGGGUCGGUAGCUGGGAGCUCGGGGAGGGAAAGGCGCCCCUCCUCAGCUCUUGCGCACUUGGUCACCAGGUUGAACAGCUCCAAAGCCGUGCAUAGCUCCUCGUGGAUGGCGAGCUCCUCCUUCAUCUUGAAGUCGCGGACGCCAUCAGAAAACACCGAAAUGAUGGCCUCGUCCAUCACCUUGGGGAUCUUGAGGCGAACGUUGUUGAAGCGCUGGAUGUACUUUUGCAGGGUCUCUCCUGGCUGCUGCCUGACGCGGCGCAGGUCACCCACGGCCGGAGGGCGGUCGCGAGUGCCCUGGAAGUUGGCAACGAAGCGGUCACGCAUCUCGUCCCAGGAGGAGAUCGAGCCCAGGGGUAGGUUCAGGAGCCACGAGCGAGCACCAUCCUUGAGAGCCAUGGGGAACCAGUUCGCCAUGACUUUUUCAUCGCCAUUGGCCACCUCGAUGCUCAGCUUGUAGAGCUGCAGGAACUCCGCAGGGUCGGGGGUGCCGUCUGAGCGAGGAGGCAGAUCCGGCUUGAACUUGCCCGGCCAGACAACGCCACGCAACUCAGGAGUGAAGGUGCAGUAGCCUGCCGUGGCCACCGGGGCCCAUUGCAGAGGUGGGGCCUGCCCUUGGUGCCCGCGCACCGCCACAGCAGGCAUCACGCGCUCUUGUCGUGGUGGCACUGGGAGUGCAGCAGCAUUCUCUUGCGGCCGUGGAACUUCUUGGCAGCUUCCUUCUUCUCGCGCGAGCGCCCGACGUGGUGGGUCGCGCUAGGGGGCCGCAUGCCUUGGCGCCAGGGCGCCGUCUUGGUGCGAAGGCGGUGGAGGCGCUCCAUGAGCUACGUCGCCCGGAGCUGGUGGCGGGCAAGGCAGCGAAAGGGAGGGUGCGGGGGAGCCCCCUACGGCGCUGACGAGCUCGGCGAUGUGGUCCAGCCAGUCCUCGUAGAGGUCAUCGACUUGGCGGUAGCGUAGGAGCUCACGUGCCAUGAGCUGCGCGGCCUGCGCGUCCGUGGGAGCGCGACGAGCAUGAGACAACGAGCCGGCUGGGGUCAGCGACGGAGUGGCGGUGCGGCUGUCCCGCCGCACCAAGGGGUGCAUCGAGGACGCUUGCUGCUCGUUUCCCGCCGGGACGGUGGCGGCGUUGGCGGCGGGUGACGGAGAACGACGGGGGGGCCCGCCGACGGGGGUAGUCUGAGCGACACGGGCGGCGAGGGCGGCCCAGCGCUCAGCGCGGGCUCAGCGUGCUUCUAACAUGGUCGCGGUGGAGCGGUGGAACACGGAUCGGCGGAAGGAAAGCUUCGGCGCACCCCUACCUGGCGCGCCAAAUGUCGGAUUUCGGGUUCCGGCAAAACCCUUGAGGUUCGAACACUGGGGUGCGCACGAAGAUCUCUCCCUCCCCUUAGCACGCUCUCGCAAUGAUCGCCAGACCUAGCGCGUCAAACCAAAAGAACAAAGGGACAGAAGGUUUAUACUGGUUCGGGCCGCCGAUGUGGUGUAAUACCCUACUCCAGUGUGGUGUGGUGGAUUGCCUCUUGGGUUGAGGAUGAACAGUUACAAGGGAAGAACAGCCUCCCGAGGAGAGGUGUUCUUGUGCUCGGUGAGCUGGUGUGGUGUCUCGCCAGCCGAUCUCUCUCUCUCUCCCUCUCUAUGGUGGUGGCUAGUCCUAUUUAUAGAGGCUUGGUCCUCUUCCCAAAUAUUGAGAGGGAAGGGAUCCCACAACGGCCAAGUUUGAAGGGGGACAGCUAGUACAAGUUAUCCUGACAAAAGUAGUCUUCGCCUGCCAAAGGCUCUGGUGGUGAUGCCGUCUUGGGCUCCGCGAUGACCUCUGUCCUGCCGUCCUGCUGGUCUUGGUCUCGUUGCACCAACAUAGAAACCUUUGCCUGAUGCCUCGGGACUGCUUGCCUGCGCUUGCCUCUUUAGCACCAAAAAGGAAACGAGGACACUGCGCGCGCUGGCGCCCGCCUGGUCAUGGUCGUCAUGGCUUACGUCACGGGAACCUCGCGAGGUGCCCCUUUCCUUGAUCUCUCUGCCCCUCGCGAGCCAGCCUGGUGAGGCCGCCCCCGAGGAGGUCUUGCGUCGUCCGCCUCGUGAGGCUUGGCCCCUCGUGAGGAUCUUGAGUGUUUGCUGGUGAAGAUGGGCCGUACGGGGCCGCUGGUGGAGCCACGCCGUGGGCCGCAGGCAGGCAAGUCUGGGGACCCCCGUUCCCAGAACGCUGACAUGUUCCUUUGCAUUUUAGUGCGUUCCUAGAGAAAGCUAAGUUGAAAGAUGAUGGUAGCAACUACACGGACUGGGUCCGUAACUUGAGGAUUAUCCUCAUUGUUGGACAGAAGAAAUACGUCCUAGAAGCACCGCUAGGUGCUAGGCCUGCUGCAGACGCUACUGAUGACGUUAAGAACGUCUAGCAGAGCAAAGCUGAUGACUACUCGAUAGUUUAGUGUGACAUGCUUUACGGCUUAGAACUAGGACUUCAACGACAUUUGGAACGUCAUGGAGCAUAUGAGAUGUUCCAGGAGUUGAAGUUAAUUUUUCAAGCAAAUGCCCGGAUUGAGAGAUAUGAAGUCUCCAAUAAGUUCUACAGCUGCAAGAUGGAGGAGAAUAGUUCUGUCAGUGAACAUAUAGUCAGAAUGUCUGGGUACCACAACCACUUGACUCAACUGGGAGUUAAUCUUCUUGAUGAUAGUGUCAUUGACAGUGUUCUUCAAUCACUGCCACUAAGCUACAAAAGCUUCGUGAUGAACUAUAAUAUGCAAGGGAUGGAUAAGACAAUUCCCGAGCUCUUCGCGAUGCUAAAGGCUGCGGAGGUAGAAAUCAAGAAGGAGCAUCAAGUGUUGAUGGUUAACAAGACCACUAGUUUCAAGAAAAAGGGCAAAGGGAAGAAGGGGAACUUCAAGAGGAACGGCAAGCAAGUUGCUGCUCAAGUCAAGAAGCCCAAGUCUGGACCUAAGCUUGAGACUGAGUGCUUCUACUGCAAAGGGACUGGUUACUAGAAGCGGAACUGCCCCAAGUAUUUGGUGGAUAAGAAGGAUGGCAAAGUGAAAGGUAUAUUUGAUAUACAUGUUAUUGAUGUGUACCUUACUAAUGCUCGUAGUAGCGCCUGGGUAUUUGAUACUGGUUCUGUUGCUCAUAUUUGCAACUCGAAACAGGGGCUACGGAUUAAACGAAGAUUGGCUAAGGACGAGGUGAUGAUGCAUGUGGGAAAUGGUUCCAAGGUCGAUGUGAUCGCCGUCGGGACCUCUACAUCUACCUCCGGGAUUAGUUUUAGACCUAAAUAAUUGUUAUUUGGUGCCAGCGUUGAUCAUGAACAUUAUAUCUGGAUCUUGUUUGAUGCGAGACGGUUAUUCAUUUAAAUCAGAGAAUAAUGGUUGUUCUAUUUAUAUGAGUAAUAUCUUUUAUGGUCAUGCACCCUUGCUGAGUGGUCUAUUUUUGUUGAAUCUCGAUCAUGAUGAUACACAUGUUCAUAAUAUUGAAACCAAAAGAUGGAAAGUUGAUAAUGAUAGUGCAACUUAUUUGUGGCACUGUCAUUUAGGUCAUAUCGGUAUAAAGCGCAUGAAGAAACUCCAUGCUGAUGGGCUUUUGGAAUCACUUGAUUAUGAAUCACUUGGUGCUUGCGAAUCGUGCCUCAUGGGCAAGAUGACUGAAAUUCCGUUCUCUGGAACAAUGGAACGAGCUACUGACUUAUUGGAAAUAAUACAUACCGAUGUAUGUGGUCCAAUAACUGUUGAGGCUCGUGGCGGGUAUCGUUAUUUUCUUACCUUCACAGAUGAUUUGAGCAGAUAUGGUUAUAUCUACUUAAUGAAGCAUAAGUCUGAAACAUUUGAAAAGUUAAAAAAAUUUAGAGUGAAGUGGAAAAUCAUCGUAACAAGAAAAUAAAGUUUCUACAAUCUGAUCGUGGAGGUGAAUAUUUGAGUUACGAGUUUGAUCUUCAUUUGAAACAAUGUGGAAUAGUUUCACAACUUACGCCACCUGGAACACCACAGCGAAAUGGUGUGUCUGAACGUCGUAACCUUACUUUAUUGGAUAUGGUGCGAUCUAUGAUGUCUCUUACUGAUUUACCGCUAUCGUUUUGGGGUUAUGCUUUAGAGACGGCUGCAUUCACUUUAAAUAGGGCACCAUCAAAAUCCGUUGAGGCGACGCCUUAUGAACUGUGGUUUCGCCAGAAACCAAAGUUGUCGUUUCUUAAAGUUUGGCGCUGCGAUGCUUAUGUGAAAAAGCUUCAACUUAAUAAGCUCGAACCCAAGUCGGAGGCAGGGGCACCCUAGAACACACAAGUUUUCUCUUAACCAUGUGCGGUGCCCUCCUCCAUAGUUACACACCUCGAUCAUACCAUCGUAGUUCUUAGGCGAAGCCCUGCGCCGGUAACAUCAUCAUCACCGUCGCCACGCCAUCGUGCUGACGGAACUCAUCCUCGUCCUCAACUGGAUCAAGAGUACGAGGGACGUCAUCGAGAUGAACGUGUGUUGAACGCGGAGGUGCCGUACAUUCGGUACUUGGAUCGGUUGGAUCGCGAAGAAGUUCGACUACAUCAACCGCGUUACUAAACGCUUCCGCUUUCGGUCUACAAGGGUACAUGGACACACUCUCCCCUCUCGUUGCUAUGCAUCUCCUAGAUAGAUCUUGCGUGGUCGUAGGAUUUUUUUUGAAAUUACUGCGUUCCCCAACACAACAUAUUUGUGGCACUGCUGUUUAGGUCAUAUUGGUGUAAAGCGCAUGAAGAAACUCCAUGCGGAUGGACUUUUGGAAUCACUUGGUUAUGAAUCAUUUGAUACUUGCGAACCAUGCCUCAUGGGCAAGAUGACUAAAACUCCGUUCUCCAGAACAAUGGAGUGAGCUAAUGACUUAUUGGAAAUAAUACAUACAAAUGUAUGCGGUCCGAUGAGUGUUGAAGCACGCGGCGGGUAUCAUUAUUAUCUGACCUUCACAGAUGAUUUGAGUAGGUAUGGAUAUAUCUACUUGAGGAAACACAAGUAUGAAAUAUUUGAAAGUUCAAAGAAUUUUAGAGUGCAGUAGAGAAUCAUCGUAACAAGAAAAUGAAGUUUAUACGAUCUGAUCGCGGAGGCGAAUAUUUGAGUUAUGAGUUUGGCCUUCAUAUAAAACAAUGUGGAGUAGUUUCACAACUCACGCCACCUGGAACACCACAGCGUAAUUGUGUGUCUGAACAUCGUAACCGUACUUUAUUAGAUAUGGCGCAAUCUAUGAUGUCUCUUACCGAUUUACCACUAUCGUUUUGGGGUUAUGCAUUAGAGACCGCUGCAUGCACGUUAAAUAGGGCACCGUCUAAAUCCGUUGAGAUGACACCGUAUGAACUAUGGUUUGGCAAGAAACCUAAGCUGUCGUUUCUUAAAGUUUAGGGUUGCGACACUUAUGUCAAAAGGCUUCAGCCUGAUAAGCUCGAACCCAAAUCGGAGAAGUGCGUCUUCAUAGGAUACCCUAAGGAAACAAUUGGGUACACCUUCUACCACAGAUCUGAAGGCAAGAUCUUUGUUACCAAGAAUGGAAUCUUUCUAGAGAAGGAGUUUCUCUCGAAAGAAGUGAGCAGGAGGAAAGUAGAACUUCAUGAGGUAAUUGUACCUUCUCUCGAAUUGGAAAGUAGCACAUCAGAGAAAUCCGUUCCCGUGAUGCCUACACCAACUAGAGAGGAAGCAAAUGAUACUGAUCAUGAAACUUCAGAUCAAGUUACUACUGGACCUCGUAGGUCGAACAUAGCACAUUCCACACCAGAGUGGUACGGUAAUCCUGUUCUAGAAGUCAUGUUACUAGACCAUGACAAACUUACGAACUAUGAAUAAGCUAUGAUGAGCUUAGAUUCCGAUAAAUGGCUUGAGGCCAUGAAAUCUGAGAUAGGAUCCAUGUAUGAGAACAAUGUGUGGACUUUGGUGGACUUGCCCGAUGAUCGGCAAGCAAUUGAAAAUAAAUGGAUUUUCAAGAGGAAGAUGGACACUGAUGGUAGUGUUACUAUCUACAAAGCUCGACUUGUCGCAAAAGGUUUUCGACAAGUUCAAGGUGUUGACUACGAUGAUUUUUCUCACUCGUAGCGAUGCUUAAGUCUAUCCGAAUCAUGUUAGCAAUUGCCGCAUUUUAUGAAAUCUGGCAAAUGGAUGUCAAGACUGCAUUCCGUAAUGGAUUUCUUAAAGAAGAGUUGUAUAUGAUGCAACCAAAAGGUUUUGUCAAUCUUAAAGGUGCUAACAAAGUGUGCAAACUCCAGCGAUCCAUCUAUGGACUGGUGCAAGCAUCUCGAAGUUGGAAUAUACGCUUUUAUAAGGUGAUCAAAGCAUAUGGUUUUAUACAGACUUAUGAUGAAGCCUGUAUUUACAAGAAAGUGAGUGGGAGCUCUGUAGCAUUUCUGAUAUUAUAUGUGGAUGAAAUAUUGUUGAUUAGAAAUGAUUUAGAAUUUCUGGUAACAUAAAAGGAUAUUUGAAUAAGAAUCUUUCAAUGAAAGACCUCAGUGCAACUGUUUACAUAUUGGGAAUCAAGAUCUAUAGAGAUAGAUCAAGACGCUUGAUAAGACUUUCAAUGAGUACAUACCUUGACAAGGUUUUCAAGGAGUUCAAAAUGGAUCAGUCAAAGAAGGUGUUCUUGCAUGUAUUGUAAGGUGUGAAGUUGAGUAAAGACUCAAAACCCGACCACGACAGAAGAUAAAGAGAGAAUGAAAGUCAUUCCCUAUACCUCAGCCAUAGGUUCUAUAAAGUAUGCCAUGUUGUGUGCCGAACCUGUUGUGUACCUUUCCAUGAGUUUGUCUAGGGGGUACAAUAGUGAUCCAGGACUAGAUCACUGGACAGCGGUCAAAAUUAUCCUUAGUUACCUUAAAGAGGACUAAUGAAAUGGUUCUCGGUUAUGGAGGUGAUAAAGAGUUCGUCGUAAAGGGAUACAUCGAUACAAUCUUUAGUGAUAUGGAUGCCUCUGAGUCUUAAUCUGGAUACAUAUUGAAAGUGGGAGCAAUUAGCUAGAGUAGCUCCGUGCAGAGCAUUGUAGACAUAGAAAUUUGCAAAAUACAUACGGAUCUGAAUGUGGCAGACCUGUUGACUAAACCUCUCUCACAAGCAAAACAUGAUCACACCUUAGUACUCUUUGGGUAUUAAUCACAUAGCGAUGUGAACUAGAUUAUUUACUCUAGUAAACUCUUUGGGUAUUGGUCACAUGGCGAUGUGAACUAUUGGUGUUAAAUCACAUGGCGAUGUGAACUGGAUUAUUGACUCUAGCGCAAGUGGGAGAAUGAAGGAAAUAUGCCCUAGAAGCAAUAAUAAAAAUGUUAUUUUAUAUUUCCUUAUAUCAUGAUAAAUGUUUAUUAUUCAUGCUAGAAUUGUAUUAACCGGAAACUUGAUACAUGUGUGGAUAUAUAGACAAAACACCGUGUCCCUAGUAAGCCUCUACUAGACUAGCUCAUUAAUCAAAGAUGGUUAAGUUUCCUAACCAUAGACAUGUGUUGUCAUUUGAUGAACGGGAUCACAUCACUAGGAGAAUGAUGUGAUGGACAUGACCCAUUCGUUAGCUUAGCAUAUUGAUUGUUCAGUUUUAUUGCUAUAGCUUUCUUCAUGUCAUAUACAUAUUCCUUUGACUAUGAGAUUAUGCAACUCCCGGAUACCGGAGGAAUGCCAUGUGUGCUAUCAAACGUCACAACAUAACUAGGUGAUUUUAAAGAUGCUCUACAGGUAUAUCCGAAGGUGUUUGUUGGGUUGGCAUAGAUCGAGAUUAGGAUUUGUCACUCCGAGUAUCGGAGAGGUAUCUCUGGGCCCUCUCGGUAAUGCCCAUCAUAAGAAGCCUUGCAAGCAAAGUGACUAAUGAGUUAGUUGCGGGAUGAUGUAUUACAGAACGAGUAAAGAGACUUGCCGGUAACGAAAUUGAACUAGGUAUGUGGAUACCGACGAUCGAAUCUCGGGCAAGUAACAUACCGAUGACAAAGGGAAUAACGUAUGCUGUCAUUACGGUGCGACUGAUAAAGAUCUUCGUAGAAUACGUAGGAACCACUAUGAGCAUCUAGGUUCCGCUAUUGGUUAUUUACCGGAGAGGUGUCUCGGUCAUGUCUACAUAGUUCUCGAACCCGUAGGGUCCGCACGCUUAACGUUCGAUGACGAUUUAGUAUUAUAUGAGUUAUGUGAUUUGGUGACCGAAUGUUGUUCGGAGUCCCGGAUGAGAUCACGGACAUGACGAGGAGUCUCGAAAUGGUCAAGAGGUAAAGAUUUAUAUAUAGCACGAUAGUAUUCGGACACCGGAAGUGUUCCGGGGUACCGGGUACAUAUCGGGUCACCGGAAGGGGUUCCGGGCACCCCCUCCGGCAACUAUAUGGGCCUAAUGGGCCUAGAGGGGAAACACAGCAGCCAGCAGGGCUGCUGCGCCCCCCAUAUGGGCCGCACCAGAGGAGAAGGAAAGGAGGGGAAGAGAUAUGGAAGGGGAGGGAUUCGGCCUCCCCCUUCCUUCCCUCCUCCCUCCUCCUUCCUUUCCCCUCUCGAAAACAUGGUAAGGGGGAGGCGAAUUGGACAAGGCCCCCAAGUAGGAUUCCUCCUACUUGGGGUGCCACAUGGCUGUUCCCCUCCCCCUCUCACCUAUAUAUACGUGGGGAGGGUGCGCCUAGAACACACACCAACAAUUGUUAGCCGUGUGCGGCGCCCCCCUCCAUAGUUUACGCCUCCGGUCAUAUCUUCGUAGUGCUUAGGCGAAGCCCUGCGCGCAUCACUUCACCAUCACCGUCACCAUGCCGUCGUGCUAAUGAAACUCUCCCUCGACACUUUGCUGGAACAAAAGUUCGAGGGACGUCAUCGAGCUGAACGUGUGCAGAACUCGGAGGUGCCUACGUUCGGUGCUUGAUCGGUCGGAACGAGAAGAAAGUUUGACUACAUCAACCGCGUUGUCAAAUGCUUCUGCUUUCGGUCUACGACGGUACGUGGACACACUCUCCCCCUCUCGUCGCUAUGCAUCUCCUAGAUAGAUCUUGCAUGAGCGUAGGAAUCUUUUUGAAAUUGCAUGGUUUGUUUCCCUACAACAUGAUCAAUCUUUGUCUUUUCCUUUGAACACAGGUACCAACUUUCAGCAUUGUGCUGAGUCCUAUCAAGUAUAUUCUAGACUCGUGAAAUGUCGGUUCCCAUAAAAGAACCUUUUGAAGCAAUAUCCAAUGCAUGUUUACUCUGUGAGUCAAGUCCACCAUAAAAGUAGUUCACAAUUCAAAAAUCAGGAUAAUGGUGUUUAGUGCAUUUAGAGAGUAUACAUCGAUACCUUAUAUUGGCAUCUACCAGUUUCUCACCCAAAGAUGCUAAUCUUCCUUCUUAUCUUAUAUUGUUGUCUUUGAGGGUAAAAAUGAGCAUAGAAUGCAGAUGAUAGCUCUGUCCAGUUACUCAAAGCACUCACGGGUUGAUGCAAUAGCCAUUUAGCAGCUUCCUUUUCAAGAGAAUAAGAAAAUAUUUUAGCUUUUAUCUCCUCAUUAGUUAAAUCCUGAAAUAGGUAGGCCAGGACCAAUAGAUAUAAAAUUCUCUGCUCGAGCAUGUCCGGCUACUAACUGCACCCCUUCCUGACAAAUUUGUUCUUGAAGGACCACAGUUGCUCGCAAUCUACAAAAACCGUAAAAACACAAAAUAAUCCAAAACUUAAGUCAAGGCCCAAAAGCGCUCGACUCCUCGGCAACGAUGCCAGAAAAAGCUUGAUGGCCUGCAAGUGCACAGGGUUUAGUCGUAGCCUUUUCGGAUUAAGAGUAUCGAUCCCACAGGGAGUACAUGAAUCAGACUUUUGCCUCUUGUAGUGAACUAUGUAUUUUUACGCCUGCAGAUAAUUGUAGACUUGAAGCAAAGUUAAGGCAGUAAAAAAUUGUGAUUGAGUAAUGAAGCGAACAUUGAAGAAAAUAGCAUAAAAGUAAAUAAACAAGAGUGACUAGAGUGACCGAUGGAACAACAGAGGAGUAAUGCAUUCUCAGGGAGUCCGGAAUCCCCAUUGGUAUGUUUCUAGCGCACCUAUGCAUGGGAUAAGUACAAGAUGGAUACUUGAGCCACUGUUGAUGAUUAUGCUGGGCGGAGUCGGGUACAGUACACAUCCUACUUGAAGUAGACUUUGUGCCACGCACGCCACUAGCAUAGUCCCCCUCAGAGGGUUACAACUCAUGAUAAUUAAGGAUUACCCCAUGGGCGUGACCUCUCUAAGGGUUCUCCGUAAUUCCCCUAUCAGUUGAAAGGUUUAGGAGCAAAAGGCUUUUACUGUCACCUCAAAUUACCCUCACAUCCUAGCCCUUUACAACAACAGUGAUAUACUUCGUGGCCAUAAGGAACAAAUGUUGAGUGGGUCCCCUUCACAACAUUCGCGAAGAUAUUAAACAAAGCAUUCAACAGGGAAUCUCAUAUACAUAAUGAUGUUUCAGAUCUUACACAUACCAAGGUUCAUCCAUAUCCCUGAGAAUUAGGGGUAUGCUAACACAUGGAGACAAUGAACAUCAUGACAAGGGUGACGACAUACAUGGAUGAAUGAUUCAAAUAACAAAGAAGAUGAUCCACUAGGUUUCUUGAUGUAACAAUGAUAAGGAUGUGGAUGAUGAUGAUGGUGGUGGUGUGGGUGACGAUGACAAUGACAAUGGUGAUGAUGUCGUAUCCUCCUUGUGCACGAGGAGGGAGAUCCCCCUCUUCUCCUUGCCAAUCCCUCCUCCAGAUGAACUCCCGAGGGUAGGGUUCUGUCUUCUGGACGAGUUUUUGGUCGCUUUGUAUGUCCGGUCCACAAUCCGAUUUCACGGGGUGGAAAUAGUUGAUCUGGCGGCGGCGAUGGCACUCCAUACGAGUGGGCGCGGUCGCACUGAACGACAUCUUUUGCAGUGGAGGUGCGGUGACGAUUUUUUCUUUGGCCUUCUUGCUUGAUUCUUUUAUGGUAGGUGAUUAUCACUUUAAAUACGUGAUUCCACUACCAUUUAUGGGGACUUCUUUCAUUAUAUGAUAAAUAGUCCAAAAGACAUUAUCUGUGGGAUUAUCAACAAAAAGAUGUGCGAACACGGUAAAAUUCCACAAAGCCUAUCAUGUAGGCACAAAAUACUUAGUAAAAAUAUCACAUAAAUUGGACCCAUCACCUUCCUCUCCACCGCACACACUAAAGGUGAACCCACACUCUCACCAAUGAAGCCUGAAGGGGUUGGUUUCCCAGACACUGCAAAACCGAGAGGGAAAGAUGCAUCUAUAGUCGUAAUUGUAUUUGUUCUACAAACAAUACAUAAUCAUGUAUACAUCCACAUGCAAAAUCUACUGAAAUCUCAUUAGGGCAUCUCCAAGGCGGACCCUCAAGGCGCUCACAACCAUCCGAACCGCGCAGUCCAGACAUGAUUUUCAUCCAACACGGGCCUGUAUCGGUCCACCCAGCUGCCCGAACGUAUUUUUUCGGCAAACCUAAGACAAAUGCCGGGAGGCUUUGGGGAGUUCAGACAACAGACACGUAGGACUCCGACACCCCCAGCCCACCCAAAACCCCCUCCCAGACACCGCGCCUCCAUCCUUCCCAUGUUCUCUCCUUCCUUCUUUCUCUCUUACCUUCGCUGCCACUCCAGCACCACGGUCGCCCCGCCACACCCCUGCCGGAAGUCUACAUCUAUGUCACCUCCAUCGUUCCAACCGGCCUCCACCCUGCUUCUCCUCCGUCAUUGUUCAACCCUUAUACUCCAACCGGCCCGCUAGGUACCAUCGGCUACUGCUAUACUCACCAUGCCCGGCAAUUGUUCAAUGAAUUGCCGGAGCUAAAAAAGUUUUCACUUCUUAUUUCUAGCAAUGGAUUCCGAUUUGGAGUACAUAUACAAGCACUAUGUGGAGUUGUCUGGCGGCUCAUCCGGCGAACAGUACUACACGGAUGAGACGGUGAUUAUGCAAGCGGUCCUUGAAGAUGCGGAGGAGCAUAUUCUCAAUUUCAAGGGAUCGAUCAAGGGUCAUCAAGUGCUCAAACACAAUACGGGGUGCGGCCAUUUGACACUGAUGGCCGGCUACUUUGCCCCUGAUGCACUUUUUCACUGACCAUUUACGCCACGUUUUUGGAUGCAUAAAACUGUCUUCGAUCGUUUGUACCAUGGCGUCCGGUAAUAUGAUGACUACUUCAUCUUGAAGAAGGACGUCGUCGGAACAAUUGACUUCUCUGGUUACCGGAAGUGCAUGGCCGUACUCCGGAUGCUUGCAUAUGGCACAACUGCUGAUUCGUCGGACGAGUAGCUAUGGAUGUGUGAAAGCACAUGUGGAGAUUCCGUGGUCAGGUUUGCAACUGCCAUGGUCGAGGUGUUUGGACCUCAGUACCUGGGAGAACCAACUGUGGUAGACACCGAGAUGCUCUUGGCAAUCUCAGAAGCUAGGAGUGGCCAGGUUUACUUGGAUCUCUUGACUACAUGCGUUGAAAAUGGAAGAAAUGUCUGAAGGCUUUACAAGGGCAAUUCCAGUGUCAUGUUAAGAAGCCCGCCAUCAUUCAUGAAGCACUUGCAUCGCAUGAUCUUUGGAUUUGACAUGCUUUCUUUGGCAUGCCUGGGUCUCACAAUGACAUCAAUGUGUUGCAGCGAUCACCACUGUUUGCGAGGCUGACUGAAGGAAAAGCUCCUCCUUGCCACUAUACUGUCAAUCGACAAGAGUACAACAUGGACUACUUUAUAGUAUCUAUCCUCCGUCGGCUACCUUUGUCAACACCAUCUCUAAUCCAGUUUGCCAUAAAAAAUCCCACUUUGACCAAAGACAAGAAGCAGCUAGAAAGGAUGCCGAGAGGGCAGUUGGAGUUCUGCAGUCCUAUUUUGCAGUUGUUUGUGGACUUGCUACACAAUGGGAUUCAGAGACCUUGUUGGGGUUAUGACAUGUUGUGUGAUCACGCAAAACAUGGUCGUAGAGGAUGAGGGUAGGAUGUUGUCGUAGCUCUAGAAUUUAAGAACGUGGAUGAUCGUAUCAAACUUUCAGACCAGAAUCCGGCCACAUUUGAAGAGUUUAUUCAAAUGCAUCAACAAAUUCGGCAUCGACCAACUCAUGAGCAGCUGAAGGAAGAUCUUGAGUAUCAGCGGACGGUUAAAGGGGAAAACAAUGUUGGGAUGUAAUAUUUGAACCUUUUAAAAUUUAAAUUAGUAUUGCAUGCGACUAUUUAAACAUCCGUACUCUAUGUAUGCGGCUAGUAGAACGUCUGAACUCUAUGUAUGCGACUAUUUGAUCAUGUGGGCUUAAAAAUUGAGGGAGGCCGAAUGCAUAUGAACAUCGUUGAAUGGCCUGCAACUGUGUCCGCGGGCAAGUUUUUUUUUUCAACCAGGACUCACGAGAGCUGAUUGAGAGGAGUAAAAUAACUCGUUCCGGUGCUAGGAAUGGAUCCCCCGGUGUUCCUCCGGAAAGGCAAUAGAGCAGAAUAGAAUAGGGCAUGUUUGGUUGCCGUAGUCUAUAGUGGCUGCAUUGCAUAGCCUUCUCAACUUAGCCCGGCUAUGCAAAUGCAGCCUCAAAUGCACCAUCUACAAGUUGUUUGGUUGCCUGCAUGCCCUCUUGCCUACAUGGGGAGAACCACACUGUGUGGUGUUUGGUUGCCUGCAUGUUAGUGGACAAACCCAAGGCAUGGUGUUUGGUUGUAUGCAACGCCUGGUGUGUGGUAACCUCUUUUGCUAGUUGGUGAGGUUACCAGCACACUUCAACACAACCAUGUAGCACAGAGCAUAAGCAGAGCAGAGCAUCAACUACUUAAUAGCAUAGUUCAGAGAACAUAGUACCACACAUCAUAACGAUAGUUCAAACAGUUCAACGGAUAAACUCGAAAGUACUUAGGAAGGAGGUACCCCAGCCCUAGUCCUUGGCGGUGAAGGCUUCGUCGUGCUUCCCGCACUUGUUGACCACCUCAAUGCCAUCGUCGUUGAAGAUGAUGACCUUGAGGGUGUCGGGAGUGAGGAGCUUGAACGUCACCAUGUAGCCGAUCUUGAUCUGAUGAACGGCCGCGUAGGUGGCCCAACCCUGAUCCAGGGUCACCCUGCCGUUCAUUAGCUUCACCGUCACCUUCCAGGAGCAGCCGGUGUUGUUCUUCAGCUUGAACUCCGUCGGCACCGCAACAAAGUGCUUGGUGAAGUCCAGGGGCAUGGGAUGCACUCAAGCUUCGGUGCAAGGAUGACCUUGCAAAAGUGAGUUGGGCCAUCCUCCUCAUGGUAGUGACCGUAGUUGCGGCGCUUGCUGCUGGGGGGCUCCUCCAUGCCCUCGUCGUCGCCAACCUCAGGCGUCUUCGGUUCUUCCCUGGCGGUGGGCGGCAGCACCACCUCGGGCAUUGGAUGAACCGGCUGCUUGCCCUUGUUGUCAACAGCCGGGAGCACCUCCGUGCCCAUCUCAUUGCUCUCCUCGAUCUGCACACAAUUCAUGAAGUCAGGCACAACACAUAGUUCAUGGCUUAUUGAAGAGCAUGUAGUCAAAACAGCAUGACUGUCACUUUUCCUCCUCUCCAUCGCGCCUAUAUUUACUCACCCUGUCCACCAAUACUUACCCACCCCCUCUCUUCUCUCACUAUCAACCUUCCUCCUCUCCAUCGCCAUGAGCUCGAGCUCGAGCUCCAACGCCAACCCUUCCCUUGGGGUAUUUGCUGGAGAGCCUUCUUCCUCGGGUGGUCGGCUGGUGACUGCACCAAGUUCGAGAACACCAUGGAGGUGUGCUCGAACUUCGGCUCCAUGCCUAACAUGCAGAAGGAAUCUGAUGCAGUGCUCACGAGGGCCACUGCACAAGAGCUGAAGACGAUGAUUCCUGACCCAGCGAAGGGCGCGAUGGCAGUCGACAUCAUUUGCUGGGCCAUGAAUCACAGGCCGUCUCUGACGACGCUAAACAGAGGAAGAAGUGGUCCAAGUACAAGAACUACUGAGCUCCUAAUGACCGUCGUGCCGCAGUGUACUGGGAGACGGCAAUCAUACCGCCGGCGGUCAUCGGUGGGGAGCCUAAGGAGGAAGAACAACCGGUGCAGAUGCCAAUGAGGGCACCGGAGCCAGGCCGUCGUACCUGGCAGAUCGACCUCAACUCCUCCAACAGCGACGACGACCCGCCGCCCCGCACGGCGAUGGACAAGAAGAUGAAGGCCAGCCACUCGACCUGCCGCUCCGCACGCCGGUGACGGCCGCCGCGGUUAGCUGGUGUUUGUUGUGUACCCCCAAUCCCCCUUCUACUUCAUCCGCAUCUACCUCUAUUCCGAUCUUGCAUGAACUAGUAUGAACUGCCAUGCUUAUCUACCUCUAUUCCCCAUUCCCCUCUCCGCCGUGGAUUGAAUCUAUCGCCGGAUCGAACGCGAAAAAGUAGUGCAUGACGAACAGAGAAGUGCUUACCGCCAUUGCCGCGGGCCAGGUGAUGAUCCGCUCGCCGGUGAUGGAGUCCGGUGGUCUUCUUGCUCCUCCGAUCCGCCGCCGCCGAUGAGAGUUGGGAGAGUGGGGGAGAGUGGAGAGAGGGAGCGGUAAGGGGCGGUGAGGCUAAUAACUGUCGGCGCUUCGGGAAGCAACGCGGCUUCUCGAGCGUGGCCGCGCGCGUGCAGCCGCCGCCGCCCACGUGCACCGCUCGGGCCUGGCCCUAGAGAAACUGUCGAUUCGAGUGUUCCCAUGAAGCCAGGCCAAGGAAUGCUUUAAGGUUCGUGCCAUGCGGGCAGAACAGUAAAAGCAGGCAAUCAAUCGGCCGUUUACAUCACGCGCGAGCCAAGCCGGGCCUUAUGCAGGCAACCAAACACGCCCAUAGUGUGUGCAGCCAUCAUGCAUGCAUCAAACUACUGUCGAUGUCGAUGGUUGACCGUUGCUGCGGAUCUAUACCACCAGCAGCAGCAACAGCAGCACGCUGGUUGAGGAAAGUCGCACAUUAAACUCGGUUGGUUGUACUUGUACUGGUACUGGACCAAGUGUGUGUCCAUCACACGCGUGCUAGCACCGCCACGAGCACUAAACUAGGAACGCAAAUCCAUCCGCUCGAUCGCUCUGCAUAUACGACGUUGACGCACACCGCUGGAGUGGCAUGCGUCAAGUUACUUCGCCGCUAAGGACUCACGAAAACAGUAGUAGAAUUUCUCUCGAUUAAUCAGAUAAUUCGUGUCAAUGCCUUGACCCAAGUCGAAGUCACAAAGGGCAUGCAUAAAAGGACGACACCUGCUGUCGGUAAAGUGAGCACACAUAUGCAUUUCACGAGAGGAAAUAGCUCCAGAGAAAGAUGAGAGUGAAUUAUGUGAAUAGGAUGGCCGUUUUGGCUAUGCUCCCGGAUGAACAGUAAAUUUAAAAUAAAUAAUAAAUGAAAAUUAUUUAUUUAAAAAUUUGUGUGUAGAUGUUCAUGUUAAUGUAACAAGCAUGCUUGACAAUUUACAUGGGAAACGGAGUAUCAUUGCUUCGCCGGUGAAAAAACAAAAUUAAGUGUAACAUUUGAUGUUCGAAAUUUAUUUUUGCGCAGAUCAAAAUGCUUCAGCUUUCCCCCAAAAAAUUUGCAGGAAGCAUUUUGAUGUGACAAUUAACAUAUCUAUUUAAAAAAAAAGACAUUUGCAAAAUACAUUUUGGCACGCAGGAGUAUAUGUUCGCAAGAGCCAAACUGGAUUUCUGGUGAAUACAAAUCUAUGAUGUUACGUUACCGCAAAAGACAUUGUUGACAUCAGAUUUUGGCACGGUCAAGAACUUUAAGAUGGUCUCAAAUGGAGAAGUGAUCUACAUGAAAGAGUUCCGUAUUGUUGAUAUGAACAUCUUCGAAGUUUGGGCCAUCGUCGUCCGAUUUCAUCUCGAAGGCCGAAACUAUGCUCAAAGUACUAAGAUCUUAUAUUCAGAGUAGAGUUUGACCGAUUAAGCCCCCAAGACUACCUCAAAUGGAAAAACUUUCUAUACGAAUUGUCUUCGUCUCGUCGAAAUGGUUGAUUUUGAUAAAAAAAUCAUCUCAAUCCAAGAUCGUAUGCAAAAGUUAGAGCCAUUCGAAUGCAGCCCUGCCAGGAGGCUACAUAUGGCGCGCCCCACCAGACGUGAUGUCUGAUGGGUAGCGCUACCACUCGGCUGUCUUGCGCGAGCGAUUCGGCCAUGAAGAUGGCCUCGAAUUGAAAAAAGUUCAACAUAAAAGUUGUUUGCUCGUCGAAACUGUUAAAUUUGCUUUUGGGCACAUCUUCAUCCGAGGUCGUUUGUGGCUUGUGAGAGUCAAAAACCAAACUAAUGUCCCAGACUUACCUAAAUCCGAGUUCAGUUAAUUUUGGAAAUAUUUGGAUGUGAUUUGGAGUCCUUUUCUUGUACGGGAAGUCCAUCCUCCUCUUAUAUUGACAAGAGGUGACGGCCGAUUGAACAACACACAAUCGAACAAACACAUCUACUACUUUUUCGUGUUCAUCUAUCCCCUAUCCUUGUAUCUUUCUUCUCGUUCUUCGUCUUCUCUUCUUGUUGCAGGGCGGCGAACCUCGAGGCCCUAGGUGCGAGCGAAUCGACCUGGGGCAGCCCAUAGCCGCCGCGUGCCCUGAGGGGGUUCCUCCCGGGCGUGUGGGGUUUCGGGUCUACAAAAGCGCCCGCCGGAUUGCUUGCGUACCGCGCUUCCGGCCGGGUAUCCUUCAAUGUGAGCUGCGGUGCAUCACCCCCGGCAUCGAGGGUACACAAUGACGUGUUCGUGUGCAAACACACUUUUUGGCGACUCCGCUGGGGACGAAGCUUUGAACGGUCUCCAGCCCAUUCUUGCUACGAAGAGAUCGUCAUCUAGGGUUUGCAAUCUACAAAGGUAAUAUGAAUACCCAAUUCCCUACUAUAGAUGCAAAUAAUUCAUAUGGUGUUACUAGAUCGUUCAAUGAGUAUACUCUAUCGGCUAACCCUAGUUUUUUCAGUAAUGCAUCUAAUUACGUGCAAAGGUCGAUUCAAAGUAAUUUACUUGCUUUAACUUCUUAUGAUACUAGUAACAUGCACCAUAUGUACUCCAACUGUCAUGCAUUGGCAACAAAUCGUUAUGCCGAUGAACAACAUGAUGAAUUUGGUCAAUCAAGUUGAAACACCUCUUGUAGGAACUUCCAAUAGCAUGCGACAAAGUGUUUCACCUUUUUAUUCAUCGGCAACUAAUUUGCAAUAUACUAGUUCAACCAUGUCGAUGGAUGGGAGAAUUGGCCAUGCUACUACUAGCUAUUCGACCAAUUACUCUCAAUCGUCAUAUGCUACACCUCAUGUUAGUAAUUUUUCAGCACCAUACAGAACUGUAGAUAUUCAUAAUUCGGCUUCACACCUUCCUGGUCAUAGCCAAAUAAAUGUAAAUUUUACAAGAGCAGUUGUGCCCAGUAUUGUAGAAGAUGAGGUAUUGGUGGCUGCAUUGAACAGUCUAGCCCGAAAUUAGAGGAUUAGUGCUCUUUUCCUUGAACAACAUGAAAAGGGGCUAUUUCUUGAUUAUGCGGCAAUAAAUGCUAGAGUUUUGCAAGAAGAUGAAUCUUUGCCAAUUGAUAAAAUUGGCGAGCAAAAAUAUGGUUCUACAACAAUGUAUAUGCCUUCACCUAGUACUACAUCAUAUUAUACACAGCCUACACAGUUGCAAAGUUUUAGCAACACCCAUGUGUCAUUGCCAAAAGAAUCUAAAAGCAUUGGGGGGCAAUCAUAUCUGGAGUGGGCUGAAAUUGAGAACAAACUUAAAGCCAAUUUUGCUGCUCGCCGCCAGAAACAAACAGAAAAAGAUGGGCUCAAAUAAAAGAAGCAUUGCCAAUUGGUAGAACCGGUUAAAAGAAUGAUGAUUCAGAAACUAAAAGUGCUUCGGUUGAAAAAGCCGAAUCAAGUAGUAUAUAUUUCGAAUCCAUCAAAUCCAACAAGGCAAGCAUAACUGAGAAAGGGCAUGGCAAGCAUAGGAAAACAACGGUGCUUGAUUUUUCUGAAGUUAAUGGAACCUACUUCUUGCCCUAUGAGUUUCGUGCCGUAGAAAUUGACAAGCCUCAAGAACAAGAGCAAGUAGCCGAACAAAGUUCGCCUGACAAGGAUCUUCAAAGUAAUGAUGCACGAAAUCAAGAAAAAGAUGAUGAUAAGGCGUUGGGGAGCCAUCCAAAGAUGGAGCAAGAUAUUGUUCAAGUCACACCACCAUCAUGCUCUCCCAACAUAUUUGAAGAGGUAUGCCUAGCAAGUAAUUUUCCUAUUUUCAGAUUUGGUCGCAACUUCAUAGUUGAUGCAUCUAUUAGAAAAAUCCUCCUAAGUAAUUUUAAAAGACCAAUGAAGAAGGGUAAUUUACUUGUUAGCAAUAAAGUUGUUAUUGAGCAUAUCGGUCAACCCUUUGCGCCAUUUAUAAAGACCGAUAAUGACUUAUUGUUGCAGCCAAGGCUUUCCUUAUUGCUUUAUUUAAAGUUCAUAUCUAAUUGGGUAGCUUUGCUUAUUUAUUAAUUGGCUUGCAUUUGGUCUCCAUUGAGACAUGUAUGCUCUAACUAUUUUCGUUUCAGAAAUUUAAAGCCAAGGUUAAAUUCUUUUGAGAAAACAGAUGCUAUUAUGGCAUCUUAUCGAAAGACAUCGGAUAUAGAGUGCAAAAUACAUUGCAUAGCCGAAUGGGGAGAUUCCAAAUCUGAACCAUUCGUUUGCUUACCUCCAUAGCCGUUCUCACAGCAAGACCGACUAAACAAUAAUAAGUAUACCUUAAAUUCAAGCAUGUGUGAUCAAAUAUUUGAUUUGUUGCUGAAAAAUAAUUACAUAAGAAUUAUUGAUCACCAUGUCAAGCCAUCAACUCAAGGACGAAUGUAUUGUAGGUUGCGUCAUUGAUUCAAACAUAAUUUUGAGGAUUGCAAUAUGUUUCGUCAAAUAGUUAAAUCGGCCAUUGAUAAAGGACGAUUGACAUUUGUUGAAACACCAAAGGAUGACCAGUCUAUUGCGAUUGGUCCUGAUGGCAAAAAGUUUUUGCGUCGGCUUCUUCAAGCUGAUUCAUUAAAUGAUGAGAACGUAAAAAUAGUGGAUGAUGGGAUCAAGUUUUCAAGUAAAUAAGUUGUUCAAGAGCACAAUGAAGAUAUUCUUGAAUGCGGGAAUUCCCUCAAGGUUGCACAGAAGACGCCAAGUACUGGGGGGCAACAAGAAAAUUCAUAGAUCAAUGAAAGCAAACCAAAAGAAAACAAAGGCCGAAAUAAGCGCAAGUGUAAGAGAUCAAAAAUCACCUUCGCUGAACUAUUGGAUAAAUAUCAAAAGAAAAGUGAAGAGAAGAAUGCUUAUCGGCCAAAUCAUGCAAAGAAACCAAGAUCACCCCCAAGGCGCAAAUAUGAUGUUCGGUAUUGGCAAAGUGAGAAUUUUAAUGCAACAUAUUCGUAUCCUUAUUUUGGGCCGCCAAUGCCAAUGCCAUGGAUGCCUCCCCAUGAUCAUUUAAAUCCAUAUUCAUCAUGGGACAGAUAUGCUACAAGGGCACAUUCUCCAUCUUAUUUUAGACCAUCUCACCAAUACUAUGCAGCUCCAAGAAGAUCAACAUUUGAACAAUCACGCGUCAAAGACCGUUUCAAUCAUAAGGAAUUGGUCUAGAGCUGGAAGAAGAAAGAGGUGGUUAAGCAAGUUUACUGCGUGAAAAGAGAUGGUCGUAAGUGUGCUACUUCAGAUUUGAUCUCAAAUAACAAAGAGCCAAUUAAAAUGUUGACAUUGGCUACAAAAGGCAAAGAAGUGAAGCAAUCAAUUGAUAAAAAUCAGAGUGCCAAAUCUGAAGAAAAGAAGUUGAAGGUGCACAAGGCCCAAAAAGAGUUGCCAUUGGUUGAAACAAAAUCACAGUCGAGGUGCUCACUCGACUUAUCGUAUUGGCAAAAGAAGGAGCUACAAAAGCUUAGUGCACAAGAGCUGAGAAACAAGAACAUGGUAUGGGUUCCCAAGAGGAACAGUCAAAAUAAAAAUGAUGGAUGUCCGUCUAUUGCACCAAGUGUUACAAAUAUGAAGAAUGGAAGAGGAAAAAAAUUCAGCCGAAGGUGUGCAUCACAACAUCAAAAUCUUCAAUUAGCACAUCAUUCAUUUUCUUCAACCAUGCCAUUGAUGCCUAUGCCAUGGAAUUCAUCCCCAGGUAUGAUCAAUUACCCUCCAUGGAUUUAUUUUGAUCCAUGGACGCAACAUAAUUUUCCAUAUCAUGAGGUAUUACCAAAUCACUAUACAUUUGGUUAGUUACAUUUUUGUUGCUAAUACAAAGGGGCCGAGAUAUUUUAUUGUUAUUUCGUUUGUUUAUUUUUGCUAUUCAUGCUUUGGUGGGUGAAUUCUACAUUGACCUCAUGGUGACGGCCUAUAUUUAUCUAUCGCCCUAAGAGUAUAUAUAAGAAUGGCCGGUGUGGUAUUCUAACAUCGUCCUUAGUUUGAGUAGAGUUUGGGAUAAGUGCUUGCGUAGAAAUUUGUCAAAUUGAUGGCAUUGAAGAUAUAAUGCAUAGACCAAUUCACCAAAACUGCAAAGUGGACUUACUUUUUGAUUGGGUGUGAUAGUUUUCAGAAUUUACGUAAAGCCAAAUCAUGGUUGAUUUUAUUAUUGAGCAUCAUAUUGACAUCAUGCAUAAUACUGAUUUUAGCUUUAUCUCUCUAGUACCAUGGUGAUUAUAUAUUGAUGGUUAAAUUUGUAGCAAUGGCCAAGGUGUUGGUGCUAUUCGGUGAAGCCUCAUGCCGCUUAAAAUAUAUAUGCACAAAUGAUCAAAGCCUAAUAUGCAUUGUUAUUCGGAUUGGAGCUUUUCCUUGCUAUAGGUGAUUUACAUAGUGAGGCUUUCGGUGAUUUGUUAUUAGUAUAGUGCAACAAAUAUCCAAGGGUUAUCAAUGUUUUGAUGAAUCACUUUUAAAUUAUCUUGAGGUAUGUCUAGAUGUAAAUUUUACCUUGGGUCGCUUUAAUACUGCUCAUAUAUCUAGACAUGACAAUUGAAGAGCAAAUGAGUUGGCACAGCAAGCAUCUGGCUACUAUGUUGAUCAUGGUGUAUUGCAUAUAUCUAUCAAUAGCCGAUGCUUAUUCUUGCCAACAUAGGUAAGGCCGAACCAAAACCCACUGCUUCGGCUACUAAUGAAAUUUUUAUGCUGGCAAAAGCAAGGAUUCAAGAAAGUUCAUUGUUGAUUAUCUGCAAGAUCCUAGCAGAAGGGUGGACAAUAUGGUUGAUGGAUGGUUUUGACAUGCAUAUCUAUGGAACUUUAUAGUCGGAUUAAUGAAGUUGAGAAAGUUUCACCCAAGCUUGCAUCAAAAUAUUCACACAAGCAAUGGCCGAUAUAAACUUAUCAUCCAAAGAACAUUCAAAAUGGCCGAUGGAGUGUUGACAUCGUCCUUAGAGCAAGCUAUGUGCAAGUUAUUUUUCGGCAUACAAGCUUUGCCGAAAAACAGGGGGACAUGUGUUGACACCAGAUUUUGGCACGGUCAAGAACUUUAAGAUGGCCACAAAUGGAGAAGUGAUCUACAUGAAAGAGUUCUAUAUUGUUGAUAUGAACAUCUUUGAAGUUUGGGCCAUCGCCGUCCGAUUUCAUCUUGAAGGCCGAAAGUAUGCUCAAAGUACUAAGAUCUUAUAUCCAGAGUACAGUUUGGCCGAUUAAGCCCCCAAGACGACCUCAAAUGGAAAAACCUUCUACACAAAUUGUCUUCGUCUCGUUGAAGCAGGCGAUUUUGAUACAAAAAUCAUCGCAAUCCGAGGUCGUAUGCAAAAGUUACAGCCAUUCGAAUGCAGCCCUGCCAGGAGGCUACAUAUGGCGCGCCCCACCAGACAUGAUGUCUGAUAGGUAGCGCCACCACUCGACUGUACUGCGCGAGCGAUUUCGCCAUGAAGAUGGCCUAGAAUUGAAAAAUGUUCAACAUGAAAGUUGUUCGCUCGUCGAAACGGUUAAAUUUGCUUUUGGGCACAUAUUCAUCCGAGGUCAUUUGGGGCUUGUGAGAGUCAAAACCGAACUAAUGUCCCAGACUUACCUAAAUCCGAGUUCAGUUAAUUUUGGAAAGAUUUGGACGUGAUUUGGAGGUGAUUUGGAGUCCUUUUCUUGGACGGGAAGUCCAUCCUCCUCUUAUAUUAACAAGAGGUGACGGCCGAUUGAACAACACACAAUCGAACAAACACAUCUACUACUUUUUCGUGUUCAUCUAUCCCCUAUCCUUGUAUCUUUCUUCUCGUUCUUCGUCUGCUCUUCUUGUUGCAGGGCGGCGAACCUCGAGGCCCUAGGGGCGAGCGAAUUGACCUGGAGCAGCCCAUAGCCGCCGCGUGCCCUGACGGGGUCCCUCCAUGGCGUGUGGGGUUUCGGGUCUACAAAAGCGCCCCCCGGAUUGCUUGCGUACCGCGCUUCCGACCGGGUCUCCUUCGAUGUGAGCUACGGUGCAUCACCCCCGGCAUCGAGGGUACACGGUGACGUGUUUGUGUGUGAACAUACUCACCCUGCUUUAUAGAUAAAGCCACAACCCAUCAUACCACGACCAUUAUAACAGAAUGUAAAAAUGGCAAAGAUACAUUGAUAUCGAACAAGCCGCUCUGAAUGCACCAUGAACAAGCUUGGGCAUCGAGGCCCUCAGCGAGCCAAUAUCCUGCUAUCAACAUGACCAAGACAAGGUAGUAGCCUGUUGUUAGAGAAAAGACAUGCUCCGUCAACUCCCAUGAUGCCAACCAUAGUUGUUCCGCCAUCCAUGUCUGCCUCUAAAGAAGGCCCCCCUGCCAUCUCGUCCUGGAUUGGAGGACAUGGCGCCGUCGGCAGGCAGAGACCAACAGGUUGCUGGGGAGAGGACGAUCAACACGGCUACCUCACCUCGCAAAAUGAUAACCCACAAGUAUAGGGGUUCACAAGAGUUUUCGAGGGUAUAGUAUUCAAUCCAAAUUUAUAGAUUCAACACAAGGGGAGCCAAAGAAUAUUUGCAAGUAUUAGCAGUUGAGUUGUCAAUUCAACCACACCAAGAGAUUAAAUAUCUGUAGCAAAGUGAUUAGUAGCACAGUAAUAUGAUAGUUUUGACAGCAGCGGUAACAACAGUAGUAACGAUAACAGUGAUAGCAAUAAUUUUGUAGCAAGUGUAACAGUAGCAGCAGCAAUAGUAACUUAGCAAGAACAAUAUGUGGAAACUUCGUGGGCAUUGCAUUGGUGAAUACGUUGGAUGAUAUUCAUCAUAUAACAGUCAUAACCUAGGGCGAUACAAAACCAGCUCCAGUUCAUAAAUAUAAUGUAGGCAUGUAUUCCGUAAAUAGUCAUACGUGCUUAUGGAAAAGAACUUGCAUGACAUCUUUUGUCCUACCCUCCCGUGGCAGCGGGGUCCAUAAGGAAACUAAGGGAUAUUAAGGCCUCCUUUUAAUAGAGAACCGGAACAAAGCAUUAACACAUAGUGAAUACAUGAAAUCCUCAAACUACGGUCAUCACCGAAAAUUAUCUCAAUUACUGUCACCUUGGGGUUUACGGAUCAUAACACAUAAUAGGUGAAUAUGACUUGCAAUAUCGGAUCUAGAACAUAGAUAUAAUGGUGAAAACAUAAACGGUUCAGAUCUGAAAUCAUGGCACUUGGGCCCUAGUGACAAGCAUUAUGCAUAGAAAAUUCAUAACAACAUCAAUCUCAGGACAUAGUGGAUACUAGGGAUCAAGCCCUUAUAAAACUAACUCGAUUACAUGAUGAAUCUCACCCAACUCCUCACCGACCAGCGAGCCUACGAAGAAAUUACUCACUCCUGAUGGGGAGCAUCAAGGAAUUGGCGAUGAAGGAGGUUUAGUGAUGACGAAGACCGAAGAUUCCCCUCUUCGAAGCCCCGAACGGGCUCCAAAUCUGGCCUCCCGAUGAAGAACAGGAGGUGGCGGCGGCUCCGUAUCAUAAAACAUGAUGAAACUUUCUCUCAUAUUUUUUUUCUCCGAAAAUAGGUAUUUAUGGAGUUGGAAUUUGGGUUUGCGGGGCCACGGGGUGGGCACAACCCACUAGGGCAUGCCAGAGGGGGAGGGGGCGCCCUGGUGUGUUGUGCCCAGCCGGGGCCCCCUCCGGUGGUUCUUGGCGCUGGUAUUUUAUAUAUAUUCUUAAAUAAUUCUCCAAAAAGUUUAUCCAAAUCCGAGAAUUUUUAUUUUUUCACAAAAACAACAGCAAGGUAGUUCUGUUGAAAACAACAUCAGUCCGGGUUAGUUUCAUUCAAAUCAUGCAAAUUAGAGUCCAAAACAAGAAGAAAAAUGUUAGGAAAAGUAGAUACGAUGGAUACGUAUCAACUCCCCCAAGCUUAAACCUAUGCUUGUCCUCAAGCAAUUCAGUUGACAAACUGAAAGUGAUAAAGAAAAACUUUUACGAACUCUUUUGUUCUUCUUUACAUAAAUAAGCUUAAGUAGCACCCAGGUUUUUAGCAAAGAUUAUGACUAACCAUGUCAACAAUAACUCUUAAAAAUUAUAUUAACUCAUAUCAAUAGCAUAAGCAACUAGCGAGCAGUAAUAAGAUAUUUCAAAUGACAACACUUUGUCAAAACAACCAUGAUAUAAUAUGACAACAGUGGUAUCUCGCUAGCCCUUUGUCAGACCGCAAAACAUAAAUGCAGAGCACCUCCAAAGUUCAAGCAACGACUAAACAUUGUAGUUCAUGGUAGAAAAGAUCAACCAAUGAUGCAUUCACCAUUAACUAUACACAAUGCACGAGGAUGACAAUAGUGCUCUCAGGUCCGGUGCUUUGUUUGAGAAGGUGAUGACUCAACAUAAAAUUAAAUAGAUAGUUCCCUUCACAGAGGGAAGCAGGGAUUUGCAGAGGUGCCAGCGCUCAAAGCUUAAAUCAGAGAUAAAUAAAAUUUUGGGAGGUGCACCCUUCCUAUUUACGUCACGGCCAAGAGUUAUCAAUAUCUUCCAUGCUAAACACAUUAGCGGCGGUUCCCAAGCGAUAAAAGUAAAGGUUUACUCCCCCCCACCAACAAACACACUCCGCGGCUAGCCGAAUCCACGGGCACCGUCCAUACCAACAACAGUCCUGGGGGAGUUUUGUUUAAUUAUUUGCAAUUUUGAUUUCGGGACUGGGAAUCCCUAUUACCGCACCUCUCGUGCAAGGAUGAGUGAAUAAACACUCAUCAUGAGAAUAACCCUCUUAGCAUGGAAGAUUCCGACCACCCCCUAUCGCUCUAUGAAUAAUCCAUGCACACAGAACAGGGGUUCAUUUGAAGAAAAAAAUUAGAGGUGGCACAUGCAAAUUUACUUGGAACGACAGGGUAAUACCGCAUAUAGGUAGAUACUGUGGACUCAUCUGGAAUAACUUUGGUUUAAGGAUUUUGAUGCACAAGCAAUAUUUCCGCUUAAUACAGGCGAAGGCUAGCAAAUAAGUUGAGAAGCGGACAGCUAGAGAGCAAAAAUGGUCAUGAACAUGCAUUAUGCAUAAUAAACAUUGAAGACUAGCAUGAGGAGGAUAUGAACACCAUGAACAUAAAUAUCAUAGAGGCUAUGUUGGUUUUGAUUCAACUACAUGCAUGAACAUGUGCCAAGUCAAGCCACUCGAAACAUUCAGAGGAGGAUACCAUAUCAUCAUACUACAUCACAAUCAUUUUAAUGCAUGUUCACAUCCAAGAUAAAUCAUUAUCCUUUCCAAGCUACUUAAGCAUGGCAUGAGAAACUAUAAUCUCUAAUUGUCAUUGCAAACAUGUUUGAUCAUAAUAUGUUGAAUAAUGGAUACUAGGUUAAACAUAUUUACAAAGACAAAAACCAGUUGAGUUCAUACCCGCUUCUCUCUACCACAGUCAAUUCAUCAAAUAUCGUCAUUAUUGCCUUUCACCUGCACGAACGAAUGAUAUAAAAAUAAUAAUAGUGCAAGAGUGUUGUGGACUAAGCUGAAAUCUGCAAACAUUUUAUUCAAAAGGAGAAGACAAGGUAAUUUGGGUUUUUUAUUAUAUCAACAAUAUUAUGUAUGAGAGCCACUCAACAUUUUCACUGUGGUCUUCUCCUUGGUAUGACUCAAAUAAAAGAAAAGAAUUUUAGAGAAACAAACUGAAAUAUUUUUGGAGUUUUUAGUUUUGCUUAAAAAAAGCAAAAUAACGAAGGGAAAAUAAAAACGAGAAAAACUAUUUACACGGGAAAGCUCCCAUCAAGCAAAAGAAGAAUAUGGAAAUCUUUUUGGGUUUUCUUUUAAUACUACAACUAAUUAAACUAGAAAGAAAGACUGAAAAGAAGCAAGAAAUAUUUUUGUAUUUUCUCAAAGUUUUUUAAACACACAAGAAGAAAGCGAUGAAAUAAAUCUAGCACGGAUAAUACAAUGAAAAAGUGUGGACACUGACAACUGGAAUGAAAUGUGUGAACAUGAAUGUAAUAUCGGUGGAAAUACGUACUCCCCCAAGCUUAGGAUUUUGUCCUAGCUUGGUAAUCACCAGCCACGGCUAGCAUAGUAGUCAGAGUGAUAACUCACGGAGGCUCUAGGUGCAGCCUCCUCAGCCCGCCGAGCUGCCUUGAUCUCUGCCUUGUACGAGCGGGCCUCGCUGUCAAGAACAUAAUAUCUUCUUUUGCUGUCAAAGUCAAAGAGAGCAGGCGCAUGCAAAACAACAAGCACAAUGGUUUCUUUGUUGAACCUCAAGUUAUAAGUAGAAUCAGUGAUUUGCCCUUAAAGAACUUCAUGGCCUCAAAGUCUAAGUACUGAGUAGGUAAGAUGGGAUCAUAAGGCAGAGGUGUAACACCAACCUCCUUAGCUAUGGGAGAAUCAUAAAUCCCACGAUAAAAUUAACCACUAGUAGCAUUGUGUUGUAAUCUCCGUGCAACAAUCGCUUCAAGAUUAUAACGUUUAAUUCUAGUCAGAGUAGUGUGUAUGAGGCUCAAGUCAGGAGCACAUAGUGUGCUACAAUCUUGCUUGCCUAUGAUGCAUUUUCCAUCAAAGAGUGCAAAGUAGUGAAUUGAUGGAAAUGAAUACUCUUUAUUCUGCCUUGUGUCACUCCUCUAUCCUCACCGUAGCGAAGGUUAGUCAAAAAUGACUCAUACUCAGAUCUUGGUGGCUUGUCUAGUGAACCCCAAUAUGGAAUUUUGCAGGCAUCACAGAACACACUUAGAGGCAUGGUAAAUGGAUGAUCAUAAAGGCUAAAUGAAACUCUAGGCUCACGAGGAAAAUAUUUAAAUUUCUUAGUAAAGGUUUAUGUGAGGUUGAGAUGCUGGAUGCACUUAUCUUAAAUGUAGGGGCCAAGCUCGGCGUUGUGAACAUAUUGGUCAAAUUCUUCCUUAAUGCCUGGGCUUACCAUGAAAUCGUUACACGACCAUAGGCAUGAUUUGAUAGCGGCAUCCCGCAUUGCGCUUGCGCUUGGUUCAACAUAAGAACAACAUAUUGAGCCACUACUAGAUGAUGCCUUCGUAGACCUCCUCCUCGACGAACUCCUAAAUAAUUGCAUUUUUAUUUCCGAACAAUUUCUGAAAAAAUUUGGGACACAAUUUUUUUGUCAACAAAACUUCACAAGAUUGAUAGCAACUACUCAUAAGGAUGCAUAGAGGCUAUAUUAAGCAUUCAAACUACUUAGAACUCUAAGAAUUCAGCAUGCAAGCUCAUCUACAACAGCACCAAGAGUAGCUAAUUAUUCAAAAUAUAAACCACUAAAGCAAAAACUAAUUGGAGCAACGGAGGAGUCACAUACCAAGGAGCGAUUCCCCAAAACAGUUUAAGAAACGGAGCUUUGAGCAAAGAGAUCGAAAUCCGCAGGUUUGGGAGCAAGAAUACAAGGGAGAGUGCUAUGGUGAUUUUUUUCAGGAGGUAGGAUAUGACAUAGGCUAAAGAAGUAAGUGAGGGGACCCACAUGGGGACCACAACCCACCAGGGCGCGCCUGGGGUUGCUAGCGCGCCCUAGAGUCUGAUACGUCUCCAACGUAUCAAUAAUUAUGAAAUAUUCAUGCUGUUAUAUUAUCAUUCUUGGAUGUUUUACAAUCAUUUUAUAGCAACAUUAUAUCAUUUUUUGGGACUAACCUAUUGACCCAGUGCCAGUUGCUAUUUUUUGUUGUUUUUUUACAUCGCAGGAAAUCAAUAUCAAACGGAGUCCAAACACCGCGAAACUUUUUGUGGAUUUUUUAUGGACCAGAAGACAUCCAGUGGGCCAGAGAAGCACCUGGGGGUGCCCUGAGGGGGGCACAACCCACCAGGGCGCGCCUGGGGGCCCAGACGCGCCCAGGUGGGUUGUGCCCACCUCGGUGGUCUCCCGCACCCCUCUUUGUCCUGUAAAUUGCCAAAUAUUCCAAAACCCUCGGGGGUAGCCCUAGAUCAGAAGUUCCGCCGCCGCAAGGCCUCUUCAUCCACGAGAUCCAAUCUAGACCCCGUUCCGGCACCCUGCCGGAGGGGGAACUCAUCACCAGUGGCCAUCUUCAUCAUCCCGGCGGCCACCAUGAUGAGGAGGGAGUAGUCCACCCUCGGGGCUGAGGGUUUGUACCAGUAGCUAUGUGUUUAAUCUCCCUCUCUCGUGUUCUUGAGAUGUCACGAUCUUGAUGUAUCGCGGGCUUUGUUAAUAUAGUUGGAUCAUAUGGUGUUUUCCCCUCUCCAUCUUGUGAUAAAUUGAGUUUUCCCUUUGAGAUUUUGUUUUAUCGGAUUGAAUACUUUUAUGGAUUUGAGAGCACUUGAUAUAUGUCUUGCAAAUGAAUACUCGUGGUGACAAUGGGGUAUCAUAUUGAUUCACUUGAUGUAUGUUUUGGCACUCAACUCACGGAUUCCCGAGGUGACAUUGGGGUAAUCUAUGCAUAGGGGUUGAUGCACGUUCUUGUCUUUGUUUCUCUGGUAGAAAUCUUGGGGCACUCUUUGAGGUUCUUUGUGUUGGAUUGAGUAUUAUGAAUCUGAAAUUAUUUGGUGUUAUUUUAGUACGAACUCUUGGAUAGAUCGGUCGGAAAGAAUAGCUUCGAGGUGGUUUCGUACCCUAUAAACAAUUUCUUCUUAUGUUCUCUGCUAGACAAGACCUUUGGAGUGAUUCUUCGUUGCACGUUGAGGGAUGGUUAUGUGAUCAAAUUAUAUUAGCAUUGUUGAGAGAUUGCACUAGUGAAAGUACGAACCCUAGGCCUCAUUUUCAAGCAUAGCAAUACCAUUUGUGCUCCGUUUUAUCAAUUGCUACCUUGCUGUUUUUCAUUGUUCCUAUUACAAAAAUCAAUAUCUACUAUCAUUACUACACUUGUAUCACCAACUCUUCGCCGAACUAGUGUGCCUAUACAAAUUUCCAUUGUAUUUGGUGUGUUGGGGACACAAGAGACUUUUUAUUAUUUGGUUGCAGAGUUGUUUGAGAGAGACCAUCUUCAUCCUACACCUCCCACAGAUUGAUAAACCUUAGGUCAUCCACUUGAGGGAAAAUUCCUACUGUCCUACAAAACUCUGCGCUUGGAGGCCCAACACAAGUCUACAAGAACAAGUUGCAUAGUAGACAUCAAGCUCUUUUCUGACGCCGUUGCCAGGGAUGUGAGUGCUUGAAGGUAUAUCUUUAGAUCUUGCAAUUGAAUCUUUUAGUUUCUUGUUUUAUCACUAGUUUGGUUUAUAAAACAAAACUACAUAAAAUGGAAUUUAGGUUGCAUCAUAUUAUUGAUCAUCUUUAUAAUAUCUUUCUUGAAAAUGAUGGAUUGGAAAAUUGUGCUCAAUUGUUAGAAGAAGAAGUCAAUAAAAUGUUUGGCACCAAUAUUUGAAUGAUGAGCAUGAUUGCAAUGUUGUUAGUAUGAAUUCUUUGAAUAUCCAAAAUACUAAUAAUGAUUGCACAAGUCAUUAAAAAAAUGUUUCUUAUAAGCAUGUCAAUUUUUGUGGAGUGCAUAAAGUUUGUGAAGACGUGCCUUAUAGGGAAGAUAGAUUUUGUAAGAAGCAUAAACAUGAUAGCACCAAUUCUUUGCUCAAAGAGAUAGAUGAAUUUGCUAAAAAAUCAUGUUCUCUUUGUCCUAUUACUCGUGAUAUUUGCAAAAAAGUUGGUCACCUUAAUUUCCAAUGCAUGCUUUUUCAUGAUCGAAUCGUGUCCAAAUAUUGCAAUAACUUGAUCACCCUUGAACUUUAUAAUGAACUUUGUCUAUUUUUGGGGAGUGAAGAAUUGACACAUAAAAAUAGUUGGUUUGAAGUAUUCAUUCUCAGGGACGACAUUGAAACUAAACUGAAGAAUAUCUAUAUGUUUUGCAUGGUAAAUUGCAAUGAGAAUGCUUAUAUUGCCAACUAUAGAAAGAUGGGAAAAUCAAUAAAAUAUAAAAGGAAUACCAAUGAAAUGGUAAAGAUUUCCACUUUCCCACCUAUUGUCUCUUAUGAUGAAAUAGGUAACAAGGAGGAGCUCCCUAUUCAACCAGUCUCAUCAAUAAGAAGCUUGAAAAGAUUAAUUAAACCCACACAUGAUGUGGUGAAGAAGAAAAGAAGAAGGAAUAGAGGUAAAAAGGUACCUCUCCAAAUAAUGUUGCUCCUAUUAUUAUUGUGCCUCAUGAAAAUGAAUCAAAAAUAAUUGUGGAAGAUGAAGCACUUGAUGAUGAUAUUGCUUCUAUGUCUUAUGGCACAAUGUCCGAGAGCACUAUUGAUGAUGAUUUUGUUAUGCCUAUUACUUGUUGUGAUGAUUAUGAUUGGGAAGAUAAUGAUACUUCUUAUAACUUGGAAAUCUUUUUCGCACCAACUUGGGAAAUUGUGAUGAUAGUGAUGGGUCUCCAACGUAUCUAUAAUUUAUGAAGUAUUCAUGCUAUUAUAUUAUCCUUCUUGGAUGUUUUAUGGGCUUUACUAUGCACUUUUAUAUUAUUUUUUGGACUAACCUAUUGACCGAGAGCCCAGUGCCAGUUCCUGUUUUUUCCCUUGUUUCAGUGUUUCGAAGAAAAGGAAUAUCAAACGGAGUCGAAACGGAAUGAAACCUUCUGGAGAAGUUAUUUUCGGAAGGAAAGCAACCCGGGAGACUUGGAGUCCACGUCAAGAAAGCAACGAGGAAGGCACAAGGUAGGGGGGCGCGCCCACCCCCCUGGGCGCGCCCUCCACCCUCGUGGGCCCCUCGUGGCUCCCCUGACGUACUUCUUUCACCUAUAUAUACCAAUAUACCCUAAAACCUUCGGGGAACAUAAUAGAUCGGGAGUUCCACCGCUGCAAGCCUCUGUAGCCACCAAAAACCAAUCGGGACCCUGUUCCGGCACCUUGCCGGAGGGGGGAACCCUCACCGGUGGCCAUCUUCAUCAUCCUGGCGUUCUCCAUGACGAGGAGGGAGUAGUUCACCCUCGGGGUUGAGGGUAUGUACCAGUAGCUAUGUGUUUGAUCUCUCUCUCUCUCUCUCGUGUUCUUGAUUUGGCACGAUCUUGAUGUAUCGCGAGCUUGCUAUUAUAGUUGGAUCUUAUGAUGUUUCUCCCCCUCUACUCUCUUGUAAUGGAUUGAGUUUUCCCUUUGAAGUAAUCUUAUCGGAUUGAGUCUUUAAUGAUUUGAGAACACUUCAUGUAUGUUUUGCCAUGCGUAUCUGUGGUGACAAUGGGAUAUCACGUGAUUCACUUGAUGUAUGUUUUGGUGAUCAACUUGCGGGUUCCGCCCAUGAACCUAUGCAUAGGGGUUGGCACACAUUUUCAUCUUAAUUCUCCGGUAGAAACUUUGGGGCACUCUUUGAGGUUCUAUGUGUCAGUUGAAUAGAUGAAUCUGAGAUUGUGUGAUGCAUAUCGUAUAAUCAUACCCACGGAUACUUGAGGUGACAUUGGAGUAUCUAGGUGACGUUAGGGUUUUGGUUGAUUUGUGUCUUACGGUGUUAUUCUAGUACGAACUCUAGGGCUGUUUGUGACACUUAUAGGAAUAGCCCAACGGAUUGAUUGGAAAGAAUAACUUUGAGGUGGUUUCAUACCCUACCAUAAUCUCUUCGUUUGUUCUCCGCUAUUAGUGACUUUCGAGUGACUCUUUGUUGCAUGUUGAGGGAUAGUUAUAUGAUCCAAUUAUCUUAUUAUUGUUGAGAGAACUUGCACUAGUGAAAGUAUGAACCCUAGGCCUUGUUUCCUAGCAUUGCAAUACCGUUUACGCUCACUUUUAUCGCUUGCUACCUUGCUGUUUUUAUAUUUUCAGAUUACAAAAACCUAUAUCUACCAUCCAUAUUGCACUUGUAUCACCAUCUCUUCGCCGAACUAGUGCACCUAUACAAUUUACCAUUGUAUUGGGUGUGUUGGGGACACAAGAGACUCUUUGUUAUUUGGUUGCAGGGUUGCUCGAGAGAGACCAUCUUCAUCCUACGCCUCCCACGGAUUGAUAAACCUUAGGUCAUCCACUUGAGGGAAAUUUGCUACUGUCCUACAAACCUCUGCACUUGGAGGCCCAACAACGUCUACAAGAAGAAGGUUGUGUAGUAGACAUCAGAUAGCAAUUGUUAUACCGUUGGUGCUAUCCAGACUAUUAAUGAUGAGAGUGAUUAUGCUUAUGAUAUGCCAAGCAACAAGCUUGCACUACAAAAAAAGACACAUCUGUGACAUUUUGGGCCGAACGAAAAAAAUUAUGUCAUACAUAUGACACUUCUAUGACGAUAAUUGUGACAAAACCCAGUAUCACCAUAGAUGUGGUGGGCUCCUACUUCUAUGACAAAAAAUCAUGACAGAAAAUGGGCUUUUCGUCCUGGGCAGGCCGGAGACGCAGCUGCAUGACAUUCUUUGGGCCGUCCAUGACGGAAAAAACCGUGGUAGAAGCGAGGGGGAGGAAAAUUUCGGGGAGUUCCCGGUUACGGUGGGAGGUCAGGGGCCGAGCGAUGCGCGUUUCUCUUGUACACGUACGCGCGUGUGUGCGAGGCGUUGGCUCUAACUGAACCCGAGCGAGGCGUUGGGCUCUAACUGAACCCGAGCGAUUGCACUGCAGGCUAUGCGUUACUGAACCCGAGCGAUCGAUCGAUGGCUAUUAACUGAACCCAAUCGAGCGAUUCCUUCGCUACUGCUGCUAACUGAAGCUGAUCGAUUGGAUGAACAGUGAGCGUUGCCGGGGGGUGGAUGAACAGUGAGCGGUGGCGUUGCCUCUGGAUGAACAGGACCCCGUGGUGUGGUGGAGGGCUGGAUGAACAGUAGGCGAUGGAGGGGUGCCCGUGAAGGGGUGGUUGAACAGGCCCCCGUGGUGUGGAGGGGUGGUUGAACAGGACCCCGUGGUGUGGAGGGCUGGAUGAACAGUAGACGGUGGAGGGGUGGUUGAACAAUAGCCGGUGGAGUAGCGCGCGGUGGAGGCUGGAUGAACAGGAGCCCGUAGAGGCUGGAGGAGGUUGACGGUAGCCCGUGGAGGCUGGAGGAGGUCGACGGUGGAGAUGAGCAGUAUCCCGUGGAGUCCUGUUUUGCGGUACGCCACACCCCUCCCGAUGAACAGGACCCCCGUUUCGACCGUAGGAGGUCCGUUUCGUCCGUUUUGUGGUACGCCACNNNNNNNNNNNNNNNNNNNNNNNNNNNNNNNNNNNNNNNNNNNNNNNNNNNNNNNNNNNNNNNNNNNNNNNNNNNNNNNNNNNNNNNNNNNNNNNNNNNNNNNNNNNNNNNNNNNNNNNNNNNNNNNNNNNNNNNNNNNNNNNNNNNNNNNNNNNNNNNNNNNNNNNNNNNNNNNNNNNNNNNNNNNNNNNNNNNNNNNNNNNNNNNNNNNNNNNNNNNNNNNNNNNNNNNNNNNNNNNNNNNNNNNNNNNNNNNNNNNNNNNNNNNNNNNNNNNNNNNNNNNNNNNNNNNNNNNNNNNNNNNNNNNNNNNNNNNNNNNGAUCAACAGGACCCCCGUUUUGACCGUAGGAGGUCCGUUUCAUCCGUUUUGCGGUACGCCACACCCCUCCCGAUCAACAGGACCCCCGUUUCGACCGUAGGAGGUCUGUUUCCUCCGUUUUGCGGUACGCCACACCCCUCCCGAUCAACAGGACCCCGUUCCGAACGUAGGAGGUCUGUUUCCUCCGUUUUGCGGUACGCCAGGCCUCAUUUCCAUCGCCUGUUCCGUCCAAGCCGUCCCGAUGAACACGACCACGCAUUCCGUUCCGACCCAGCCGGUUGGCUCCCACGCGUUCCGUUGCCUCCCGAUGAACACGACGCAUUCCGUUGCCUCCCGAUGAACAUGACGCAUUCCGUUGCCUCCCCAUGAACACGACGCAUUCUGUUGCCUCCCCAUGAACACGACGACGACGCUGUUUCUCCGUUCCGACCCAGCCAUGUACACGAGCCCUGGCCAUACGUAUGCGCGAGUAGGCGUUCGAGACCCCGCCCGUAUGUACACAUACGUGGCCGUAUUUUCUUUCUUGCACCCUGGCCGCUGUACGUACGUGUACAUGCUACGUGCGCGCCUCUACUACGACACGUGCGCCCCUCUACAUCGACCAAUAUGUACGUACACGUUCGCGACCAGAAUGACAACGCUACGUACGCUUCGACCAGGUGGGUCCCGACUGUCAGGCACUUCCUUGCGUGCGAAGAUGUAGCUGGUGGGUCCCAGCAGUCAGGGGGGCGAAUCAUUUUCUGCCCGGACGCACUUCCUUGCGUGCGAAGAUGCAGCCGGUGGGUCCCAGCAGUCAGGGGGGCGAAUCGUUUUUUUUGCCCGGACUCACUUCCUUGCGUGCGAAGGUGUAGCUGGUGGGUCCCAGCAGUCAGGGGGGCGAAUCAUUUUUUUUUGCCCGGACGCACUUCCUUGUGUGCGAAGAUGAAGCUGGUGGGUCCCAGCAGUCAGGGGGAAACAUUUUUUCCGCAAAAUACAGUGGCCCGUCCGGUGGGUCCCAGCUGUCAGGUGGAGGAAUCAUUAUUUUCCGCGUAAUAAGGAGGCACUUCCUUGCUGCGGCCGUGGACCCAGCUGUCAGCCUCUCCACGUAUAGUCCACGUCCGAUGGAAGUCGUUCCUUGACCAUGUUGACCAGGCCGCGCCGAGAGCACCAUGGCGGUGGACGACGGCGAGGCCUAGGAAGGGGACGACGCGGAGCCGGGGAAGACGCGGCAGUGGAAGCCCGCGCGGAGAGGAGUACGAGGGUUCACUGGUUCGGCUGCGGUGUGAGGUUGCCGUCGCCGCAGGGCCUGGCCAGCGGUGGGAAUAGUAGGGGGCGGUGAGGCCUCCGCAGCAGCACAGUCGGCCAUGGGAGGCAGGAGCAUGCGGCGCGACCGGCGCUGCUUUGGGCGGCUGGAGCAAGAAGACCAUAGGUUGAAGAAGCACUACGGCCGUUGGAUGGACAUCGUACGGUCACUGGAGCUAGAAUCGUUCAUAUUGACUAAGUUGACAAAGCCCUCCGUCCCCGUCAACUUAGUUGGCCCACAAGUCAUCCUCCCACUAUGGUGGGUCCCAGCUAGCAGGGGGGUAUUCAUUUUUUUGUGCAUAAUAAGGAGGCACUUCCUUGCGUGCGAUGAUAUAGCUGGAGGGUCCGACAUGUCAGCGGGGGGAAUGUUUUUUUCACGAAAUACAGAGGCCCUUCCGGUGGGUCCCAGCUGUCAGGUGGAGGAAUCAUUAUUUUGCGCAUACCGUCCACGGCCGAUGGAUGUCGUUCGUUGACCAUGUUGACCAGGCCGCGCCGAGAGCACGAUAGUGGUGGACGACGGCGAGGCCUAGGAAGGGAACGACACGGAGCCGGGGAAGACUCGGCAAUGGUUGCCUACGCGGUGGGGAGUACGAGGGUUUACUGGUCCGACUGCCGUCGCCGGAAAAUAACAGGAGGUGUGGGUGAGUAGAGGAAUGGCCUGGCCAGCAAUGAAGUAGGGUGGGGCGGUGCGGCCUGUGCGGCAGCACAGCCGGCCACGGGAGGCGGGAGCAGGCAGUCCCACCAGAGCUGGUUUGGGCGGCUGGAGCAAGAAGAUCAGAUAUUGAAGAAGCAGCACGGCCGUUGGAUUAACAUCCAACGGUCACCGCUACUAGAAUCGUUUGUGGACUAAGUUGACAAAGCCAAAGUACACGUCAACCUAGUAGACCCACAAGUCAGCCUCCAAAUCUGUCCCAAACAGCAUACAGCCCGAAAUUUCUAGCCAGAUUAAAAUUAAUUUUAAAUCUAAAUAUACCUUAAUUUAAAUUCAAUGAAAUUUUACCCGCACAAAAACAAUGAAAUUUAAAAUAUCAAAAUCUGAAAGAAAACGGUAUUUUGGAACUAAUUUCCUGUUUGCUGUAUUUUUCAUUUUACAGCCCAUUUAUUAUUAGUUAUAGCCCAUUUCUUAUUACUUAUAGCCCAUUUUCUGGGCAAAAUGCAUCCCUCCUCGUCUUGAAAGAUUUCCGGCCCAACAGGGCGUAGAAAAGCAAGUAGGCCUACGUUGGUUAUUCUGCAAAAAACAAAAUAGCUGGCUAGCCAUUUUCAGAAAGGAAAAAAACAAACUGGGCUGGUCAUGUGCUAAACAUAUGAAAUAAAAGCCUGGGCUAGAUGGGCCACGGGUCCCGCACAACUCAGUUGAUACCCUUCUCCGUCCCGAAAAAACAAAAUUACUGCGCGCACUGCUGGGUCCCUACUGUCAUCCUCACCAUGUACAGUCAUCUCCUUAUUCCUCUCGUUGUUGACCAUGUUGAUGUUGGAAAUAUGCCCUAGAGGAAAUAAUAAAUUGGUUAUUAUUAUAUUUCCUUGUUCAUGAUAAUCGUCUAUUAUCCAUGCUAGAAUUGUAUUGAUAGGAAACUCAGAUACAUGUGUGGAUACAUAGACAACACCAUGUCCCUAGUAAGCCUCUAGUUGACUAGCUCGUUGAUCAAUAGAUGGUUAUGGUUUCCUGACCAUGGACAUUGGAUGUCGUUGAUAACGGGAUCACAUCAUUAGGAGAAUGAUGUGAUGGACAAGACCCAAUCCUAAGCCUAGCACAAGAUCGUGUAGUUCGUCUGCUAAGAGCUUUUCUAAUGUCAAGUAUCAUUUCCUUAGACCAUGAGAUUGUGCAACUCCCGGAUACCGUAGGAAUGCUUUGGGUGUACCAAAUGUCACAACGUAACUGGGUGGCUAUAAAGGUGCACUACAGGUAUCUCCGAAAGUGUCUGUUGGGUUGGCACGAAUCGAGACUGGGAUUUUUCACUCCGUGUAAACGGAGAGGUAUCUCUGGGCCCACUCGGUAGGACAUCAUCAUAAUGUGCACAAUGUGACCAAGGAGUUGAUCACGGGAUGAUGUGUUACAGAACGAGUAAAGAGACUUGCCGGUAACGAGAUUGAACAAGGUAUCGGGAUACCGACGAUCGAAUCUCGGGCAAGUAACAUACCGAUAGACAAAGGGAAUUGUAUACGGGAUUGAUUGAAUCCUCGACAUCGUGGUUCAUCCGAUGAGAUCAUAGUGGAACAUGUGGGAGCCAACAUGGGUAUCCAGAUCCCGCUGUUGGUUAUUGACCGGAGAGGCGUCUCGGUCAUGUCUGCAUGUCUCCCGAACCCAUAGGGUCUACACACUUAAGGUUCGGUGACGCUAGGGUUGUAGAGAUAUUAGUAUGCGGUAACCCUAAAGUUGUUCGGAGUCCCGGAUGAGAUCUCGGACAUCACGAGGAGUUUCGGAAUAGUCCGGAGGUGAAGAAUUAUAUAUAGGAAGUCCAGUUUCGGCCACCGGAAAGUUUCGAGGGUUAUCGGUAUUGUACCGGGACCACCGGAAGGGUCCCUUGGGUCCACCGGGUGGGGCCACCUAUCCCGGAGGGCCCCAUGGGAUGAAGUGGGAGGGGAACCAGCCCCUGGUGGGCUGGUGCGCCCCCCAUGGGCCUCCCCCUGCGCCUAGGGUUGGAAACCCUGGGGGUGGGGGCGCCCCACCUGGCUUGGGGGGCAAGUUUCCCCCCUUGGCCGCCGCCCCCUUGUAGAUGGGAUCUCCAGGGCCGGCGCCCCCCCAGGGGGGCUAUAUAUAGUGGGGGGGAGGGAGGGCAGCAGUACCCAAGCCCCUGGCGCCUCCCUCUCCCUCCCGUGACACCUCUCCCUCCCAUUAGUGCUUGGCGAAGCCCUGCCGGGAUCCCCGCUACUUCCACCACCACGCCGUCGUGCUGCUGGAUCUCCAUCAACCUCUCCUCCCCCCUUGCUGGAUCAAGAAGGAGGAGACGUCACUGCUCCGUACGUGUGUUGAAUGCGGAGGUGCUGUCCGUUCGGCGCUAGGAUCAUCGGUGGUUUGGAUCACGACGAGUACGACUCCAUCACCCCCGUUCUCUUGAACGCUUCCGCUCGUGAUCUACAAGGGUAUGUAGAUGCACUCCUUCCCUCUCGUUGCUAGUAAACUCCAUAGAUUGAUCUUGGUGAUGCAUAGAAAAUUUUGAAUUUCUGCUACGUUCCCCAAUAGUUGACAACACCGGAGGGCGGCGCCGCGGCGAGCGAACCAAGGCGGAGGACGAUGAUGAGGCCUCGGACGGGAACGAACAGGAGCCGGGGAAGAUCACAGCCAGCCGUGGGAGGCGGGAGCAGGCGGUCCCGCCGGCGCUGGUUUGGCUUUGGUGGCUCGAGGAAGAAGAGACUGAAUAAACGCGACAGACGUUGAAUGUCAAUCCAACGGUCAAGGUUGGCACAAUCGUUUGUUGACUAAGCGGACACCAAGUAGCAUACUUUUUUAUAUAUAGGAAGAAAACUGCGAGGAAAAUGCGUCCGUCUGCCGUCCUCCUCAUAGGGAAUGUUCGCCACAUAAGUGACUAGCACCCUUGGUUUUCAACCGAGAGGUCUUGGGUUCGAGUCCCAGGAACUCUCAAUUUUGUCCUCCUUCCUUCCUCGCAAAAAAAGGGAAAGAAAAUCAAAGACUUGGGAAGGCGUACAGAACAAGCUAGUGUACCAGUAAAGAGACGUUGCCGAGUUUUAGCAAAAAGAAAGACGUGCUCCUGUACCUGGAUUGAAUCCAAACCUAGACUAUGAGUAUAUAUGGUGCUAUGCUACUCUGCAAGUAAUGAAACUGACAUAUCCAAUGUUCGCUUCUCCUCUUCUCUACUUACUCUGCCUAGCAUCAGAAGCUCUGGCCGCAGCAACCAUGUCCGCUGGCUGCUCAUCCACCUGCUCUUUAGCAGGCAACAACCAGAUAUGUGCCAAGGCGCCACCCACGCCUGUGGGUCUCAUCACACCCCCGCCGGCACGCGCACCGCUGCCGAUUGCUCAUCGCAACCCGCUGCCGUUGGUGUGGUGCCACUGCUGCAAAUCACGCAGAGUCAUUCGUCGCGUCUCAACCACAAUCCGCAACCCUGGCCGAGUCUUCUACAAAUGCCCGAAUCAUGGGGUAAUAAUAUGUUUAAGUGUUGUUCUGCUGCUUUCAGUUGCUGAUUUUUUUAAUAGUUCGGUUGAUGAUCUUCCAAUUUGAUUCGUGCAGAAAAGGGAAGAUUCGUGUGAUUUUUAUUUCUGGGAAGUUGCUAAUGUGGGGGAAUGCAACUACACUGAUUAUUUGGUUAGCCAAGGAAUCCCAAUACCAGCAGGUUGGGGUGUUGGACAAGUAACUGAAGGAACGGCAGAAGAGGAAGAUGCAGAGCAGAAGGUUAAAGAUGCAGUUCCUCUGAUCAUGGCCAAGCAACAGCUGCUGAACAGCCUUGACAGCAAUGAGGAGAUGAAAGAGCUUGUGAAGAUAAUGGGAAAAAUCGAUGUGCUCUGUAGGAUGAUUGUCUCUUUAUUUGCAGUGUAUGUAGCACUCGUGAUGUAUUCAGUGGCUACGACAUGAGCACUUUGCUGAAACUAGUAAUGAAUGAAACCUGUGUAGCAGGCUGGGCGUAGUGUUGUGAACAUCUAAUGUUUUCUAUUAACGGAAAUCAGGGGGUAUCCCCUUUUGCUCAUAUAAAUAAAUAAAUAAAUAGCAGAGGCCCUGUCGGGUCAGCUUUGUUCUCAUUCGAAGACGUCGAGCAAAUUGCAGUCCAAUAGCAAACUAUGUCAUGAAAUUCAAGUUUCACAGCCAAAUAUGAGUACAACUAAACAACAAUGUCAACAUGUUUUAGUUGUCAUACAGUCACCAAACACAAAUCAGCAUACAUAACAAGUGAUGUUCUCACAGGAAAAUACUAAUCAACAUGUUCAUCAGGUUUCAGUUGUCAUAGCAAACACAAUUUCACAUAGUAGAUAAAAAACGUCUUCUGACAGGCAAAUACGACAAAAGCAAUGUAAUCAUCAUCCGCAGGAGCAGCGUCAACAUCUUCGCCAUGUGUAUCAGUCUGAAUCGUAAUUCCCCACGGUGUCAUCUUCUUCUUUGUCCUCAACGUCCUCGAACGUUGGCUUAUUCUUGAUCAACUCUUGUAUGUCCACAGCACGACAGGCAAUCUUUUCGCUGGCGUCAUUGACGUGAUGGUUCUCAAAGAUAUUAGAAACAUCUGUGUUAUCUUGUACAUCAGGAGCAGUGUAAGCAUCAUCUUGUUAUGCAACUUCAUUAAACAAAUUCCUCUGCUAAAACCUUUGCAAUACUCUCCAGUCAUCGCUACGUGCAAAUGUGUCUUCCAAGAAAAAUAUCUGUGUUGCUUGAUUUGCCAAAAUAAAAGGCUCGUUGGUCUGGUACGCCGCCUUGACAUUGAUGGAUUUGAAAUAAUCAUCAGCUCUGGGUUUUGCGAUCCUAGAAAACAGGUUAUACCAACGACGGCACAACAGAACCACACACCGAUGAUCCUCGAAACUGGAGAUAUACUGCAACUGAACAAUGUCUGUUAUGUUAGCAUACAUUUCACUUGUCUCUUUGUGAUACGUAUCCGUGCUCAUGAUGGCACUGUUUUGUGUCUUCCUGCCUUCGUCUCGUGCAAGGGUGUUGUAGCGCACAUCUCCAACAACGCAAGAUUCAUAAUGUCUUACCCGAGUAUCAGGACCCAUUGCUAGUGAGUAAAGGGCAUCAUCAACUGCCUGCCCAUCCUCCCGCAUCUUCUUAACCUAUGGUUAGAAAAUAGACAAGCUGAUCAUCUUAUGUACUCAAUAUAUUAAAAAAAACUGACAGUGCACUUCAAAAGCUUACAUGGUUCUUGAACCAUUUCGCAAAUCCUGCCAUAACCUGUUUGUCAAUAUUUCUUGGAUUUUGCGGCAGUAACUCCUCUUUGUAGAUGAUGCACAACAUAGUGAUCACGUCAAACAUCUAAAUAUAUAAGAAUGUGUUGCAAGUUUAGUAGAUUACGAUGUAUAAGCUACAGUACUCCACUUAAUUGAUAUAAGGUAGUAUCUCAGGACAGUUAUUCAACACAUACCAAACCAUUUUGUCCAAAUCUUUAGGUUUUUCCUCUUGUCGACUCUUCCCUGUAACUCGAACAGAAUAAUCGAAAACAUUGAGCCCGGGAUUGUCUUCACCCACCUCUUUGCUAAGCUGAUCAGCUAUUUCAAUGUAUUUUGAGCAGAAUGUCAACGCUUCUGUAGCAAUGUAGGCCUCUGCAAUGGAACCCUCGGGUCUAGCUCUGUUCCUAACAUAGCCCUUGAAAGUGCCUAGCUGCCUUUCAAUAGGGUACAUCCAGCCAUACUGCACUGGACCUCUAAGUAGUGCCUCAUCAGGUAGAUGAACAGCCAAAUGCACCAUCACAUCAAAGAAGGCUGGAGGAUAUAUCUUCUCAAGGUCGCAUAGGAUAGUUGGUAUCUUGUCUCUAAGACGCUCCAAAGCAUCUAUCCUGAUAUUCCUACUGCAGAGUUCCCUGAAGAAUUGUCCCAACUCUGCAACUGCUCUGUAUAAGUCAGGGCGGCCCAAUCCUCUAAGGAUAACAGGUAAAACCCUUUGAAGUAGGAUGUGGCAGUCAUGAGUUUUCAACCCUUGUACCUUGUUUCCAUCUGCACUGACUCUCCUUUCAGGGUUGUAAGCAAAUCCAUGUGGGAAUCUCACACGUGACAGGACCUCGCAGAAUUCUUUUCUUUUUACCUUGUCCAAGACGUACACAGCUGGUGCCAUAUCCCGUAGUUUAACUUCAUCUUGCACCUGCAAAUCCUUUCUGAUACCCAAGUGUGUCAAAUUAAUCCUAGAUUUUAAGGUAUCUUUCGUCUUGCCUUCAAUAUUAAGAAGUGUGCCGAUAAUGCUGUCACAUAUAUUUUUCUCGAUGUGCAUCACAUCAAGAUUAUGCCGCAGAUCCAAAUCUUUCCAAUACUCCAAGUCCCACAAAGUGGACCUGCGGGUAAACAAUAAUCUCUCUUCUACCCUGCCACGCUUCCUUUUCCCGCUACCAUUACCAGGAUGGUUUCCUGGUGUAAUAUGCCUGACCUUCUCUAAUUCCACUUGCAACUCAUCGGCGGUGAGCCUCUUUGGCGCAUCACAGUUUUCAUGCUUUGCAUUGAACACAUGUCUUCGGUAUUUUCUAGGAUGCGGCUUGUCCUUGGCAAGGAAACGGCGGUGUCCACUGUAACAGAUCUUGCUAAGUAUUGUGUAUAACAGCGGAUUCCUGUCACAGCGAACACAUGCCUUGUAAACAUGUGUCGUUCUGACAUAGUGCCCAAAGCCGGAUAAUCAUGGAUGCACCAAAUUAUAACAGCACGCAGAAAGAAAUCAGCUGGUGGGCUGCUAUAUAGGUCUCGAGUGAGAACACCCUUUCAUAGCUGUUGAAGUUCCUCCACAAGAGGCUCCAUGAACAAAUCAAAAUCCUUUCCAGGACUUUUUGAACCUGGGAUGAGCAAGGCCAUCAUGUAGUUUGAUUCUUUGGUGCAGACAUUUGGAGGCAUGUUGUAAGGGAUAACAAGCACUGGCCACAUGCUAUAUGUGGCGCUCUAGUGGCCAAAUGGGUUAAAUCCAUCUGAAGCUAAGCCAAGUCUAAUGUUUCUCGGGUCAGCAGCAAACUCUUUGUGUUUAUCAUUGAAGCUUUUCCACUCACUACCAUGAGAUGGAUGGCUCAUUUCAUUCUGAUCUCUGUACUCUUGGUUCCUAGAAUGCCACAGUACAUCCUCUCUUGUUUCAGCAUCAUGAAACAACCUCCGCAAUCUUGGUGUAAUUGGAAAAUGUCUCAGAACAUUAUGAGGAAUCCUCUUCACAGCAUCGCCAUCUUUCCAUCUUGAUGAUUUGCAUUUCGGGCAUUCACUUAAGUUGGCAUAAUCCUUCCGGAACAGAACACAAUUAUUCUUACAAACAUGGAUCAUAUCAUAUCCAAUUCCAACUGCACGAAGGAAAUUCUUCAUUUUACUGUAGGUGUGUGGCAGCUCAGACGCAUCUGGGAAAGAUUUGCGGAAAGCAGCCAACAUCGCAUCGAAUGAUUUGUUGGUCAUCCGCUCAGAUGUCUUCACCUGAAGGAAGGUGACCAUAGCUGAGAAUACUGACAGCUUAUUUCCUGGGGUGACAGCAACAUUGCAUUGUUCUAACAUGCGGGCCCACCGUUUUUCUUCUGCAGGUGAAAGUUCACGGAAUGCACGAGCAUUUCGUAGCAUUGUUUCAAUGUUGGUCAAACUCACUGGCUCUGCCACCACCACCUCCUCCUCCUCUUCCACUUGAGCAUCAGGCAGAUCAAGAUGGUGAUCUGCUGCUUCCACAUAGUCAAUAACAUUGACGUUCACAGCUUCACCAUGAUGAACCCACCUAGUAUAUGUGACCGACAUCCCAUACAAGUGUAGAUGAUUUUGCACAGUUGACUGGGGUCUUGUAACUGAAUUCAUACAACUGCUACAUGGCAGAGCACAUCUGAUUUCGGACCACCGUACUCAGCUCUUAUAAAGUUCAUGAAGUUUUCAACCCCCUCGAGCAGAAGUUAUCCAAGUCCUGUCCAUCUGUUAGAAAUACAAAUUAGUUCUUCUACUAGAUAUUACAGGAAAAACAUAUAUGCUUUUUUAUGAAGUCCAGAAAAAAUACCUAGGUCGAUGUCUAAAGCUAUGGCAAGAUAUUUGGACGAGCAGAUCUAAGUAACGAAAUAUAUGUAAAUCUAAUUCAGCAAACAGAUUUGAGUGCCAAAUUAUGGCAGGCUGUUUCAGCAGUCAAUGAGGCCGAGCACACAGCCAUCGAACUAUCGAAGGCCAUCGCAGCAACAAAGAUCGAGUAUAAAACGGUGUAGAGCUAUUUCACCUAACAGAUUGGCUACUAGACCAUGGCAAUCUACGUCACAAUAAAUAUAUGGCAGGAUAUUUUAGCAACUAAUCGGCCUUGGCAUGCCAUCUCAGCUAAGCAGGUUGAGUGCAGAACAGGGCAAUGAAGCUUCUUAAGCAGAGCAUAUUGACAGUAAACUACGUCGGCAAACAGUGAGAUUAACAGCGUCUAUCAGCUAACAUUCAGCGCUACACCGACAUGAACGGGGCCUCAGUCUAGAAUGCGCGUACCGUGGGAGAAGCUGACCGCCGUGCGUCUCCACACGAACAUCGCCAGCGGUGGCGGCGCUGACCGCCGUGCGCCUCCACAAGAACGUAGCCAGAGGUGGCGGCGCGGCUAGAGGACGGCAGUCUAUGAGAGCAUACUGUGGGAGCGAGAGGAUCGCCGAACCGCGGCACCGACGUAUCGGCGCGGCGGGGAGGGCCGCUUUGGCGGAGCGAAUGGAGUGGAGGGGGACUGGGGGGAGGGGAUUUUGGGGAAUAUUAUUGGCUAGUUGGCCGAAGGGCGGUUGAAUCGGAUUUGGGGGGAAUUUUUGGGUGUGGGGGGAGGAUUUUCGCGAGGUGGGCGGGGGGAGUUUGGCGCAUGGUCGGUUUCUCCAAGUGCAAUCUCAUGUGUCAGUGAAGAGGCAAGCCGAAGCGCGUUCCGUUUGCAUGAGCCGUGUGCAGGACCGAACGUGUGUGGGGUGCAAUGCGACCGCGACAGGAGUGCUGUGAGUGUACCGCCUUUUUUCCUUUUAAACUAGGUGCUUCGCCCCCUCAAAAAAAAUUGUUGCUUCGCGCGAUCCAUCGAUACUACUACUAGUAAUCCGGUAAUCCCGACUAAAACGGCGCGGCCGGGUCUUUUCCCGCGCGAUAUGCUGGGAGGUUGGCUUAGUCGGGUUUUUUAGGACGAGUAAUGCUACACCUACGUAACCCCAGUUACGUAAUUAACAUAAUGUGAAACGUGUGAGCUGUUGAUUGUAGAUUGGGGGGAGGGAGGGGCCCACCACCAUGAAAAUCAGGGAAGGAGAGAGAGAGGCAAUUUACGUUAACCCUUUCGUAGGUUCCCGUAGAUGUAGAAAGAUGUGAAAUGCGUGAAUGUGUAGUGGACGUACUAUUGGAGUGCCUAAGAUAAUUUGUGUAUGUAUAGACCCUAUGUGUUUAUUUUACUUCGCAUGUUAGAUUUGUCUCGGUUCAAUAAAAAGCAGAGUUGGUGAUGAUGGUGUGCCUGUCAUCCUGCAAUAUAGGCCGUCCGAUCUAUAUCUAACGGAUAGGAAGGAAACUAUGACAAUUUACUCGCACUCCUCUCCACAUUUGCAGAUAAGGCUUUCCCUCGUUCAUCCUUUUCUCCCACAAGAUCAUGAUCUUCUGUGCAACGCACGGGCAUCUUGCUAGUACUCCUACAAUAUGUAUAUUAUUGUGAAAGUUCAUAUACACCGGCCGAGAUUAAUGCAAACACGGCAGAUUUUCAUUACAUUUCAAACUUUUAUAGGACAGAAAAAUAAAAGAAACCCGACCCUAAACCUAUUCUACAGCGGCGACCGACGUCCUCCAUCUGCGAUCUCUAUGUACGGGGGCGGGUUCAAGACCCGUGAAGUGAAGGUGCGGUCUCCGGCGAGGAAGAGUAGAACACGGGAUACGGACCGGCCAGUUGGCACACCAUGCCCUGCCGCCUCCCAUGCCCUACUCAUCCUCGGAGGAGUCCCCGACCUCGGCGGUGCCGGACGUUGGACGGCGGCAAGUAGGACGCGUGGCUGACGGUGUUCCCGUCGUCGGCCGCCAGCGUGGCCACCGCUUGUGCGGUUGCGUCCGCGCCCGGCUACGCCGCUAUUGCGUCGCGAGAGGCGACUUGAGCGAGGGCGGCAACCUCGAGCUUCAUCCCCGAAUACAAGCUCUCCCGCAGAGCGUUCGCACUUGCGGUCAUGCCGGAUGUGGUGCCAGGUAGGAGGACGAUGCGCUAUGGUGUGGAGGUUAGCUGGGCGUUGCCGCUUUAAGUAGCGCAUUCCGGUGAGGCCAAGCGUCCAGGUGCGUCAUUAAGUCGCCGGAGUUGGUUCCUCGGGCACUGAGCCUCUUAACGGCGACAUACGAACGGACGGCAUGAAUGCGGGCAGCUGGCGCCGGCUGGGAACGCACCGAGCGACGGCACGAGGGACGAGGGUUUUGGUCUGCCAGGGUAGUCAGCUGCGGUCGUGGCAACGUUGGAGAUGCCCUUUGCUCACAUGCGAUCCCCGCAUGUCAUUGAAAAAGCGAGAUGACCCGGCAUGGUCUCAGGUCCAGAGGAUGCAGUUGGCCGCGCUACACCACUCCGCGGACGCGUCGCGGCACCCCGUGCAUCGUCGACGAGCCGGGUGUUGGGGUGUGUUUGGAUUGUGGCCAAAGUGCACCUUACCAAAAUUUUGCUCAUGACCCAAAGAUUGGUCUUUGUUUGGAUGGUUGCCAUUUUUUUGGCAUGCCAAUGAACUCUAGCCAACUCUAGUUCAUUUUUCUUGCCAAUGUCGGCCAAAUCAUGGGCAACCAAUAACUCAACCAAAAUUUUGGUCAUGACCCAAAUAUUGGUCUUUGUUUGGAUGGUUGCCAUUUCUUUGGCAUGCCAAUGAACUCUAGCCAACUCUAGUUCAUUUUUCUUGCCAAUGUCGGCCAAAUCAUGGGCAACCAAUACCUCAACCAAAAUUUUGGCUACCCAAUGCUUUGAUGGGGCAACCUUGGGCACAAACCAAACAUACCGUUGGUCGUGCCACAACACUAACGCCACCCUCGGCACACUGAAACCGACCAUGUCUAGCGACGAUAUGAAUGUGUCGCUCACCGCGGUUGCCGUGUCAAGAGGCGGUGCUGGAGCUGCGCCCCGUUGUUGGCCCCAACGACCCACAUGAACGGUUGUCGGUGGCGAGGAGGUCGUGGGCCAGCUCCUCCAUUGGACUAGUCUGCGCUACGUCGUCCCGACGGGUGUGCCCCACAUGUCGGUUUCCCUGUUUUCCCGGCCAUAUUUGAGCGUCAGUGCUCCGCGUUGCGCAUUAGGCCUUUCACUAUGUAGGCCAAGCGAGACAACUUAUUGUUUAUUUGAGCCGUUCAAGUAUAAUCAUGUGGCGUUUGCUUAUUUCUCAUUCCUCUCCAACCCUCUUCUCCAUCGAUCAUGUCGCCCUCCAGUCGAGUCCAUCCUCCCGCAUGCCUCAUUUGAACAUUCCGCUGAGUAUCAUUCACGUGUACCCACCCUAGUCCUCUUUCAAUAGAUCUCCAGACCCUGAGAUGAAAUCGAGAGGGAACGAGUGGGGGCACGUGAUACCUAAGGCAGAUUCAAAAUUUUGAACCAGUGAUCAUAGCAUCCGCAAAUCAUAUAUAAAGGGUAUUCAAUGUUCGUUUCGUUUUUGAACGUACAAUAUACUCCCUCUAUCCUUUCUAGUAUACAUACAAGUUUUAUGUGUAGUCAAAGUAUCUCUACUUUGAUCAAAAAGGUAUCAACAUUCAACAACGCCCAAUCAAUAUUGUUAGAUUUGUACUCGAGAUGGUUUCCAAUUUGACUAUUGACAAGAUUAAUAGUACAUGAGAUGUAUAAUGUGAAAAUUAAAUCAUUGGAAACUCCUUUCACAUACGAAUUUGACCGUAUGCUUUGUGUAAGUUGCAUGUCAUAUAUUAUUACUCUAACAUUUGGUCAAAGUUAGCCUCGAAAAACGCAUUAGACCCUGUAUGCUUUGUGUAAGUUGCAUGUCAUAUAUUAUUACUCUAACAUUUGUGUAAGUUGCAUGUCAUAUAUUAUUACUCUAACAUUUGGUCAAAGUAGUAUAGUAGAAGUGGAUCCUCUGACAUAGGUAUCCCUGCCUUACCCUCCCUUUCGGUCACUUACUGGUGGACCCCAUGCUUGCUAGGCCCCGAAUGUCAGUUACUCAAUGGGUUCGGCCACGUCAGGGGAUCCUCAUCCGUAGUAUACUCCCUCUGUUUUUAUUUACUCCGCAUAAAACGGAGGGAGUGGUGGUAUAAUAAAUGACGCGGGCGGGGGAGGGGGAGGGACGUCGGUUUGCUCUCAACUACGGUCCCACAAGCGAGCGAAAACGCAAGACGAAGCGCGUUCCAUUCAGUGAGCGACGUGGAGGGUCCAGCGUGCCGGGCUGCAACGCGAACGCGACAAGAGCGAUGUACAGUCAAAACCGAUUGACCGGUCGUCAUCGGAACCACUAUUCACACCAGAACCUUCACUGCUCGGCCUACGCCAGCCACUACCCUAAAACCACACCAAAUCUCCGGCCCAUUCCCCCACCUUUCGAUCCCCUAGCCCGCAUCAAGCGUCCCCUAGUUCGCCGGAAAGCCAUGGUGCGCCGCAAGAUCACUUACUACAAGAUGCUGACGCCGGAGAGCCGCGCAGAAAUCACGGCGGCGAUCGGCCCCACAGACCUCCGUUCCCAAGCUCGCUUUGCGGUGGGCCAAUCCCCGAGUUCUCUGGAGCCAAGCUAUGAGGAGGAGGAAGCCGAUCCAAUGUUCAUGGAGGAGGUCACGGCGCAGAAGGCCCCCCAUGGGUAUGAGACGAUGGACGUCGACUUCGUGCCGGCGUCCGAGUCCCCCAUGGUGCAGGCGGACCAGCGGUUCAACAUGGCGAUACUAAAGGAGGACCGGGAGGCAGAGGCUCAACUCGACGCGGAGCGCGCGCAUGCCGCUGCCAUCGAGGCUCUCCUGCAGGCGGAACCGGAUGUCGUGGAUGUGAACCGGGCGGCGGAGGCUCAACUUGAGGCGGAGCGCGCGGAUGCCGCUGCCAUCGAGGCCCUCCUGCAGGCGGAACCGGACGUCCUGGACUUGAACCGGGUGGCAGAGGCUCGACUCGACACAGAGAGCGCGGAUGCCGCUCUCAUCGACGCCCUCCUGCAGGCGGAACUGGACGUCCUGGACUUGAACCGGGCGGCGGAGGCUCAGCUCGACGCGGAGCGCGCGGAUGCCGCUGCCAUCGAGGCCCUCCUGCAGGCGGAACCGGACGUCCUCGACUUGAACCGGGCUGUGCUCUCGUCCGUGCAGAGCACCCGCAUGCUCCGCUUGAACGAGUAGCUGGAGGCCGAGGACAACCACGGUGCGGAGACACACGUCGGCAGCGACGGCUGGUUCGCGCCGGCAGCCAGAGACGACGAGGCCGUCUCUUUCCGCGAGCAGUGAUAGUUUUUCUUUAUGUUGUUGUUUUUAUGGAUCUUUUGCCGUGUAAAAACAUAUAUUUGUUUUGCAAGUCGCCUGACUUGGGUCAGUCUACCAUUUCAGGCGGUUGGAUGAAUAUCCUACGUCUCCUAACCCUUCUUUCCUUCUUCCUCACCUCUUCUUCUUCCCCAACAGACCACCGCACGGGCCGUACGGAUACUCCCCAACAUGCGGUUGGAUAAACAUACUCUAUGAACGAAAAUUAUGUGUCAGCGAUAGGAUGGCUGAGUUUGGUUUGUUCACAUGCGACAGCACUUGUCAGUGAGGGUGCGUUCCCUUGGUUGGGUUUGCAGCGUGCAGGAGCGACUGUGUGAGGGUGCGGUGCGACCGCGGCGUGCAGGAGCGACCGUGUGAGGGUGCGGUGCGACCGCGACAGCCGUGCGCAAGUGUACCUCCUUCUCAUUUUGAAAACUUUAGGCAAUCUUGGCAAAAAUGUGUGGCGAAGUUUGGCAAUGCAAGGCCUAGACCCAAACAGGAUAAGUACGUACGUACUAGGAGUACUGGUGUUAAAAUAGAAAGGCGGGGUUUCCCUUCGCAGGAUUUAAUCGAUACAAAUCCUCGUUUCACGUGUCAAUUAAUGCGUAUUUUUUUCUCCAAAGACCAAAGAGCUAACCAUCUCACUCCGCAUCGCUUGAUUAAUGCAGCGCCAUGCAAACCAACCUUCUCACUUCCGCAUGCAUGCAGGGGAUAUUAAUGUCCUUGGUUGCUAACCCCAUCAAUUUGGCCUCGAUUAGUGUUAGUGGCCCUUUGCAAAUUGUAAUUUUGAUAUACUGGCCUUGUGUACAAAAAAAUGGAGGUAGUAACUAUAUUUGACUUCCUUCCCCAUUGCGGUGACGUCGACGAUAUCUUUUUUUGGGUGGUUUGGCGAAGUGCGUUCGACGGAGAACACCAUUGAGGGAGACCACGGUAAGUCGUUCGCAAGUGCCGCCUGCAAGCCGAGACAACCGCCUUAUUUGCAUCCAGGAAGUCCUUUACUAGUACUACUAGGAGUACUAGUGCGGUGAGAUGGUUUCUCGAAGAAGACGAUGGAGAAGCGGAGUCAGCGAAGAGUGAAAUGAUGGUUGCUUCGUCCGUGCUUUUGUGAUUUGACACCUCACUACUUUGUGAUUUGUGAUAGAAGGGACAGGGGAGUAGAAUCUGUGCUCUAUACUGUACUACAUGCGUCCAAGCAUGGGAGAAAGAGGAGAGACGCUGCAUUUUUCUAUUCCUUCAAUCAAUCAAUCAGGGAGCUUCGGUUCCAUCUUUUUGGCUUUGGCAACACCGUCCACAAUGGUUCCCAUGAUGCCAAAAGCUAUUUUCACAUUUGGCUACACAUUGUGGAUGCCCUUAACCGUACCACUUGGUUUUGCUCCUGUGUGCUAUCUAUACAAAUCUCAAUUAUAUUGAUCUAAAAAAUUAUAGAAUCAAGAUUAGUAAAAAGGAGGCGAUUUUGCCGCGCGGAUGGCGGGGGAGGUUUCUUAUUUGAGCAAUGCUACAUCCACAUAAUGGUUUACAUAAAGUUAUGAACUGAUGUGAUGUGGGACUAUUUGAUUGGAUUAAAGGAGAGGAUUAGGCCCACCCCACCUGAAAAUCAGGGGGGCAUAUAUAGAUUAGAUGGAAAGUAUACGUAGCAGCUACGUAGACCUUUGUAAGUCUAGGAUUAGGCUUCUUAUUUUCGGAGGACGUUGUCCUGGCGGUUUGCUAACAUGCGGUCCCACGUGUCAGUGCUUUACCAAGCCGAUCCGCGUCCCACAUGAGGCAGAACAACGGCAGAAGCAACACGUGGUUAAGUUGAAGAAGAUGAGGGAGAAGCGGAUUCAGCAACGAGUGAAAUGAUGUGAUGGUUGCUUCGUCCCUCCAACUUAACUGCGGGAAAGGUGCAGCUUUGUGAUUUGACGCAUCAUUGCUCAUUACUACGCCGGCGCCAUGACUGGGGUGCUUCACCCCGGCUGCUCUGCACUGUAUUCCGGUAUGGCAUGUGGACCCGGUAGCUUGAUGUCCCACAUGCCGACGAAUGGGACUAGAAGAUUUAUGAAAGCGAGUGCUCCACUCUUACGAUGGAGGAGUAGACGACACGACGGCCUAGUGAACUGUCACUUGUACGGUAUAGUACUAUAGUUUUGCUGUUUCGCACGAUCCAUCGAUACAAACCCGAUAAAAUAGGAAAGGGUGGGAUUUUUCCCGCCCAGUAGAUGAUACUGGCCAUACAUUUCAAAGGCAAUUUUAAUGUAUGCAAACUGAAUAAUUAUAAGUAACAAUAUGAUAUCUAGUAAAACUAAAAACACAUAUGAUUUAUUGUGUUAGAGUGUAGUAGUAGUGCUGUAUUGCAUAGUUGUUAGAUGUAACAUGCGAGAACGUGUAGAGAUGUAGUUUUGGAGGGCCUACAGAGAGAAAAGCGUAAUACGGUCACCGAACUUCAGAAUAAGCUGAUUACGGUCACUAUAUACGUUUUGCGGUGAUUAUACGGUCACUUGCUCACAGUUCAGCAUCGAAUUGCACUCUGUUGACCGGCCAAAUAGUCUGCGUGGCGCCAUGUUGACUAGUUAAAUUGACCACGUUCCUUGUGGGUCCCACCUGUUAGUUCGCAUAGGUAAAAGGUCAGAUAAACACAAAUUUACGCAGGCGCGACAAGGCUCCAACCCGUGCGCGGGAAUCACCUGGUUGUGUAUGUGUCUGUCAGGGCCUGAUGUGUGCGCAUGCAUGUGUAGGUUGAGCACUUGAGCGUGAGAGUGUGUGUUGGUCGUGUGGUGUACUGGUGAGUGUUGCGUGCGUGUGUGCGUGUGAGUGUUGCGUGCGUGCGUGUGAGUGUUGCAUGCGUGCGUGGCUGCGUGUGUAUGUGUGAGUGUUGCGUGCGUGCGUGGGUGCAUGUGUUUGUGUGAGUGUUGCAUGGAUGUAGUUCGUGUGCAUGCGUGCGUGUGUGUAUAAUCACCACACCAGCUCCUGUGUGUUAAAACAGACGGCUCAGCAUACCAAUACAAGGCCACCUUGUCCGUUGUGCCCGCGGUCAUGACUUCGAACCACCGUCCAAAUAUUUUUUUGUCGUUUGUUUUCAUUCUUACUAGCAAGAUGCCCGUGCGUUGCACGUAACAUCAAGAUGCAUUUGUAUGACUUGAUUAUCUUGUGAGAGAAAAGGAUGAACGAGGGAAGGCCUUAUUUGCAAAUGUGGAGAGGUGUGUGGGUACCUUUUUGCAAAAUUGCCAUAGUUUCUUUCCUAUCCGUCGGAUAUAAAUCGGACGGCCUAUAUUGCAGGAUGGCAGGCACACCAUCAUCACCAACUCUGUUUUUUAUAAGAGUGUAUUUUAUGUAUUUUAUAAGAGUGUAGAUGUAGAGUAGAUACAAGUCGACAGGUGGGCACGAUGGUAGUGAGAUAAUGUGAUGCAACACUAGAGGUGCCACGUGGAGCAUUUAACUGGUCAACUAGUCAUGUCAUGAGCAAAUACAGAAUUGUACGGUGAGCCCGUGACUGUAUAAUAACCACUAAACGUAAAUGGUGACCGUAAUGAGUGGAUUCUGAAGUCCAAUGUACGUAUCGUGCUUUCGCCUCAAAUACAAUGAUCGUCAUUGCAUAUAUCGCGAGAUAAAGAUGAAACGUGCGUGAAUUUUCUGGGGGCUUACUUUUAGAGGACCUAGAGAUAGUUUUGUGUGCAUACGUGAAAGGGGCAUAUAGGGGGGUAUGCGAUGGAGAGAGAGAUGCUCUUCGUUUCUCUUUAUUAUCACUAACUUUGUAUAUAGUAUAAAAAUAUACAAAUUCACAGUGCGGAAUAAAUAUCAUUGUGGGCACCAUGCAAUGCAAAUUAGCGUUCGUACUCCUCCAUAUAACUUUGUAAUGUUGUAUAUAUGUAGAAACUCUAAAAUAAUUUUUUGGCCACACUUUAUUCAAGAGGAAUGUUGUAUGCGAAAUAAACGUGAAGAGAGGGCUUUUUAGAUCAAUGGGGUACGUGAUGUAACAUGUGUGAAUGUGUAGUUGAUGCAUUUGGCGGGGCCUAGAGAGGUAUGUGUGUCUAUUACGUAUUCGAGAGAGGCAUGGAUAGAGGGGCCGACUGGGGGGCGUGGGAGAGAUAGCACGAGAAAUGAGAGUGGUCUAGAGAGAGAGACGAAUAUGACGUCACGAUAAGAGAUUCCAUUCCCUUGAGUGUGUAUAUGCAAGGGGGAGGGAAUAGAGGCACCAGGAGAAAUUUUCUCUGUGUGUGGUGUUUGUGUUGGCAUGUGUGGUUGUGAGAAGAUAAUGAGACGUGGGGGCAGAGGGUGUGUCACCGUGUGAGGUCCGGUGGGUCGAGGUGAGGCCCUUCGUUCGGUUCCGUCCUGCGCCACAUUGGUCGGCCCGUGACACAUUUAGGAAGAUUCAUGGAUGACUAGUCGUACAAGACAAAGAUAGCAGAAUUGUGAAGGACUCUGUGUCCACUGACAAAGCCGGCUAGGAUUUGUAACCCUAGGUUCUCGGACUAAGGUAACCCCUUUAUCUCUGAUAUUACUAUUCAUCCAACCUAACUUUAAGGGGCAUCCUACAGAAUGCUCUGCUAGAAUCAUACUCGUCGAUUAGGAAGAGAGGUGUGAGACAAUGCGUGAGAGACAGGCGUAAAGAUAAUGUGCGUACAUGAGACACGUAGGCAGGUCCAUGUAUAUAGAAAGGGUCAAUGAGGAUUGUGCGUGUGUAUGUUUGCGAGAGGAAGAGUGCUUGUGACAAAGGUUAGUGAAAACAGUUGUAAAUGGUUAUGAGAGGGAGGGAGGGUUAUAUCUAGAGCAUGUGUGCGAGAAAGACACCUCGGGAGAGAGUGUGUGAGCAUGUGUGAGAGACCACCGAUGGAGAGUGAAACUACACAUAAAAGACUGCUCUACACAUUGAUUAAAGAUAUAAAUUGUAUCCAAAUAUUAGGAUGGGAUCAUGAUAUUUGCAAUUCGCGUAAGGAGCGGUCAUUGAUCCAUCAGACAUCUAGAUUCUAUCGAAUUUGAGCAUGUCUAUGUUAUUAUUCGACACAAUUGAUCCACAUAGUUAGUAUUUUGAACUCCAGACAAUGCAUUGCUUUAGCAAUCGAAUAUAAACGUGAGUAUAGUUCAUGUUGUGUGUGUAAAGCACAUUAUACAUACCAAAGUUACACAAUGGACAUUAUAAAUAUCUACCUAUGAACUAGCAUACAUUUGAAUUCAACUUAAGGUGGUUUAAAAAAAUCGAAUUCAACAUGAAGUCCAUUCAAUUAUUUGAAUUUGAUAUCAUGGCAUUUGUAAACCAUACCUAAAUUAUGGGGGCACCAAUCUUUGCUCUGAUUUUGUACAUAAUAGCAUAUGUAGUCGUGUACAAAAUAGAUUCAAAUUUAGCUCCUCCAUUCCAAAAUAAUCGUAGUUAUAGGAUUUUCAAGUGUCAAAAUUUCAAAAAGAAGCGGAUAAUUUAAUGAGGUUUUCAAACAUACAAGGUCAAAUAUAACGUUGUCUAUUUAGGUCAAUCCUCAUAGUUCAAGAGUACUCUAAACGUGAAUGCUUGUGUUUCAAAAUUUUGAACGAAGCGCCAAAAGAGCCUCUACUCGCCCGAAACCGCGUGAGACCAAUGUUUGGUAGUACAAGGAAAUUACUUUUCUAAUAACUCUGACCCGUGAAACCUACCGGCCUGAUAUCCAAAGGUCUAAACCAGGGUAGGUUUAUAGCUUCAUCUAGACGCCACGCAACCGCAUCCGAAAAACAUUCAUACACAAUGGCCGCCUAAGCACACAUGCGCGCGUCCGAAAUCGCUCCCGCCCACUAUUUGGGACACCUGGGAUUACCAUCCUACCCCCGACCCGUAGUAGGUCCGAAAUUUAAGAGGGGGGCAAAGUUUGUACUUUCCCCAAAUUUCAAACAAGCGCGUCCCAUCUUCUGUUCAAAAAAGCCAAAAACAAGCGCGUCCCAGACCGAAACAUGGUUCCCCCGCCACCCGUCCGAUUCCCCAUUCGUACUUCGUGGGCGCCAAAACUACCUCUCCACCAGCCGCGAAACCCCGGCGUCCUCCGUCCGCCACCACAUCCCACCCAUCAACCGCCGCCCUCCUCCAUCACGCCGGAGCCGAUACCCCGACGUCGUCGUCCAUCGCAACCUCAACCGCAACGCCCUCCACGGCUAGUAGUUGAAGCCGAGGCCGAGCCGUCCGUACCCGAGCCACUUCAACCACACCGUCCUGCGCCUCACCGCUGCCGCUCCAACUUCGCCACCCUCCACCGCACCGGAGCUGUUCCUGCUACGCCGUCCUUCGCCGCCUCGGAUUUGCUUCCCCUCCGCCGACAUACGGCCAUGGCAACACAGUCAACAAUUUGGCCAUGGGUUAGUCCAAGCCUGCACCCUCCAGAACAUCGGUUUCCCCGAUAAAAAGAAGAAGAUCGGCGCGACAUGUGGAGGUGACCACACCGGCAACCGAAAAAGGUACUCCUCUUCCCUUAUUCGUGCAAAUCUUACGUCUCUGCUUGCACGGUAUUCAUCCCAUAGAAGACACUAGUUGACCGCUUCUUCUUGAUACUAGAUGUUCCUAGUAACUCGCGAUGCACAAGGUUUCUCCUCAUAUACUAUUUCACCUUAGCUAGAGGUCCGUCGCCCCCCUGAAUUUCAAUUUCUGGCCAGUUGAUUCCCAAUUAAUGGAAGCAUUUCAAUUUCUGGCUAGUACGCCUAUUACGCCGGGGAAGCAGCGCCUUAGUGUUUAUCUUAGGGGCGUGUGCGGCCUAGAGCUACUGGCGCCCGAUCUGGAGGUCGGCCGGGAUUAAAGGGAUGGCCUGGGGGCGCUGCCAAGCACGGCGGUGGUGUGAGGUCGAUGGGAGGGUGGGGCGGCGGAGGCAGGUGUCUGGGCCGGUGGUCGCUGGCGGUUCGAGAAAGAUCGUCAACAGUGACUGGCGGGAGGUAGACGAAGGCCAUCUACCCGUUCCUUAUAGAUCGGACGGUUCAUUAAAAAAAAUCGACUGACCUAUUUAUUUUCAGUCGACUGUUAUCUUAGAUAUGACCACAUGUGGUGGUGUGCUGGAGGAGUAUCUGCAUUUCCUGUGCUCAUAUAUUACAAAAUCAUACGGAGUAGAAUCUAAUUUUGUUUGCCAUGCAAUCUUGUAGAGCUAUCAUAUGUCUCCUGUCAUUUAUUUUUCAGCCACCUGCUAUCUGCUACUUUUACAGUGCACUAGUUCUGCACACACUUCACCCUUACUCUCACUAUUGUGUUUUUAUGCAAGGGUAUUUCAGACUCUGCUGCCAUGAGAGAAGCCAAAAAGAAAAGAGAUAAGUCGCUCUAGCUUCGUAUGCGGGUAGGCAAGACACGUUACAACGCUAUAAAGGGUGCAGUGUCAGCAGAUGGAGACGGUAAACGUAGCUCUAGAGUUGAUGACCUCGCUCGCAAUGAACCACCAUCCCAGGUGCUUGCUUUAACUUCGCGGUGUCAUAUGUGGUUGCAUGUUCCAUAUGGUGUCUAGCUUGUAUUCGAAAGGCCGAAGUCGGUAAGAUAAGGAAAGAUAUUUUUUUACAUGAACCACCAUCCCGUGAGCACCAGAAGACAAAUAGCUAGUCACGGCACUGGCCGAGCCAGUGACAAGCCCAGCAAAGAUAGGCAUCACCUGGAAGCCAACUAAAAAGCUGCGAUGGUGGCGAAGCAGCCCGCCUCCCACCAGGCUCUCAGGUCCUAGAUGAUCAUGCUGACCACUCCAGCCGGAUGUCUAGCUUGUAUUUCUUCCAAUUUGGUUAAAUUGCAUCUCCUUAGCUUACACAUUAUACCUUUGAAUAUGACAUGCCUUUCUAUUUUUGGUACAUACUAGUACAUCUGUGUAUUAACCAUGUUCUUACAUCAAACUAAUGUUCUUGUGUAUCCCUCAUCAAUCACUUAUGACGAGGCAGGCAGGCAAGGGGACUACUCCUCAUUUAAAGAAUAUAGCGUCAGCCUCCCGACAUGAUUCUCAAGAAACAGAAAUGCUAGAUGAAGAUAGUGAACGUAGCUCUGUAGUUGAUUACAGCAUUUCCCCUACACUAGCAUCGCAGGUGCUUGCUCUAACUUGGCAGCGUGAUAUGUGGUUGCAUGUUGCAUAUGGUGUCUAGAUUGUAAUUCUUCCAAUCUGGUUAAACUGCAUGUGCUAGUCUGCUUAGCUUAUACAUUAUACCUGUUAAUGUGACAUGCCUUCGUGUAUUUAGUACAUAGUACAUCUGUCUAUUAAGCAUGUCCUUACAUAAAACUAUUGUUUUUUUGUAUCCCGCAUCAAUCAACAUGACGAGACACCUUUAGUAUAUGCAGUGCGAUAUUAGUUGCAUCUUUCAUAUGAUUUAUAGCAUGCGCUGCUUCUAAUUUGUUGAAAUUCCAUUUAUGAUGGGACGCUUUUAACUUGCCAGAGUCAUAUUGGUUGCAUCUUUCAUGUGGUGUCUAGCUUGCAUUACUUCUUAUUUGCUGGAAUGGUUUCUGCUUAGUUUACACAAACAGUUGUGAACAUGCCAUGUCGAACUGUUUUUCGUACAUAUUCCAUCCUGGUAUCAUGUGUUUGCCUUACAUCAAAGUAGUGAUUGUCAGUAUCAUGCAUGAAUGAGUUCUGAAGAGAGAAUUUUAUUGCUUUUUCUUGUCAGUUUUACUUGACAAUUCAAAAUCAAUAAAGCGGAAGGAACUUAGCAAGGCAGCGGAUAAAGGUGCUCCUUCCGAACGGAGGGCCUCUACAGUUUCUACUCCUCCACACCCCCAAGAUGAUUUCCAAGACAACACAUGCAUAGACACUCAACAAAGCUGUGUUUAUGAUGAGCACGUCUCCCCUAGUGCAGCAUCACCGGUGCUCCCUCUAACUUGGCACUGUUAUAUGUGGUUGCAUGUUAUGUGUGAUGUCUAGCUUGUAUUGCUUCUAAUUUUGUUGAAUUCCAUCUGCUUACUUUACACAUUAUACUUGAAUAAGACACGUGUUCCUGUUUCUAGAACAUACAAUAUCUGUCUAUCAUACCAUGUUCUUACAUCAAAUUACUACUAUUGUGUAACCUGCAAUAAUCACUUAUCAUAAGACACGUUUGACUUCGGAGUGUGAUAUAGGUUACAUCUCACAUUCUUUUCUAGCUUGUACUACUAAUUUGUUGAAAUGGCAUUUAUGACGAGACAGUUUUAACUUGGUAGAGUGAUAUUCAUUGCAUCUUUCAUAUGGUGUCUAGCUUUCAUUGCUUCUAAUUUGUUGAAAUGCCUUCUCCUUAGUUUACACAUCAUAAGCUAUGAAUAUGCAAUGAUGUGAAUAUGCAAUGGCACUAAUGACGAGAGACCUCUAACAUGGUAGUGUGAUGUUGUUUGCAUCUUGCAUAUGAUUUAUUUCUUGUACUGCUUCACAUUUGUUUAAACGCCAUUUAUGAUGAGACACUGUUAACUUGGCACAGCGAUAUUUGUAGCAUCUUUCAUAUGGUGUCUACCUUCCAUUGCAUUGCUUCUAAUUUGGUGAAAUGUCUUCUCUUAGUUUACACAUCAUAGUUCUGGUUAUCUCUUUCGUCCUGUUUUUCAUACACAUUACAUCCUCCUAUCAUGUGGUUGUCUAACAUCAAAGUUCAGUUCGUCUGCAUCACGCAUCAAUUUGUUCUGAAGAACUAAAUUGUUAUUCGUUUUUCUUGUCGGCUUGACUUAACAUGGCACAGAGAAAGAGGAAGAAACACAGAAUGGCAGGGAAUGAGAAGCGGAUGAAUCCUGUAGAUUCUGCUGGUACUGAUGGUGCAAUAGAAGGUCAAAGUCCAGCGGAAAAUUCUACAAACAUGGCAUCCCAUGCUACACGAGUUGCAAAAAAAGCCAAACAGAAACAAAUAGCUGCCACCAAACAAGCAGAGACAUCCCUAGUUCUUGCAACACCUACCACAGUACUACCAGCUGCACGACUUACUCAUGCGUCAACUGAGCUAGCAGCACGUUCCCAAGCUCCCUUGCCACCUAACACUACUUCCCAAGCACUCUUGACACAAGAAGAGUUGGCAAUAUCAGAUGAACCUUGUGAGCUUCAACAGCAAGAAGGUAGUUGCUGGAGUCAAGUUACAGUUGCAUGCUUCUUUAUAUGUAGUCUCACAGUUUGAUGUACACUAACACUUCCUAUGUUCGUUGUUGGACUAGCACCUAGGCGCAAGAGGAAACAAACAUCAGGGAUAAUGCUCCAUAGGUUAACUAAAUCUAGAGGAGCAAGAAUGGAGAUCCGUUUUGAGGCAGGUUUAAAAAGGCCACGUGAUGCUAUAGAGUCAGCCAAGUUAGUAUCAGAGGCAGCAGUUGCCGUUACGUGUCAUGUACGUAUCCUCCCAACAUGGAUUCAGUACAGGAAUGACAAAGACGAAACCCAGUUCAACACCUUCCUCGACCAUUUAUCUGUAAGUAUGGUUAUGUAUGGAAACUAGUAAUAUCGUCUUGCUCUGUCCCAUACUUUCUAGGUUGCUAAUAAUGAGACUCCCAUAAUUUUCAACAGAUGAGGUUCAAGUUGGAUAGCCAAGAUGAUGCAACUAGACAAGCUGCACCCAUGUUUUCCAGUCUGCUCUGCGACAGUAUCGGUAUAACUUGAGGAAACUCACUUUGAAGGCAAGGCUAACAGUGAACUUUCCCAAACAUCUCCAGUGGAAAAUAUAUCGGAUGAAGACUGGAGGGGCCUUGUUAAACAAUGGUCUGAUCCGAAGUAUCAGGUACAUUAUAUAUAUGUGUGAUCAGAUCACAUGUUGAAGUCCUAUUUACGCAUGUGCCACACAAAUCUAUCUUCUUGUAGGUGAACUGUUCAAAGAACAAGGCCAACCGUACGAAAGUGAAAUUCCAACGGACGACAGGAUCUCGUAGCUAUAUUGCACACUGCGAGGCUCUUGUAAUUAGCUGCUGUUUCACUCUUUUCGCUGUACCAUAUUAUCAGAUCUAUAUUGACUUGUUCGAAAUGCAGAGGAAAGCCCGCAAGGACCAAAAAGUACCUGAACCAAAUGCUGUGGAAAUCUUCAAGGACUGUCACACCAGCAAGAAGAAGGGCAUGACUACACCAGUCAAAGCCGCUAUUGUAAGUCCUUAAUCCUCAUGCCUUUUAACUACUACUUACUCUGACUUGUGCCUUGAACUGCAUGGUUUGCAGCCAAUGUCUAUUACUCUUUUCAAUUUUAUACACAAUUGUCUUAGAGUAUCAUUGCACCUUACAAGGUUUAAAAGAGAGGAGUGAUGUUCCUUUGAUCUUGACCCGUAAUCUAGUUCCGUGCUGGACUUGCCCACACAACGUUACAAUUGCCUGUUUGUCUGUUCUCAGUUGUUUUGUGAUAGGAAUGAUGUCAUACUAUGCUUACCGUAUUAUAAACUUCGUCUCUUUAUCCUUAGCCCUCAAAACAAUGUGAAGAAACAGACAAUACGUUAGCGAUGGUACAUGGUCAUAUGUUUGGAACCUGGUUUUAUUAUGUACUUUGCAAUAAAAUACAACUAAUAUUUUACAUGGGUUCACCAGAAUAAGUUCUGUAUAUAGACCAAAGCUAUUUUGUUUGGUUUUGCUGCCUCCUUAAUAUCUUCUGUUCUGGUACUACUAAUGUAAAACCUCAACUUUUCAGCGAGCUAUGGAAAAAAUGGUGGAACCGCCACCUUCUGAAGGUGGCGAGGCAACUAUAACCGCAAUGUCAGCUCUUGCUGCAGUGGGUCAGUACCUGUCCACUAACAGUGCCAAAAGCACGUUCCUGCGUAAUACUGGGUUGGUUGUUAAGGAAGUAUCGUCCAAACUGCCUCAUGAUCAAGAUAUGCAAGCUCAAAGCAAUGUUGUAUCUGCGCUCCAGACACAAGUCCAUUCCCUAACAGAGAUCCUUUGUGAAACAAGGAGAAACAUUGCUCAAUGUCGUCAAGAUAUGCAUGGUCUUGAAACCAGACUAUCAGACAUUUGCUAUGUUGUUCAGGAGCCUAGGGGAAAUGAAGGCGAGGGUUAUGGUGCUCCAUCGGACAAUACAACAUGAAAAUGUAACAGUCAGGUCAAAUGAACUGAGCUUCUGAACUUCUGGUGGUGCAUUUAUCUGCUAGACUGUUAAGUUUUAUGCCAACCUUCCUUUUGUUAUAUAGUUGUAAUUUGUUUUGGUGCGAUACAAAAUUUAUUCUUAACGUGCAGCCACCGGCUGAAGAAAACAGCAAGCCAUUUUUGUAUAGUGUAGGGUGUUCCCUAUAUUUGCACUGGUGGCGAUCUUUGAUGCCGAGUGGAUGUAAUCUGUGCAAUCGCCUUAAUAGCCUAGCGUUAGUUUCGGCCUUAUUUAUUUCCUAGUCUUCUUUUUCCCUGGUUUGCUAGUGGCCGCAACUACCAUGGGCCAUAUACGGGUCGUAGGAUCCAUGGGUCUCCUAUGGGCCGUCGAUAAAUGGGCCUGUAAUCGGUGGGCCUCGGGCCGUCGGAUAAAUGGGUCUACAUGGGUCGUAAUCGGGCGUAAUUGGUAUCGGCCCAGCACGGUAACAGGCCGUUAACAGGCCGUAGGACAGCAAAGGCUUAAUUCUGUCACAGGCAUAACGGGUCGUUAAUGGGCCAGAACAUAGGACGGGCUGGAAACGGCGCAACGGGUUAACAGGCCAGAAACGGGCCGACUCUUGCCAUGGGCCGAAUUUGGCCCAUUAGGGUAACAGGCCAGUAACAGGCCGACUCUUGCCAUGGGCCGAAUUUGGCCCAUUAGGGGAAUAGGCCAGUAACGGGCCGACUCUUGCCAUGGGCCGAAUUUGGCCCAUUGGGGGAAUAGGCCAGUAACGGGCCGGAAGUAAUCAAGGGCCGAAAAGGAGCCCAAGAACGUAUGGGCCGUCAAUAGACCGAAAGCUAACACGGGCUGGAAACGGCCCAUGUAAAUCACGGGCCGUUAACGGGUAUAAAGAAAAUUACUGUUCAUUAUGGGCUAGAGUCACCGUGGGCCUGUAAAGGGCCGAAAGAUACGAAGGCCUCAUAUGGGCCGAAAGACACCGUGGGCCAUACAUGGGCCGAAACUGAAAUGGGCUGGUGUUAUAUUCGACGGCCCACAUGACAUUGUUGGGCCGAUUUCCUUUAGGGUCUAACGGGUCGUGAGUUAACGGGCCGUAAAAUGGGCUAUUUGCGAAGAGACCGUUAACAGGCUUUUCAUGGGCCAGCCUGUUAACUUUUGACCAAGUCAAACGGGCCGGCUUUGUAAGCUAAAAGGGCCAGUGGUGGGCCGUGGCACGUGUCGACAUAUCAUAGGCGCCUAUCUGACCCACUGACGAGCUGACACGUGUUUCGUCCGGCCAAUAAGAAUUUUACAUGUGGAAAUUUCCCAUUGGUCGGGGCUGUUAACGGGUUAUCGGAUCCAAAACCCGACCCGAUAGCUUAACAGCGUUCCAUUACGGUGGAUGCCACGUGUCGGUCACCCUUGACGAAAGCACUUCUGUGACGCGCGAUUUAUCGUCAUGGAAGUGGACACUUCCGUGAUGAUAAUUUUGGUAAUGUCAUGGAACACGUCUACGACGGCACAGGUAUGACUAUCUUGAUUCUGUCAUAAAAUCGUCAUGGAUGUACAUGCAUGACAAAAAACGCGACCUACUGUGACAAAGACGUAUCAUCAUGGAAGUGUAUUUUUUUUGUAGUGUUGGGGAUCCUAUGUUUGAUGAAAAUGACAUGUUUGAGUAUUUAUUUGCUAAAAUUAAUGUUUGUCCCAAGCUUGGGGUGAUAUGCUUAAUGAAGAUGAUCUUUUUAGUCCCCCUACUUCGAAUGAUCAAAUUUGCUAUGAUGAUUGCAUGCCUCCUAUCUAUGAUGAGAACAAAGUUGCUACUUAUGAUGAUUAUUGUGAUGACACUUAUGUUAUAAAAAGUAGUGAUAAUUAUUGUCAUAAUUUUGAAUAUCCUUUUAGUGAACAUGACUCUUUUAAUGUGGAAACAAUUUUUGGAAUUCGAGCUUCAUAUGAUACUCCCACUAUUGUGAGUGAGAAUAAAAUUUCUUAUCUCCACCUCUCGCCCCCGCGUCGCUCCAAUAGGGGCGACACGGGUGGCCAACCCUAGCCGCCGUCGGCGGCCUCCCCUCCCCUUCCUCUCCGCCUCGUCGCCACCAGAGGAGCCGCCGGUGCGCCGCGCAGCUGCCGAGGAAGGUGGCGGCGAGGAUCUAGCAGCCUGGGCCUCCCUCGAGGUGCUCUGCUUCAUGGUGGCGGCCAUGGCAGGUGGGCCGGCUUCUGCUUCAGCGCGCGAUGGCCAGCGGAAAUGGCCGUCCUCCUUGGCUGCAGGGGCGGCGAGGUGGCGGCAGGUGGUGGCGGUGGUGCGGGGGGCCCUCGUGGUUCCCUUUUCCGAUCUGAAGGUUCCAUCCUCAGACUUCCACAACGCCCCCUGCUGGAUCUGGCCUGUGGUGGUCUUCGGCUACCGGGGUUGUUCCUUCUUGGUGGUUGGAGGUGGGCAGGGACACCGGAGAAAUCUGAGGCCGGCUGGUCCGGCAACGACGGCGGCGAUGUCCUUGGACGUCGUUCCCUUCUUGUUGGCGUUGUCAAGGUUGUCCCUUUUUGAUGAUGUUUACCAAGACUACGUCGGUGGUUCGCCCAAGAGGAGAGGAUGAUGUAGCACAACAACGGUAGGUAUUUCCCUCAGUAAUGAAACCAAGGUAUCGAACCAGUAGGAGAACCAAGCAACAAAACGUAAACAGCCCCAACACACAAAUAAUAGCCACUCGCAACCCGACGUGUUAAAGGGGUUGUCAAUCCCUUCCGGGUAACGGCGCCAGAAACGGCUAGUUGGCGGGAUAAAAUUGUAAUAGAUUGAAAUAAUAGAUCACAAAUAAAAUAUUUUUGUAUUUUUUGGUUUAAUAGAUCUGAAUAAAAACGCAAAGAAAAAGUAGAUCGUAAGGCAAUUAUAUGAGACAGAAGACUCGGGGGCCGUAGGUUUCACUAGUGGCUUCUCUCGAGAAAAAUAGCAAACGAUGGGUAAACAAAUUACUGUUGGGAAAAUGAUAGAACUUCAAAUAAUCAUGACGAUAUCCAGGCAAUGAUCAAUACAUAGGCAUCACUUCCAAGAUUAGUAGACCGACUCCUGCCUGCCUCUACUACUAUUACUCCACACAUCGACCGCUAUCCAGCAUGCAUCUAGUGUAUUAAGUUCAUGGAAAAAUGGAUUAAUGCAAUAAAAACGAUGACAUAAUGUAGAAAAGAUCUGUUUAUCUAUAUGGCGGUAGAUAUAGAUCUCGUCUUUUUAUCCUUAGUAGCAACGAUACAUACGUGUCGGUUCCCUUUCUGUCACUGGUAUCAAGCACCAUAAGAUCAAACCCACUACCGGGCACCUCUUCCCAUUGCAAGAUAAAUAGAUCAAGUUGGCCAAACAAAACCCAAAUAUCAGAGAAGAAAUAUGAGGCUAUAAGAGAUCAUGCAUAUAAGAGAUCAAAUAAACUCAAAUAACUUUCAUGGAUAUAAAAAGAUAUAACUGAUCAUAAACUCGAAGUUCAUUAGAUCCCAAUAAACACACCGCAAAAAGAGUUACAUCAUAUGGAUCUCCAAGAGACCAUUGUAUUGAGAAUUCAGCGAGAGAGAGAGAGACAUCUUGCUACUAACUACAGACCCGAAGGUCUACAAAGAACUACUCACGCAUCAUCGGAGAGGCACCAAUGGAAGUGGUGAACCCCUCCGUGAUGGUGUCUAGAUUGGAUUUGGUGGUUCUGGACUCUGCGGCGGCUGGAUAAUAUAUUUCAUCGACUCCCCUAGGGUUUGUGGUUUUUUGGGGUAUUUAUAGAGCAAAGAGGCGGUCCGGGGGGCAUCCGAGGUGGGCACAACCCACCAGGGCGCGCCUGGGCCUCCUGGCGCGCCCUGGUGGGUUGUACCCCCCUCGGGGCACCCCCCCAGGUGCAACCAGGGCCCAUUGCCUUUAUUUUGGCCCAUAAAAAAUCAUCGUGGAGUUUCGUGCCAUUUGGACUCUGUUUGAUAUUGAUUUCCUGCGAUGUAAAAACAUGGAAAAAACAGCAACUGGCACUUGGCACUAUGUCAAUAGGUUAGUACCAAAAAAUUAUAUAAAAUGAUUAUAAAACAUCCAAGAUUGAUAAUAAAACAGCAUGGAAUAAUCAAAAAAUUAUAGAUACGUUGGAGACGUAUCAGCAUCCCCAAGCUUAAGUCUUACUCUUCCUCGAGUAGGUAAGUGAUAAAAACAGAAUUUUUGAUGUGGAGUGUUGUUCAUCAAGUCAUAUCAUAUUAUUUUCUUUAUAGCAUGGACAUUUGGACUUUUAUCUGAUUCAAAGCAAUAGUCUAGUUUUGACAUAAUAAUUUAGAUACUCAAGCAUAUCAACAAGCAACCAUGUCUUUCAAAAUAUCAAUGCUAAAACAAGUUAUCCCUAGCCCAUCAUGCUCAAACAUUGAUCCAUUCGUGAAACACACUCGAAUAUUAGCUACACCAAAUACUUAAGUACGAUCAUAUUGCCUCCUAGUUGGUGCUUUUGUAAGAGAAGAUGGAGACUCAAAUUCAAAAAUAAAAAUUGCAUAAAGUAAAAGAAGGGCCCUUCGCAGAGGGAAGCAGGGAUUUGUAGAGGUGCCAGAGCUCAAAGUGAAAAUUUUGAGAUAAAAACAUUUUUGGAGGUGUAUCCAUCGCACCAACGAAAAUGGCGUAGAGCUACGAACACUUUCCAUGCUAGAUAUGCCAUAGGCGGUUCCCAGACAGAAAAUAAAGUUUAUUCCUUUUUCCACCAUAUGUUCACUUUCCAUGGCAAGCCAUGUCCACGGGUGCCUUCCAUACCAACACUUUCCAAGGAAUUUAUUAUUUGACAACAUAAAGUAAAUUCAUUUUUGCAUUUCGGGACUGGGCAUCCCUAAAACCUUUGCCUUACUCUCGUGCAAUGACAAGUGAAUAAACACUCAUCUUGAGAAUAACACAUCCAGCAUGGAAAAUAUUAGCCACCCGUGACCGUUCCGCGAGCGAAACAAACACACAAAAGAGAAGUUUAUUUUGAAAAUUAGAGAUGGCACAUGCAAAUUUGCUUAGAACGGCAAAAGAAUACCGCAUAUAGGUAGAUAUAGUGGACUCAUGUGGCAAAACCGGUUUAAAGGAUUUUGUGGAUGCACAAGUAGAGAUCAUACUUGGUGCAAAAUGAAGGCUAGCAAAAGAUUGAGAAGUGACCAACCAAGAAACGAAUAAUCUCGUGAAGCAAGCAUUAAGCAUAAGUAACACCGAAUAAUGCACCACAAGUAGGAUAUAAUUUUCAUUGCAUGAUUAUUGACUUUCGUGCAUGCAUAGGGAAUCACAAACCUUAACACCAAUAUUCUUACUAGAGCACAAUUACUCAUCAACAUAACUCAUAUAUCACAUUAUCAUAUCUCAAAACUAUUACUAAGAAUCAAGUUUAUUUUGUCCAAUGAUCUUCAUGACAUUUUCUUUUCUUUAUCCUUCUUGGAUAUCUAUCACUUUGGGACUAAUUUGCAUGUGUUGCUUUUCAUAAGCUCAAACAAAUAUAAGUGAAGAUCAUGAGCAUAACAAAUUUUCUUUCUCUCAAAAUAAUUUAAGUGAAGCAAGAGAGAAUUUCUUCAAAAAUACUAAGCACACCGUGCUCAAAAAGAUAUAAGUGAAACACUAGAGCAAGUCCUAGCUCAUACAAGAUUUAAUUGAAGCAUAGAGAGCAAUUCUAACAAGUCAUGAUAUAAUUUUGGCUCUCUAAAAUAAGUGUGUCCAGCAAGGAUUGAUGACUUAAAACACAAAAUAAAACAAGCAAAGACACAUAUCAUACAAGACGCUCCAAGCAAAACACAUAUCAUGUGACGAAUAAAAAUAUAGUCUCGAGUAAAAUACCGAUAGUUGUUGGAAGAAAGCGGGGAUGCCACUCGGGGGCAUCCCCAAGCUUAGUUGGUUGCUCAUUCUUGGAUAAUAGCUUCGGAUGCCGGGGCAUCCCCAAGCUUAGGCUCUUACAUCCGUCCUUCAUCCAUCGUAAGAUAACCCAAAACUUGAAAUUUUCAAUCACACAAAACUCAACAAAACUUUCGUGCGAUCCGUUAGUAUAAGAAAGAAAACCACUACUAUAAGUGCUGUAUUAAACCAAUUCAUAUUCUGUUUUUGCAUUAUAUCUACUGUAUUCCAACUUUUCUAUGGCAAAAACUCAUCAAAGAAAACCAUAGAGCCAUCAAAAUAAACACACAACACAAAGAAAACAGAAUCUGUCAAAACAGAACAGUCUGUAGUAAUCUGACUUUGGAGAAUACUUCUGUAACUCAAACAAUUCUACCAAAAUAGGACGACCUGGGUAAUUUGUAUAUUAAUAUUCUUUAAAAAGAAUCAGGGCAAAAUCUCUUUUCUGUGAUUUAUUAAAAUUAUUUUCGUGAGCACAAAGUUUCUGUCUUUUUCAGCAAGAUUAAACAACUAUCAACCAAGAAGAUCCUAUAGGCUUUACUUGGAACAAACACUAAUUAAAACAUAAAAAGCACAAUCAUACCAGUAGCAUAAUUGUGUAAACACUCGAGAACAGCAAGCAAGAAGCAAAAAUAAAUUUUAUUCAUUGGGUUGCCUCCCAACAAGCGCUAUAGUUUUACACCCUUAGCUAGGCGUAUAGCAAGGAUCUAAGUUUUGUCGUCCUUGUCCUUUUGAAGGCAAAUAGAUAAUUUUCUAUCAAUGGUGUUUAAUCUUCUAUUUUCCGAAAGUACAAGAGCAUUUAUAGCAGAAGAAAUAUUAAGCAUAUUGCAAAAAUUCGUAUCCAAACUAGCCUUCAUCUCUUUGAUUGUUUCAUUCUAAUAAAAGCAUAGAAGGGUAGUUGGCUCAACAUGAUCUCCCUUGGGAUGCCCAAAAAUGGUUUUCAUCUUUCCAUAAGUAUCAAUGGCAUCCCCUUUAAGAAAACCAUUUUCAAAUAUAGAAUCCAAGACUAUCUUAAAGGAGGAAGGCAGACCAUCAUAAAAACUUUUCAAGGAUAUCUCUAUCUGAUAUUGGGGCACAUAGCUAGCUUGAAUUCUUAACAGCCUAUCCCAAGCAUCUUUCAAAGAUUCAACAAGUAAGUAACAAAAAAUUUCGGGAUCGUCUACAUCAAAAUUGUCAAGAUUUUCCUUAACAACCCCAGUAAAUCCUUCCACAGCAUCAUUGUUUAUGAGCUUGGAGAGGACGGAGGGGCUAUCCAAAGCAUCAAAACUUGGGGUAAACCCCUAGCCUUUUUAGAAUCGAACAUGGCAACGGAAAAACGGCAAGCGAAGAGAGGCGAAUAAAGCGGCAAAUUUUUGUGAAGUGGGGGAGAGGAAAAUGAGAGGCAUGGAAAAUAAUGUAAAUUGCGAGGAGAUGAGAUUUGUGAUUGGAACCUGGUUAUGUUGAAGAUCCUCCCCGGCAACGGUGCCAGAAAAUUCCCUUGAUGAUGUUUGCCAAGACUACGUCGGUGGUUCCCCCAAGAGGAGAGGAUGAUGUAGCACAACAACGGUAGGUAUUUCCCUCAGUAGUGAAACCAAGGUAUCGAACCAGUAGGAGAAUCAAGCAACAAAACGUAAACAGCCCCUGCACACAAAUAACAGCCACUCGCAACCCGACGUGUUAAAGGGGUUGUCAAUCCCUUCCAGGUAACGGCGCGAGAAACGGCUAUUUGACGGGAUAAAAUUGUAAUAGAUUGAAAUAAUAGAUCGCAAAUAAAAUAAAGUGCAGAAAAGUAUUUUUGUAUUUUUUUGGUUUAAUAGAUCUGAAUAAAAACGCAAAGGAAAAGUAGAUCGCAACGCAAAUAUAUGAGAAAGAAGACCCGGGGGGCGUAGGUUUCACUAGUGGCUUCUCUUGAGAAAAAUAGCGAACGGUGGGUAAAUAAAUUACUGUUGGGAAAUUGAUAGAACAUCAAAUAAUCAUGACGAUAUCCAGGCAAUGAUCAAUACAUAGGCAUCACGUCCAAGAUUAGUAGACCGACUCCUGCCUGCCUCUACUACUAUUACUCCACACAUCGACCGCUAUCCAGCAUGCAUCUAGUGUAUUAAGUUCAUGGAAAAUGGAGUAAUGCAAUAAGAACGAUGACAUGAUGUAGACAAGAUCCGUUUAUCUAUAUGGCGGGAGAUAUAGAUCUCGCCUUUUUAUCCUUAGUAGCAAUGAUACAAAUGUGUCGGUUCCCUUUCUGUCACUGGUAUCAAGCACCGUAAGAUCGAACCCACUACCGGGCACCUCUUCCCAUUGCAAGAUAAAUAGAUCAAGUUGGCCAAACAAAACCCAAAUAUCAGAGAAGAAAUACGAGGCUAUAAGAGAUCAAAGAAACUCAAAUAACUUUCAUGGAUAUAAAAAGAUAUAACUGAUCAUAAACUCAAAGUUCAUCAGAUCCCAACAAACACACCGCAAAAAGAGUUACAUCAUAUGGAUCUCCAAGAGACCAUUGUAUUGAGAAUUCAGCGAGAGAGAGAAAGCCAUCUAGCUACUAACUACGGACCCGAAGGUCUACAAAGAACUACUCAUGCAUCAUCGGAGAGGCACCAAUGGAAGUGGUGAACCCCUCCGUGAUGGUGUCUAGAUUGGAUCUGGUGGUUCUAGACUCUGCGGCAGCUGGAUGAAUAUUUUGUCGACUCCCCUAGGGUUUGUGGAUUUUUGGGGUAUUUAUAGAGCAAAGAGGCGGUCCGGGGGGCACCCGAGGUGGGCACAACCCACCAGGGCGCGCCUGGGCCUCCUGGCGCGCCCUAGUGGGUUGUGCCCCCCUCGGGGCACCCCCCAGGUGCAACCAGGGCCCAUUGCCUUUCUUCUAGCCCAUAGAAAAUCAUCGUGGAGUUUCGUGGCAUUUGGACUCCGUUUGAUAUUGAUUUCCUAUGAUGUAAAAAACAUGGAAAAAAUAGCAACUUGCACUUUGCACUAUGUCAAUAGGUUAAAACCAAAAAAGAUACAAAAUGAUUAUAAAACAUCCAAGAUUGAUAAUAAAACAGCAUGGAACAAUAAAAAAUUAUAGAUACAUUGGAGACGUAUCACUUUUCCCCUCCUCUCCCCCUACUCUGUGUACCAGGCGAAAGCCUAGAUCCCUUACGGAUCGGGCGGUAGCGGCGCCGCUCGCGUCGUCACCUUUUUGGGGGUGCCGUCUUUGGUGAGCUUGGGGUGGUUGUGCCGUCUGGUUCUCUGGUGGUGGAUGGUGGCAUGGUCGGAGUUUUACGGAUGGUGUCUCUGCGGUUACUCCUAUCUGCUCUUUUGGUAGCUCCAUGUCCAUUUGGUUUGGAGGAGCUCGGCGCUUGUCCCUGCAGACUAGGUGUAUCAAUGAGCUCUACUUCGGCACCCUCCUUUCACUGCUGUUUGACCCUCAGCCGUCCUGCCUUGCCAUUGCAUCUCCUCGUGUGCAAGUCUCUUCACAGGGUCGAAGCUAAUUUUCAUUGCGCUUGUCUUACUAUUGCUGGUGAUCUAUUCUGGUUACCGGGGCUACGACACCGGUUCACUCCUUAGCUCUCGGGUGAGCAUCUUCAUCUCUUGACGGAUCGACGCCCUUCUUGCCAGGGCGAGGGAGCAGGGUGCUCUCUUCAACGAUGGAGGAGGUUGUCUCCGUGUCAGCUAGAGCCCUUGGAGCAGACAAGAUUGCCUUUGCACCUGCUGAGUGCUUCAUGUCGACAUGGUCCUAUUGUUGCUAGCUUGCUCAGGUUGGAGGGCUUCUUCAUCUUCAAGCUGCUUUGUGCCUCAGUCUUAUUAGAUCUUUGCUUGUAGUGUGGAUGGAGCCUAUUAGAUGUUGGCACAGCUCUUUGUAUCUUUUGCUGUUUAUUUUGUUUUUCCUCUGUAAGGUGUCGAUUGUAAUCUCCUGGCCGGUUGAUAGCUUUGUCAAUUCAAAGCCGGGUUAGGUUCGAGCCCUACUUGGGCUCGGCCGAGCCUUUUCUCUAAAAAAAGAAUAAAAUUUCUUAUAUGGAGGGUAAUAAAUUAUCUAUGCUUGUGGAUCAUGAAAAGAAUGCUUUAUGUGAUGGUUAUAUUGAUGAAUCUACUCAUGAUGCUACUGAAAAUUAUUAUGAGAGAGGAACUUAUGAUUCAUGAUGCCCUCCUUAUGUUUUGAAUCUCAUCUUUCAUGCGAGCAUCAAUGAAAUCAUCAUGCCUAGCUAAAAGGCAUUAAAGAAAAGCGCUUGUUGGGAGACAACCCAACAUUUACCCAUAUUGUUUUUAUGUGUUCACAUGAUUAUGAUACUGUAGUAAUCAUGUUUUAUUUCUUUUGUUUCAAUAAAGUGCCAAGUAAAGCCUUUGGGAUAGUGUGGAUGAUAGUUGACUUGAAUCUGUGCAAAAACAGAAACUUUUGCGCUCAGUCCAGGAAUUUUGAAAAUUCACUAGAAUGAGAUUUUGAUCUGAAUUUUUACAGUUGAUAGAUAUACAAAUUCUCUACGUUGUCCUAAUUUUUCAGAAUUUUUGGAGUAGCAGAAGUAUGGUUGGAGUACAUAUUACUACAGGCUGUUCUUUUUUUGACAGAUUCUGCUUUCAAUGCAUAGUUUGGUUGUUUCCUAGUUUCUAUGGCUUAUAUUGCUCAAUAUAAAUUGUGGAAAUGAUAUGCUAUAGUAGGCAUUGUGUGGAAACAAUUAUGAAUCUUGUCUUUGACAGUACCAAAGUGAAAUGGUUUGCUCUUUAUCAUACUAACCUAUCUCACGAAGUUCCGUUAAGUUUUGUGUGAUUGAAGUUUUCAAGUUUUCAGUGAGAUGCCAUAUGAGGAGAAUAAGGAGUGACAAGACCCUAAGCUUGGGGAUGCCCAAGGCACCCCAAGGUAAUAUUCAAGGAAGAUCCAAGCAACUAAGCUUGGGGAUGCCCCGGAAGGCAUCCCCUCUUUCGUCUCCAACAAUAUCGGUAACCUUACUUGAAGCUAUAUUUUUAUUCGUCACAUGAUAUGAGUUUUGCUUGGAGCAUCAUUUUAUUUUGCUAGGAUUUGCUUGUUGUUAUUUAAAAUAAUGUUUUGCAUCUUUUACUUCAAAAAAAAGUCAAGUAUAGCCUUUGUCAUGCUUAUUUUGCAAGUCUACUUGUUGCUGUUUGAAAACAGAAAGUUUAUCAGUGUUGCAAAAAUUCCCCAGAAAAGUCAGAAUGUGAUAAAAUGUUGAAACAUUUUGCACAAUAAGCUCUGAUAAAUUUUCUACAGUGUGUUUAAUUUUCAGAAAAUUUUAAGUUGAAUAAGUAUGAUGAAUCUUGCAUUCUUUACAGACUGUACUGUUUUGGCAUAUUGCUGCUAUGUUUGCAUUGUUUGCAUAUGUUUGCUUGUUUAAUGAUCCUAUUUGAGGAUAGGAGUAUUAAUAUGCAGAGGGAUUUAGUAUGCAAUGUCGAAUAAUAAUUUUUGUGAUUUUCUACAGUAGAGAAUGAUAAGGUUUUUGCAUUGGUGUAUAAUAACUUAUCUCACGAGUUCUUGUUGAGUUUUGUGUGGAUGAAUUUUUUAAGAUUUAGGGAAACCGUGAUAUAAAAGGAAUUAAGGAGACACAAAAGCUCAAGCUUGGGGAUGCCCAAGGCAUCCCAAGAUAAUAUUUCAAGAAGUCUCAAGCAUCUAAGCUUGGGGAUACCCCGGUAGGCAUCCCACCUUUCUUCAUCAACAAUUAUCGGUUGGUAUCAGUUGAGCCUAAGUUUUUGCUUCUUCACAUGAGUCGUGCUAUUCUUGGAAUGUCAUUUUGUUUUGUUUUGCUUGCUGUUUUAACAAAAUACUUAGAUCUAAAAGUUUUAGAUAAAAGAGAGUCCACAAUUAGCUACUUAUUUACUUAACUACUCGCUUGAUCUUCACUUAUAUCUUUUUGGAGUAGUUUGUCAUUUACUCUCGUGCUUCACUUAUAUCCUAUGAGUAAAUUGUUGAAUGAAUUGAAUAUCAUGAAGUUUAAAUUAUAUGUUCAUAUCAUGCCUAGUGGUAGCUUCACAUUGGGUUUAGGAAGUGAAAUCUUUUGAAGCUUGACAAUCACAAUGUUGGUCAUUAAAGCAAUUCAUGAAUGAUUAGAAGAAGGAAGAGAACUUUCACAUGCAAAUACACUAUCUUCGAAAUCUUUUGUGAUUGUGAGCCCCCAUCAAAAUAUUAUAUGCCAAAAUUGUUGACAUUGGACAAGGAAGACAACGUAAUGAUUAGGUUUGUUCAUAUUCACAUAGAAGUUAUAUUGUCAUAGAUCCUUCAACAUGUGGUGCUUGCCCCCCAUAUUUGCUAGCCAAAACUCCGCAUCAAGUAGAGAUACUACUUGUGCAUCCAAAAACCCUUAAAACCCAAAUCUUAUUUUCAAGAGUCCACCAUACCUAACUAAGGAUUGAGUAAGAUCCUUCAAGUAAGUUGUCAUCGGUGCAAUAAGGCAAUAAAAUUGCUUCUAAAAGUGUGAGAUCAUUUAUUGUAAGAGAAAAUUGAGCGUUGUACGAACUUGUGAUGGUAAAGAAUAAAAGCGACAGACUGCAUAAUAAAGGUUUCCAUCACAAGGGGCAAUAUAACGUGACGUUCUUUUGCACUAAGGGGUUGAGCAUACAAACAAAUAAGCGCAUGGCAACCUCUGCUUCCCUCUGCGAAGGGACUAUCUUUUACUUUUUGUAUUUACUUUUAUGCAAGAGUCAAAGUUUUUCUCUAUAUUCCUUUUUAUUUUUCUCCUUUGGCAAGCAUCAUGUGGUGAGGAAAGAUCUAGGCACAUAUGUCUAGUUGAAUAUGGGUAGCAUGAGUUAUUAUUGUUGACAUCACCCUUGAUGUGAAUACGUUGGGAGGCGAAACUAUAAGCCCCUAUCUUUCUAUGUGUCCGGUUGAAACGUUUUGCUCAUGUGUAUCCAGUGAGUGAUAGCAAUCAUAGAAGACUAUAUGAUGUUUGACUAUGUGGAGCUCUUACUUAGACUCUGUUGAAUAAAUUGAAUUGCAAUUGCUUGGUGACUAAGAAUAUAGGUUGUUGAGUUUCAAGAGAAUUCAUUGUUUGAACCUUAACAUGUGAAUUGGUUGCUACUCUGUCAUCAUGAGUCUUUAUGAGAAAGAGUUGAUGUUAUGAUGGUAGGAAAAGUGAUUGAAAUUAUCAUUGAUCAAACUUAUGCACUUUGCUAGCACUCACACUUCAUAAAUUAUUUCUUUUAUCAUUGACCUACUUGAGGCCGAGUAGGAAUUAAGCUUGGGGAUGCUGAUACGUCUCCAACGUAUCUACAGUUUAGGAAGUAUUCAUGCUGUUAUAUUACCAUUCUUGGAUGUGUUACAAUCAUUUUAUAGCAACUUUAUAUCAUUUUUUGGGACUAACCUAUUGACCCAGUGCCCAGUGCCAGUUGUUGUUUUUUACAUCGCGGGAAAUCAAUAUCAAACGGAAUCCAAACACCGCGAAACUUUUUGUGGAUUUUUUAUGGACCAGAAGACAUCCAGUGGGCCAGAGAAGCACCUGGGGGUGCCUCGAGGGGGGCACAACCCACCAGGGCGCGCCUGGGGGCCCAGGCGCGCCUAGGUGGGUUGUGCCCACCUCGGUGGCCUCCCGCACCCCUCUUUGCCCUAUAAAUUGCCAAAUAUUCCAAAACCUUCGGGGGUAGCCCUAGAUCAGAAGUUCCGCCGCUGCAAGGCCUCUGUAUCCACGAGAUCCAAUCCAGACCCUGUUUCGGCACCCUGCUGGAGGGGGAAAUCAUCACCGGUGGCCAUCUUCAUCAUCCCAGUGGCCACCACGAUGAGGAGGGAGUAGUCCACCCUCGGGGCUGAGGGUUUGUACCAGUAGCUAUGUGUUUAAUCUCUGUCUCUCUCUCUCUCGUGUUCUUGAGAUGUCACGAUCUUGAUGUAUGGCGGGCUUUGUUAAUAUAGUCAGGUCAUAUGGUGUUUUCCCCUCUCUAUCUUGUGAUGAAUUGAGUUUUCCCUUUGAGAUUUCGUUUUAUCGGAUUGAAUACUUUUAUGGAUUUGAGAGCACUUGAUAUAUGUCUUGCAAAUGAAUACUCAUGGUGACAAUGGGGUAUCAUAUUGACUCACUUGAUGUAUGUUUUGGCACUCAACUCGCGGAUUCCCGAGGUGACAUUGGGGUAAUCUAUGCAUAGGGGUUGAUGCACGUUCUUGUCUUUGUUUCUCCGGUAGAAAUCUUGGGGCACUCUUUGAGGUUCUUUGUGUUGGAUUGAGUAUUGUGAAUUUGAAAUUAUUUGGUGUUAUUUUAGUACGAACUCUUGGAUAGAUCGAUCGGAAGGAAUAGCUUCGAGGUGGUUUCGUACCCUGCAAACAAUUUCUUCUUAUGUUCUCCGCUAGAUAAGAACUUUGGAGUGAUUCUUCGUUGCACGUUGAGGGACGGUUAUGUGAUCCAAUUAUAUUAGCAUUGUUGAGAGAUUGCACUAGUGAAAGUAUGGAUCCUAGGCCUCAUUUUCAAGCAUUGCAAUACCGUUUGUGCUCUGUUUUAUCAAUUGCUACCUUGCUGUUUUUAUUGUUCCUAUUACAAAAAUCAAUAUCUACUAUCAUUACUAUACUUGUAUCACCAUCUCUUCGCCGAACUAGUGCACCUAUACAAAUUUUCAUUGUAUUUGGUGUGUCUGGGACACAAGAGACUUUUUAUUAUUUGGUUGCAGUGUUGUUUGAGAGAGACCAUCUUCAUCCUACACCUCCCACGGAUUGAUAAACCUUAGGUAAUCCACUUGAGGGAAAAUUGCUACUGUCCUACAAAACUCUGCGCUUGGAGGCCCAACACAAGUCUACAAGAACAAGUUGCAUAGUAGACGUCAGUGUCUUGUGGUCACCAGGUGCAUCCUCCUCUGAUGUUAUUUGUACCAGAAAUUCAGAAAUAUUUAGAAAAAAAUCGUGUUAAAUUUUUAGGGCAUUCUGAGAACUUUUGUUUUUGGGUCAUUUUUUAUUGUGCGGGAAAUUCAGAAAAGAGAAAAAACAUGGCAUUUUAUUUUAUUUAACUAAUAAAAACAGAAAACAAAAGGUAGGGCCAGAGAGUUGUGCUCACUAAAUUCAUCGACUUCAUACCUCUCAAAAAUGAUCCAUUAACAAGGUUGAUCAAGUCUUAUUAACAGCCACUUUCGAUUAGCAUGAAACCGAAGAACUUUCGUAAAACACUAAGUUACCUCAACGGGGAUGUGAAUAUUCCCAACAAUAAGUAUGUCAUAUUUCUUUUUGGCAGUAGGUAGAGGUAGUUGAAGACUUCCAAUAGUGAUUGUCGGAAAUUUUUCAAUAACAUUAAUACCAUUCACUUGGAAUUGUUUCUUCUGAAAGUGCACCCACUACAAAAAAAUACACUUCCGUGAUGAUACGUGUUUGUCACAGUAGGUCACGUUUUCUGUCAUGCAUGUACAUCCAUGACGAUGUUAUGAUAGAAUCAACAUAGUCAUACCUGUCCUGUCGUAGAAGUGUUCCUUGACAUUACCAAAAUUAUCAUCACGGAAGUGUCCACUUCCAUGACGAUAAAUCGCGCAUCAUAGAAGUGCUUUCGUCAAGGGUGACCGAAACGUGGCAUCGACCGUAACAGGUCGCCUUAAGCUAUCGGGUCUGGUUUUGGAUCCGAUAACCCGUUAACAGCCCGGACCAAUGGGGAUUUUCCACGUGUAAAAUUCUCAUUGGCCGGAGGAACCACGUAUCGGCUCACCGUUCGGACAGAUGUCAUCCCCUCAUUGGACAGGAGGCGCCUAUGAUAGAUCGACACGUGGCACGGCCCAACAGUGGCCCAUUCUGGUGAAAAAGGCUGGCCCAGUAAGAAUUAGCAGGCCGGCCCAUAUAAGGCCUACUUGUGUCUGGUCCAUUUAAUCCCACGACCCAUAUGAGAUGUGCCAAUUCGGCCCGUCAACGGCCCGUUAACGAUUUGACACCAUUGCAGUCCAUCGUCAGUUCAAGCCCGUUAACAGCCCGCUAUAUAUUUGGGCUCAAUAUCGGCCCAAUGUGGUUUCGGCCUGUUAACGGCCCAUUCAAGGGAUGGGCCAAUUUUCAAGAUGUACAUCUUUCGGCCUUUUAGCGACCCAUUUAAGUGUUGGGCCAAUUUCCGGCCCAGUGUGUCUUUCAGCGUGUUGACGGCCCAUAAGGGAGUUGGGCCAUGAGCAGUCGAACCUGAGUUUUGGCCUUUUAACGGCCCAUGCUCUUCAUGGUCCAAUACCAGCCCGGUUUCUCUUUCGGCCUGCUAAAGGCCCACAACACAAUUGGGCCAUUUAUAGUACGACCUGACUUUCGGCCUCUUCGCGGCCCAUGCUCUUCAUGGUCCAGUAUGAGCCCGCUGUCUCUUUCGGCCUGCUAAAGGCCCACAGUAUAGGUGGGUCAUAUGUAGCCCGACCUAGUAUCGGCCUAUUAAUGGCCCGUGAAAUCAAAUGGGCCCGCCUGUUGCCCACUUUAGUGUCGGCCUGUUAACGACCCGGGAGGUAAGAGGGCCGACCAUUAACUUUUCGGCCUGGUAACGGCCCAUUAACUUAAUGGGCUCAUUAACUUAAUGGGCCCACUAAAGUUCGUACAUGUAUUUAGGCCCAAUUAGAUAAUUUGAGCCCAUUAUGACGAGCAAUUAUGCACAGGACCAAACCGAUCAAGAAAAGGAACGGCAUACAGGGAAAAAUGUUGCACAUCCAGCAUAUAUUACAGGAAAUUACAUCCACUGAGCAAUCAAAGAUUGAUGCCAGUGCAAAUAAAUGAACAGAACCUAACGAUCUACAACAUCACAAUCUGCAACCUCGGCGUGGAUGACGCCCAUAAACAUGUGGGCAAGUUCUUGCUGCUUUGCUACAUUGUCUCUGAAAACAUUGAUCAGUUGUUGCUGCGCACGAAUGUGCACCUCUGAUUCCUCCACCAUUUCCAUCAUUGCUUCUGCCAUUAAUUGGUUCACAAACAUACAUUUUUUCCAUUGCAUUCGAGACAGAGGAAACUGAACAGAUUCAGAUGGCGAUUUUGGCAGCCUUGUAUUAUUGAUAGUGGAGAGUGUCUCGACCACUGCAUCAUAACAUAAAUUAGGAGGGGAACCAAACAGAUUAAUCAAGAGUUAUUAGCAUAUUACCUGGCCUAGAUUUAUUGGAAAGAAACAAUGGGGUUGCCUUGCUAUUUUCAGAGUUUGUCUUCUUAUCUUCAGCAGCCUGCACCAAAUUAACACACUAGCAUUGCUAUCAUUGGCCAGCUCAGAUAAUAGGAAAGCAACAUUGACACAACGAACGUUUGGGCAACCAGACCACACCAGCCUACACCAAAUUAACACAAUAUGGCACAUCUAUCACCAGCCAGGUAAGGUAAUACGGAAGCAACAUUGACACAAUGAAUGAAUGGGCAACCCGAGCAGCACUACAAUUCAGUAAUGGGCAACCCGGAAGCAACGUUUGGGCAACAUCUAUCAUCAGCCAGGUAAGGUAAAACUACCAGGCAAUUUUCCUUAAAAAAUUCAACAUUGUCGCCUUUAACAUUUUGCGACAACUGAAUUUAGAUCAGAUCAAGGUUGGAUUCACACCGAUUAACAAAAUACAUGCUCAUCUAAAAAUAUAGUGACAUACUGCAGGUACUUACAUCAGCAUUGGAGCACAGAGAAUUCCCGCAAGAUACUUUCCUCGAAUACGGUCCCAGUACAGAAAGUCUUCUAUCCUUUAAGCUUAUUUUCUAAAAGAGAAUUGGGUAAGAAACAUGUAGGAAAUAUGAUCAGAAUGCUAUAAAAUUUCAUGAUGCGAGGAUACAAACACGAUUCUUAGAAUGGAGUUGACUUAUUUUUGCUGGACUGGAGCGGACUAGUUCUUUGGUCACUGGAAUCUGCUUAUUAUCAGUGGGAGUUGGGUUUCUCUUUGCUGGAGCAGUAUCUAUGAAAACUGGAGUUGGUUUAUUAUCUCCUGGCGUUUGGAUCUUUUCCAAAGACCUGAUUUGUAACCCUUCAGAUUCUAACAUAGUCGUCUUCUCCUUGCAUGCCUUAUAUAGAAGAAUGGUGCUUCAAUUAUAAAACAUGCUACAGCAGAGAUGGAAUAGGUACUGAAGAAUAGAAAGGCAUGACAUAUUGACAUGUAUUCCCUUCAUCCGGAAAUAAAUGGAUGGGUCUAGGCGUAUUUCAGUUCUAGAUACAUCUAGUUUUAUCCAUUUCUGCGACAUGUAAUCCGGGCGGAGGGAGUAUGAUGUAAGAGCUAGGGAUACGACAUGACAACAGUGUAAAAAACACUACUUGAAUGUAAAACUAUAUGCUAGCGGAAUACAUUACAGAAAAACACUAAGGCAACAUAUGCGUGUAUGAUUGGGAAACUAAGAUGGCAUUGCAAGAGACCACUAGAACAGCACUUCAAUGUAAAAAAAGAACAUGGUAUGGUAGACAGAUGAAGUGCAUACUGAUGAAUAACAAUGCAUAAGAUAUUGAGAAGCAUGAUGUCCAAACUAAGCAGAUGGCAUUGCGAUAGAGUAGAAUGGCAGUACUUGAAUUUGAAAACAUGUUAUCAUUAAUGGAAUUGGUACUGAAAAACAGGAAGGCAUGCCGUAUUUACAUGCAUGAUCAGCACGCGAAGCACAAGGCAUUGCAACAGAGUAGAUGCAUUCCAGGACAUUAUAUGCAUAAUGUACCCAUAUCAAGGGCCAAGUUAGAGCAAGGACCUUAUGGGGUGAAUAGGAUUCAUCAUCUUUCUGCAAGUCUUGUGAAGAACUGCCUUUACAUGUUCCAUCAUAUUGGGUAUCAUUGACGUCAAGUUUGUUGGCCGUUACAUUGCUCCGUGAGGUUCUUGUGGAUAAAUCAGUGUGUGCAAUUAUAUCUGACAUGCAUGAAAGACAACUAGUAGUUAGAUUUAUGUAUUGAGUGCCUGUAGGAGACGACAUAAAUAGUAGGACUGGGGUUAACUAGCAGCAACAGGUCUCAAAAACUAAAGGGAGAACACAGAUGAAAGCUACCGAAUAUGUAUCGUUUGUACUCAAGAUUAACUAGAUGGCACACAAAAGUAUUAAAGAACAAAAUAGGUUAUACUAGAAGUGGUAUAAUACUAUAAUCACCAGCCUGUGGGAUAGCAUUGGCUGAUGGAUGAUAACUAUGGAAUAGCGUUACCUAAAUAACAAGUCUCUUAGCUGAACUAUGGAACAACGUUAACUCCUGAACAAGACCCGUAAGAGAUCAGCAUGAAUAUACAGUGAAAUGUGAUAAUCUAUUUUCCAUGCUUAGAUGAAUAACAAAGCCAUAAAUGUUGCACACAAGUAAGAUGAGGGUACAACCUAUCUUGCCGCCAUCCAUAGGAGUGGGCAUCAUGUGCUGACUUGUCGAUGGCCCUGCAGUUGUUGUGGCUGUCCAUGUCGGGCACGCGCAUUCGAUGCAAGGAACUAUUGAGUGGGGACUAUAGCUCCCUUUUGGUGUAUGCUUCCCUUGUUGGAGCAACUGCGGUGAGUCGGAAGACGGUGUGGCUGAAGAUGCAGAAAACGCAUAAUGUUAAGAACGACACAUCUCUCUGAUCUGAAGAAAUACCCUAAGAGAUCAACAGCAAGGUACGAGAGUGGUCACACAUCUGUUGACUGAAGACUAAACUGGGGUCACACGAUUUUAUUUAUUUUGGUAUUGUCCGAUCUACGCCGGAUGGCUUGAUGGCCGUCUUGUGCCUCCCGGCUGACACUGUUCAGAAUCUUCCCCGAAGAGCCAGCGACCACCGGCAGAGCAGCCUGCCUCCGCCAUCUGUGUCCCCAACCAAAACCCUGCUCCUCGCCCCACCGCACUGCCAUGGUUGCGCCACCCCGGGCCAAUCCACAAAGACUCGCUGCUACCUCUUGAGCAUUGCGUUUGUUUUCCCUUGAAGAGGAAAGGGUGAUGCAGCAAAGUAGCGUAAGUAUUUCCCUCAGUUUUUGAGAACCAAGGUAUCAAUCUAGUAGGAGGCCACGCACGAGUCCCUCGCACCUACACAAACAAAUAAAUCCUCGCAACCAACGCAAUAAAGGGGUUGUCAAUCCCUUCACGAUCGCUUACGAGAGUGAGAACUGAUAGAUAUGAUAAGAUAAUAUUUUUGGUAUUUUUAUGAUAAAGAUGCAAAGUAAAGAAAGCAAUAUAAAGACGACGCUAGAAAUAACUUGUUGACGGGAGAUUAAUAUGAUAGAAAAUAGAAACGGGGGCCAUAGGUUUCACUAGUGGCUUCUCUCGAGAGCAUAAGUAUUACGGUGGGUAAACAAAUUACUGUUGAGCAAUGGACAGAAUUGAGCAUAGUUAUGAGAAUAUCUAGGUAUGAUCAUGUAUAUAGGCAUCACGUCCGAGACUAGUAGACCGACUCCUGCAUGCAUCUACUACUAUUACUCCACACAUCGACCGCUAUCCAGCAUGCAUCUAGAGUAUUAAGUUCAUAAGAACAGAGUAACGCUUUAAGUAAGAUGACAUGAUGUAGAGGGAUAAACUCAUGCAAUAUGAUAUAAACCGCAUCUUGUUAUCCUCGAUGGCAACAAUACAAUACGUGCCUUGCUGCCCCUACUGUCACUGGGAAAGGACACCGCAAGAUUGAACCCAAAGCUAAGCACUUCUCCCAUUGCAAGAAAGAUCAAUCUAGUAGGCCAAACCAAAUUGAUAAUUCGAAGAGACUUGCAAAGAUAACUAAUCAUACAUAAAAGAAUUCAAAGAAGAUUCAAAUAUUGUUCAUAGAUAAACUUGAUCAUAAACCCACAAUUCAUCGGUCUCAACAAACACACCGCAAAAGAAGAUUACAUCAAAUAGAUCUCCACAAGAGAGGGGGAGAACAUUGUAUUGAGAUCCAAAAAGAGAGAAGAAGCCACCUAGCUAAUAACUAUGGACCCGAAGGUCUGAGGUAAACUACUCACACAUCAUCGGAGAGGCUAUGGUGUUGAUGUAGAAGCCCUCCGUGAUCAAUGCCCCCUCCGGCGGAGCUCCGGAAAAGGCCCCAAGAUGGGAUCUCAUGGGUACAGAAGGUUGCAGUGGUGGAAUUAGGUUUUUGGCUCCGUAUCUGGUAGUUUGGGGGUAUGUAGGUAUAUAUAGGAGGAAGAAGUACGUCGGUGGAGCAACGUGGGGCCCACGAGGGUGGAGGGCGCGCCCAGGGGGGUAGGCGCCCCCCCUACCUCGUGCCCUCCUGGUUGAUGUCUUGACGUAGGGUCCAAGUCCUCUGGAUCACGUUCGUUCCGAAAAUCACGUUCCCGAAGGUUUCAUUCCGUUUGAUAUUCUUUUUCUGCGAAACUCUGAAAUAGGCAAAAAAACAGCAAUUCUGGGCUGGGCCUCCGGUUAAUAGGUUAGUCCCAAAAAUAAUAUAAAAGUGUAUAAUAAAGCCCAUUAAUGUCCAAAACACAAUAUAAUAUAGCAUGGAACAAUCAAAAAUUAUAGAUACGUUGGAGACGUAUCAAGCAUCCCCAAGCUUAAUUCCUGCUCGUCCUCGAGUAGGUAAAUGAUAAAAACAAAUUUUUUGAUGUGGAAUGCUACUUGGCAUUAUUUCAAUGUAAUUCUCUUAAUUGUGGUAUGAAUAUUCAGAUCCGAAAGAUUCAAGACAAAAGUUUAAUAUUGACAUAAAAAUAAUAAUACUUCAAGCAUACUAACUAAGCAAUUAUGUCUUCUCAAAAUAAUAUGGCCAAAGAAAGUUAUCCCAACAAAAUCAUAUAGUCUGGCUAUGCUCUAUCUUCACCACACAAAGUAUUUAAAUCAUGCACAACCCCGAUGACAAGCCAAGCAAUUGUUUCAUACUUUUCAUGUUCUCAAACUUUUUCAAUCUUCACGCAAUACAUGAGCGUGAGCCAUGGACAUAGCACUAUAUGUGGAAUAGAAUGGUGGUUGUGGAGAAGACAAAAAAGGAGAAUAUAGUCUCACAUCAACUAGGUGUAUCAACGGGCUGUGGAGAUGCCCAUUAACAGAUAUCAAUGUGAGUGAGUAGGGAUUGCCAUGCAACGGAUGCACUAGAGCUAUAAGUAUAUGAAAGCUCAACAAAAGGAACUAAGUGGGUGUGCAUCCAACUCGCUUGCUCACGAAGACCUAGGGCAUUUUGAGGAAGCCCAUCAUUGGAAUAUACAAGCCAAGUUCUAUAAUGAAAAUUUUGCACUAGUAUAUGAAAGUGAUAUCAUAGGAGACUCUCUAUCAUGAAGAUCAUGGUGCUACUUUGAAGCACAAGUGUGGUAAAAGGAUAGUAACAUUGUCCCUUCUCUCUUUUUCUCUCAUCAUUUUUUUCUUUUUUUGGGAGCCUUUUCUUUUUUUAUGGCCUCUUUUUUUUAGUCCGAAGUCUCAUCCCGACUUGUGGGGGAAUCAUAGUCUCCAUCAUCCUUUCCUCACUUGGGACAAUGCCCUAAAAAAUGAUGAUCAUCACACUUUUAUUUACUUACAACUCAACAAUUACAACUCAAUACUUAGAACAAGAUACGACUCUAUGUGAAUGCCUUCGGCGGUGUACCGGGAUAUGCAAUGAAUCAAGAGUGACAUGUAUGAAAGAAUUAUGAACGGUGGCUUUGCCACAAAUACGAUGUCAACUACAUGAUCAUGCGAAGCAAUAUGACAAUGAUGGAGUGUGUCAUAGUAAAUGGAAUGGUGGAAAGUUGCAUGGCAAUAUAUCUCGGAAUGGCUAUGGAAAUGCCAUGGUAGGUAGGUAUGGUGGCUGUUUUGAGGAAGGUAUAUGGUGGGUGUAUGAUACCGGCGAAAAGUGCGCGGUAUUAGAGAGGCUAGCAAUGGUGGAAGGAAAAGUGCGUAUAAUCCAUGGACUCAACAUUAGUCAUAAAUAACUCAUAUACUUAUUGCAAAAAUCUACAAGUUAUCAAAGCAAAGUAUUACGCGCAGCUCCUAGGGGGAUAGAUUGGUAGGAAAAGACCAUCGCUCGUCCCCGACCGCCACUCAUAAGGAAGACAAUCAAUAAAUAAAUCAUGCUCCGACUUCAUCACAUAACGGUUCACCAUACGUGCAUGCUACGGGAAUCACAAACUUUAAUAGAAGUAUUUCUCAAAUUCACAACUACUCAACUAGCAUGACUCUAAUAUCAUCAUCUCCAUAUCUCAAAACAAUUAUCAAGCAUCUAACUUCUCAUAGUAUUCAACACACUCAUAAGAAUUUUUUUUACUAAUCUUGAAUGCCUAACAUAAUUAAAGCAAAUUACCAUGCUGUUUUGUAGGACUCUCAAAAUAAUCUAAGUGAAGCAUGAGAGAACAAUAGUUUUAUAAAACAAAACCACCACCGUGCUGUAAAAGAUAUAAGUGAAGCACAUAGAGUAUUCUAACAAUUUCCGAAUCAUGUGUGUCUCUCUCAAAAGGUGUGUACAGCAAGUAUGAUUGUGGCAAACUAACAAACAAAGACUCAAAUCAUAAAAUACGCUCCAAGCAAAACACAUAUCAUGGGGUGAAAAAAAAAUAGCUCCAAGUAAAGUUACCGAUGGAAGUAGACAAAAGAGGGGAUGCCUUCCGGGGCAUCCCCAAGCUUUGGCUUUUUGGUGUACUUAGAUUAUAUUGGGGUGCCAUGGGCAUCCCCAAGUUUAGGCUCUUGCCACUCCUUGUUCCAUAAUCCAUCAAAUCUUUUACCCAAAACUUGAAAACUUCACAACAAAAAACUUAACAGAAAAUCUCGUGAGCUCCGUUAGCGAAAGAAAACAAAACACCACUUCAAGGUACUGUAAUGAAAUCAUUCUUUAUUUAUGUUGGUGUUAAACCUACUGUAUUCCAACUUCUCUAUGGUUUAUAAACUAUUUUACUAGCCAUAGAUUCAUCAAAAUAAGCAAACAACACACGAAAAACAGAAUCUAUCAAAAACAGAACAGUCUGUAGUAAUCUGUAAGUAACGCAAACUUCUGGAACUCCAAAAGAUCAGCCAAAAUAGGAUGACCUAGACAAUUUUUUUAUUGGUCAGCAUCAAUUGGAAUCAAUAUUUUAUCACGUACUGGAGAUUUUUAACAAUUAUUUUCAUGAACAGAAAGUUUCUGCAAUUUUCAGCGAGAUCAAAUAACUAUCAUCCAAGAAGAUCCUAUAGGUUAAACUUGGCACAAACACUAAUUAAAACAUAAAAACAAAUCUAACCAGAGGCUAGAUCAAAUAUUUAUUCCUAAACAGAAGCAAAAAGAAAAAAACUAAAAAUAAAAUUGGGUUGCCUCCCAACAAGCGCUAUCGUUUAACGCCCCUAGCUAGGCAUAAUAGCAAGGAUAGAUCUAGGUAUUGCCAUCUUUGGUAGGCAAUCCAUAAGUGGCUCUCAUGAUAGAUUCAUAUGGUAAUUUUAUUUUCUUUCUAGGAAUGUGUUCCAUGCCUUUCCUUAACGGAAAUUGGAAUCUAAUAUUUCCUUCCUUCAUAUCAAUAAUUGCACCAAUCGUUCUAAAGAAAGGUCUACCAAGAAUAAUAGGACAUGAAGGAUUGCAAUAUAUAUCAAGAACAAUACAAUCUACGGGCACAUAAUUCAUAUUUGCAAUAAUAAGAACAUCAUUAAUUCUUCCCAUAGGUUUCUUAAUGGUGGAAUCCGCAAGGUGCAAGUUUAAAGAGCAAUCAUCAAAAUCACGGAAACCUAGCAAAUCGCACAAAGUUUUUGGGAUCGUGGAAACACUAGCACCCAAAUCACAUAAAGCAUAGCACUCAUGAUCUUUAAUUUUAAUUUUAAUUUUAAUAGUAGGUUCCCACUCAUCAUAAAGUUUUCUAGGGAUAGAAACUUCCAACUCAAGUUUUUCUUCAUAAGAUUGCAUUAAAGCAUCAACGAUAUGUUUAGUAAAAGCUUUAUGUUGGCUAUAAGCAUGUGGAGAAUUUAGCACGGAUUGCAACAAGGAAAUACAAUCUAUCAAAGAGCAAUUAUCAUAAUUAAAUUCCUUGAAAUCCAAAAUAGUGGGUUCAUUAAUAUCUAGAGUUUUGAUCUCUUCAAUCCCACUUUUACCAAUUUUUGCAUCAAGAUCUAAAGACUCCAAAUUUUUAGAACGCCUUCUAGGUAAAGGUGGAUCAUAUUCAUUCCCAUCAUUAUCAAGAUUCAUAUUGCAAAACAAAGAUUUAAUAGGGGACACAUCAAUAACUUUUAGAUCUUCAUCUUUAUUUUCAUAGAAAUUAGAAGAAGACGCUUUGACAAAGCAAUCUUUCUUAGCACGCAUCCUAGCGGUUCUUUCUUUGCACUCAUCAAUGGAAAUUAUCAUGGCUUUGAGAGACUCAUUGAUAUCAUGCUUAGGUGGAAUAGGUCUAAGUUUCAAAGAAUCAACAUCAAGAGAAAUUCUAUCAACGUUCCUAGCCAAUUCAUCAACUUUAAGCAAUUUUUCUUCAAGCAAAGCAUUGAAAUUCUUUUAUGAGUUCAUAAAUUCUUCAACACCAGUCUCAAAUUCAGAAGGCAUCUUAUUAAAAUUUCCAUAAGAAUUGUUGUAGGAAUUACCAUAAUUAUUGGAGGAGUUACUAGGGUAUGGCCUAGGAUUAAAGUUUCCUCUAUACGAGUUGUUACCAAAAUUAUUCCUACCAACAAAAUUCACAUCCAUAGAUUCAUUAUUAUUCUCAAUCAAAGUAGACAAAGGCAUGUCAUUAGGAUCAGAAGAAACAUUUUUACUAGCAAAUAAUUUCAUAAGUUCAUCCAUCUUUCCACUCAAAACAUUAAUUUCUUCUAUCGCAUGCACUUGUUUAUUAGUAGAUCUUUCAGUGUGCCAUUGAGAAUAAUUAACCAUAAUAUUAUCUAUGAGUUUAGUAGCUUCUCCUAAAGUGAUUUCCAUAAAAGUGCCCCCCGCGGCCGAAUCUAAAAGAUUUCUAGAAGAAAAAAUCAAUCCGGCAUAAAAUUUUUGUAUGAUCAUCCACAAAUUCAAACCAUGUGUAGGACAAUUACGUAUCAUUAAUUUCAUCCUCUUCCAAGCUUGUGCAACAUGUUCAUGAUCAAGUUGCUUAAAAUUCAUAAUAUCGUUUCUAAGAGAGAUGAUCUUAGCGGGAGGAAAAUACUUCGAGAUAAAAGCAUCUUUGCACUUAUUCCAAGAAUCAAUACUAUUUUUAGGCAAAGAUGAAAACCAAGCUUUAGCACGAUCUCUAAGCGAAAAAGGAAAUAGCUUCAAUUUAACAAUAUCAUUAUCCACAUCUUUCUUCUUUUGCAUAUCACACAAAUCAACGAAGCUAUUUAGAUGGGUAGCGGCAUCUUCACUAGGAAGGCCGGCAAAUUGAUCUUUAAUGACAAGAUUCAACAAAGCAGCAUUGAUUUCACAAUAUUUAGUAUCGGUAAGAGGAGCAAUCGGAGUGCUAAGAAAAUCAUUAUUGUUGGUAUUGGUAAAGUCACACAAUUUAGUAUUAUCUUGAGCCAUCGUGACAAGCAAGCAAUCCAACACACGAGCAAACAAGAAGCAAGCGAGAGAAAAAGCGAACGAAAAAGAGAGGGCGAAUAAAACGGCAAGGGUGAAGUGGGGGAGAGGAAAACGAGAGGCAAAUGGCAAAUAAUGUAGUGCGGGAGAUAAGGGUUUGUGAUGGGUACUUGGUAUGUUUACUUUUGCGUAGACUCCCCGGCAACGGCGCCAGAAAUCCUUCUUGCUACGUCUUGAGUACUGCGUUGGUAUUCCCUUGAAGAGGAAAGGGUGAUGCAGCAAAGUAGCGUAAGUAUUUCCCUCAGUUUUUGAGAACCAAGGUAUCAAUCCAGUAGGAGGCCACGCACGAGUCCCUCGCACCUACACAAACAAAUAAAUCCUCGCAACCAACGCAAUAAAGGGGUUGUCAAUACCUUGAUGGUCACUUACGAGAGUGAGAUUUGAUAGAUAUGAUAAGAUAAUACUUUUGGUAUUUUUAUGAUAAAGAUGCAAAGUAAAGAAAGCAAAAUAAAGACGACGCUAGAAAUAACUUGUUGAAGGGAGAUUAAUAUGAUGGAAAAUAGACCCGGGGGGCCAUAGGUUUCACUAGUGGCUUCUCUCGAGAGCAUAAGUAUUACGGUGGGUAAACAAAUUACUGUUGAGCAAUUGACAGAAUUGAGCAUAGUUAUGAGAAUAUCUAGGUAUGAUCAUGUAUAUAGGCAUCACGUCCGAGACAAGUAGACCGACUCCUGCCUGCAUCUACUACUAUUACUCCACACAUCGACCGCUAUCCAGCAUGCAUCUAGAGUAUUAAGUUCAUAAGAACAGAGUAACGCUUUAAGUAAGAUGACAUGAUGUAGAGGGAUAAACUCAUGCAAUAUGAUAUAAACCGCAUCUUGUUAUCCUCGAUGGCAACAAUACAAUACAUGCCUUGCUGCCCCUACUGUCACUGGGAAAGGACACCGCAAGAUUGAACCCAAAGCUAAGCACUUCUCCCAUUGCAAGAAAGAUCAAUCUAGUAGGCCAAACCAAACUGAUAAUUCGAAGAGCCUUGCAAAGAUAACUAAUCAUACAUAAAAGAAUUCAGAGAAGAUUCAAAUAUUGUUCAUAGAUAAACUUGAUCAUAAACCCACAAUUCAUCGGUCUCAACAAACACACCACAAAAGAAGAUUACAUCAAAUAGAUCUCCACAAGAGAGGGGGAGAACAUUGUAUUGAGAUCCAAAAAGAGAGAAGAAGCCAUCUAGCUAAUAACUAUGGACCCGAAGGUCCGAGGUAAACUACUCACACAUCAUCGGAGAGGCUAUGGUGUUGAUGUAGAAGCCCUCCGUGAUCGAUGCCCCCUCCGGUGGAGCUCCAGAAAAGGCCCCAAGAUGGGAUCUCAUGGGUACAGAAGGUUGCGGCGGUGGAAUUAGGUUUUUGGCUCCGUAUCUGGUAGUUUGGGGGUACGUAGGUAUAUAUAGGAGGAAGAAGUGCGUCGGUGGAGCAACAUGGGGCCCACGAGGGUGGAGGGCGCGCCCAGGAGGGUAGGCGCGCCCCCCUACCUCGUGCCCUCCUGGUUGAUGUCUUGACGUAGGGUCCAAGUCCUCUGGAUCACGUUCGUUCCGAAAAUCACGUUCCCGAAGGUUUCAUUUCGUUUGGACUCCGUUUGAUAUUCCUUUUCUGUGAAACUCUGAAAUAGGCAAAAAAACAGCAAUUCUGGGCUGGGCCUCCGGUUAAUAGGUUAGUCCCAAAAAUAAAAUAAAAGUGUAUAAUAAAGCCCAUUAAUGUCCAAAACAGAAUACUCCCUCCAUUCCAAAAUAUAGUGCGCCCGCGCUUCCCGAGGUCGAACUUUGACCAUAAAUUUAACGAACGAGACCGACUGCGGCGGGUGAAAAAAUUACAUAAUUAAAAACUUCUUUCGAAUACGAAUUCACUGAUAUAAUUUUUGCUCUCGCCGCAAUUAAAUUUACGGUCAAAGUUGAAGCACGGAGAUAGAGGAAGCACUACAUUGUGGAAUGGAGGGAGUAUAAUAUAGCAUGGAACAAUAAAAAAUUAUAGAUACGUUGGAGACGUAUCACUCGCCGUCAUCCAGAUCCGGCGGCGGCAGUACCUUCAACCCACGCAACUCUAAGAUAGCCAUCUAAGUGUUGCUUCCAUGGCGAACUUGCGCCCCCGCACCCUUACGUUAGACACCAGCCAACCGACGGCCUAGGAGCUCCGCCGGCUCGAGGGGUGCUGCUUCCCAUUGGGAAUCGAUUGGCCCAGAAUAAAAAUUCAGACAACUGACGCCUAAAUAAAGUGAUUUGAGAUGAGGGUGCGACCUAUCUGGCGGCCCGGUGAAGUAGGCAGCUCCAGCUGCCGAGUCGGUGAGGCCGGCGCGGUUGCGGAGGCUACCGGCGGCAGGGAAGCAGAGAUGUCGUGAUGGUCGACGGCUACGGGGAAGCAGCGCCGGGGCUCUGGACGGGUCCAAAGUUGGAGCCACUCCGGUGCCGUGAACAACGGCGGGGGUGAAUCGGCUCCGGUACGGUUCACGCACCCGUCGUCGAGGCAGCUCCGGCAGUGCACGACGGCCCAGUGCACGACGGCAAAUGGACGGCAUCUCCGGGAUUAGAGAGGAGGGCGGCUGUGAAUUUGGUGCAGGUGGGGGCACCAUGGAGGAGGGGCUGAGGUUUCGCGGCUCGAGAGAAGGGAGCUUCCGGGGAGAAGGUGAUUUGGCGCCCACGAGGUAUGAAUGGGGAAUUAGGAGGGGGAACCAUAUCUUACGGACGCAUUUGUCUGAAAUGUGGGGGGGGGGUUACAGUUCUACCCCUGCCUUUAGGCUUCUCGGCUUGGGUCUGUACUGAGGGUCGGGGAUAGUAGAGUAACUUUGCUUCUCCCAAAUAGUGGGCGCGAGCAAUUUCGGGCGAGGAGGGCGUGUUUGAAAUAUAGUGGGCGCGAGCGAUUUUGGGCGAGGAGGGCGUGUUUCGAAAUAUAGUGGGCGCGAGCGAUUUCGGGCGAGGAGAGCGUGUUUUGAAAUAGUGGGCGCGAGCUAUUUCGGGCGAGGAGAGGGUGUUUUGCCGACCAUGGUUUAUGAAUUAUUCGGCACAUGUCAUUUCAGUCGAGGAGAAGGCGCGCUUGGAUGAAGUUACGAACCUACCCUCGAUGUACAACGGGCCAAUUGAUGCGUGUCCCACAUAGGCUGGUAAUUUCGCAUCUCCCAUUUAUUUGCUCGAGCGAAUUCCACCGAGCAGAGGGUGUUUAACGGUUCGUGCAAAUUUUUGGAGAACGAGCAUCCACGUCUACCUUACCAAGUCGAUUCGAAUCAAAUUUUGAAAUAUUAGCUUGCCACUUCUUUUUUAGAUGGAGAGAUGAUGCUCGGGAGUAAUGUGUUUUUACGUGCUCGUUGCUAAUGAUUUACUAUAUGACAGAUAGUUGACCCACUCAAAAACGGGAAUCAAACCCAAAAUGAAAUAUCUUGAUACAAUGAAAUAGCUCGUUCACCAGGUCAAAAAUAGUGAACCAAAUCCAAAAUUGAACACCUCAAUCGAGUAGCAUGUUGUACAGUAUUAUAGUACUCCAUGAACAUGUUGAAAGUCAAAUUAAUGAGCUUGUUUGAUAUACGCAUAUCUCCGUUCAUGUGUGGAUUGCAGACAACAUGUUCUCCAAUUUAAAUAUUUGAAUGCAAGUUUAUAUCGAAACAUGGUUUAUAUCAGUCUUUGAUACAUAAAACGCGACCUCCCCCUCUCCCGGACUCCUGCUCUCUCUCUUGCCGACAAUCUUCAAUUAUGUCGCACGCAUCCAACACACAAACCUUGUUGAUCCCUCUCCCUCUCUCUCCAUCUCUCUCUCUUUGUUUGUGUGUGGGGGGGUCUUUCUAGUUCGCAUGCAUAUAUACUCCAUCUAUAGGUCUCUCUCGCACACUAUGUAUGAUUCUCUAGUCCAGGCUAAAUAUCUUGGGUGCACUCAUCGUACGCACACAAAUUCCUUGGCUCGUUGCCCGUAACUCUCUCACGCACCACUCUGUCGUCUUGGAUCUCUUCCCUCUCUCUCUCAAACUCUCCAUCUCCCUGGAUCACACAUACACAUGCAUAUCUCACUCGCACUCGAUAGACCCAUAUAAAACUCUAUCUCUCUCCCUCGUUCUCUCCCCAUCUCACACGCACACACACACAAUUCAUGCCAAGCCAAGUAUGAUGGUCUCUUACUCAAUUGUAGGCACACGCAGUCCCCCCUAUAUGAAAUGACUAGCUAAUCUUAGUCUCCAUCAUAAACAUGUCCAUGGUCUAUCUCAAUUUCUCUCGGGGUAUCUUUCUAUUGCGCGCGCACCUCCCUCGAUCUCCCACCCAUAUAGUCCCCUCACGAUCUCGAGGGGAUCUCUCUAUCACAAACACACCCUCUCUCCCUUCUCAUGCGUCCAUGUUCUCCAUGCGUCCUCUCGACCUUUGUUCCUUGUUGGCCAGACCUCUAUUGGACAUGUGCUAUAGGGGUGUCUCUCUCCGUUGCAAACAAUCACGCACUAGCUAUCUUCGUGUAUCUCCUCACCUCGCUUUUCUAUCUCGGAGAUGCAUGUGUGAUAUGUUUGCAUAAGAAACGAAAACACACACACUCUCUCUAAUUUAUCGUUCGUUGUCCCUUUCUCUUUCACACACAUACUCUUUUGCACACUCACUCAUUCUCCUCCACACGCACUUGAUCUCUCUCGACUUAGGCACUCUCUUCGGUCCAUAGCAUAUAGAUUUAUUGAAAAGUCAAACAUCACAAAGUUUGACCAUGUACGUGGAGAAAAACAAUUACAUAUAGAACGGCAAACAUAUACCAUUAGAUUCAUCAUGAGAUGUAGUUUCGUAUGAUGUAUCUUUGGCAUUGUAGAUAUAAAUAACAUUUGUGUAAACCUGGUCAAAAGUUUCCAAAGUUCGACUUCUAAUUUUUUUACAUGCACUACAUUAUCGAGCGGAUGGAAUAUCUCUUUCCCCCUCUCAGCUAUCUGACGCACCACUCAGCCUUAUUGGGGCUCCUCUAUCUCUCUCAAACUUUAUAUCUCCCUGGUUCACACAUACACAUGUCUCGCUCGCGCUACAUAGACCCAUCUAACACUAUCCGCCCUUGUUCUCUCUCUAUGUGACACGCACCCCCCUAAGUACCAUAAUCCCUCACCCCGUCAUAGGCGCACACACUCCCCCCUAAGUAUAAUUAUCUCUCACUAGCCAUCAGGAACACACGUAUUGUCUGCUUCCAUCCACACGUCUAUCUCGAUAUCUCUCGGGGUAUCUUCUAUCACGCACACACCUUGUCACUCGAUCUCCCACCCAUGUAGUCCCAUUACGAUCUCCAGGGGAUCUCUCUAUGACAUACACUCUCUCCUCCCCAUGUCUGCAUUUUCUCCGUACGUCUCUCUCGACCUCUCUCCCUUGUUUGUCAGACCCCUCUUGGCCACGUGCUAGGGGUCUUUCUCUCUUGGUUGAAAACAACCACAUACUAUCUCCUCACCUUGCUUCCGCUGUCGAAGAUGCAUGUGUGAUAUGUUUGCAUAAGACACACACGCUUUUUCUCUACUUUUAUCGUGUUUUGUCCAUGUCUCUUUCACACACACACACACUUUUUUCAUUCACUCUUUCUAUUUCACACAAACUCAGGUACUCUCUCACGUCCAUAAGCAAAUGGAUGUUUUGAAAAGUCAAACCUUAGAAAAGUUAGACCAGGUAUAUGUGGAGAAAAACAUUUACAUCUGGAACGAUCAUUAGAUUCAUCACAACAUGUACUUACUUCAUACUAUCAUUUAUCUUUGGUAUUGUAGAUAUAAGUAAUUUCUUUAUAAACUUGGUCAAAGUUUCAAAAGUUUGACUUUAAAAAAAAUGUUGGCACUACAUUAUCGAAUGAAGGGAGUAGCUCUUUCUCUCUCUCUCUCUCUCUCUCUGUUAUCUCUCACGGGCCUCCCCUCUCACUCGAACUCUCUAUACCGACAGAUUAUACGCUCACUAUGUCAGCGUAUAGCUCCGUAUAUUGUUUAGUUGACCGGUCAACCAGUCCACAUGCUGCCUUGUCAGCUCGUGUUCUCUAUCUUCGUGUGCUGGCCCAUGUGGCAGUGGGUGAAAAUAAGUAAACUAGAGGCCCAUCUGAGAUGCGGUGAAGUAAACAAAGUUGAAACCACUCGGGGUAGCACCCCGCACGCUAGUAAAUUGAGGGCACAUUGAGGACACACUUCUUCCGCGUGAAGGACGCACUCGCGCACAAUUCACCACUGCGCGGCGGCAUGCACAGAAGGACACACUCGCGCACACCCAGCAGGCCAGCACACAACACACACCAGCACACGUGUACACCAGCAUCGCCGCCAGUUGAGAUGGACGCGAGGCAGCCAACAAGCGGAGGCGGCUCGAGCCAAAACCGCAUCCGGCGAGCCUGGACUUCAUCAGCAGCCUCCCCGACGACAUGCUACUCCUCAUUAUCGGCCUCCUCCCCACCAAAUCUGCCGUGCGGACCGCCCUGCUCUCCCGACGGUGGCGCCCCCUCUGGCGCCGCGUCCCCCUCAACCUCACCGUUGACAGCUGCCUCUGCGACGGGGAUUGCAAACGCAUGGCCGCAGUCUCCAAUAUCCUUUCAUCGCACCCUGGGCCAGCCAGACGCCUUGACAUCCGCAUGUUCAGUACCAACUGCAAGGUCCAAGCCAAGUUCGACGAGCCCUAGAUCAGCUCGAGGAGCUCAGCUUUGAAGUUGGACGAUGUCGCUCUCUGCCGCCGUCCGCGCUCCGCCUCACGUCAACGCUGCGCCGCGCCAGCUUCAGCUCCUGCUAUCUUCCCCAGAUUAAUGCCACGCCCACCCUUCUGCUCCCUCAACUCAAGCAGCUCGACCUCUUCGACAUUGGCAUCUCGAAGCAGGCUAUGGAGCACCCGCUCCGCAGCUGUACUGCGCUCGAGUACCUUCGUCUUGAGCAGAUCCACGGGUUCAUUAGCCUCCACAUCGCCUCGACGAAUCUCCGAUGGAUUUAUGUGUCUUGCUGGCCCCGCAACAAGACAUCAAUUGGGAAGAGACCACUCCAGCUGUUCCACGUUAUGGUCAUUGAGAAUGCGCCUUUCCUUGAGAGAUUGCUUGUAUCUGAUCUAGAAGGUCCAACAAAAAUAAGGGUCAUUGACGCGCCGAACUUGACAGCGUUGGUAUACUCGUCUGCCAAAUUCUCCAAACUCUUUAUUGGAUCCGUAAUCGUUCAGGUACAGCACUCAUCUUCUUCUCCGUCUUCUUGAAAUUCACAUUUUUAAAUUUCUUCUUGAUGUAUUUACGAUCGUCUUCCAGAAAAUGAUUCCCACAAGCUUGACCCAGUCUAUGCACACAGUGAAGAGCUUGGCAAUAAAAUCUAUCGGCCCCAAUCUGGAUCAAGUUGUUGGAUUCCUUACAUGCUUUCCGUGCAUGGAGAAGCUACUCGUCGAGGUGAAACUUCUUUCCUAUUAGUAAACAGUAAUCACAACGUAGCUCAAUUUUUUUCGUAAUUUUCCCAAAUUACGAUGACAAGUGUAGUGUUCAAAACUGCAUCUCCGCACUGCACCGAAAGAAAUGUUUUUAGUAUUUUUUCUCACAUGAUCACCUGCAUCGUUUUUUUGUUGUACUACUAUAGUAGCCUAGGCUAGUCAUAGUGGAAAGUAACUUAGACUAGUAACUCUAUGGUUACCCUAAGAGUAAGUACUACCUCCGUCCUGGUUUACUCUUCCUAUUUUGUAGUAUCAAAAUUUGACCAUAGAUUUAACUGACAAAAUGUUAAUGCAUGUCACUAAAAAUUAUAUCUUUGGAUUCGUAUUUGAACAUAAUUUCAAAUGGUAUAAUUUUUUGUGACAUGCAUUGGCAUUUACUUAGGUAAAUCUAUGGUCAAAAUUUUACAGUAAGUACGAGGUAGUACAAAAGUGGGCUAUAACGGCCCUCCACUAUGUAGGCCCAAACACGUGCCAAAUUCACUUGUGAUGCAUUUGGCAUCGAUGCCCCUCCAUUGCUCACCUGGUGCCCCAAUCUGGAUCACCUACUUUGCUCCGGUGCCAAAUUAACUCACGCAAUGAAAAAACACUUGCGUGGGAGAGAGAGAGGACUGAGGCAAUAAAAAAACACUUGUUUGGGAGAGUGGGAGGCUGGUGUAGUUGGUUUGAUUGAUUUGUUUAUACAUGUGGGUCUGUGUGCACAACGGUGCCAACUCUCUCACAUCGCGAGAGCGGUGGCAAUUUUUUUUGAUUUGACAUCGAUGCGUAUUACGUGGCAUACUUUUGAGAAAUAUGGCAUCGGCCACAUAGUGGAAGGCAACAAAUGCCCAAACUCUUCACGUGCUCCUAGGUAAAUGAGAGGAAAGAGGAAGAGAGAGAGAGAGAGAGUGAAAAAUAUCACUAGCCAGCCAACCCUAUCGUAUGAGCGAAUGAUAUUGGUACCUCUUGAUGACACGACAAUCUUACACAGCCAGCUGCUCUAAUAUGUUCUCUUCUUUUGCAGAUAAAAAAAGACCCGAAAGUGAAAAAUGUGCUCCACUAUAACAAUCUCAUCGAAUGCCUUGAUCUCCAUCUUAUAGAAAUUGUUUUGAUCAACUACCGAGGCAGCACAUCUGAGAUUAAAUUGGCCAGGUUCUUUGUUCUGGAGGCAAGUGUGCUCAAGGUAAUGAGGUUUGGCGUUCUCUGGCGCAACAAUGAAUGGCGUGAUGAUCACCGCAAGCGUCUAAGCCUAAAUGACAAAGUCUCCACGGAAGCGGAAUUUGUUUUUGAAACAUCAAGUGGCCAGAGACUUGAAAAUUUAUUUGCCCAUUAGUGACUUGUCAAGGCGGUGGAUUUUAGUUUGUACGAUAAUGCUGCAUCCACCUAAAGUAACGAAAGUUCUUACGUCCUAGUAAUUCCCUCUUCGUAGGUGCAACAUUACUCCUAACAUUUGUAAUAUCAGUUUGAAACUUGUAAUAUUGUCGUGUCCUAUUCCUGCGUUUUCAAAAUCCUGUGAAUCAAAGAGGUCCUGAGUUGGUGAUGAUGUUGUGCCUGCCAUCUUUCACCAAUAGCCGUCGGAUCUAGAUCUGACGCAUACAAGCCAAACUUCUCCUGUUUUGCAAAAAGAUGCCCGCACUUGUUCCCUAUUUACAAACAACUCCUUGUCUCUCACAAUUAGCCUUAUCUCCUCCCCACCACAUCUAGAAGGCCAUGGAAAAAUCUGGCGCGAUGGCCGCUGCCGGCGCCGUCCACCCCCAAUGUUGGUGUUCCGUGCAAUGCACGUGCAUCUACACAUGGGAAAUUAUGUUGAACACGGCUAGUUGUAAGCAUGCUAGCUCUACAGCCAUGAUGAUAGUGACUGCAGACGGUGAGGCUGACUAUGGUAUGCCGAACAUGGCGCCUAUACUCAGGUGUCAUCUCCGGUGCAGGGUCUUGUCACUUCACUGUGAGGAGCAACACGUAAUAAUUUGACCAACGGGUAGUACAGUACUACUACAUUGGUAGUACUACUACUAGUACUACCACCACCGUCUGGAUUUAGUAGUACUACCACGUCUAUCUGGAUUUAGUAUUUGACUAGCAAUAUCUAGUAAUGCAUGUCACAAAAAAUGUACUACUCCCUCUGUAAAUAAAUACAUGGUGUAUUGUUUUAUUCCUUCCGGUAGAUGGCUCAAAUCUGAAGUCUCAUCAAUCAAACUACUAUUGUACUCACCGAGCGCUCAGCUUUGUAAGCUACCAACAAAAAAUUGCAAUCAAAGACUACUAUUGUACUCCCUCCGUAGUGGUGCAUUAGUCACGUUACGAAAACCAAAUAGUAAUCCCAAAACUUUUAGGCGCGGUGCAUUAACUACCCACCUCGUUCCCUGUUUUUUGCCACAAAAAAAGAAAUCACCCAAUACGACACGUGGGGUGCGUAUGCAUCCAAUGACUUGAGACUACUCCGUCUGUCUAGCUAUAUGCGGAUUCCUAGGCCGAUAUACAAUAAAUAUGAAGAGAGAGAGAAGAUGAGAAAUAGUAGUACUCUUAUAGCCAGCCUUAUAGCUAACCUUAUUGUAUGAGUGGCUACAAGUGAUGGCUCUAUAUGACAUGGCAACAUCAUAUAGCCAGCAGCUGGCUAUACUAUUAACCAUGAUCUUAGGUUGUGCACCGUGACCAAGACGAAGGGGAAAGCGAGAGAACUUAAUGUCUUUUUGCUGAUUAAUAGGAUUACAUGCAAUGAACUAACCACUGCAUGUCAUGUUUGGUAGUCUCAAGUCAUUGAAAGCAUGCACGGUCCACAUCUCUCAUUGGUUAAUAUGUCACGAAAUAAGAAAUGAGGAGGGAGUCACGAAAUAAGAAAUGAGGAGGGAGUUAAUGUACCGUGCCUAAGUGUUUUGGGAUUACUAGCAAAAGGGCCCGUGCGUUGCAACGGGUUGAAAACAGGAAAUGCAAAUACCUGUACCAGCUAAAGCUACUAUAGACAUCUAUUUUUCCACUUGCCUAAUAAAACCUAUUUUUCCACUGUAAAAUGUAAGCAUGCCCCUUUUCGUUGCAAUGGGAGGUAAAAAAAAUAGCACAAAUUCCUAGCACAACACAUUAGUUGCCAUUAACCAUGUUGGUUAGAUUGAAGCGGAACACCGAUCAUGUUUGAUGAGUUCAGGAACGUUGCAGAAAGAUCCUCCAUCCUCUAGGUAAAAAAUAAUAGAAAAAAAAAGAGAUCAUGAGCUUGUAAAAAGAUCAUCCAUCCUCUAGCCAAAAUAAUAGGAAAAAUGAGGAUUUCAUGACAUACCAGAAUCUUACUCCUCGUGGGAUGGGGUCGGAGAGGGGGAAGCGGAUGAAAAUUAACAUAAUUUAGCCCAAUCGAAAAAUGACACAUGAAAUGCAUAUUUUCUAAUUAGCAAUUCCAGUUCAAGUGUAGGUGAAUGAAGUAGUUUUCUGCUUGCAGAUAUUGCCGUCAAUAUCCCCACAACUCGCCCUUACGCCGUCUUGUAACAAAGGUCCAAGUACGAAGUCUGCCAAUGGAGAAAAGGACAGUUUCCACAAACAAAACAAUAAUACAGCUAAAUGAAUCAAACAGAUACAGUUGUGAUAUGUAUUUGCUGGUCGGUGUGUAGUUUACCACUUUUAAAAAUAUAAUUUUCAAAUUUUCAAAAUGUGGCCACGGAGGCUCAAGCUAUCAUCUCAACAUUCCCUUGCCAGAAAAAUCAAUUACUGAUAAUAGCUCUUAGGCAUAGAAAUCUAAAAAAAGUAACUAUAAUAAAUAACACAAAACAAACAAUGUUCUGCACUCAGCAUGGAAACUGUAAUAAGUAUUGUCAACCUCACGCUCAAUAGAAAGCAGGAGUCAGCAUAUUUAAUCGUAUGAAAAAAGUAGGUAGCAAUUCACCUAGUAAUACAUUAACAAUUCUGAACUUUUGACAAAAACAAAUAGUACUGAAGAACUGCCCUAGGUACUCGACAGUGACACACCCUGUCGGAUGUGGAGACCAUCGAGUUGUACGUGCUGAUCCAACUAAGAAUGCUUCAGUAUGUAACACACAACAAUGCAAAGAAGAUUGCUAGAUGAUAAUUUUGCGCACAAAGGACACUGACCAUUUGCUCUACUACUGGCUGUAAUAACCUAAUGGUCUGUAGCACACCACAGUGCAAAAUAAAUUGCUAGAUAUCUAUGCUUUUGAACACCACAACCAGAAGGAAAUCUUAAUUAAUGUAUCUUGGUAUAAGACUGUUAUAUCGGAGGAAGAUGAUCAUGACAACAAUCAUAAAUAAAUCAACAGAGAUUGCCUAAAGAAGUAAUUACUGUUACUUGGAGCACGUAUGCGUGAGUAAUUCGAACAUAGAUUUACCUUGUUUGCAUCUGCCAUCUGGCCGGGCCAUGGAAACUGGUCAGCAGCAACACCAAUCCAACUCUGAAGUCUGAAUACAACAUGCAAGUAGUUGAGUUUACAGAUUCAGACAAACACAAAGGAACCAAAAAAUAUACAGGGUCCGAUUCAGAUUUCGCUGCAGUUUCCCAUUCAUCCAUACCAGUCCAUGCAUCACCAAACCAUUCUUGUCCAUACGUCAUCAAUUAAUUAGUCCUCAACUCAUCAUCCAUUAAUUACAUUGCUCAUUGCAUAGAAAACAGAAGAGAUGACAUGGGACAUAGGAGCUUGCCUGGCGAUGGAGUUUGGCUCAUGGUGGGCCGUGACCUGGUGGAAGGAGCUGAAGCUGGCUGGUACAGCUGGCUCCAGUGUGAACAUAGACUUGCGAGGCAAUUUCAAUCUGGGGUUUCGGUUGCGAUCAAGGGAUUCGAAACCUUUUUAUAGGGUGCCUCAGAACCAGAGUUUUUUUGUUGUAGGCUGUCAGGUUCCGUUUUGGAGCAGAGUUUCCUAGAAGUCGAAGGAGAGUUUUUUCUGUCGUACCCUAUCAAGGUACCAAUUCCAUCGAGAGCGGACACCAAUUCCAUCGAGAGCGGACCGACGAAACGCACGCGGCCAGGACCGGGCAGCUCCGGGAAUGGGCGCAACUGAUCCACCCCGCUCCAUCAACCUGUCGGUCUGGGUGCCCUCCUCCACUCGUGGCCGCCGGCAACGGCGCCUCUUCCCAUCCCCAGCCUCCAGCUUGCCGAUCCCCGCCCUCUCCAUUGUCGGCCUCGAUCUUGACGGCACCUGCCCUCUCCAUCCCCGUCUGCGAGCCCGCCGGCGCCACCCUCCAAUCCCCUUAAUCGAGCCCGCUCGUCUCGAGGUCGCGACCAGUAGGUGGAGGGGAGCUGUGAACAGCGAAGAAAGCCCAGGGUGAGGAGGAGAUGGGAUUGGGAAGCAAAAGGCAGCCGACGGUGCGCGGGCCGUGCGUGGCAGAGGUGGGUUGGGCGGGGCGGAGCGCGCGAGGCAGAGCGUGGCAGUGUUUUUUCCCCUUCGUACCGGUUCAAUUUGGACUGCGGGUUUAAUUUCCGGAAAAGAUAAGGGCCUUUUUGCAAAAGUGCCAUGACGGGUGUGCGGGCAGAAGCCAUAAACGCUUUACUGUUAGGUAAAGAUAAAGAUUACAUUGGACCUAAGCAUUAGAAUAUAUGUGUUGGUCCUACAUUAGUGUUAUACUUCAGCUCCACGCGGUUCCGUUUUAAAGUUGUGUAGCCAUUUUACCUUGCAGGUACAAAGUUGAUAUUAUCCAACUUUGAUAUUUUAUUUUUGUCCUCUUUGGGUGAUUAUUACUAAAGCAAGGUAAGACUAUUAUAUAUAGGAUCGACAAAUUUUCUCUUAACUAUCACAUAAUGUAAUGACCUCAGUUUAUUAGAAGUUACAUGUUUUACCUUAUGACCAUGACUUCUAAAUGUAUGUGGUUUGAUGUUGGUGGUUUAUUAUGCAAUGCAAAUUAUGUCCAGGAUAUGUGCUUCCCGUGCCUGCUAACCUGUGUAUAUAGUAGUAUAUAAGUUCUGUCUAAUCCUAAUUGAGUGUUUUGCUACUAUGGUAGUCCGAACCAGCCCAUCAAAGACACAAAUAGGGAAUCCAACUUCGAUUCGAUUAAAAGCGUCCAACACCAAACCUGGCAUCAGAUAUAGUACCAAAAAAGGCGACACAUAAUCACAGACCAUUCUUGAGAGUUCGGAAUUUUCUUUGCAUGCAUUCGCGGAUUUCUUAAUGGUGUGUGCGUUUUUUUUUUGGAAAAGGGGUGAUUCCCCGGCCUUUGCAUCAGGUGGAUGCAUACGGCCACUUAGAUAAAUAAAAUAGGUUCCACAAUGUCGAAAAGUCGUAAAAGAAAACUACGUCGAGCUCACAUAGACCUCGUCACGAAAAUACAAAAAAAGGCCAUAAAGCCACAACCGGCUGGCAGAAAAAUAGGUAUGGAAACUAAUUGCCAAUCCUAUUACAUGACCGCCAUCCAAACCGGUUGAAUAUAUCCCGCGCUACCAUCUCCCACCGGACAGAUCCAGUAACCAAACGCUCCCUGGCCUCCGUCGGAGUGAGUAGGGACCACAUACGGAUCAACGCCGUAGCUCGGAAUACAACCUGCAAAAAAUGAAUAGUAGUUUUUCUGUUAAAAGCCAAAUCAUUUCUGCAGUUUCAAAUUGCCCAUAACAACGCACAAACUCCUACACGAAUGUGUCUAGCUGUACCGGACUCUAUCCCAUCCAGCCACGUUCCAAAUAACGACCCGACCGAACUCGGAGGAGUAAUGUUAAAAGCAAUUUGCACUGAGCACCACAAAUUUUUUGCCAACGGGCACUCAAAGAAUAGACGCUUAAUGGUUUCAUCCCGAUCACAGAAACUACACCUAGUAGAUCCUGUCCAAUUGCGCUUAACCAAGUUGUCCUUUGUUAGAAUGACCUGUUUAUGGACAAACCACAUAAACACUUUGAUUUUUAAAGAAACUUUAACUUUCCAAACAUGUUUGGAGUUAGGAAUGACACUCGAGUUAAUACCAUCGAUGUACAUCGAUUUAACGGUAAAAUGUCCAGACCUAGUAAGCUUCCAACACAACUGAUCGGGCUGAUGUUGUAGCUGAACCUCCAUCAGUCUACGCACCAGAUGAAGCCAAGCUUCCCAUCUAUUACCAACAAGCACCCUCCUAAACUGAAUAUUAAGGGGUGUGGCCUGCAUAAUCGUUGCCACAAGCGCAUCACGGCGAUGUACAAUACGAUACAGAGUUGGAUACUGUAACGCCAACGGAGUCUCACCAAGCCAGGUAUCCUCCCAGAAGCGAGUAUCAUUACCAUCGCCGACUAUAAACUUUGUUCUAUUAAAGAAGGCUGUCUUAACUCUCAUAAGCCCCUUCCAAAAUGGCGAAUCAGUUGGUCGCAUUGUCACUUGUGACAAAGUUUUGGAUUGCAAGUACUUGUUACGAAGUAUCUGUGCCCAAGUCGCAUCAGUCCCAUCUGAUAACUUAUAUAGCCACUUACUAAGCAGGCAUCUGUUCUUUACCUCAAGAUUCUCAAUACCCAACCCCCCCUGAUCCUUGGGACGACAAAUAAUAUCCCACUUGGCGAGUCUAUACUUUCUUUUUAGAUCAUCACUCUGCCAAAAAAAUCUUGACCGAUAAAAGUCCAGCCGUUUCCUAACCCCAAAUGGAACCUCAAAGAAAGAUAGUAGGAACAUCGGCAAACUUGUGAGCACCGAAUUAAUAAGAAUCAACCGGCCUCCAUAAGACAGAAGUUUGCCCUUCCAACAACUAAGUUUCUUUUCGAACCGAUCUUCGAUACAUUUCCAUUCUCUGUUCGUGAGCUUACGAUGAUGAAUGGGUAUACCUAGGUAAGUGAAAGGUAAAGCCCCUAAUUCACAACCAAACAAUUGCCUAUAAGCCUCUUGUUCCUCCUUGGCUCGACCAAAGCAGAACAACUCGCUUUUAUGAAAGUUAAUCUUUAAACCGGACAAUUGUUCAAAUAAACACAACACCAGCUUCAUGUUUCUCGCUUUUGCCAAGUCAUGCUCCAUGAAGAUGAUUGUAUCAUCAGCGUAUUGCAAAAUGGACACACCCCCAUCAACUAGGUUAGGCACCAAGCCACCUACCUGACCGGCGUUCUUUGCCCUACCUAUGAGAAUGGCCAACAUAUCAACUACAAUGUUGAACAAUAUAGGGGACAUUGGAUCUCCUUGUCUCAGGCCUUUGUGUGUCUGAAAAUAAUGACCUAUAUCCUCAUUAACUUUAAUUCCAACACUACCUUUUUGCGUAAAGGAUUCUACCUGGCGUCGCCAGGCCUCAUCAAAACCCUUCAUGCGUAAAGCCUGUUGAAGGAAAGGCCAUUUGACUUUGUCAUACGCUUUUUCGAAAUCCACUUUGAAAACAACCCCAUCCAGCUUUUUCGUGUGGAUUUCAUGGAGUGUUUCAUGUAGGACCACAACACCCUCAAGAAUGUUCCUGUCCGGCAUGAAGGCCGUUUGGGUAGGCUGCACAACGGCAUGCGCGAUCUGUGAGAGCCUAUUGGUCCCGACCUUGGUGAAAAUUUUGAAGCUAACAUUAAGAAGACAGAUUGGCCUGAAUUGCUCAAUUCUCACUGCCUCUGCUUUCUUAGGAAGAAGGGUGAUCGUUCCAAAAUUUAGCUGAAAAAGAUGAAGCUGCCCAGCAAACAGAUCAUGGAACAAAGGCAACAAAUCUCCUUUAAUAAUAAACCAGCAUUUCUUAUAAAACUCCGCUGGAAAUCCAUCUGGGCCAGGCGCUUUGUUAGUUUCCAUUUGUGAGACGGCAUCAAAUACCUCUUUCUCGGUAAAAGGAGCCGUCAGAACAUCAUUCUCCACAACUGUGAGCUGAGGAACAUCCUCAACCCUGGACUCAUCCAGAGACACACAAUUAUUGUCUGGAGGACCAAACAACUGCUUAUAGAAUUCAGUAAUGUACAAUUUUAGGUUCUCCUAUCCUACAAUUGUACCCUCAUCUUGCUCAAGCUGAAAGAUCCUCUUCUUUCGAUGCUUACCAUUAGCAAUCAUAUGAAAAAAUUCAGUGUUCACGUCCCCCUGGACUACUCUCCGGACCUUGGCCCGCAACACCCACUUCAACUCUUCUUCCCUAAGAAGUUCCUUCAGCCUCAAUUCCGCAUCCAUCUUGGCUUGAAGCUCCGCUACUGGCAGAAGCGUGGUUUCUGCCUUUACAUCUAGGGACUGAAUAAUGGUGUGUGCGUAUGUCUCUCCCUAAUUUGACCUUCCUUUAAUCUCCCCAUUAAUCCUCCAUGCAUGUGCGGAUUUCUUAAUCAUCUCUCUCUCAUUAAUUCACCCGCCUUAAUCUUCCCGGUUAAUCCUGCAUGCAUGCGCCGAUUUAUUAAUCGACUCUUUCUCUCAUUAAUUCGAGAUUCCUUAAUCCCUCCCGAUAAUCCUGCAUGCAUGACUCCUUAAUCUCUUCUUAUAUAUCGUCCGCUUAAGUAGUCUCUCUCCCAUUAAUUCCGUUAUUUCUUCCGACGGAUCCACUCCUUCCAAUUCUCCAGGCGGCUGAUAUUAACUGGUAAGUGUAUAUAAAUCGAUAAUUUUUUUUGUAAAGGGGCAAUAUGGGAUAAUGUAAAAGGAAAGAAGCAUAUACUAUUUCUACAGUUGGCUUGGUCAGAUGGUCACGUUUUCUAGAAUUGAACUGAAGGUCAUGAGUUCGACUCCAAAAGCCCACUUUUUUUUCCUGGGCCACCACGUGAUUGGGCUGAGGCCCAUGUUGCUGGUUGAUCUCACGUGCCAGAUAAAUUUACAACGACGGAUGGACGAAAAUUUUCACCGACGGACCAAAAUUAGGAGAAAGAAGCGUUAGUCGUUUUAUUAGUAGGUAUAGAUAUAGAUAUAGAUUUGGUUUUCGUAAGGUGACUUACACAACAUUUUUUGUUACAUACAUUAACAUUUUAUUAGUUAAAUCAAAGGUCAAAACUUGGCGCAAAAUGCAAAGGGGACCAAUAAACCAGUAAACAUUAAAGUUCUAUCGUUUGGCCCCAACUAGAGGUCCGGUGAGAUGACUAUACUGCACCGGCACGGAGGGGGAGGCACCUUCAUUGACUUACCGCACCUGCGUUUGGGUGAAUGACAUGUGGGCCCAAUAGGUGGCUAGCCCACCUGUCAUACAGCCAAAGGCAGGUGCAGUAGAGGGCCGAGGAGUAGAUGGCCAACACACACGUAAAUUUUCACCGACGGACCAAAAAUUAGGAGACAGAAGCGUUAGUCAUUUUAUUAGUAGGUAUAGAUAUAGAUAUAGAUUUGGUUUUCGUAAGGUGACUUACACAACAUUUUUUGUUACAUACAUUAACAUUUUAUUAGUUAAAUCAAAGGUCAAAACUUGGCGCAAAAUGCAAAGGGGACCAAUAAACCAGUAAACAUCAAAGUUCUAUCGUUUGGCCCCAACUAGAGGUCCGGUGAGAUGACUAUACUGCACCGGCACGGAGGGGGAGGCACCUUCAUUGACUUACUGCACCUGCGUUUGGGUGAAUGACAUGUGGGCCCAAUAGGUGGCUAGCCCACCUGUCAUACAGCCAAAGGCAGGUGCAGUAGAGGGCCGAGGAGUAGAUGGCCAACACACACGUGAAUGCAAUACAGUUUGCACUUCUCAUAUAAAGGCUCCCCGCCAGUCUAAUCUACGAAAUCCUACGCACCUACGCACCCUAACCAAGGGCAAGAGUGAUCACUCCAAUCGCAAGAUCAGUUGACUAGAAGCUAGACCCAUGGAGGCGAUGAGCGCGAGUAUCAGCCGGCUGUGCCAGAUGGUCCACGACGCCGGCCUGCGGCCCGGCACCGAGGAACGUCUCCAGGUCGUGCUUGAGGCCGCCAGGGCGCGAGGCCGCUUGGACGACAGCUUCAUCUCCUUGUUCGACAAGGUCCUUGUCGGCUUCCUCGACAAGUUCACCAUCGUCAAGAGGCUCACGGACGACCUUGACGUACGCCUCCAGCCCACGCGCCCAGGCUCUGCAAUGCCCGACACCCUCAACGGCCUCUAUGGUGGCAACCUCUUUGAUGCACUGGUGGCCCUGCGACUGCCCGCCGUCGCGCCAGAGAAUGUCCACCUCGAGGUCGCGCUCGCCGCGCAGCGCCUGGCGCAGCAAGACACCGUCGACAUAAUCACCCACGUCUACGCGCAAAUCGUCCACAAGGACUACUACGUGCCAGAGGAGGACGAUAGGUCGCUGGCCUUCUUGACCUGCAGGGCAACCUUGGACGGCAUUGUUCAGAAGCACGUUGAGCUCGCCGCCAACGCCGCUGCUCCUCACACGUCGGUUGGUGACCCAGAGCACUAGGACAUGAGGAUGUCAAUGAUGGAUCCGUAUGUAUCUUUAUCUUUCCGUCAAAUCCAUGUAGUAGUAUAUGGUACUACUAGUAAUUAUCUUACCUUUCGCAUCAACUUCGUAAUUUUCGUACGUACUCCAUGCAUGAACCACGCCAGAACCAAACUUCUCAUUACUCUAGGGAAAAUCGUUAUUUCUAACUAUCGGUCGCGCCAUGGAGCAGAACCAAAUUUUACAAGUUACAAGUUCAAAAGGAAAAGCCUAUCGUGUUCGCAUCGCACCUCCACACGGUUGGUCCGACAUGCCGCUCAAGGGGGAAUGCGUGAUGUGUUGCAUUUUCACUUACAAGUGGGACCGCAGUUGAGCAAACCGACUAUCAGCAAACCCCCGCCCGGCCCACCGCGCGAUGGCUGAGAAAACAGGAGGAAGAAGAGAUGGCUGUAGCACGGACUCCAAGAAAAUUGGUGUCGGAUGGGACUCGUGUGGGUGGCGUGUGCCGUACUACUAGACAUGAAUGCUAUUUAUGGCCCAUGCCACCCCACUAUAUCGAGCCUAUAUCAAGGUGCUGGUUACGUAGAACAAAUUUCCCAGAGUCCGUGCUCAGCCCUCCUCUAUCUCUCUUCUUAGCCAGCCAGCAGACGCGCGGAGCCCAUCGUCUGUUUGCUCACAUGCGGUCCCACAUGUCAGUGAAAACGCAAGAGGACCCACUAAACAUGCACAUCUUUCACCUCGACGUGCUGGUGAUGAAAAACAAAUCCAAUAAAGAUAUUCGGUGGCCACUUUUGGAGUUACGCAAGCGUAGUAAGAUUCUAUUUACAGUUUAACCCAAGAUGCACAUCACGUGGCUUCAACUACCACUCCAUUUUCUUGCAUGACAUGACCUGGAUGCUGGAUGUCCCACGUGUCGGCAAAAGGAGGAAGAACUUGACCAAAUCUUCUCCACAUUUAGACCGGAGGAGUAGGAAACACGGCAAGCCCUGUGCCUACAUCAUACUACGUACAAGCCCACCUCACACAGUCACGCUAUCACCAUAUUUCUCGGCCUCCGUGCGACACCUAGCUCUAGUUGAUCUAACUAGAACUAACUAUUGGUUGGCUCUAUGUGAUGUGGCAACUUCAUACUACUACUACUACGGAUGCUGGCUAUACUACUACGUCACUAACACUACAAGAAGUGAGUCGAAAACCAUUUAUAAAUUGAGUUUAUGACAUGCAUAUGCAAAUGUACCAUUCAUUACAUACAACAAGUCAUCAACACACAACGACAACGAGGAUACAUGUUGGAUUAUAGAUUAGUUCCAACAAAACAUUCUAGUAAAUACUAAAGUUUUCAUCGCACAAAAAAUAACAAGCAAUGAAAUGAACUUUAGCUCAACCGAUCCUCGGCGUUGGAAACACUUGCUUUGAACCAGAAGAAUUUCUCUCGGAAGGGCCAGCUAUUGUCAAUCUCGAGACCAAUGCAGGACUGAUCAUCCAGGCUGAAGCGGCCUAUUUCAUGACCCAUAUUGUGAUAGCCACGGUAGGGACGCAUAGCAAUGUCUGAGGUAUAGAUACAGUUGCUUCUCAUAAAUGGUAGUAACAUUGUGUCAACAGCAGCUGGAUCGCCUUUCACCAUCAUUGGAUAGUUUUGUCCAAGGAAGAGCGAGUUUCCUCCAAGACUUUCAAUACUGAACCAGGGAGAAGGUGUUGGCACUAGUACACUAGUAUCCAUCCUGAAUACCCUGCAACAGAUGUUGGAAUAGGUCCGGAGAGUGCGACCAUGGGAGACAACACCUGCUUCCUUAGUCACAUCAGCGGUGCCCUGUAUACAGACAAUAAGAGGUGAUCCAUCGGAAUAAGUUGCCAGGCACCACUGAGUAUAUGGGUCCUCAUGCUCGUGAUCAUCAUCAUCGUCAUCUCCCCCUUGGUUAUAAAAAAUUUCAAGUAUAGGUGGUGGAAUGUUCACAGGACCUUGGAAACACAAGAAGGUUAAUUAGUAAAGGGAAACUAGCUAACCCGCAUGCAUGUGGAUGAAACAAUUAUAAUUACGGUGGAAGACAAACGUACCGAAAGCAUAAGGAUUCCAUGCAAAAACAGUGCCACGAGUGGUGGCAGCAAACACAAGACCCUCAUAUUGAAUUGCAUCACAGUACUCAUCUGUGUAUAGAAACUGAUUUUUGAGCAAUAUCCAUCCAGUCGAACUAUGAAGGAAGGCAACAAGCUUGUCGAAGAUAGCAACAACUCCAUAGUCCAUUAAAUCCCAAGAGCGGUCGGGAACUUGACAAAUUGCUAUCUUCUGUAGACGACAGUCACCAUGAUUGUAGUUGAAUGUAUGUAGAAUACCGGUGUGCUCAACCUCUGGGUAGUCUGAAAUUUUUGGAAGUGGAACCCGGUGAUGAGUGUACACAUUCACAAGUUCCCACUCGCAGUUGUACCCAAUAUAAAUAACCCAAUCUCCAUUUGCGCCCGCCCAAGCCUUACCCUCAAGCGAUGGCAUCUUAACAUCACACGUAUCAUUAUCAAGCGGCACCAACUUGCACAAGGCGAGGCCUCCAUCGUCUGCGCGCCAGUCAGCAGGGUCACGGUGAAGAAGAUAGGGGAGAUCAAACCGCUCCUAGACCCUUGGGUUCUUUGUAAUGAUGUUAUUAGUUGAGUCGAGAAUGGUCUUGAACGAACCUGCCAUGCUAGCCGAGGUGAUGACGUCGCACCGAUCAAUGAGUUCCUCCACCAUGUCAUCAUUCAGAUCGGGGCAAGAAUAACGGGGUCGUUUCCGGCCUGUUCCCUCCAUGGAGAAGACGAUUGAACAAUGGCAGAAGGAAGGGUGAAGGCAAAUGGAGGAGGGAGGAAGAGUGUGCGACAGCAGUUCCAAAUAGAGAGGGAAAGGUGAAGAGUCGGUGGACGGUUGCCACGGUACACGAAGAGGCGCCCCGGCCUACAUAGACGUCCGUUCGGAAAUUGUACAAAAGGACUCGCCGUCGUCUCACUGACAUGUGGGAACAGGACCACAUGUCAACGAAGAGGCUAGUGGGGAGCGGACGGUUGCCACAGAGGUCACACACUGACGACAAGGCCGUCCUGUCAGACCUAGCGCCCACGCGAGAUGGCUUCCGUCCCCCACACGAGCGAAGCCACUUCGCACCCCCACACGGUUGGUCCACCACGCCGCUAGGCCAACUCCAGCGCGUGUAGCUCGGACGCGCGCUUGCUCAACCCCCUUUCCCUUAACGCCCCGGAGCUACCUAACCAGGGCUACAUGUUUUGCGCACCCGGCGACCGGAUUUCGAGCGGAUCCGGUCGGGCUUGAGCUCGCCCGGCUGUGGGAGGCUGCGCCGCGCCAUGGACUGGCCGGGCAGUGGGCCGGAAGGCCCCGGCAAGGCCGCAAGGACACAUGCAGUUACUGACUCCUCCUCCAGCCACUCGGAUCUACACCGUCGGUGGUCUGCCGGCAGAUACAUGAAUGGCGGUCGGCCGGGCUCAGUGCUGGCCCAAAAGCUCGUCGGCGCACCGUUGCCACUCAUUACGUGCGACGACUGCCCAAAGAAGGUCUUGCGCCGCGUGUCUACAACGCCAGAACAUCCCGGAUGGGUGUUCAUCAAGUGCUCAACCGAUGGGGUAUGUGCUACUUUAGCUUCGGUUGUGCUCUCGGAUUAGACUAGUUGUGCUAACUUAAAAUUUUAUUGUGUAGAAUGGAUGCAAGUUUUGGUAUUGGGAAAAAGAGUACAUCGAUAUAUUGAGAGAGCGCAGUUUAGUAGAUGUUGUAGCACUUCUAGCUAGCAUAGAGGCUAGAGAUGAGACUAGUGCACUUGUUGAUAGAAUAGAGGCUAGACAUGAGACUAGAUGCGAGGAAGCAAUGUCUACUUCUUUACACUCGAAGAAGAAAGAAGCACGCAAGAUCAAGCCUCCGCAGAUCAACAAUGAAUGCAUCGAGAAGGCACUAAUCCAACUUACAGGAGCAGUUAUGGAAGUUGGAUAUCUUCUAAAAUGUAUUCUUGUGGUUCUUGUUUUCUUUGGUCUUGCUUUUCUAGUCAAAUUUUGGUGAUGUAUUUCCAUGUACCAAAAAUCAAUGAUGAAAAAAGAUAUGUGUUUGCAAAGAAAAAUGUACGCGGCCGGGAUGCGUCCGCGCAUUGGGCGCACGGCCACCGCAUCCGAGAAAGGGCCCGGACACGACCCCAUUACCCUACCCAAAUGGACAGAAUCUGGGCAAAACGGAGGUCCAUUUGGGGUCAUGUGUUGGAGUUGUCCUUACAAGUGGGACCGCAUUUGAGGAAACCGACUAUCGGCAAACCCCCACCUCGCCCGCCACGCGAUGGCUGAGUUAGAGAAACGACGAGGUUGAAGAGAUAGUUGUAGCACAGACUCCAAGAAAUAUGGUGUUAGAUGGAAGUCGUGCUGGUGGCGUGUGCCAUACUCCUGGACGUGAAUGCUUGUUCUGGCCCAUGCCACCCUACUAUAUAUCGAGGAUUCGAGGUGCUGGUUACAUACAGCGAACACAUUAACAUAUGGCCCACAUCACACUGUGGCCAAAUUUCCUGGAGUCUGUGCUAGGUUAAAAAGUGUUCUUUGUGAGGGUGGGUGGCUGGUCUCAAGUUUAAAACUUGUUGCAUUACGUAUACGUAGACGUAGAGAUAGUGCAGCAGUUUUUUAAAGUUUGAACCCAAACAUCAGAAUGCAAUUUCUACUGGACUCAUCCGAGGACCUAGGAUGGUGGGAUUCGCAGCUACAGUAAAAACACCCGCCCGACGCGCGAAGCAUGUGAAGCUAGUACAAAUAGUAGUAGUACUAUUGUUGAUUGGACUCAUCCGAUAACCUGUUGCAACGCACGUACAAUUAUGUAUUCGGAAAAUAUAUUUUUGCCUCGUCGCAGCACCCACUCAGAGAAGCGACUCAAAAUCCAUUCAUAAAUUUAGUAAGUUUAUCACAUGCAUAUCAUUUUAUUACAUACAACAGGUCAUCAACCCACAACGACAACGAGGAUACAUUAUAAAUACUAAAGUUUUCAUCACACAACAAAUAACAAGCAAUGAAAUGAACUUCAGCUCAACCACUCAUCGGCGUUGGAAACGCUUGCUUUGAACCAGAAGUGAUUCUCUGGGAAGGGCCAGCUACUGUCAAUCUCGAGACCAACGCAGGACUGAUCAUCCAGGCCGAAGCGGCCUAUGUGAGGACCCAUAUUGGGAUGGUAGGGAAGCAUAGCAAUGUCCGAGGUAUAGAUACAGUUGCUUCUCAUAAAUGGUAGUAACGUUGUGUCAACAGAAGCUGGAUCGCCUUUCACCAUCAUUGGAUAGUUUUGUCCAAGGAAGAGCGAGUUUCCUCCAAGACUUUCAAUACUGAACCAGGGAGAAGGUGUUGGCACUAGUACACUAGUAUCCAUCCCGAAUACCCUGCAACAGAUGUUGGAAUAGGUACGGAGAGUGCGACCAUGCGAGACAACACCUGCCUCCUUAGUAACAUCAGCAGUGCCCUGUAUACAGACAAGAAGAGGUGAUCCAUCAGAAUAAGUUGCCAGGCGCCACUGAGUAUAUAUAUGGGUCCUGCUCGUCCUCAUGCUCGUGAUCAUCAGCAUCUUCAUCUCCCCCUUGGUUACAAAAAUUUUCAAUUAUAGGUGGUGGAAUGUUCACCGGACCUUGGAAACACAAGAAGGUUAAUUAGUAAAGGGAAACUAGCUAACCCGCAUGCAUGUGGAUGAAACAAUUAUAAUUACGGUGGAAGACAAACGUACCGAAAGCAUGAGGAUUCCAUGCAAAAACAGUGCCACGAAUGGUGGUAGCAAACACAAGACCCUCGUAUUGAAUUGCAUCACAGUACUCAUCCGUGUAUAGAAAUUGAUUUUUGAGCAAUAUCCAUCGAGGCGUGGAAGUAAGGAUGGCAACAAGCUUGUCGAAGAUAGCAACAACUUCAUAGUCCAUUAAAUCCCAAGAGCGGUUGGGAACUCGACAAAUUGCUAUCUUCCGUAGACGACAGUCACCAUGAUCAUAUUUGAACUCACAUAAAAUACCGGUGUACUCAACCUCCGGGCAGUCUGAGAUUUUUGGAAGUGGAACCCGGUGACGAGUGUACACAUUCACAAGUUCCCACUCGCAGUUGUACCCAAUAUAAAUAACCCAAUCUCUAUUUGCGCCUGCCCAAGACUUACCCUCAAGAGAUGGCAUCUUAACAUCACACACAUCAUUAUCAAGCGGCAUCAACUUGCACAAGGCAAGGCCUCCGUUGUCCGUGCGCCAGUUAGCAGGGUCACGGCGAAGAAGAUAGGGGAGAUCAAAGCGCUACUGGACCCUUGGGUUCCUUGUAAUGAUGUUAUUAGUUGAGUCGAGAAUGGUCUCGAACGAACCUGCCAUGCUAGCCGAGGUGAUGACGUCGCACCGAUCAAUGAGUUCCUCCACCACGUCAUCAUUCAGAUUGGGGCAAGAAUAACGGGGUCGUUUCCGGCAUGUUCCCUCCAUGGAAAACACAGCCUCUCUCUCCCUCCUCACCGGUGGUCACAGAUCCACCGGGGAAGAAAAGGACGUGCAUCGUUGAUGCACUCGUCGUCGGCGAGCGAGGUCACGCACUGACGACAAGGUCGUCCUCUCAGACCUAGCAGCCUCGCGGGAUGGCCUCCGUCCCCAAGCUCGCUGCCGUAGUGUGUGCGGAGGACGACGACCAUGAGCGAAGCCACUUCCCGCCGACCCUCAGGUAUGCUACCUCUUUUCGAACCAUACCCUUGUUCUAUUGCCCCAUCUGCCACGUCGCUGCAUGUGGAUCUUUUUCCACUCCACCAUCUUCCCAAUUUGCUAUCCUUUGCUCUGCUGGUCAUGCAGACGAAAACCUUAAUUUGCACUAUUAAAGGAAACCCUACUUCAUGUAGACUAAUCCAUGUCUGGGUUGAAUAAGGAAAGGAAGGGAGACUGUACUGUCCAAGAGAGCAGGCAUCGAACCUGCAUCUAGGUUGAAAAGGGGAAAAUCAGUAGCUAAGGAACGAGUCUCGUGUCUCUUGGUUGAAGAAGGGUAGAAAGGCAUGACAACGCAAUAGAGAAUGACCAGGUCGAUCGGUUUGUUGUCCUCACAUAGGAAAAGGUGGCUAAAGAGAACAAAAAUGGGACAUUAUCCACAUAUGCUGCCUGGAUAUUUGUCUCUCUGGGCAACCAUACCUCCCUCACCCCUCUAUGCGUCCGUGGAGGUACAUCGUACUGGUGCGCCCACUGUCCGAAUGGGCCUCCCAUCCUCUUAUUGCCACUUUUUUGCUGUUAGUAUAACACCAGCGGUCAAGUCAAGCAAUGCUACUGCUAAAGUUAUGCCACAUUUAACUAAUGCCGCACUCAGUCUAAUGCGACCGCUAAAUUUAAGCAAUGCCAUUUAAUGUCACUGGAUUAUUUCAGGGUUAGCUGUUGAUUGUGGAUGUAUUAAAGAUUUUUCAGCUAAGGCAUUCUAAUGUUGUUGCAUAGCCAGUAUACCAACGAUGAAUCUUGUUACUACCUUCAAAUUUUUGCACUGUUAAUGCUUAUAGAUUACAUACCUCACUUUCAUGAGAUAAGUCAAUUUUUUUUGUACAGUGUCAAGAGGAAAGGUCAAGAGUGGGCACCUCCUCCUCCGGCUAUUCUCUUGAUUCGUUCGAUCAAGUUUUUAUGUUUGAUCGAUUAUCAAGAUUGGGAUAGCAAUUUUUAGGUCCCCUCGAGUUCGAAAUGGUUUGCAGUUUUUUUAUACUGUCAUUAGUUAAUAAUGCUAGUUACCUUCAGACUUUUGUAUUUGGUUUAAUGCUCUUGCACAGCUAGUAUACCAAUACUGAAACUUGUUACCUUUUCAUUUUGUAUUGUUAAUUCUUAUAGAAAUCUUCCAGUGCUAGAGCUUAUGGAAAUCUGUUCAGUAAAACCACUGUACUGUACCCUGUAAUAAAAUAACUACUCUACUGUUGCACUAGCCACUGGAUUAGUGUAUAUUUGUACUAUUCGAAUGGUGUUGCAUUAGUGUAUGGACAUAUAUAAUGUGUGGCAAGCUUUCCCAGAUAUUUGCUCAAGAAAACUACUACCUGUUUUUCUAAAUACUACACGUUUGGGAACUUUAAAUUGAACUGCGAAAACGUCUUAUAUUAAGGAACAAAGGGUGUAGAGUUCACUUAAAUUAUCCCGGUAAAGCUAGUCACACCUUUGUUAAAAUUAAUGUUCAUUAUGUUAUCGGAGGAGGUCUGUAUGUUUGUCUCUAAUGCCUGUCGACUACAUACCUAACAUCAUGAUGUAAUGUUAAGUCAUUUCCUUUUGUACAUUGUCACUGAAUUUUCAAGGCGGUGAUGGCAUUUUAUUUUAGUUGAACUGCACAAAAUAUGCUUAAAAGAAGAGAAAAGGUCAGGAAUGGCUCAAUUUUUCAGAAAAAACUAUGUAUGCCUUCCUAACAUCAGCCGAUGUUGCCUUAUUUAUUCCUUCAAACAGGUGGUUAGAAACAGUCUUGCUACCUUUUCCCAUUAAGAAAUUGGAAUGCUUAUAUUUGUGAGUCUAUGCUUCAACUAGUGCCACUUUUAUAGUAAUCACACUUUCAAUAUCUAUGCAAACAGGGAUGCUCGAUUUUAGUGGAACUGCACAAAAAGUCCAAAUGGUUCAACAUUAGGAGCAUGUUUUUUCCCAAACCUGUAUAUCCAAUUGGUGGCACUAUGAGCUGUUCAUUACGAAGGUACAUGGUUUGCUACUAUCUUGCUACUCUUUUUGUACUGUCAUUAGAUAGUAAUACUAGUGGUUUGCAUGUGAAUUUAUUGGCAGGGUGGACCUACAUUGGAGGUGCAGGACAUGAUUCAAUGAUUGGAUGCUCAAUUUCGGUUGUAUCGAUUUCACCUCUUCCAUCACUGCGAACAUGGAUAUCCUUGGUCUGAUGAAGAAUAGGCGCUAUAUUUCUGCUCUGAACCAGCAAAUCAAUUCAAUAUGAAAUUGUCCAGGGCAAAACAUGACUGUAUCAAAUUGUCUAGUGCAAAACAUGAUAGAUGCUAAGCGGAAGAGGCCUGUUUAAACCGAAAAUACAAGGUGGGGUAUAUGUUUACUAGCUGCUUGAUAUUUGUGCUGACAGAGAUGUCUGCCCGUUGCUAUUUGGCAAACAAACAAAGUGACCGCAAUUUUGGUUGAACUGCACAAGAGAAUAGUAUAGUCACUGCAUGCAGUGCCAUUUGAAAAUAGACAUAGAAAGAUUGGAUAGUCACUUCAUGGACUGCAGAAAAGUAGUACUGUACUAUUUAUUGGCCAACACUAGGUGCUUCAUUGCUUUGGUCUGAUUAUACAAUGGGCAUCUUUUUUCCUAAGUUAAAGUUUGUAUUCCGAAAAUAGUCUCGCCGUGUGAUCGAGAGAAGACCAAAUCAUAUUGCAGUGGAUGUUCCUCCAUCAUGUGUGGUUUAUUCUCAUGGUUCCGGCUGUUGGUGAAACCACUUACGUUUGCAAGAGGAAUUGUAGACUUCACAAACAAAUUUUUCUUUCACUCUGUACUGAAUGUUGGCCAAGAGAAGUAUCCAUGUUAGUAGGAAGAACAGAUGUUUUUUCUAGAUCUUUGCUUUUGGAGCUACAUAUUUGUAUAUGAUCUGUGAAUCAUUGAGAUGCAUUAACAUGUUGAUCUUAUGUAUGGGAAUUGUACUAGUUGGUUUUGAAUUUGGCUUACUAAUGUGAACAUAUUACAAUGCCAGGCCUGUGAGUCUCGUGUGAACAUUUCGAACGGAUCGACUCUUACUGUUGUGCACAACAUGAUCCUUAUUUUUGUGUUCUUAGUGUUUACAAGUUACUAACAGUUCCUUAUUUCUGUUCGCUCAGUGUUUACAAGUUACUGAUCGAUCACUAGCUAGCCUACUAAUGCGCUCCUGGCAGUUUUAGUUGCGACGCAAGAUCCGAAGUGGCAGUUUUUUGAAUAAAAAUGCCUACCUCUGAAGAAACUGACAAGCUGCUCUGAAGAAAAUGCCAUGCGAAUCUGAAGAAACUGCCAGCAAAAACGUUCACAAAUGCCUUAUCUCCCAGCGAACGUUCAUCAGCUAAUGCGAUCGUACACGUACACCAUCCGACCUACUCGAUCCUACACGUACACUAUCCAACCUACUCGAUCCUACACGGAUAAAUAGCAGAUCACGCACGUACUACCUCCUUUCCGGUUUGCAGGCCUCAAUUCAAAAAUCUCACCAAUCAAGAUAGAUGAUGAGUGGUGGAAUCAUUUUUGACAAGGAGGGAGUACCUCAUCAGGAUGAUUCGAGUGCACUAGUUUGACCGUCAUGCCGGCGUGCGACCCAGCACGGACGGGACGCACCACUGGCGGGACGGGACGACACAGUCAUAAUUUCAAUUUUUCUAGUUUUCCACGGCAAGCUGGUGCGCUAAGCCAUGCCUGCUUAUGCAUUGAAUUCCGAUGACCGCGAUGACCAUCGCGUUUCUCGCGACACGCUGGUUCGCCUACCUUACACCUAUAAUUACUGUUUCCCGACCUUCGCCGGUGGCACCAUCACCCAACUCGCCCUAUCCUCAUAAGCCCUCACCGGCCCGACGUCGCUCACCACUUAUCCUCACUCUCGCCACGUCCGCCAUGCCCCCGCCCGUCCGUGAUAGGCGACGCCAGAGGCGGUCACCGCCGGAACUAGUGUUCGAUUUUUCACCGGAAGGCAGACGGAGGGAGGAGGCAUUCUAUCGGUCUUUAGAUGGAAAUGCGGAGUAUGAAUAGUUGUUGGAGCGCGACCGCCUGGCGCAGGAGCAGCGUAUCGCCGAUUUGCGCCGCCAGCGGGACAUGGAGCAACAACGCACCAACGCUCUGAGUCGCGAGCAGAGCGUCCGCAACUGGGCCGACUACGUGGAGGCCGACGCCCAGGAAAUAGCCCUGGAGGCUGUCGGGCACGCACGCGUUCGCGACGCUGAAUUUUACUACAAGCUCGUCAAGUGGGUUUCCUGCUUAGAAGCUGAAGCUUCGGUGGACCACGCCGGCAUGGAAAGGGCCAACGCGCGCGAGCAACGCGCCCUAUCGCACCUCUGGCAAGUCCGAGGCGAGGCGGAGGACGCCGGUGCCGGCGUUUAGCGUGUACCGCAGAUGGCGGCCGGCAUUGUCUAGUUAGCUAAGAGUAAGUUAGUACUUGUACACUACUAGAGUAUUAGUGGGAGUAGAUAGUUAACUUGGGUAUGAUGGUUGUCAACGUGGAAGUUCAGUACUCUAUAUCUGGAUCAGACCUGUUACUUUGCUCUAAAUGUUGAACUUUCCGUUGAACGUAUAGAAUGGGCUGUUAUUUUUUCGUUGGAUUGUAUUUGUCCGCCACGGGUUUAGAGGCUGACUUGUGGGCCUACCAGGUUGACGCGUACACAAUCAGGAGAUGAUUGUACGUGGAGAGGAUGACAACAGGGACGCACCAAAGUCAUGACAGUACGCAAGCAAGUGCCUCCUUAUUUCAAGCCAAUAAAAAAUGGCUCCUCCUAAUGGAUUUCUGACAUCUGGGUCCCAUGCCAUUGUUAACUAGUCAAUAAACGAGAGAAUUGCACAACGAGCGGCUGACACCAGGGACCCAGUAGCUCGCCCAGUUAUUUUUAUUUUGGGUUAAUUUGAUAAAUUCCACUCCAAAUCUGGUGAUUCCGAGAAAUGCCACUGCAAUUUCCAAAAUUUGAAAAAUGCCAUUUCAUGCCAUUUCCAGUGGCAUUUUUUGAAGUCUGGAGUGGCAUUUUUCAAAGUUUGCAAAAAUUGCAGUGGCGUUUUUUAAAGUUUGCAAAAAUUGCAGUGGCAUUUUUCAAAGUUUGGAAAUUGCAGUGGCAUUUUUAUGAAUCGCCAUAAUUGGAGUGGCAUUUAUCUAAUUUGUUUUUUAGACGGAAGCAGGGAGUCAACUGGGUUGUGCGGGGCACUCUAGCCUGUCUAGACAGUCUUUUCUUUUAUGUUUACCACAGACCGGCCGAGUAGUUUUUUUUUCUUUCUGAAAAUGGCUAGCCCAGAUUUUUGUGAUUUGUCAAGUAAGUCACUUUGUCAAGUCUGUUGGACUGCAAAUCUUUCAAGACGAGGAGAGCUUCAUUCGGCUGGCUGAGAAAAUGGCCUAUCACCAAUGAGAAAUGGGUAGUACAUUUUUAAAACACAUCAAACCGGCAAUUAGUUCAAAUUUCUUUUUUUCAUUUUGAGAUUUUAAAUUGCAUUCAUUUUUAUGCAUGGACAAUUUGUUGGAUUUUAUAUUAAUAUACAUUUAUUUUUAAAAUCAGUUUGAAUGUGACUCAAAAUUUCGGGAUUAAAAACAGUUCGGACCGCACCGAAAUAUGCAAAAUUUCGUAUAAUUUUUUAACCGUGGCCAUAAUAUGGGCUGUAAUGAUAACGAAAAGAAUAUGAGCUCAAAAAAACCUUAAGAAUUAGUAAACAGGCUGUAAAUUAUUAGAAAUAAUGGCAGAUGGGUUGUACCUUGUUUUCCACAUAUUUGAGGCUUUCCUAAGAAAAGGUUGACGCACAAGCAGUGACUGUUGGAUGUCCAUCCAACGGCCGUCGUGCUUCUUCAAUCUCUGCUCUUCCUGCUCCAGCCGCUCAAACAAGCGCCGGCGGGACUGCCUGCUCCCUCCUCCCGCGGCCGGUUAUGAUGCCGCGCAGACCUCACCGCCCCACCAUACUCCCAUCGCUGGCCUGGCCAUCCCUCUACUCACCCACACCUGCUGUUAUUCUCCGGCGACAGCGGACGAACCAAAUAAACUCUCGUACUCCCCUCCGUGUGGGAAACAACUGCCGAGUCUUCCCUGGCUCCGUGUCGUUCCCUUCCUAGGCCUCGCCCUUGUCCACCGCCCUGGUGCACUCGACGCGGCGUGGUCAACGUGGUUAACAACCGACAUGCAUCUGAAGUGAACUAUACGUGGAGAGGCUGACAGCUAGGUCCACGGCCGCACGCAAGGAAAUGCCUCCUUAUUACGCGUAAAAUAAUGAUUCCUCCACCUGACAUCUGGGACCCACCGAAAGGGCCUCUGUAUUUCACGAAAAAAACAUUCUCGCCGCUGACAGCUCGGACCCACCCGCUAUAUCUUCGCACGCAAGGAAGUGCCUCCUUAUUACGCACAAAAAAAAAGGAUACUCCCCCUGCUAGCUAGGACCCAACAUAGUGGGAGGCUGACUUGUGGGCCUACUAAGUUGACAGGGAUGGAGGGCUUUGUCAACUUAGUCAAUAUGAACGAUUCUAGCUCCAGUGACCGUACGAUGUCCAUCCAACGGCCGUAGUGCUUCUUAAUCCUCUGGUCUUCUUGCUCUAGCCGCCCAAAGCAGCGCCGGUCGUGCCGCCUGCUCCUGCCUCCGGUGGCCGGCUGUGCUGCCGCAAAGGCCUCACCGACCGCUACUACUCCCACUGCUGGCCAGGCCCUGCGGCGACGACAGCCUCACACCGCAGACGAACCAGUGAACCCUCGUACUCCUCUCCGCGUGGGCAUCCACUGCCGCGUCUUCCCCGGCUCCGCGUCGUCCCCUUCCUAGGCCUCACCGUCGUCCACCGCCGUGGUGCUCUCGGCGCGGCGUGGUCAGUGUGGUCAACGACCGACUUCCAACGGAAGAGUACUGUACGUGGAGAGGCUGACAGCUGGGUCCAUGGCCGCAGCAAGGAAGUGCCUCCUUAUUACGCGGAAAAUAAUUAUUCCUUCACCUGACAGCAGGGACCCACCGGACGGGCCACCGUAUUUUGUGAAAAAAACGUUUCCCCCUGACUGCUGGGACCCACCGGCUACAUCUUCGCACGCAAGGAAGUGCGUCCAUAUUAUGGGCAAAAAAAAAUGAUUCGCCCCUGACUACUGGGACCCACCAACUACAUCUUCGCACGCAAGGAAGUGCCUGACAGUCGGGACCCACCUGGUCGAAGCGUACGUAGCAUUGUCAUUCUGGUCGCGAACGUGUGCGUACAUACGAUCGGUCUGUCUGCAGGCUGCAGCGAUGAACCGUGGCCGUGUAAGGAAGGGCACGUGUUGUAGUAGAGGCGCGCAUGUAGCAUGUACACGUACGUACAGCGGCCAGGGUGCAAGAGUAAAUACGGCCACGUACGUACAUACGGGGGGGGGGGGUCUCGAACACCUACUCGCGCAUACGUACGGCCAGGGCUCCGAACACCUACUCGCGCAUACGUACGGCCAGGGCUCGUGUACAUGGCUAGGUCGGAACAGAGAAGCUGCGCCGUCGUCAUGAUCAUGGGGAGGCAACCGGCUGUGUCGGAACAGAAUGCGUCGUCGUGUUCAUUGGGAGCCAACCGGCUUGGACAGAACAGCCGAUGGAAACGAGGCCUGGCGUACUGCAGAACGGAGGAAACGGCCUUGUGUUCGACCGGCCAUGGUCGAAAUGGGAUCAUGUUCAUCGGGAGGGGUCUGGCGUAUCGCAAAACGGAGGAAACGGACCUCCUACGGUCGAAGCGGGGUCUUGUUGAUCGGGAGGGGUGUGGCGUACAGCAAAACGGAGGAAACGAACUUGUGUUGGAGCGCUACGGUCGAAACGGGGGUCCUGUUCAUCGGGAGGGGUGUGGCGUACCGCAAAACGGGACUCUACGGGAUACUGUUCAUCUCCACCGUCGACUGCCUCCACGGGCUACUGUUCAUCCACCGUCGACUGCCUCCACGGGCUCCUGUUCAUCCACCGUCGACCUCCUCCAGCCUCCACCUGCACUGUUCAUCCACGGGCUCCUGUUCAUCCAGCCUCCACCGCGUGCUCCUCCACUGGCUACUGUUCAACCAGCCCUCUCCACUUGGGUCCUGUUCAACCACCCCUCCACGGGCUACUGUUCAGCCAGCCCUCCACGGGGUCGUCCUGUUCAUCCAGCCCUCCACGGGGUCCUGUUCUUCCACCCCUCCACCGGCUCGAUCGAUCGNNNNNNNNNNNNNNNNNNNNNNNNNNNNNNNNNNNNNNNNNNNNNNNNNNNNNNNNNNNNNNNNNNNNNNNNNNNNNNNNNNNNNNNNNNNNNNNNNNNNNNNNNNNNNNNNNNNNNNNNNNNNNNNNNNNNNNNNNNNNNNNNNNNNNNNNNNNNNNNNNNNNNNNNNNNNNNNNNNNNNNNNNNNNNNNNNNNNNNNNNNNNNNNNNNNNNNNNNNNNNNNNNNNNNNNNNNNNNNNNNNNNNNNNNNNNNNNNNNNNNNNNNNNNNNNNNNNNNNNNNNNNNNNNNNNNNNNNNNNNNNNNNNNUUCAGAGGCAGCAUCGACCGACUUCAGUUAGCAGCAGUAGCGAAGGAAUCACUCGAGUUUAGUUAACAGCAAGGUAUCGAUCGAUCGCUCGGGUUCAGUAACGCGUAGCCUGCAGUGCAAUCGCUCGGGUUCAGUUAGAGCCCAACGCCUCGCUCGUGUUCAGUUAGAGCGCAACGCCUCGCACACACGCGCGUACGUACGAGGGAAACGCGCAUCGCUCGAUCCUCGACCACCCACCGUAACCGGGAACUCCCCCGAUAUUUUCCUCGCCCUCGCUUCUACCACGGUUUUUUCCGUCAUGCACGGCCCAAAGAAUGUCAUGCAGCAGCGUCUCCGGCCCGCCCAGGUCGAAAAGCCAAUUUUCUGUCAUGAUUUUUUUCAUAGAAGUAGGAGCCCACCACAUCUAUGAUGAUACCGGGUUUUGUCACAAUUAUCGUCAUAGAAGUGUCAUAAGCAUGACAGGAAAAAAAAUCUUUCGGCCCAAAAUGUUACAGAUGUGUCUUUCUUUUUGUAGUGAUCGUAUGCUCAUUACCAUUGAUAUGGAAGGUGACCUUGCUUUUAUUGCAAUCAAUAACAGUCUCUACAAUAUUCAAAAAGGGUCUACCAAGGAUAAUCGACAUGUUGUCGUCCUCGGGCAUCUCAAGUAUAACAAAGUCUGUUAAGAUAGUAACAUUUGCAACAACAACGGGCACAUCCUCACAAAUACCAAUAGAUAUGACAGUUGAUUUCUCAGCCAUUUGCAAAGAUAUUUCAGUAGGUGUGAGUUUAUUCAAGUCAAGUCUUUUAUAUAAAGAGAAAGACAUAACACUAACACCAGCUCCUAAAUCACACGAAGUAGUUUUAACAUAAUUUCUUUUGAUGGAGCAAGGUAUAGUUGGUAUUCCCGGAUCUCCAAGUUUUUUAGGUACUCCAUCCUUAAAAGAGUAAUUAGCAAGCAUGGUGGAGAUUUCAGCUUCAUGUAUCUUUCUCUUAUUAGUGAUAAUGUCUUUCAUGUAUUUUGCAUAAGGGGCCAUCUUUAAAAUAUCAGUCAAACGGGUACGCAAAAAGACUGGCCUAAGCAUUUCAGCAAAGUGUUCAAAUUCUUCAUCAUCUUUUUUCUUAGUUGGUUUAGGUGGGAAGGGCAUGGGAUUUUGAACCCAUGGCUCUCUUUCUUUUCCAUGUUUUCUAACAACAAAGUCUCUUUUGUCAUAUCUUUUAUUUUUAGUUUGUGGGUUAUCAAGAUCGACAACAGAUUUUAUCUCAACAUCAUUAUCUGGUUCUUUAUCAUUAUCUGGUUGGGUGUUUUUAUGAACAUCAUCAUUAUCUUUUUCAUUAUCACUAGGUGAAUGUUUAUUACCAGAUUGAGUUUCAGCAUCUGAGAUGGAGACAUCAUUAUUAGCUUCAGGAGGUUUUUCUAUUGCAGGUUCACUAGAGGUAUGCAAAGUCCUAUCUUUUUCUUUUUCUUCUUCCUUUUAGAAGGACUAGGUGCAUCAGUGUUAAUUCUUUGAGAUUCUUGUUCAAUUCUUUUAGGGUAUCCCUCAGGACUGAGAAAUAAGAUACCCCUCUUCUUCGGAGUGGGUUUUGGUGGUGGUUCGGGAAGAAUUCAAUCAUCAUAAUUUUUAAAUAUGUUAUUCAAUAAUUCCUCAGCUUGUUCAACAGUUCGUUCCCUUAAAACACAACCAGCAAAACUAUCUAGAAAGUCCCUAGAAGCAUCGGUUAGUCCAUUAUAGAAGAUAUCAAGGAUUUCAUUUUUCUUAAGAGGAUGAUCAAGCAAAGCAUUAAGCAAUUGGAUAGGCCUCCCCCAAGCUUGUGGGAGACUCUCUUCUUCAAUUUGCACAAAGUUAAACAUUUCUUGUAAGGCAGCUUGUUUCUUAUGAGCAGGAAAAUAUUUUUCAGAGAGGUAAUAAAAAUUUCUUGUAAGGCAGCUUCUUCAAUUUGGGGACUACGCACACAACCAGGAGCAAGAGUAUUGUACUAUAUCUUUGCAUCAUCCAUUAAUGAGAACGGAAAUAAUGUGAGGAUAUAGUAGUAGCGAAUUUUCUCAUCAUUAGCAAAAAGGCUGGCUAUAUCCUUUAGUUUAGUAAGAUGUGCCACAACAGUUUCAGUUUCAUAGCCAUGAAAAUGAUGAGAUUCAACCAAAGUAAUUAACUCUGGGUCGACAGAGAAUUCAUAAUCCUUAUCGGUAACAAAGAUAGGUGAAGUAGCAAACUUAGGAUCACAUUUCAUUCUAGCAUUAAAAGAUUUUUCUCUCAGUUUGCAUAGUAAUUUCUUAAGAUCGUCCCUAUCAUUGCAAGCAAGAAAGUCUCUAGCUAUCUCCUCAUCCAUAACAUAACCUUUAGGUAUUUUAGGCAUUUCAUAUCUAGGAGAGCUAGGUCUAAUAGGUGUUUCAAGAUUUUUAGUUUCAAGUACUUCAUCAGUCUCAACGACCCCCCUGGCCGCCGGCCGAGCUCUCGGCAGUGAUGGGUGAGGAAGGAAUGGGAAGGAGGUUUGCUGGCAAGCUAGGGUUUCCCUUGGGCGCUCCCGGGAGGGAGGCCCAGGCGGCGUCUCUCGGCGAUGGCGGGGGAGGGGAGCUAGGGUUUCCCCCUGUAGCUCGUAGGAGGGAGGCCCAACGACCCUCUCGGCAGUGGCGGGAGAGAAGGGAUGGAAGGAGAGGGAGGUUUGCUCGUGGGACGAAGUGAGGGGGGGAGCCCCAACUAAUUUCACACCAUCCGCGUCCAUCGGUUUAAUAGGCUGUCACGAUUAGCACAUAAUUUUUGAACACAAUAGAAUCAGAGCUGCUCACAUACAUGCAACAUGCACGUACACUCAUCUAUGGACACGCACACACACCCUAUCCCUGUAAUAAGCAUGUUCGAGAUGCUAUAAGUCGGUGCAAGAUCUUAAGAUCGAUGAAGUAACCACGUGCGGCUCGUAGUAUUAAACCCCCGGAAGCGACAUAAACCUGCAUGAUUCAUUAUGCAAGGUUAAAAAAAAAAGCAAGGAAUCCAUCAACCGGACGCCGCCGCGUGCGUGCGUCAGAGAGCCGGUGACCCAACCGUCUUCCUCCCCACGCAUUAAUAAGCCCGCGCCUUAAAUCCCCGCUCCCAACCGUCUUCCUCCCCAGCUCUGACGACCGUAUCCAUCCCGGAACGGGAAACACCAACCUGCUUUCCACCUAUAAAAUCCGCCCUUCCCCACCCCCCCAAUCCCACAACAGCAAACCAAAUCCCCCAAGACCAAAAAAGGCCCCAGCAACCCAAGCGCGUCGACCCCAUCUACUUUCAGAGAUUUUAUUAGUCGAGAUGGCACAGGCGAUCGAGGCUCAGAGGGAGGGCGCAGAGGUGUACCACGGCGCGGCGCUGUGCGCGGAGAAGGCGGUGGAGCUGCUGGCCGAGACCAACAUGCCGCUGGGCCUGCUGCCGCUGGCGGACAUCCAGGAGGUGGGCUACAACCGCGCCACCGGCUUCGUGUGGCUGCGCCAGAAGAAGGCGCUCACGCACACCUUCAAGCAGAUCGGGCGGCAGGUCUCGUACGCCACCGAGGUGACGGCCUUCGUCGAGGACCGCAAGAUGAAGCGCAUGACCGGGGUCAAGAGCAAGGAGCUCCUCAUCUGGAUCACCCUCUGCGACAUGUACAUCGAGAAGGACGAUCCCUCCAAGAUCACCUUCAAGACGCCCACCGGGCUGGGGAGGACCUUCCCCGUCUCCGCCUUCGAGAAGCAGGACGACGGCAAGGCCAAGGCCGCAGCUGCCGACGGCAAGGAGGCCGUCGUGGCCAAGUAGGUGAGGACGGCCGGCAUACUCUACAAAGUUUCGAUCAAGAGUUCUCGAGUCCAGUUUUUACUAUAUACGACGAUUACUAUUUGCUGUAAUCUUUUUAAUAAACCACGCAUUAUAUAAGGCUGUAAUACUCUGCUCCGGUGUUUUGCCGAGGGUUGUAUCAUGCACAUGAUCGUGCCAUCUUUAUAAUCUUAUAUGUGCUGUUCGCUGCUUAA